rnacentral:lncRNA from 1 species
AACAAGCCUUUAAACCCCUAGGUGUCCCUAGUAGGAGGAGUUGUGUCUCCUGAGGGUUUACAGUGAUGACUCCCACAAACAUCUGCAUACUUGCAAGCAAAUUAGUUAAAGCAUACUUAUAGCAAACUAAUAAGAACCAAUGAAAGCUUAGUCAUACAUUCGAACCACUAGUCUGCCACUUCAAAGAAUCAUAUCAUAAGUAUAGUGUAAAAAAAAAAAAUAAUAAUUAUUACUCCAUGUCCCAUGACUUCAAAGACACCAUACUCAAAUGCCAAAGAUAGAAAUCGCCUCAACUCUAGUCCUCACAGAUAUCACUCAAAUUUUCACUCAGAUCCUAAGGUGUGGUCCCUCCUCAACCAUAUGUGAGUGAAGUUAUGUAAAACGAAAUCAAAAUCCUCACAUAUGAAAUAUGAAAUAAAAGCACAAUUUCUGGAUAGAUCUCAUGAAAGGAAUUAAACACUAAGAAUAUGGAUAGCACACAUACUUAGCAGCACCCAUGAAUACAUCCCCAAAGAUCAGCUAGGUCUUUCACAAGGUGUGUAAUGUAAGGCUUAGGUCAGGGGCUAUGAAAGAAAGGAUAGGAAAUACUAAAGCUUGGGACAUACCAAAAUGUCUUCCUUGUGAAAGCAGCAAGCUCUCCUCUUGAAUUGAUCUUUGUUGUUUGUUCGUGGCAUCCAGGACCCGUGCGAUAAUGGAAGGAUUUAGAAAUUACAUCCUCUUUGAUUCUUUUUCUUUUCUUUUCUUUUUCUAAAACUUUGUUUCUUUUUUCUUUCUUUUUUCUACAAUUCCAGCACACAUACCUCGGUACAUACCACUUUCUUGAUGUAGAGCUCGAAUUAUCUUUGUCUUCAUCACUUUGGUAUUUCCCAAACUAUAGGGUAUAGCUGUAAUGGGCUAAAUAUCUCAUAUUGAGAUAAAAGGAUAUGGGGAAACAAAUGUGAGAAAAUAAAAUGGCUAAAAAUGAUUGGCUUCAAAAUGGGGUAAUGACACACACAUAAAGGUAAGAAAUUAGGCCUUUUGGUGGUUAAGACAUGCAUAGCCUAACAUCGUCUCAAUGAGUUCAUUCAUGAAUGUUACCAAACACAUGGUAUAUGCGAAAGAGAACAAUUCUUAGCGUUCAAUCAAACAAAAAUAAUGAGAUCAUUUGAAAUGAAAUUGAAGCAAAAAGAUAGGAGUACAAACAUUUUAAACCCUCUCAAAGAAGUAAAUAGGCUCAAAAUCACUCACUAGGGUAGUCUCCACAAUUCUUCUUCCAGAAUUUGAGCAUGAUACUUUAACCACCAUGAUUCCAAGAGUAACAGCUUUGAAAAAAAAUGAAAAAAAAAUAUGAUAUGAACUUUUUCAUGACAACACAGUAGUCCUCAUUGUAAACCAUAGCCCUCAUAUACAUUCACAUUAGUAAGCAAAAGCAAACUUUAACCAGAACUAAAAACAAACGAAAAUCCCACACCCCCAAACCUAAACUAAGCAUUGUCCUCGAUGCAAAAAAAUUGAAUGGAAUGGAUGCAAUGCAAAUUGGCACAGUGUGUAUGGAAUGAAAUAAAAUAACAACUAAAAAGUAACACAAAUAAAAGGAAAGAACACAAACCCAGCUAGGUUGCCUCCUAGCAAGCGCUUUAUUUAAUGUCUAGGCAAGACAUGGUAGUGUGUCUGAGUUGCCAUAAACUCGAGAGAAUCUAUAACGACAUAAACCUGCUCCUGUGAAACAUUCUCCAAAUAAGGCUUCAAACGCUGUCCAUUGACCUUAAAACGGGUGCCAUUCUUGAUGUUUUCUAUCUCCAUAGCUCCAUGGGGAAAUACCUGAAGCACUUUGAAUGGUCCAACCCAUCUAGACUUCAAUUUACCUGGAAACAGUCGCAAACGUGAGUCAUACAAAAGUACUUUCAUACCUGGUUGAAACUCCUUCCUAAGAAUUGCUUUGUCAUGGUAGAGCUUGGUUCGUUCUUUGUAGAUCCUUGCAUUCUCAUAUGAUUCAUUUCUGAGCUCUUCCAACUCAUUGAGUUGGAACUUCCUCACUGUACCAGCUUCUUUGAGAUCAAAAUUGAACUUCUUUAUGGCCCAAUAUGCACGGUGCUCGAGCUCCAUUGGCAGAUGACAUGCUUGUACGCUGUUCGAUGUGCCCAAAGUGCAUCAUUCAGUCUUAGUGACCAAUCCUUCCUUGUAGGGCUGACGGUUUUCAUCAAGAUGUUCUUUAUUUCUCUAUUGCUGAUUUCCACUUGUCCAGAGGUUUGAGGAUGGUAUGGAGUUGCCACUUUAUGUGUGAUGUUGUACUUCUUCAUCAAUGCCUCGAAAGGUUUGUUGCAGAAGUGACUGCCACCAUCGCUAAUGAUAGCUCUCGGAGUUCCAAACCUUGUGAAAAUCAUAUCUUUGAGAAAAUUCAAAACAACUUUGUGAUCAUUAGUUCGUGUAGCUGUUGCCUCAACCCAUUUUGAUACAUAAUCUACUGCCACUAGUAUGUAUAUGUAUCCAAAAGAAGAUGGGAAUGGUCCCAUGAAGUCAAUUCCCCACACAUCAAACAGCUCUACCACUAAAAUGUUGUUUAAUGGCAUUUCGUUCCUGCGACUGAUGCUGCCCAUUUUCUGACACCUAUCACACUUAGAGCUAAAAUCAAAAGCAUCUUUAAACAAUGUAGGCCAAAAGAAACCAGAUUGUAAAACCUUUAAAGCUGUCUUUUUGGCACUGAAAUAACCUCCGCAUGCCAAUGCAUGACUGAAUGUUAGUAUGCUUCGCUGCUCACUCUCUGGAACACAUCUUCGAAUGAUUUGGUCAGGGCAAUACUUAAACAAAUAGGGCUCAUCCCACAUGUAGUGUUUCACCAUUGAAAAGAACUUCUUUCUCUCCUGAAAAGUCAAAUCAUCUCUAAUUACACCAGAAGCAAGAUAAUUGACAAAAUCAGCAUACCAUGGCUCUUUAUCUUGAAUGACAAAGAGUUGUUCAUCCGGGAAUGAUUCGUUGAGAGGCAAAAUUUGUCCAUCUCCAUGGUUUUCAUCAACAAGGCGCGACAAGUGAUCAGCAACAACAUUUUCACUCCCUUUCUUGUCUCGAAUUUCUAGGUCAAACUCUUGUAACAAGAGUAUCCAUCUGAUCAAACGUGGUUUAGCAUCUUUCUUGGUCAACAAAAACCUAAGAGCUGCAUGAUCAGAGUAAACAAUAACUUUAGAGCCAACAAGAUAUGAACGAAAUUUCUCUAAAGCAAACACAACAGCAAGCAACUCCUUCUCAGUUGUAGAGUAAUUGAGUUGAGCAUCGUUUAACGUCCGACUUGCAUAGUAGAUUACGUGUGGCAGCUUAUUUACUCUUUGACCUAAAACAGCACCAAUAGCAUAGUCAGAGGCAUCACACAUUAGCUCAAAAGGCAAAGACCAAUCUGGUGCCAUAAUGAUAGGAGCAGAGGUUAGUUCACGUUUCAAGGUAUUAAAUGCAUUCAUACAAUCUUUAUCAAAGUGAAAUACAACAUCUUUGGCCAAAAGAUUGCACAAUGGAUGAGUGAUCUUGGAAAAAUCCUUAAUGAAACGACGAUAAAAACCAGCAUGUCCUAGAAAGCUUCUCACUCCCUUCACUGAAGCAGGGGCUGCCAUAUUUGAGAUGAUGUCAAUUUUUGCUUUGUCAACUUCAAUACCCUUGUUGGAUAUUACAUGCCCCAACACAACACCUUGUUUCACCAUAAAUUGACACUUUUCCCAAUUGAGAAUCAAAUUUGUUUCUUGACAUCUUUGAAGCACUAGAGAGAGAUGGUCAAGACAAUUAUCAAAAGAAGAACCAAAAACUGAAAAAUCGUCCAUGAAUACCUCAAUAAAUCUCUCAAUCAUAUCUGAAAAGAUUGCCAGCAUACAUCUUUGGAAUGUUGCUGGGGCAUUGCAAAGGCCAAAAGGCAUCCUCCUAUAUGCAAAAGUGCCAAAAGGACAGGUGAAUGUAGUCUUCUCUUGAUCUUCCGGAGCAAUCACAAUUUGAUUAUAACCUGAAUAUCCAUCAAGAAAACAAUAAUAUGAGUGACCAGCUAAUCGCUCAAGCAUUUGAUCAAUAAAAGGCAUAGGAAAAUAAUCUUUUCUAGUGUCUGAAUUCAACUUCCUGUAAUCGGUACAAACACGCCAACUAGCUGCAGGUCUCGUUUGAACAAGCUCUUUAUGCUCAUUUUUUACCACUGUGAUUCCAAUCCUCUUAGGCACUACGUGAACAGCGCUGACCCAUUUGCUAUCAGAAAUCGGGUAUAUGAUACCCACAUCUAGCAACUUCAGCACUUCAGCUCUCACUACUUCCUUCAUGUGUGGAUUGAGCCUUCUUUGUGGUUCACGAGUUGGUUUCGCUCCCUCCUCCAAUAAAAUUCGAUGCAUACACAUGGUAGGGCUUAUUCCCUUGAUAUCUGCAAUAGACCAACCAAUGGCUGAUUUGAACUCUUUUAGCACCCUAAUUAGCUUAUCUUCUUCCAAAGGGGUGAGAUCAGAUGCUAUUAUAACUGGGAGAGUUUCAAACUCAGCUAGGUAAGCAUAUUUUAGAUGUGAUGGAAGUGGUUUAAGGUCAAGUUUUGGAGGUUUAACAAUAGAAGGGAUCAGAUGUGUGGCAGACGGUUCUAAUGGCUCUAUAAGAGGCAAAAACGUGGAGGGAUAUUGUUUUAAUGCUUCCAAGGCAGCCACCAUCUCCAUGAGCACUUCUUCAUCAAAGUCAUUUUGAGAUUGACUCAAAACAUAUUGUAAUGGAUCAUUGGAUUGUGCCAGCAAAAACUUAGAGAAAACAAGUGAAUCAAGCACAUCAAUCGAACAACAAUCAAUUGAACUAGAAGGGUGAGAAAGAGAUUCAAACACUUUGAAUUGUACAGUUUCUCCUAGCACAGUCAUGGUGAGGAGACCAUUUUGCACAUCUAUGAUCGUCUUUGCCGUGGCCAUAAAGGGUCUCCCAAGCAAAAUAGGUAACUCACGAUCAUGUAGAGGAACCUCUUCCAUGUCCAACACUACAAAAUCAGCAGGCAAAAUUAGUUUGUCAACUUGAACUAAGAUAUCUUCCACUAUACCUCUUGGAUAUUUCACUGAUCGAUCAGCAAGUUGCAAUGAAAUAGUUGUUGCCUUCAAACCCCCCAAACCUAAUUGAAGAUACACUGAAUAGGGCAUCAAAUUGAUGCUAGCCCCCAAGUCAAGCAUAGCCUUUUCAACUAGCUUGUCUCCAAUGGUGAUAUUGAUAGAAAAACUGCCCGGAUCCUUGAGUUUUGGUGGGAGCUUUCUUUGAAGCACAGCACUCACAUUUUCAGACACCAUCACCUUCUCAUUAGGUCCAUACUUCCUCUUAUAAGUAUUUAGCUCCUUGAAAAAUUUCCCAUACGCUGAUAUAUUCCUAAUGACAUCCAGCAAAGGUAAAUUAACAUUCACUUUACUUAAAAUAUCAAAAAUUUCUUAAAAUGACUUAUCCUGCUUGCUUUUGGCAAGUCUUCCAGGAAAUGGGAUGGGUGGAGAGUAAGGUUUUUCAGCCUUGUGAAAAUUUGGAGCUUCAAACGAAGAAGUGGCAUUGCUUGGAUCGUCAUUCGGUUUCUUAUUCUCUUCUUGAGUGGGACCUGCAUUCACAUGAUCAGAUUCAUUAGUAACUUCAUUGCCAACUCCAUUAUUAAUAACCUUACCACUUCUAAGUGUUAUGACCGCUUUGGCUUGCUCUUGGUUCCUUUGAAGUAUCAUCGGUUGGCAUGGAAAUUUUCCGGGUUCUCUUUGACUCAAAGCAUCAGCAAUCUGACCUAAUUGUGUCUCCAUUUUGGUUAGACCAGCCGAAUGUUGUUGGAGAGUACUAUUGGUAGUUUGCUGGAACUGAACGGUGUUUUGAGCUAGCAUUUUGACCGUAUCUUCAAGCGUAGUGGCAGGCUUUGGUUGGAAAUUUUGAAAUUGAUUGUUAUUCUUCCAUGAGAGAUUGGGAUGAUCUCUCCAACCAGGGUUAUAUGUAUUAGAGAACGGGUCAUUCCUCGGCCUCUGAUUGUAAGAAUUCAUGAGAUUCACUUGCUCUUGAACGAACUCGGGAUAAGCCUCACUAACUGAGCAUUGAUAAGUCGGAUGACCUGGUAUGUUGCAAAUGGCACACACCUCAGCUAUCUUAGGCACCAUAUUGAGCAUGGAAUCGAGCUUCUUUUCCAAACUAGCCACCUGCAAGGCAAGAUCAUUAUUAGAACUCAUUUCAUACACUCCAACUCGUUUACCUCUUGUAUCUUUGUGUUGAGCAUUAGAUCCCAACAUCUCAUAAAUGUUAUAUGACUCUUGAGCAUUUUUUUUCUUCAAAGCUCCACCUGCUGCAUUAUCAACAGUCGAUUGACAUGUUUGGGUUAGUCCAUCAUAAAAAAUUUGCAUUUGUAAGUAAAGAGGUAACCCAUGAUGUGGACAUUGCAGCAACAGCCCUUUGAAACGCUCCCAACAUUCAUUGAAAGGUUCUCCAUCAUCUUGUUUAAAGUUAAAGAUUUGCCCUCUCAGAGUAGCUGUCUUUUGAGUAGAGAAAAACUUCUCCAAAAAUUUCUUAGCUACGGCAUCCCAAGUGGUGAGCGAACCAGGUGCUAAAGUCAUUAGCCAACCCUUUGCUCUAUCUUUCAAUGUAUAAGGAAAAACCCUCAUCCUCAGAUUUGCUUCACUCACUCCCUGCAAAGGUAAACCACUCACAACAUUGUAGAAUUCCUUAAUAUGGGCUAAUGGAUCUUCGUUAGGUAAACCAUAAAAAGAAGGAAGCAUGUGAAAAUGUGAAGAUUUGAGAUCAUAAUUUCUAGCUUCAGUAGGCAGCAAGAUGCAGGAAGGGGAAUUUGGUAUAACCGGUUGAGCAUAAUCUUCCAAAGCUCGAUUGUCAUCGUUAUUGCCAGCCAUCUCUUCUUCUCUGUCAGAAUUAGAGUUAUCAAAAGAAUCUACACUCGUUGGGCUAGAAGAACUAUUGUCCUCUUCUACACUGCUAGUCUGGGCACUAGCUGAUAUAGAAUUCUCAAAAGUGUUGCUCUUCAACCGUUCAAGUCUUUGGCCUAUCUCAGCAAGUGUAUCUGACAUACUAACUAAGAAACAAAAAUAAAACGAAAUUAGGGUUUGAGAACAAGCAAUUAUAGAAGACUGAAAUCAGUCCCCGGCAACGGCGCCAAAAUUUUGUUGUGUUCCUUCCAAGUGCCAAUAUAUGGUUAGUAUAAUGGUACAAGUAAGGGUGUCGAACCACAGGGACUGAUUGGACCUCUGUAAAUUACUAGUUUUGAAAGAACCCUAGAUAAAAAUGAAAGUGACAAUUUGGAAGUAGUUUUUGUGUUGUAAAUAAAAAUAACUUAAAAUGCAAGAAGAAGGUAGUAGUGAUUAAUAUAUUGAUGUAGAAAGAAUAGGGAUGAGACUAGGGAUUUCGAAUUCACCAUUGCAAAACUAAUUCCAUGUUUAUAAAAUUAAACCGUACUCAACUACCAACCUGUUUCCAGAGUUCGUUUUACAUAUAUAUGAUCAGCCAUAUGAUGUGUGGUUUUGAUCAAAUUCUCCUAAUCUGCAACCUAGUUGGGAUGUUCAACUUUGGUUCCAAGUUAAGCGUCAUUAGCAUGCAAGAAAACGUUAAAGAACCAAAGAAAAUACACAGCAUGAUGUUUGCAUAGCAUUCUCUUCAUUCAUUCACAUGUCUAACAAGAUUAAGUAUGAUGUAUAACCUUGUCUAGAUAAUCUGUAGGCGACUCUAAUGGUGAUCAAACAUUAAAAUUGACAAACAAAUUGAACAAUAGAUUCAGUGAAUGAAACAAGAAACAGAUUGAUGAACUGAAUACUUUAACUUAGAAACAUGGAUCAAUGUUGCAAGGCUACAUCGAAAUCCCUAGCUAUGAAUUUAGUUACACAUCAUGUUCAAAGAGAUUAAAACAAAAAUAAACAACAUGAGUGAAAAUAAAUUCAUGAGAGGAAACCCUUGAACCAAUUCUGAUGUUGAACUUCUCCAAGAACCGCCUCUUGCGCUGAGUCCUGAUGGUGGAAUUAUAUGGACGGCUAGGGUUUUAGUGUGCAUGAAAGGAGAGAAUAACCAAGAAGUCAGCCCUAGGGUUGUGAAAUUCGUCCAAAAUAAAUAGGGGUUUUAAAAGUGACUAAAAGGCAAGUUUUUAUGGAGUAAAAGAGGCUGCAAGAUAUUCCAAAGAGAUCCUAUCAAAUCAGCCUUUAUUUUGCAUGUUUUUGCCUUAUUUGGCACCUCCAAAUCAGGCUAGAAAUCCCCAUUGCUUUCCCAUUCUGCUCUUAGUCUUCAACCAAGCCAGGUUCGCCUUGGAUUCUUUAUUUGGACUUCAAAACAGAUCACGAAACUUGUUUCCAUGUUUGAAUAAAGGUCAGCUCCAAAAAUGGCAUGUUUUCAUUUCUUUUGCCUUCAACUUGAUCCUAAAGUAGAUGCAACUGCAUACUAACACAAAAUAGGGUAAAACGCAACAAGUUUAACUCAAAAACAUCACAAAUAGACUAGAAAUGGAUGAUAUAUAUGUAUAAAUAUAUGAGUUAUCAGAACCUGAAUUGUCCAAUUUCAUAGACCAAUCGAUAUCGAUUGAGUCCAAAACUUGGGGAACAUCAUAAUACGGUGGGAGGAGUCAUUUGGUGGGUUUUGAGUGAAAUCCAAUCUCUACAACUAUGCAAUACACCAACAACUCCAUUUCAUAACGAACAUCAUACGAACCUGAAUUGUCCAAUUUUGGGGACCAAUCGAUAUCGGAUUAAGUCCAAAACUUGUGGAACAACAUAAUAUGGUGGGAGGAAUCAUUUGGAGACUUUUGAGUGAAAUCCAUUGGCUAAAACUAUGCAAUACACCACCCACUCUAUUUCAUAACGAACUUCGUAUGAGCUUGAAUUGUUCAAUUUCAUGGACCAAUCGAUAUCGGAUUGUGUCCAAAACUUGGGGAACAUGAUAAUAUGGUGGGAGGAAUCAUUUGGAGACUUUUGUGUGAAAUCCAAUGGCUAAAACGAUGCACUACACCACCCACUCCAUUUCAUAACGAACUUCGUACGAACCUAAAUUGUCCAAUUUCAUGGACCCAUCGAGAUCGGAUUGAGUCCAAAACUUGGGGAACAUCAUAAUAUGGUGGGAGUGUCAUUUGGUGGGUUUUGAGUGAAAUCCAAUGGCUAAAACUAUGCAAUACACCACCCACUCCAUUACAUAACGAACUUCGCACGAACCUGAAUUGUCCAAUUUCAUGGACUAAUCGAUAUGGGAUUGAGUCCAAAACAUGGGGAACAUCAUAAUAUGGUGGGAGGAGUCAUUUGGUGGGUUUUGAGUGAAAUCCAAUCUCAAAAACUAUGCAAUACACCAACCACUUCAUUUCAUAACGAACCUAAAUUGUCCAAUUUAAUGGACCAAUCGAUAUCGGAUUGAGUACAAAACCUGGGGAACAUCAUAAUAUGAUGGGUAGACCCAUUUGGUGAAUUGUGAAUGAAAUCCAAUGGCUAAAACUAUGCAAUACACCAAGCACUUCAUUUCAUAAUGAACCUCUUACGAACCUAAAUUGUCCAAUUUCAUGGACCAAUCGAGAUCGGAUUGAGUCCAAAACAUGGGGAACAUCAUAAUAUGGUGGGAGGAGUCAUUUGGUGGGUUUUGAGUGAAAUCCAAUGGCUAAAACUAUGCAAUACACCACCCACUCCAUUACAUAACGAACUUCGUACGAACCUGAAUUGUCCAAUUUCAUGGACCAAUCGAUAUGGGAUUGAGUCCAAAACAUGGGGAACAUCAUAAUAUGGUGGGAGGAGUCAUUUGGUGGGUUUUGAGUGAAAUCCAAUCUCCAAAACUAUGCAAUGCACCAACCACUUCAUUUCAUAACGAACCUCUUACGUACCUAAAUUGUCCAAUUUCAUGGACCAACCGAUAUUGGAUUGAGUCCAAAACUUGGGGAACAUCAUAAUAUGGUGGGAGGAGUCAUUUGGUGGGUUUUGAGUGAAAUCCAAUCUCGACAACUAUGCAAUGCGCCAAUCACAUGCCUUAGGAUAAUCAUGCAUCCUGCACCUGGAUACCAUAGGCUUGUAUGCGAUAAUCUAUUGUUGAUGAAGCUUGAGCCAAUUUAUAUACAUUCAUAACUUGGAUAGGAAAACUAGUGGUGGAUUCCAAGGCUCUAACACCUCUCAAUCAUUGUUCCACAACUUGUUGAUUGCUGCCAGUGUUUACUUUCGAGCACUUUCAUUUCACUUUCUUCUUUUCAUUUCAACAACAAAACCCCCCAUUUCGAGUGUGUGUGUGGUGCUAGGAUUCUGUCCUAGACCUUGAGUAAUUAGCAAGAGACAUUGUUAAAUUUGACCUUGCCUUUAGCUAGUUAGUCAGUUUCCUUGUUCUAUGUUUUUCUAUCAUUCUAAGUAAUUUAACUUGGAAGCAAGUUACCAUUCUCCGUGGGAUCGACCUCGUAUUUACAUAAGCUAUACUAUAAACGGUUCGUGCACUUGCGAGAAUUAAAGUUGCUGUUUUUAAUAACUCAUUUUAGUUGUUAAGAAUAGGUUCAACAAGUUUUUGGCGCCGUUGUCGGGGAACCAAUAACGAUGGUGCUAUAGUUAGAUUACUUUGAUUGUUUUGUUUUUGUUUGUUUCAUUUGUUUCUUUUCAUUGGUUUUUCUUUUAGUAUUCAGUUUUUGUAUUUAGUUGUUAUCUCCAUUGAAAGCACUGAAUUGACUUCUUUGGUGUGUGCAUGUCCGAAUCUGACCAGGAGCAAAGUUCACCUGAGCCACUUUCACCAAGAACCGCUGCUGUACGUGCUGGUUUGAGGAGGAAUUAUAGUUCUUCAAGCGUUGAAUCUAAAAGUUACGAAUCUGAAGGUUCAAGCAACAUGGCAGAGAUUCCGAACACCAACGAUAAUGUUGAAAGAGGUGGUGCGCUUGUUGUCCAACCAAGAAAACCCCUGCAUGAGUUUUCCAUUCCCAAAGUCACCGAUCAACCUUCGUGCAUCGUCUAUCCUCAACUCACAAUUGACAGGUUUGAGCUUAAAAGUGGUAUGAUUCAUCUUCUUCCAACUUAUUAUGGUAAUACCACUGAGGAUCCUUACAUGCAUAUUCAGCAAUUCUUUGAAAUAUGUGUUACGAUCAAAAUUCAAGGCCUUGAUGAUGAGCAAAUUAAGAUGAGGCUAUUCCCAUUCAGUUUAAAAGAUAAAGCUAAGUCUUGGUUAUACUCUUUGCCUAAUGCUUCAAUUCAUACUUGGGAAGAGCUUUCUAAUAAGUUUUUGCAGAAAUUCUUUCCGGCCCAAAAGACUAACAAGAUUAGAAAGGAAAUUCUUGGUUUCACACAAAAGGAAGGAGAAGCUUUUCAUGAAUGUUGGGAGAGGUACAAGGAGAUGAUAAGUUCUUGCCCACACCACAACAUAGAAAGUUGGAUGCAAAUGCAAUCUUUCUAUGAAGGUUUGCUUGAUUCCGAAAGGAUGAUGGUAGAUGCAACAAGUGGAGAAGGACUGAUGAACAAAACAGCAGAUGAGGCUUUUACUCUCUUUGAAUCCUUGAGUGCUAACUCUCAACAAUGGAGCCACAAUAAAGGAAGAGGAGCUCCUAUGAAAGCUGUGGUCUCUGAGGUAAGUACUAAUAAUGAGAUUGCUGCAAAACUUGAUGUUAUGUGUUCUUUGCUCCAACAGGUAGUGACUGGCCCUCUAGGAAACAAAGUGGGAGUUCAAGACCAAUCUUUUGCGGAGCACAUGCUAGAACAAGCAAAUGCCCUUCAAGCAAGGAAUCCUCAAAAUGAUCCUUAUUCAAACACGUACAAUCCGGGAUGGAGAAAUCAUCCUAAUUUCAGGUGGAACAACAAUCCAAAUGUGCAACAAUCUCAAGGACCUCCCCUAGGAUUCCAAACACAACAAAGGCAAUUCCAGCAAGCUCCCCAACAAGUGCAAGAGCAAAGGGGUGAUCAAAUGGGAGAAUUGCAAGACAUGUUCAAGAAGUUCAUAGGGCAACAGAUGCAAACCAAUCAGAAUCUUCAAAAUGCAGUGAACAAACUAGAAGUGCAAGUUGGGCAGAUUGCAUCCUCCAUAAGCAAUAGAGCAUCCGGAACUUUGCCAAGCCAAACGGAGGUGAAUCCAAGGCAUCAAGAGCAUGCUAAAGCAGUACACAUCUUGAGAAGUGGUAAACAAGUUGAUAAUAAGGUUGGAGAUGCCAAUGAAGAGCAAGAAGAUGGAGAACACGUGGAGAUCAUUCACCUCCACAUGUGCAGCCCACAGCUUCCAACAAACAGUCCAUCAAUGCUCCUGGAAAUAGCAUAGGCCCUAAGGUAUCAUCUAAUGCUAAUCAAGUUCCAAUUUCAACUAAUGCUUUUAGGCCUAUUGCACCCUUUCCUAGCAGGUUAUCAAAGUCAAAGAAAGAUCAAGGCUUGGAUGAGAUAAUGGAAACAUUCAAGAAGGUGCAAAUCAACAUCCCAUUGCUCAAUGCCAUUACUCAGAUUCCAAAGUAUGCAAAAUUUUUGAAGGAUCUAUGCACUAACAAGAGGAGAUUCAAAGAGCAUGAACAAGUUGCAUUGAGUGAAGAGGUAAGUGCAGUGUUACAAAGAAAGCUACCUCCAAAGCUAAAGGAUCCAGGUUCGUUUUCUAUACCUUGCAUAGUUGGUGAUUUUAAUUAAGUUUCAAAAAGCUUUGCUUGAUCUUGGUGCUUCUAUAAAUCUUAUGCCAUGUCAUGUUUAUGAGAAACUUAACCUUGGUGAGUUGCAAGCCAAAUCUGUGAGCAUUCAAUUGGCAGAUAGAACUCUUAGGUACCCUAAAGGCAUUCUAGAAGAUGUUUUGGUGAAAGUGGAAGAGCUAAUUUUGCCAGCAGAUUUCUUGGUGUUGGAAAUGGAAGAAGCACCAAUUCAUGACAAUCAGUUACCACUCAUUCUAGGUCGGCCAUUCAUGGCAACUGCCGGUGCUAUUAUUGAUGUGAAGAAGGGUACAUUGACCAUGAAUGUGUUUGAUGAGACAAUAACAUUCAAAGUGUUUGAAGCCUCCAAGUUUCCAAGUGAUGAGCAUGAAGUUUUCCAUCUUGAUGCAAUUGAUACUAUGGUGAAAGAAGCACUGCCAAUGAGUUAUUUGGAGCCCAUUGAAGCAUGCAUCACACAAAGCAUAAGGAAAGAAGAAGUGGACAGCUUAGAGGCUGUGAUCUCUCCUUUACUUCUUGAGCUUGUUUGCAGCAUGGAUAGCUACAUAGAAAUUGGAAAGAGGUAUGCAAACCAAUUUGAAUCAUUACCCCCACCUACUAAUAAGGUUUUACCUUCUAUUGUGCAGGCACUAGAGUUGGAAUUAAAGCAAUUGCCAAAAUACCUUAAAUAUGCUUAUUUAGGUGAAAAUGAGACUCUACCUAUUAUCAUUGCCUCACAUCUCAGACCAAAUGAUGAAAAGAAGCUUUUGAGAGUUCUAAAAGAGCACAAAACUGCAAUUGGGUGAGCAUUACAGAUAUCAAAGGCAUAAGCCCAACACUGUGCAUGCACAAGAUAUUAUUGGAAGACAAUGCAAUGCCUAAGAGGGAUGCCUAAAGACGUCUCAGGGAUGUCCGACAUGGUAGAAAGGUUCAUUGAGGUAUUCAUGGAUGACUUCUCUGUCUUUGGUGAUUCUUUUGAUCAAUGCUUGCAUAACUUAUCCAAGGUGUUGGCUAGAUGUGAACAGACUAACCUUGUGCUUAAUUGGGAAAAAUGUCAAUUUAUGGUUAACCAAGGCAUAGUUCUUGGUCAUGUCAUCUCUAGUAAAGGAAUUGAGGUAGAUAAAGCUAAGAUUGAUUUGAUUGCCUCCAUGCCCUCACCUACUUCUGUCAAAGAAGUACAUUCUUUCCUUGGCCAUGCAGGUUUCUAUAGGCGUUUCAUUAAGGAUUUUUCUAAGAUUGCAAGGCCUGUGUGCCAAGGACAUGGAUUUUGUGUUUGAUCAAGACUGUGAGAAUGCCUUCAAUGCUUUGAAGAAGAUGCUCACAACUGCCCCAAUCAUUAUACCACCGGAUUAGAGCUUGCUUUUUGAAUUGAUGUGUGACGCCUCAGAUUAUGCUGUUGGAGCUGUUUUGGGACAGCGAGUUGAUAAAAAGCCACAUGCCAUCUACUAUGCUAGUAGAACCCUCAACGAUGCCCAACUCAACUAUUCCACCACAGAGAAGGAGUUGUUAGCUGUCAUAUUUGCUUUAGAGAAGUUCAGAUCAUAUUUGAUUACUAACAAGGUUAUUGUUUACACUGAUCAUGCAGCAUUGAAAUACUUGUUAGCUAAGAAGGAUGCCAAACCACGACUCAUUAGAUGGAUUCUCUUGUUGCAAGAGUUUGACUUGGAGAUAAAAGAUAAGAAAGGAAGUGAGAAUGUCGUGGCUGAUCACUUGAGUAGAUUGGAGCAUGUAUCUAACGAAGAGGAGGAUUCAUUGCCAUUGCGUGAAAGCUUCCCUGAUGAGCAACUCUUCUCCAUUUGUGCUUUGAAUUCUCUCAAUCCAUUGCCUUGGUUGGCUGAUAUUGUUAACUAUUUGUGCACUAACGAACUCCCUACAGGGUUAUCUACGUUCCAACGUGACAAGCUUGGGAAACAAGCAAGAUACUACUUUUGGGAUGAUCCCUAUCUAUUCAAGCAUUGUCCAGACCAAGUAAUUCGAAGGUGUGUGCCUGAAGGUGAUUUUAAGAGCAUUAUGGAGUUUUGUCACUCCCACGCAUGCGGAGGCCAUUUUGGAGCAAAGAAGACUGCCAGUAAAGUGCUACAAUCAGGUUUCUUUUGGCCUACCCUUUUUAAGGAUGCUUAUGUUUUUUGUGCUUCAUGUGAUAGAUGCCAAUGGAUGGGUAAUUUACAUGCUAGAAAUCAGAUGCCUCUCACCAAUAUCUUAAUCAUUGAUAUAUUUGAUGUUUGGGGAAUUGAUUUCAUGGGCCCUUUCCCUACCUUUUAUGGAUUUGAAUAUAUAUUAGUUGCUAUCGAUUAUGUUUCUAAAUGGGUGGAAGCCAUUGCCACUAGAACUAAUGAUGCUAAGGUUGUGAUCGGUUUUCUCAAAGGAAAUAUUUUUACAAGGUUUGGCACACCUAGAGCAAUCAUUAGUGAUGGUGGCUCCUACUUUGUUAACCAAGCUUUUGCAGCGCUCUUGAAGAAAUAUGGAAUCACGCAUAAGGUGGCAACACCCUAUCAUCCUCAAACUAGUGGGCAGGUUGAGAUAAGCAAUAGGGAGAUUAAGCACAUACUUGAAAAGACAGUGAAUACCACAAGGAAGGAUUGGUCCAUGCGUUUGGAUGAUGCAUUGUGGGCUUAUAGGACUGCUUAUAAGACCCCUAUAGGUAUGUCUCCGUAUAGACUUGUUUUCGGUAAACCUUGUCACUUACCAGUAGAGCUUGAGCACAGGGCUUAUUGGGCAAUCAAGGCCUUCAAUUUUGAUAUGAAAGCCGCUGGUGAGAAGAGGAGGCUUCAACUCAAUGAGCUGGAGGAGUUGCGACAUGAAGCAUAUGAGAACGCUAAGCUUUACAAGGAGAAAACAAAGCAAUAUCACGACAAGAAAAUUCUUAGGAAGACGUUUGAGAAAGGGCUGAAGGUUCUCUUAUUCAAUUCACGCCUUAAGCUCUUCCCAGGUAAGCUUCGUUCUCGGUGGAUUGGCCCUUUUGUUAUUACUAAUGUGUUUAAUCAUGGCGCAGUGGAGAUUCAAAACAUUAAGGAUGGCAGCACCUUCAAGGUGAAUGGACAUCGAUUGAAACCUUACUUUGAUGCCAACUUUGAUGCCAAUAUUGAGUCUCAAGCACUCAAGGAGCCUCCACCACUCUCUUAAAGCUCACCAAAGUUUGGAUGUCUGGCUAAAGACGUGAAACUUAGCACUUCUUGGGAGGCAACCCAAGGUGACGAGGAGAAGACAGAACAUGCGAGGAAGCUUGCUUGCGUCCUAAUCGCUUCAAAGGGGAGUUUUUCUGAACUCUAACCUUUGGUUAUGUCUUUCCCUUGUCUUCUUUCCUUUCAUUUAUGAGGCAUUGCUUUUUCUUACACUCUAAACAUUGAGGACAAUGUUUCAUUUGAGUUUUGGGGGAAGGAUUUAGUUAUGUUGUCUCAAAUUGUCAAAUUUUAAAAUUUUGAGUGUGUCUAAUGGCCAAAAACGCAGGAUUUUGUGUCUUGUUUCGUUAUCCUUCCAAACACCUAUGAUAAGACUUGGAUCUAAUACUAAUAUGGUUUCUCAGAAAUUGAUAGUCAUUGUUUAAGGACUUUGUGUGGUUCUGAGUUAACUCUGUCUUGCAUGUCAUCCUUGCACUUAUUGAGCACUUUGCCGAGUUAGUCCAAUUUCUUGCUACUUGGAGACGUUAUGCAAUUCUACUUAUCUCAUGAUCUUGGUUUCGUACUCUAGAACUUAUUUGAAUAUCUCUUGAGACAUUUUGUUGCCAUACAAUGCUUAGGAAGUGAUUUAGGUCAUGUUUGAACCGUUUGAGCUUUUCUAACCAUCCCUUUACAUGUAUUCAUCCCUAGUCAACCCAUUUAAGCCUAUGUUAAACCUUUCUUUGUGUAAACCUACUACUACAAAAAAGCAAAAAGACGACGGUAAAUCACCGUCGUGUAUUCGGUUUUCCAAUGGUCGUGGAAUCCACCGUCAUCUUUUCCCUCAUAAACCACGACGCUAAAUCACCAUCGUUGUUAAAAUAUACAACGUCAUCAACAAAUACAAAACGACGUCUUUGUACUGCAAAAAGAUCUAAAAAAGCAGUCGAGGAUGAGAAUAGACGACCAACUCUCUAAAAAAACCGUCGUUAAAAAGGAAAAAUAUGACACAUAUUAACAGAACAAGGCCGCAAGAUAGACAUACAACGACGAAAAUUAAAAUAAGACGCCGUUAAAUAUCAUUUUCACGACAAUAAAAAAUAUGACGUCUUUAAAUACAUUAGAAGACGACGUUAUUGAUACCUACUACGUCGCCUAUAUAAAAACAGCCGUCGUAAAAUAAAUUUUCCACUUCGAUUUUUUUAUAAAAGAUGACGUGGAAAUAGUUGUCAGUGUCAUUAUUUACGACGUAUGUAUUUAUAGAGUAGACGUUGAACAACGAAACAACGUCGGUUACAAAUAUAUGAGAGUCGUAUUACAAAAUUUAUACGUCCUAUUUUCAGAAACAAACAACGACGAUAAAUAUUAGACGUUGUUAAAUAAAACAACGUCGAAAACAAAUAAAAACAGACGUGUUUAGUCUGCUAAAGUUCUAAAAAAUAGUCGAGGAUGAGAAUAGACGACCAACUCAAACAAAUCACCGUCGUUAAAAAGGAAAAAUAUGACACAUAUUAAAAGAACAAGGCCGCAAGAUAGACAUACAACGACGACAACUAAAACACUACGCCGUUAAAUAUAAUUUUCACGACAAUAAAAAAUAUGACGUCUUUAAAUACAUGAGAAGACGACGUUAUUGAAAUCUACUACGUCCCUUAUUUACAAACAACCGUCGUGAAAUAAAUUUUCCACUUCGAUUUUUCUAAAAAAGAUGACGUGGAAAUAGUUGUCAGUGUCAUUAUUUACGACGUAUGUAUUUAUAUAGUUGACGUUGAAAUGCGAAACAACGUCGGUGGCAUUUAUAUAGUCGACGUUGUAUUUAUAUGUAUUCAUUACUCACGACGCACUUAUUAAUAUAGACGACGUUGAACUUCUAAACAACGUCGGUUCCAAAUAAAUGAGAGCCGUAUUACAAAACAUAUAGACGACGUUGAUUAUGAUGAGAGCCGUAUUACAAAUAAUGUCGUUUAAUUGAUAUUAGACGGCGGUUAUAAUGAAUUACCAUCGGAAUUCAUUUCGUUCCUCUUCGUUUAUAAAAGAACUUGCGACGUGAAAAAUGUAUGAUGAUGUCGUAUUUUUUAACGUUCAGAUUAUAUAUCUCGUUUUUUAGACGUCGGUAUUAUGGGAUUGGAGUCGUGUUAUUUUGAAUUACAUGGCGGUUCUUAAUCCUUCCCCGACGUGAUAUCCUGAAUAAUUGCUUCACAAUAGCGUCGUGGUUCUUCAUUGUUACGUUGCUUUAAGACGUCGGUAAAUAUGCUGAAUAACUGGUUCACAAUAACGUCGUGUUUUAUUUGAACAUACGUCGUUUUUUAUGCAGAAUAUAAUGAUGUAAUCUGGAACCAGUAUUUUUUGCACUGAUUGUUUUGUGGCCAAAACCUGUAUAAUGAAAGUGAAGAAAUCACAUUACAAUAUAUUACAAAAUUAAUGUCAUACACUGCCAAUUACAUAAGCAUCAUUCAAUCCAUAUAUCUUCACACCUAUCUCGAAUAUUUUGACCACCUAACUCACCCACCAGUUCAUCAAAUGUGUCAACAUUUGGCAUCCCUCUAGUAAAUGGCUCACACUCAAUUAUCACAUCACCUAAGACUUCAUCACCAAUAACAUCAUUAUAUUCUCUAUUAGGCAUUGAUAACACUACCGACCAACCACGAUGCAUCGGGUCGUCAACAAAAAAUAUUUGUUUGACUUGAGAAACCAAAACAAAUUGGUCAUUCCUAUGUCCAAUUUUACUCAAAUCUACAAGGGUAAAUCCAAGUUCGUCGACUACAAGACCAGAACUAUCUAUCCAAUCACACCUAAAGACUGGGAUUGUAAACUUUUGGUAGUCAAGGUCCCAAAUUUCUUGAAUGACACCAUAGAAACCCAUAUUUGAGAGAAUUGGGUUUUUAUCCUUGGCACUAGCAACUUGCAUGGUAUGUGCAAGUAAAUAAACUCCACUAUUUUGAGUUGUCCGCACAUCAUCUUGUGCCUUGAUAUUGAAUUUAAUACCUUUAAUAAGAUAGCUCCUAUAUAAUGGCACUGCCAUGUUUGGACCAGCUGCUAGCCACCUUAAAUUUUCUGAUACGCCAUGAUUGUCUUCCUCAAGUUCACUUUGAACCUGCAAAUUAAUCAUAUCUUAAUUCAAUCUAACAUAGAAAUAAGAAGAAAAUUAAAAGAGAAAUAUGUUAUUCAACAACAUAUACCUUGAAGCGUAGCCAUUGAAUGAAAGUGCUAUUGUGCUUAUCCUGCAGCCACUUUGUUCUCUUUCUAAAUUUUGGAUAAGCAGUCUUGAUGUGGAUCAUAUGUUGCCUACAUGACACGAAAAAUUCAAGCAUUACGGUCCCAAAUAUAUAAGAUAAACGUAAGAAACCAACAUAUACAUGAAACCAAGCAUGAAAACAAUAAAUCCAUUCCCAAUUCAACAUAACAUAGGGUGAUUAAAAGAUCCGACAAAAUUAAAUCCAUUCCCAAUUCAACAUAACAGAUAAUGUAAUCCAUGAACCCAUUAAACAGAAAAUCCAUGAACCCAUACCUAUAAGCACAUUAUUAACAGAUCGCAAAGCAUAUACCUAAAACCCUUUAACAAAACAACCUAAUAUCAUUCAAUGAAUUUACAAGGGGAAGAUAGGGUUUGUACUUACAGGUUGGACGAGCUCACAGAUUCGACGGAGCCUGGAGAGUGCAACUUUUAAUUAGAGCAGAAGUGAGAGAGCAAAAUGUUAUGUUGCGCGAAAUCUGAAAAUUUUAGGGUUCAGGGUUAGAAGUAUAAGAAUAAGAGCCAAAUCUAAAAAAUUUAGGUCGCGCGAAAAUUUUUAGAGAGCGCGCUCUUUAAAACGUCGAAAGAAAAACCAUGGCGAAAGUUCUACAAGAACCGACGUAAAUGUAAUAUUCCACGACGGAAACACUGAACGUAACGCCGUUUAUUUUGACGCUUCAUUUUUCGGAUUAAUUUUAAAUUUAUUUUGAAUAUUUUGAUAUAAAGACGACUGAAAAACCACGUCGGGGUUAAGAAAUUGAAGACGUUGUAAAUUAUAAUAGACGACUUACAUAUUAAAAUGACGUCGUUUAAAGUAUAAACCAUGUCGGAUAUUUUACUGCACGACGUAACAUAUGUAUUCCACGACUCAACCACCGUCGUUAAAAAUUAAUACCCUAAACCCUUAAAACUAAAUUAUAUAAUUUAAAAAAUUAAGUUUAUAAAAGGGUUUAUGGUUUUACAGCCUAAUAUAUACCCUAGACUACCCAAAAAUUAUACUUUAAAAAUAAACCCCAAUAAAUAACAACCCUAAUCUCUAAACCCUAGACUCUAAACCCUAAACCAUAAAACUAGAAGUGAUUUUAUGACUCAUCAAAACAAUUUUGUUUUGGAUGGUCAUUUUAAAUUUUUGUUAUUCAAAAUGAAUUUUUUCAAGGUUUAGGGGGAAGAAAAUAUAUCAAUGACUUCAUAGGAGUUGACUUUGCAUUUUUCUGAUUUAUUUUAAAUUUAUUUUGAAUAUUUUGAUAUAAAAAUAAUAAAAUAUUCUUAUCACAAUAACAAACCACGUCGGGGUUAAGAAAUUGAAGACGUUGUAAAUUAUAAUAGACGACUUACAUAUUAAAAUGACGUCGUUUAAAGUAGAAACCAUGUCGGAUAUUUUACUGCACGACGUAACAUAUGUAUUCCACGACUCAACCACCGUCGUUAAAAAUUAAUACCCUAAACCCUUAAAACUAAAUUAUAUAAUUUAAAAUUUUAAGUUUAUAAAAGGGUUUAUGGUUUUACAGCCUAAUAUAUACCCUAUACUACCCAAAAAUUAUACUUUAAAAAUAAACCCCAAUAAAUAACAACCCUAAUCUCUAAACCCUAAACUCUAAACCCUAAACCAUAAAACUAGAAGUGAUUUUAUGACUCAUCAAAACAAUUUUGUUUUGGAUGGUCAUUUUAAAUUUUUGUUAUUCAAAAUGAAUUUUUUCAAGGUUUUGGGGGAAGAAAAUAUAUCAAUGACUUCAUAGGAGUUGACUUUGCAUUUUUCUGAUUUAUUUUAAAUUUAUUUUGAAUAUUUUGAUAUAAAAAUAAUAAAAUAUUCUUAUCACAACAACAAACCACGUCGGUGUUAAUAAAUUGUAGACGUUGUAAAUUGUAAUAGACGACUAAGUUGUUAAAAUGACGUCGUUUAAAUGAGAAACCAUGGUGGAUAUUUAACUAUCCGACGUAAAAUAUAUAUAUUUCACGACUUAACCGCUGUCGUUACAAAGUACUACCCUGAACCCUUAAGAAAUUGAAGACGUUGUAAACCAUAAACGACUCAAUUGUUCAAAGAACGUCGUCUAAAUAUCCUUUUACGUCGGAUUUGUUUAAAACGAAACAACAAAAAACGACGGUUUUUGACUUUAUUAGGUCGUUGGAAAAGUAUUACACGUCGGUUACGCAAUUUGUAUGUUUGUUUUUUUUUUAAUUUAAGAAAACCUCAACAAAUUUUUACAUUAUAUAUUAUAGACAAAAUUUGUACAUUAUACAUAAAUAUCAAGUGUUCAAUAAUUCCCCUAUUCCAAGUGAAGGCAAACAAACUUUGCCCAUUCAUUCCGGACUUCAUCAAUUGCUUCUUGGGGGUAUGGCGCUUCCUGUUUUCCCUUGGCAUACUGCAUAAACAAUGACUAUUAGGGUUUAUAAAUAAAAAGAAAUUCAAUCACAGACGACGAUAUUUUUCAUAACCGACGUAGUAUAUUUAUUCAACGACGGUAAUUUUACAUGACCGUCGUUGAUAAUACAAAAAACGACGUAAAAUGUAUGAAGGUAAUUUCUUCUUACCUUCUUCUCAAACGCCAAGGAAGGAUCCAUGAUGAUGUCCCUCAUGAAGCGCAUCACAUAAUACCCGCAUUCGACACUGCUGGGUUGCUUUGGUGUGCCUGACAGAGUUUUCCAAAUUACUGCUUUACGGCCUGAUCGGGCUAUGUGAGAAUUAUAUAUUUUUAUAGCACUGUUCACGAUGUUUUUGCCCUCUUCAUCGACCACACGAUUUCCGGGCAGAGGAUCCAGAAAAUAGACGGUUUCCCUCUUUGCUCUCACAAUCAGCAAGAUCCAAUGACGGCUGCACAAAAUUAAUAUAAAAACGACGAUUAUUUACAAAAACGACGUAUUAUAAUAUUUCACACGACGAAAUAAAUUAGCAAUCGACGACAUUAUAUAUUUAUCACGACGAUAAAUAACUACCGACGUGGUUAGUAGUUUCAAACGACUCAAUAAAAUAAAACACCGACGUGGUUAGUUUAUACGCUGUCAUUUAUUGAAAAUCAUAAAAACAAAAUCCUGUUAAGGAGACUAACCCUGGAUUGUAAGGCAUCAUGAAAAUCUGUUCACCAUCAGUCUUCUGAAGUCGAGCUGCUACCAAUCGUGAUCUGUCAGCUAUUGUCCCAGAGUUGGCACUAACUGUAGCAGGGUCGAUAAAGCCAACCAUGCUGCACAUAUUUGCUUGUUUCAAAAGAUCAUGUAAGUACCUAAAUAUAUAAAAUAAUAUAAACAAGUCAGCACAAAAAAACACACGACGGUUAUGUAUAACAAAAUGACGUAUUAUAAAAUUUCACACGACGUACUGAAAUAGACAACGACGUUAUAAUAUAUUUAUCACGACGGUACAUACUAACGACGUGGUUAGUUAGUUAAGACGACGCAAUAAAUAAACCAACGACGUAUUAUUUUAGAAUGACAAACCUCAUAUAUACAGCAACCACAGUAGCUCCUAUUUCUUCCAUGCCUGCAAAUUGUGUAAUAUCUUCAGGUAGGACGAAGGUAUCGCGUUCUAGACCAAACACCUCCUUAUCAAUUGUAAAGUUCAGGGUCUUAUCCUGAGGCACGAGUGUCGUUUCCACAUAACGACAAAGGGAUUUUAAAGAAGAUGGCGCCUCCAUAUUUGAAUAAUCAACAACUUUAAUAACCUGUUUAAAGAAAUAAAAAAAUGACGUGGUAAUUCAAUAAAAACGACGGUUUAAGGAAUAAAAUGUCGUCUGAAAAGAAUUUAAACGACGGUGAAAAAACCGUCGUGGUGAAUAAUUUAUUACGUCUGAGAAAAAAAUUCCGCCGUCUAAGUUGUAAACAAACGACGGUUUAAAGAAAAAUAUCGACGUCUGAAAUUUUGAAAAACAAAUAAAAAAGGCAAAGUUAUGUGAACAUACCUGGUCGUCAUGCUUUUCUUCAUCUUCUUUCUCCUUUUCAUCUUGUUUUUCUUCUUUCUUCUCUUCAUCUUUUUUUUCUUCUUCCUUCUCUUCAUCUUUUUUUUCUUCAUUCUUCUCUUCAUCUUGAUUUCCUUCAUUUUUCUGUUUUAAGUAAUAAAGAAUGUAGAGAAAGUAAAAAAAUUAAAUUCAAACGUCGUGGUAAGACAAAACACAAGACAGUAUGUAAGAAUUAUGGACGUAUUAAAUUAUUAAACGAUGGUAAAUAGUAAACGUCGUGGGAUUUAUAUAUUACGUCGGGAAUGACUAACACCGUCGUCUAAAAACCACAAAGUUUUAAAAAUAACGACGUUUAAUGGCGUGUAAAAUAAGUAAACUAAAUACGAUGUGGUAUUGAAAUACAAACGACGGUUUAUUUUUAAAAUCGUCUUGGUAUGUAUUUCAAACGACGGUUUUAUUAAUAAUAACGACGUCUAAUAGUUUUUAAAAAAACAGAGAAUUCAAAGUUCAGAUAUGUUACCUUUUCUUCCUGAUGUUUCCCAUUUUUGGCAGUAUCAUCCUCAAAAUGUAGGGAUCUCACAUCACCUCCAGAGCAGCUUGCUUUGUCAGACAUUGGAUUUUUGGGACUUUGGCUAAUUCUUGGUUUAAGCAUGCUUGGAUCAAAAUUGGGAAUUAAUUGGGAAAGCUGACUCAGGAAAUGCUCCCUCUCAGCCUCUACCAAUUGUUUGGUUCUAGCCUCCAUCCUUAAAGCCUCUUCCCUUGCCUUAGCUUCCAUCUUUUUAUUCUCUUCUUGAAGGAGAACUCUUAAACUGUCCUUUAAACGGUCGUCAAAGCUCAUCCUCUGUGGUUUGGGUAAAUUGAAAUAUUGCCUUGGGGAAAUCCCAGCACCUACACCUCUCACUCUGCCUGGAUGCUCGGGGCCCAAAGCCAUGGUCAGCACAUCAUUGCUGCCAGAUACACUGACUUUGCCUUCCGAGACUUGUUUUUGCAAUUCAUCCUAAAACAAAGAUAUAUAAAAAAGUAAGAACAAAAAACACACGACGGUUAUUUAUAUACAAACGACGUAUUAUAUAAUUUCACACGACGCAAUAACAUAUAAAUCGACGUUAUUAUAAUUUAUCACGACGGUAGUUAUACCGACGUGGUUAGUUUUUUAAAACGACGAAAUGAAUAAACAACCGACGUCUUAUGCUUUAUUUACAGAUAACAGAGGGAUGAUUCAAUAUUCACACCUUUAACGACCUUGUUUAAAACAUUUCGACGUAGUAAUUUAAUACAAACGACGCGAAAAUGAACCACCGACAUCUUAUGCUAUAAUUACAGAAAACAGAGUAGUGAUUCCUGAUUUAGACCUUUAACGACGUUUUUUAAAAAAUUUCGACGUGGUAAUAUCAUUCACACGACGCAAAAUAUAACAUAAGAAGUAAUAAGAAUUAUUCACAGUUUAAUAAAAAUUUAAAACAGAGUGAGUAGGGUUACAAUUAAUUUUGCUUUCUCUGCCACCUUUGGAUCCGGGAUGUUACCAUGUUUGUCCUGUCUAGCUCUCUUCCAUAAGGUAGAUCGAUCAAUUUCUACCCCAGGCAUGGUUUCCUCCAAUUGAUCCUCCAAACCAGCAUAUCCUUUUCGAGACAAUCGAUGAUUGUACUCAAGUUUCUCCCUAAUCUGUGCAUGUUGAGAAUGCACAGACUCAAAAUCUUUGGAUAACCUUGAAGCUACAAAGGCAUCCCAUUGUGCUUUCUCUAUGAAUUUAUAUGUUUCAGGGGGUUGGCUUAAUCUCUCCCUGUCAUUGGUGUAUGGAAGGAUAUAAUGCCUCGUUAGUGUAGACUUGAAAUCCUUCCAUUUCUUGGCAGCAGAAGCUAACACAGAGUUCUUGCCCCCUUGACCUACCACAAAAGCAAUGUCAACUGCUUCCCAAAUCUGCUCCUUUAUAUCCUUGGGGAUUUGAGCCCAUUUCAUGUCCACAAGUGGAACUCUGGAGCGUGCCAACACACCAAUGUAGGACUGCAUCUCACUAUGUGCUUGGCCAAUUCCUUUCCCCCUUUUAUUGUACUCAACAAUUGGCCUGAGUUUCUGAAGUUUUCUCUUCACAACACGAGGCAUUGUGCUCAUACCUCGACCAGACUUUGAAUCAUCAGAGAUUGUUGUCGUGCUGGUUGGUUCUGUCUCAGCAGAUGAUGAAGCAAACUUCAUCUUCUUCGAAGACUUCAUCUUCUUCGAUGACUUCUCUUGAGGAGUUACCAUUCCAAGCUCCUUACCUCCAUUUUUCUUGGAGCCAGAGUCCUUACUUUGGUCUUGAGAAACCAUUUUUACAGACAAAACUGCAAGUGAAAAUAUUUCAGGAAAAGAUUAAGAACACAAACGAAGGUUAUUAAUAAAAUACGACGUAUGAUAUGAUUUUAAACGACGCAAUGAAAUAAUCUCAGACGUAAUAAAUGUUUAAAACCAAGGUAAUUAAACAACGACGAAAUAAUAUAAAAUAAGACGUAAUAAUAACUUAUUACGUCGAUAUUUACCGGACGACGUGAUAAUUAACUAUAAACGACGAAAUAUUUAUAUAACGUCGUGGUAUUGAUGUUCACACGACGUCAAUAGUAAUAUACCGUCGUCUAUAUAAGGAUCCAAAACCCUUCUUUCUUUCUCUGUGAAUGUUUGAUUGCAGAUUUGAUUUUUCUGAACCAUGGUUUUUGUUUUCUAAUUUGAUAAAAUACAAGGCCAAGAAAGAAAGUUUUGGAACCUUAUAUAGACGACGGUAUUUUAAUAUGACGUCGUGGUAUUAACAUUCACACGACGUAAAACAAUAAGAUACUGUCGUCUAUAUUAGAUACCAACCCUACUUUCUUUUUCUUUAUAUUUUAUCAAAUUAGGGAAAAACAAAAACCAUUGUUCAGAGAAAUCAAACCUGCAAUUAAACAAGCAAAUAAAAAAAAGACUAUAAUUUUAAAAACAACUUUGUCAAUUUUCAGACGACGCUAGAACGACUGACGAACCGUCGUGGUCUACAUAUUUAACCACGUAAAUAAGAAGCUACCGUCGUCUUAUUUAGUUGAGGUAGUUGUCUUCAAAGUUGGAAACUUUCCCUCUUUGUCUGUAUAUUUUAUCAAACUUGGAAAGAAGUAAAAUGAUUUUGGCCAGAAAAAAGGUAAAAAGAUUUUUCAAACAAAAAACGUAUGAGCAUGCAAAACAGCAACCAAAAUAGUGAAAAUGAAAGCUUACCUUUUGCGUGCAAUGAAAGCAAGAGGAAGACGAUGUUUAAGUUCAGAGACGACGAAGAAGACGAGAGGAAGACGAUGAGAUACUCUGACAGUGCUCUGACAAGGAAAAAAGACAAAAAGUUUUCUCUGGGAGAUUGAAAUUUUUAAUCGGGUUUGGAAACAGUGCAUGUGUAAGUCAGGUAGACGAAAAGUUGCUUACAUAUAAAAUCAUUUCAAAAAAAUAAUACGGCGGUUACAUAUAACUACGACGUAUAAAUUACAAAAUACGACGGUACAUUUAACUUCGGACGUGGUAAAUGAAUACAACAGUAGUGUUGUAGGUACCGUCAUAGUAAACUCAAAAAUUAAAGUACAUAAGUAAUAACUCGCGUCAUGGUAGAUUAUUUAACACGUCGUUUUUAUUAAUGUACCGACGUGGAUUUCUGUAAUAUACGUCGGUCAUACGGACGUUGAUUUUACAAUUUAAACGGCGGUUUUUUUGUAAGGACCGCCGUUGGUUUUAAAAAUUUAUUCUAUAAAUUUGUCGCUUUCAUUCAUUUUCGGUUUACAUUUAGGGUUCCAAGUUCUUCCUCUCUCAGGGACACUGUCUCUCACAUCUCAAAGACAAUAAUUUGGAUGUCUUUCUCAAAGAGAAAUUGAGCUUACUCGCAUCAAAUCUAUGUCCACAAGAAGAAGCUUGUCAACUAGCCUUCUCACUUCCUUGAUCAAGCCUGAUAGGACACUUAGUGCUUCUGAAUACUCCUUGCUUUCCAUCAAAAGAGAUGCAAGCUUGGCCUCCACUCGCUGUCGAAGGAAAGUUCGCUUCUCAGGGAAAUCUGAAGAAAAUUAAUGUUCUGGAAUAUGUAAAGUUUCUUUUUUGGAUGACAGAUUUAAAUAAAAUAAGAAUAUAAAAACAACGACUGUUUUUGUAUUACUGUCGUCGUUUUUCGUCGUCUUAAGUAAGACUAAGACGACGUAAUAUAUUUGUUGAGCGACGUUGAUUUGUUUUUUAAACGUCGUUAGGUAUAAUAUAACCGUCGUUGAAAAUUGUCUCUCUGAUUGCAAAUUUGCAACGACGUUAGGUAUAAUAUUUGUAGAUACACAAACGCACACACAUCAUCAACUUCCAAAAAAUUGUCUCUCUGAUUGCAAAUCUGUGUCAUCUGUUAAGAUUAUGAUGUGGAACAGAGUUCCAUCUGGUAAGAUUUCGUAACCCUUGGGAUCUCAGAAAAAUCUGAUUAUGUCGGCGGUUUUCUAUAUAAACCGUCGUGGUUAUUUCAAUUCUUGUCAUUAAGUAGAUCUACCGACGUAGGAUAAGAAAAUCAAAGAAAAAAAUUGUUAACAAAACUUCUUAUUAAGACGACGGUUUAAAUUAAAGGUACGACGUAUAAAAUGAAUAAAUACGACGUUAAAUUUUAUAGUACGAUUUAAAGAUAACGUCGUAGAACUAUACGAGAAUGACGUCGAUAUAUUUAUAUUUUCCGUCUUUGUACAUUAAUUUAAUACGGCGAUAUUUUGUAUUUUAAAGCCGUGGAUUUGUUUGUAAUUAUACGGCGUCUUAUACGAAAACCUCGUCGUGUUAUUUUAUGAGUAAAAACGGCGGCUUUUAUUGAAAUCGUCGUCUUUACUUUCUACGUCGGUCGAUUCAUAACUUCUGCCGUUCUUUGUUGGCUUUGAUUUUACACUGCGAAAAUCUGUUUCAAAUAGACGUCGGUUGUUUAAUUAGGUACGUCGUUGUUUUUGAACAGCCAUUUGAAUCUCCAUUUUUUAGUUGUCUAAGGUGGUAUUACACGACGGUGUUUUUAGAACCGUCGUCUUUUUAAAAACCACGACGGUUUUCACUUAGACCGUCGUUGUUUUCUGGUCGUCUUUUUCACUUUUUGUAGUAGUGACCAUUCCUACCAUAAUGAACCUCUGUUUUCUUAUUCUUACUUAUUCUAUGAGCAAUUAAAGUUAUCUUCAAAAGAGAGUUAUAAAGAAUGCAAGGUUUUUGGAGCAAAAGUGAAUCAUUAGUGCCAUAACCCAAGUGUUGAAAAGAAAUAAGUUUGGGGGUAUUGGUAACUAAUCAAAAGAGGUAAUGAAGUGUGACCAAUGUAGUCACGGCCCUAGGGUGUUAUAAAGGAGAAGAUCAUGGUGAUCUAGGAUAAAGAGCCACAAAAUUAGGCCAAAUAAACAGAUAUGAAGGUGCUGAAAUUAUGUUGAAAAUCUGCUCAUGUAUAUUCCUUGCUUGUUACAAAGUUCAGUAAUCUCUUAUGCUCUUACCUGUGCUUUAAUUAUGCUCAAAAUAUUGUAUAUCUCAUAUCCCUUCUUUCAUUCAACCACUACCCUAAACCUCAUUACUAUCCUUGUAAAGUCCUUUUGAUCCUUGGUGUUGCAUGGUAUUACUGUGGAGAGAAGAUUGGAUAAUGAGCUUAUGGGGUUCGGAAUUCUUGAUUUUGCUCUAAGUGUGUGCGCAUGUACUUAUUUGAGUUGCAGGUGUUGUUCUGAUUUGGCAUUCACACACUACACUUAAAGGUGUCAUUGUGAGCUUUGCUUUCUCGUAAUCAUGUAUGGAACUCAGAUUGUGAUUGUUGUGUUUCUUUGGAACCAUAUACGUUGGUGAUUCUUUGAGGAUAUUGUUUGGAAGGCUAGUUGCUUAUUUCCUGUUUCCUUAGUUGUAGUUUUAUUUUGUUUUGCUCGAGGACUAGCAAAAUCUAAGUUUGGGGGUAUUUGAUAAGGUCAUAAUUUCACACAUUUGCAUGCCUUCUUUGCUUAGUAAUUUUGUUUAGCUUCUCUUUAUUUUGAGUCUCUUACCUAUAUUUGUGUGUUUUGUAGGUUAAGACAGCAAGGGGAUGACAUUUGAUACAAUUCAUGCAUGUUAAGGGCUGAGUGGCACAAGAGGAAUAUGAGCUUAAAGACAAAACCAAUUUGAGCCACUCUCCUUGUUAGUCCAGUUUCGUAGGUCAUAUUGCAGGCCUCAUUUCAGCAGCUUACACAGGUCGGAUGAGGAGACAUCCUUGAUAGAAGUUGUUCCAAGGGGUGUCUAUUAUAACAUAUCCAAAUUUCAGCCCAAUUGGAUAAAUCUGGAGCCCUCAACACGUCAAAGACUAAACCAAGUUCACAGAAAUGUCAUGUUGGCUGCCAUCACAUUUAAUUUGGCUACAUCCCUAGAGCCAUGUGCUACACAUGGUUAGCCACACAUGGGAGUCAAAUCAGCUCAGAAGCUCAGAAAGAUGAACCAAAGUCAAGCUUUCCAUAAAGAAACCAUACCAAAGCAUGUAUUUGGCAGCUGGAGCAGUUGGCAAGUAUGUCAGCUGGAGCAGUUGGCAAGUAUGUCAGCUGGAGCAGUUAGCAAGUAUGGGCAGCUGGAGCAGUUGGGAGCAGCUAAGAGAGGUGUGCUUCACCAGCUAAAGGGGAGGACGAAAUGGCACUCUAUAAAUAGAGAGCUGCACACUCAUUCAAGAGGAGGGUCAGACACACACAUUCACUUCAUCCAUUACUCUCAUACACACAUUCAGAUUCACCACAAACAGAGAAGGGAGCUUGGAGCUGUCCUGGGAACUUCCUUGCUGCCAUCAUCUAGUUCUUCUCCUCUCUUUAUCCUAUCUAUGUAUUUCUUAUUUUCUGUAUUCAUAGUUAUGUCUAACUAAUCCAUUUAGUUAGGGCUGAGGAUGAAGCCCUAGUCAUGAAUAUUCAAUGUUAUGGAUGAUUUUAUAGUUAAUUGAUUUCCUUGCUUUUAUUAUCAAGUUGUUAAUCUCCAGUUUAUUAUGUGCUUGAUGUAUGUUUUCUUGGAGUAGCUAACUAGGAUUUUAUGCAUCUAGCACAGGUUCGGAAGGGGUUUAGAUUCACCAAUUAUACUCUCCUUUCACAAGCAACACAUGAAUGGCCUCAGAAUCAUUCAAGGGGUUAAUAACCAUAGGCUGACUAGGACAGAUACCAUGUUCUAGGACUUGUGUGAUUAUCAUAUUCUCAAGGAGCUUAAUGACUCUUGUAUGCUUUAUUCUAAGUAGAUACCAUGCUUAGGUUGCAUAUUAGAGAUCACGUGUUGUGUAGAUACCAUGCAUAAUCACAUGCCUUAGGAGAAUCAUGCAUCCUGCACCUAGAUACCAUAGGCUUGUAUGCGAUAAUCUAUUGUUGAUGAAGCUUGAGUCAAUUUCUAUGCAUUCAUAACUUGGAUAGGAAAACUAGUGGUGGAUUCCAAGGCUCUAACACCUCUCAAUCAUUGUUUCACAACUUGUUGAUUGCUGCCAGUGUUUACUUUCGAGCACUUUCAUUUCACUUUCUUCUUUUCAUUUCAACAACAAAACCCCCCAUUUCGAGUGCGUGUGUGGUGCUAGGAUUCUGUCCUAGACCUUGAGUAAUUAGCAAGAGGCAUUGUUCAAUUCGACCUUGCCUUUAGCUAGUUAGUCAGUUUCUUUGUUCUAUGUUUUUCUAUCAUUCUAAGUAAUUUACCAUGGAAACAAGUUACCAUUCUCCGUGGGAUCGACCUCGUAUUUACAUCAGCUAUACUAUAAACGGUUCGCGCACUUGCGAGAAUUAAAGUUGCUGUUUUUAAUAACUCAUUUUAGUUGUUAAAUAGGUUCAACACCAAUCAAUAUCGGAUUGAGUCCAAAACUUUGGGAACACCAUAAUAUGCUUGGAGGAGUCAUUUAGUGACUUUUGAGUGAAAUCCAAUGGCUAAAACUAUGCAAUACACCAACUACUCCAUUUCAUAACGAACUUCGUACGAACCUGAAUUGUCCAAUUUCAUGGACCAAUCGAUAUCGAAUUGAGUCCAAAACUUGGGGAACAUCAUAAUAUGGUGGGAGGAGUCAUUUGGUGGGUUUUGAGUGAAGUCCAAUCUCUAGAACUAUGCCAUACACCAAGCACUCCAUUUCAUAACGAACUUCGUACGAACAUGAAUUGUCCAAUUUCAUGGACCAAUCGAUAUCGGAGUGAGUCCAAAACUUGGGGAACAUCAUAAUAUGAUGGGAGGAGUCAUUUGGUGGGUUCUGAGUGAAAUGCAAUUGCUACAACUAUUCAAUACACUAACCACUGCAUUUCAUAACGAACUUCGUACGAACCUGAAUUGUCCCAUUUCAUGGACCAAUCGAUAUCGGAUUGAGUCCAAAACUUUGGGAACAUCAUAAUUUGCUUGGAGGAGUCAUUUGGUGACUUUUGAGUGAAAUCCAAUCUCUAGAACUAUGCAAUACACCAACCACUCCAUUUAAUAACGAACUUCGUACGAACCUGAAUUGUCCAUUUUCAUGGACCAAUCGAUAUCGGAUUGAGUCCAAAACUUGGGGAACAUCAUAAUAUGGUUGGAGGAGUCAUUUGUUGGGUUUUGAGUGAAAUCCCAUCUCCAGAACUAUGCCAUACACUAACCACUCCAUUUCAGAACGAACUUCGUACGAACUUAAAUUGUCCAAUUUCAUGGAACAAUCGAUAUCGGAUUGAGUCCAAAACUUGGGGAACAACAUAAUAUGGUGGGAGGAGUCAUUUGGUGGGUUCUGAGUGAUAUCCAAUCUCUACAACUAUGCAAUACACCAACCACUCCAUUUCAUAACGAACUUCGUGUGAACCUGAAUUGUCCAAUUUCAUGGACCAAUCGAUAUUGGAUUGAGUCCAAAACUUGGGGAACAACAUAAUACGGUGGCAGGAGUCAUUUGGUGGGUUUUGGGUGAAAUGCAAUCUCUAGAACUAUGCAAUACACCAACCACUCCAUGUCAUAACGAACUUCGUAUGAACCUGAAUCGUCCAAUAUCACGAACCAUUCCAUAUUGGAGUGCGUCCAAAACUUGGGUAACAAUAUAAUGUGAUGGGUGGAGUCAUUGGGUGAGUUUUGAAUGAAAUCCAAUGGCUAAAACUAUGCAAUACACCAACCACUCCAUUUCAGAACGAACUUCGUACGAACCUGAAUUGUCUAAUUCCAUGGACCUAUCGAUAUCGGAUUGAGUCCAAAACCUGGGGAACAUCGUAAUAUGGUUGGAGGAGUCAUUUGGUGGGUUUUCAGUGAAAUCCAAUCUCUAGAACUACGCAAUACACCAACCACUCCAUUUCAUAACGAACUACGUACGAACCUGAAUUGUCCAAUUUCAUGGACCAAUCGAUAUCGGAUUGAGUCCAAAACUUGGGGAACAUCAUAAUAUUGUUGGAGGAGUCAUUUGGUGGGUUUUGAGUGAAAUCCCAUCUCUAGAACUAUGCAAUACACUAACCACUCCAUUUCAGAACGAACUUCGUACGAACCUAAAUUGUCCAAUUUCAUGGAACAAUCGAUAUCGGAUUGAGUCCAAAACUUGGGGAACAUCAUAAUAUGGUGGGAGGAGUCAUUUGGUGGGUUCUGAGUGAUAUCCAAUCUCUACAACUAUGCAAUACACCAACCACUCCAUUUCAUAACGAACUUCGUGCGAACCUGAAUUGUCCAAUUUCAUGGACCAAUCGAUAUCGGAUUGAGUCCAAAACUUGGGGAACAACAUAAUACGGUGGCAGGAGUCAUUUGGUGGGUUUUGGGUGAAAUGCAAUCUCUAGAACUAUGCAAUACACCAACCACUCCAUGUCAUAACGAACUUCAUACGAACCUGAAUCGUCCAAUAUCACGGACCAUUCCAUAUUGGAGUGCGUCCAAAACUUGGGUAACAAUAUAAUGUGAUGGGUGGAGUGAUUGGGUGAGUUUUGAAUGAAAUCCAAUGGCUAAAACUAUGCAAUACACCAACCACUCCAUUUCAGAACGAACUUCGUACGAACCUGAAUUGUCUAAUUUCAUGGACCUAUCGAUAUCGGAUUGAGUCCAAAACCUAGGGAACAUCGUAAUAUGGUUGGAGGAGUCAUUUGGUGGGUUUUCAGUGAAAUCGAAUCUCUAGAACUACGCAAUACACCAACCACUCCAUUUCAUAACGAACUACGUACGAACCUGAAUUGUCCAAUUUCAUGGACCAAUCGAUAUCGGAUUGAGUCCAAAACUUUAGGAACAUCAUAAUAUGGUGGAGGAGUCAUUUGGUGGGUUUUGAGUGAAAUUCAAUCUCUACAACUUUGUAACGCACCAAGCACUCUAUUUCGUAACGAACUUCGUACGAACCUGAAUUGUCCAAUUUGAUGGACCAAUCAUUAUCGGAUUGAGUCAAAAAUUUGGGGAACAUCAUGACUUUGUGGGUGGAGUCCUUUGGUGAGUUUAGAGUGAAAUCCAAUGGCCGAAACUACGCAAUACACCAACCACUCCAUUUCAUAACGAACUUCGUACAAACCUAAGUUGUCCAAUUUCAUGGACCAAUCGAUAUCGGAUUGAGUCCAAAACUUUAGGAACAUCAUAAUAUGGUGGAGGAGUCAAUUAGUGGGUUUUGAGAGAAAUCCAAUCUCUAUAACAUUGCAAUACACCAACCACUACAUUUCGUAACGAACUUCGUGCGAACCUGAAUUGUCCAAUUUCACGGACCAAUCGAUGUCGGAUUGAGUCCAAAACUUGGGGAACAUCUUAAUAUGGUGGGAGGACUCAUUUGGGGGGUUUUAAGUGAAAUCCAAUUUUUAGAAUAAUGCAAUACACCAACCACUCCAUUUCAGAACGAACUUCCUACGAACCUCAGUUGUCCAAUUUCAUGGACCAAUCGAUUUCGGAUUGAGUCCAAAACUUUAGGAACAUCAUAAAAUGGUGGAGGAGUCAUUGGGUGGGUUUUGAGUGAUAUCCAAUCUCUACAACUUUGCAAUGCACCAAGCACUCCAUUUAGUAUCGAACUUCGUACAAACCUGAAUUGUCCAAUUUGAUGGACCAAUCGUUAUCGGAUUGAGUCGAAAACUUGGGGAAUAUCAUGAUUUUGUGGGUGGAGUCAUUUGGUGAGUUUAGAGUGAAAUCCAAUGGCUAAAACUGUGCAAUACACCAACCACUCCAUUUCAGAACGAACUUCGUACGAACCAAAGUUGUCCAAUUUCAUGGACCAAUAGAUAUCGGAUUGAGUCCAAAACUUGGGGAACAACAUAAUAUGGUGGGAGGAGUCAUUUGGUGGGCUUUGAAUGAAAUCCAAUCUCUAGAACUAUGCAAUACACCAACCACUCCAUUUCAUAACGACUUUCGUACGAACCUGAAUUGUUCAAUUUCAUGCACCAAUCGAUAUCGGAUUGAGUCCAAAACUUGGGGAACAUCAUAAUAUGGUGGGAGGAGUCAUUUGGUGAGUUUUGGAGUGAAAUCCAAUCUCUAGAACUAUGCAAUACACCAACCACUCCAUUUCAGAACGAACUUUGUACGAACCUGAAUUGUCCAAUUUCAUGGGCCAAUCGAUAACGGAUUGAGUCCAAAACUUGGGGAACAUCAUAAUAUGGUGGGGGGAGUCAUUUGGUGGGUUUUGAGUUAAAUCCAAUCUCUAGAACUAUGCAACACACCAACCACUCCAUCUUAGAACGAACUUCGUACGAACCUGAGUUGUCCAAUUUCAUGUAGCAAUCGAUAUCGGAUUGAGUCCAAAACUUGGGGAACAUCAUAAUAUCUUGGGUGGAGUCAUUUGGGGGGUUUUGAUUGAAAUCCAAUCUCUAGAACUAUGCAAUACACCACCCACUCCAUUUCAUAACGAACUUCGUACGAACCUUUGUUGUCCAAUUUCAUGGACGAAUCGAUAUCGGAUUGAGUCCAAAACUUGGGGAACAUCAUAAUAUGGUUGGAGGAGUCAUUUGGUGGGUUUUGAGUGAAAUCCACUCUCUGGAACUACGCAAUACACCAACCACUCCAUUUCAGAACGAACUUCCUACGAGCCUGAGUUGUCCAAUUUCGUGGACCAAUCGAUAUCGGAUUGAGUCCAAAACUUUUGGAACAUCAUAAUAUUGUGGAGGAGUCAUUUGGUCGGUUUUGAGUGAAAUCCAAUCUCUAGAACUAUGCGAUACACCAGCCACUCCAUUUCAGAACAAACUUCGUACGAACCUAAAUUGUCCAAUUUCAUGCACCAAUCCAUAUCGGAUUGAGUCCAAAACUUGGGGUUCAUCAUAAUACGGUGGGAGGAGUCAUUUGGUGAGUUUUGAAUGAAAUCCAAUAUCUAACUCUAUGCAAUACACCAACCACUCCAUUUCAGAACGAACUUCGUACGAACCUAAAUUGUCCAAUUUCAUGGACCAAUCGAUAUCAGAUUGAGUGCAAAACUUGGGGAACAUCAUAAUACGUUGGGAGGAGUCAUUUGGUGAAUUUUGAAUGAAAUCCAAUGGCUAAAACUAUGCAAUACACCACCCACUCCAUUUCAUAACGAACUUCGUACGAACCUGAAUUGUCGAAUUUCAUGGACCAAUCGAUAUCGGAUUGAGUACAAAACUUGGGGAACAACAUAAUAUGGUGGGAGGCGUCAUUUGGUGACUUUUGAGUGAAAUCCAAUGGCUAAAACUAUGCAAUACACCUACCACUCCAUUUCAGAACGAACUUCGUACGUACUUGAAUUGUCCAAUUUCAUGUACCAAUCAAUAUCGAAUUGAGUUCAAAACGUGGGGAACAUCAUAAUACGGUGGGGGGAGUCAUUUGGUGACUUUUGAGUGAAAUCCAAUGGCUAAAACUAUGCAAUACACCUACCACUCCAUUUCAGAACGAACUUCGUACGUACUUGAAUUGUCCAAUUUCAUGUACCAAUGAAUAUCGGAUUGAGUUCAAAACAUGGGGAACAUCAUAAUAUGGUGGGAGGCGUCAUUUGGUGACUUUUGAGUGAAAUCCAAUGGCUGAAACUACGGAAUACACUAGCCACUCCAUUUUGUAACGAACUUCGUAUGAACCUAAAUGGUCCAAUUUCAUGGACCAAUCGAUAUCGGUUGGAGUCCAAAACGUGGGAAACAUCAUAAUACGGUGGGGGGAGUCAUUUGGUGACUUUUGAGUGAAAUCCAAUGGCUAAAACUAUGCAAUACACCUACCACUCCAUUUCAGAACGAACUUCGUACGUACUUGAAUUGUCCAAUUUCAUGUACCAAUGAAUAUCGGAUUGAGUUCAAAACAUGGGGAACAUCAUAAUAUGGUGGGAGGCGUCAUUUGGUGACUUUUGAGUGAAAUCCAAUGGCUAAAACUACGGAAUACACUAGCCACUCCAUUUCGUAACGAACUUCGUAUGAACCUGAAUGGUCCAAUUUCAUGGACCAAUCGAUAUCGGUUGGAGUCCAAAACGUGGGGAACAUCAUAAUACGUUGGGAGGAGUCAUUUGGUGAAUUUUGAAUGGAAUCCAAUGGCUAAAACUAUGCAAUGCACCACCCACUCCAUUUCAUAACGAACUUCGUACGAACCUGAAUUGUCGAAUUUCAGGACCAAUCGAUAUCGGAUUGAGUACAAAACUUGGGGAACUACAUAAUAUGGUGGGAGGCGUCAUUUGGUGACUUUUGAGUGAAAUCCAAUGGCUAAAACUACGGAAUACACUAGCCACUCCAUUUCGUCACGAACUUCGUAUGAACCUGAAUGGUCCAAUUUCAUGGACCAAUCGAUAUCGGUUGGAGUCCAAAACGUGGGAAACAUCAUAAUACGGUGGGAGGAGUCAUUUGGUGAAUUUUGAGUGAAAUCCAAUGGCUAAAACUAUGCAAUACACCAACCACUCCAUUUCAGAACGAACUUCGUACGUACAUGAAUUGUCCAAUUUCAUGUACCAAUCGAUAUCGAAUUGAGUUCAAAACUUGGGGAACAUCAUAAUACGGUGGGAGGAGUCAUUUGGUGACUUUUGAGUGAAAUCCUAUGUCUAAAACUAUGCAAUACACCUACCACUCCAUUUCAGAACGAACUUCGUACGUACUUGAAUUGUCCAAUUUCAUGUACCAAUCGAUAUCGGAUUGAGUUCAAAACAUGGGGAACAUCAUAAUAUGGUGGGAGGCGUCGUUUGGUGACUUUUGAGUGAAAUCCAAUGGCUAAAACUACGGAAUACACUAGCAACUCCAUUUCGUAACGAACUUCGUAUGAACCUGAAUGGUCCAAUUUCAUGGACCAAUCGAUAUCGGUUGGAGUCCAAAACAUGGGGAACAUCAUAAUACGGUGGGAGGAGUCAUUUGGUGAAUUUUGAGUGAAAUCCAAUGGCUAAAACUAUGCAAUACACCAACAACUCCAUUUCAGAACGAACUUCGUACGUACAUGAAUUGUCCAAUUUCAUGUACCAAUCGAUAUCGAAUUGAGUUCAAAAUGUGGGGAACAUCAUAAUACGGUGGGGGGAGUCAUUUGGUGACUUUUGAGUGAAAUCCAAUGGCUAAACUAUGCAAUACACCUACCACUCCAUUUCAGAACGAACUUCGUACGUACUUGAAUUGUCCAAUUUCAUGUACCAAUGAAUAUCGGAUUGAGUUCAAAACAUGGGGAAACAUCAUAAUAUGGUGGGAGGCGUCAUUUGGUGACUUUUGAGUGAAAUCAAAUGUCUAAAACUACGGAAUACACUAGCCACUCCAUUUCGUAACGAACUUCGUAUGAACCUGAAUGGUCCCAAUUUCAUGGACCCAAUCGAUAUCGGUUGGAGUGCAAAACAUGGGGAACAUCAUAAUACGGUGGGAGGAGUCAUUUGGUGAAUUUUGAGUGAAAUCCAAUGGCUAAAACUAUGCAAUACACCAACAACUCCAUUUCAGAACGAACUUCGUACGAACUUGAAUUGUCCAAUUUCAUGCACCAAUCGAUAUCGGAUUGAGUCCAAAACUUGGGGAACAUCAUAAUAUGGUGGGAGGAGUCAUUGGAUGGGUUUUGUGUGAAAUACAAUAUCUGCAAUUGUUGCGGGAGUAGUCAUUUCGUGGGUUUUGAGUGAAAUCAAAUCUUUAGAACUAUACAGUACCCCAACCACUCUAUUUCAGAACGAACAUCAUACGAACCUGACUUGUCCAAUUUCAUAGGCCACACGAUAUCAGAUUGAGUCCAAAACUUAGGGAACAUGAUAAUAUGGUGGGAAAAGUCAUUCGGUGAGUUUUGAGCGAUAUCCAAUGGCUAAAACUAUGUAAUAUGUACCAAUCCAUUACAUAACGAACUUCGUACGAACCUGAAUUGUCCGAUUUCAUGGACCAAUCGAUAUCGGACUGAGUCCAAAACUUGGGGAACGUCAUAAAAUUGUGGGAGGAGUCAUUUGGUGGGUUUUGAGUGAAAUCCAAUCUCUAGAACUAUAGAAUACACCAACCACUGCAUUUCAGAACGAACUUUGUACGAACCUUAAUUGUCCAAUUUCUUAGAACAAUCGAUAUCGGAUUGAGUCCAAAACUUGGGGAACAUCAUAAUGUUGUGGGAGGAGUCAUUUGGUGAGUUUUGAGCGAAAUCGAAUGGCUAAACCAAUGCAAUACACCAACCACUCAGUUUUAGAACGAACUUCAUACGAACCUGAAUUGUCUGAUUUCAUGGUCCAAUCAAUAUUGGAUAUAGUCCAAAACUUACGUAACACUAUAAUAUGGUGGGAGGAGUCAUUUGGUGCGUUUUGAGCGAAAUCCAAUGGCUAAAACUGUGCAAUACACCAACCACUCCAUUUUAUAACGAACAUCGUACGAACCUGAAUUGUCCAAUUUCAUGGUCCAAUCGACAUCAGAUUGAGUCCAAAACUUGGGGCACAUCAUAAUAUGGUAGGAGGAGUCAUUGGGUGGGUUUUCAGGGAAAUCUAAUAUCUAGACUAUGCAAUACACCAACCACUCCAUUUCAGGACGAACUUCUUACGAACCUGAAUUGUUUAAUUUCAUGGACUUAUCGGUAUCAGAUUGAGUCCAAAACUUGGGGAACAUCAUAAUGUGGUUGGAGGAGUCAUUUGGUGGGUUUCCAGUAAAAUCCAAUCUCUAGAACUAUGCAAUACACCAACCACUCUGUUUCAGAACGAACUUCAUACGAACCUGAAUUGUCUGAUUUCAUGGUCCAAUCAAUAUUGGAUAUAGUCCAAACUUAUGUAACACCAUAAUAUGGUGGGAGGAGUCAUUUGGUGCGUUUUGAGCGAAAUCCAAUGGCUAAAACUGUGCAAUACAACAACCACUCCAUUUUAUAACGAACAUUGUACGAACCAGAAUUGUCCAAUUUCAUGGGCCAAACGAUAUCGGAUUGAGUCCAAAACUUGGGGAACAUCUUAAUAUGGUGGGAGGAGUCAUUUGGUGAGUUUUGAGUGAAAUCCAAUGGCUAAAACUAUGCAAUACACCAACCCCUCCAUUUCCGAACGAUCUUCGUACGAACCUGAAUUGUCCAAUUUCAUGGACCAAUCGAUAUCGGAUUGAGUCCAAAACUUGGUGAAUAUCAUAAUAUGGUGGGAGGAGUCAUUUGGUGGGUUUUGAGUGAGUUCCAAUCUGUAGAACUAUGCAAUACACCAACCACUCCAUUUCAUAUCGAACUUUGUACGAACAAGAAUUGUCCAAUUUCAUGGACCAAUCGAUAUCGGAUUGAGUCCAAAACUUGGGGAACAUCAUAAUAUGGUGGGAGGAGUCAUAUGGUGACUUUUCAGUGAAAUCUAAUGGCUAAAACUAUGGAAUACACCAACCACUCCAUUUCAAAACGAACUUCGUACGAACCUGAAUUGUACAAUUUCAUGGACCAAUCGAUAUCGGAUUGAGUCCAAAACAGAGGGGAACAUCAUAAUAUGGUGGGAGUAGUCAUUUAGUGGGUUUUGGGUGAAAUCCAAUCGCUAAAACUGUGAAAUACACAAACCACUCCAUUUCAGAAUGAACUUCGUACGAACCUGAAUUGUCCAAUUUCAUGGACCAAUCGAUAUCCGAUUGAGUCCAAAACUUGGGAAACAUCAUAAUAUGGUGGGAGGAGUCAUUUGGUGACUUUUGAGUGAAAUGCAAUGGCUAAAACUAUGAAAUACAGAGACCACUCCAUUUUAGAACGAACUUCGUACGAACCUGAAUUGUCCAAUUUCGUGGACCAAUCGAUAUCGGACUGAGUCCAAAACUUAGGAAACAUCAUAAUAUGAUGGGGGGAGUCAUUUAGUGGCUUUUGCAUGAAAUCCAAUGGCUAAAACUACGCAAUACAUCAACCACUCCAUUUCGGAAUGAACUUCGUACGAACCUGAAUUGUCCAAUUUCAUGGACCAAUCGAUAUCGGAUUGAGUGUAAAACUUAGGGAACACCAUAAUACGAUGGGAGGAGUCAUUUAGUGACUCUUGAGUGAAAUCCAAUAGCUAAAACUACGCAAUACAUCAACCACUCCAUUUCGGAACGAACUUUACUAACCUGAAUUGUCCAAUUUCGUGGAUCAAUCGAUAUUGGAUUGAGUUCAAAACGUGGGGAACAUCAUAAUAUGAUGGCUUGGAGUCAUUUGAUGAGUUUUGAAUGAAAUCCAAUGGCUAAAACUAUGCAAUAUAGCACCCAGUCCGUUUCAUAACGAACCUGAAUUGUCCAAUUUCUUGAACCAAUCGAUAUCAGAUUGAGUCCAAAACUUGGGGAACAUCAUAAUAUGGUGGGAGAAAUCAUUUGGUGACUUUUGAGUGAAAUCCAAUGGCUAAAACCACACAAUACACCAACCACUCCAUUUCGUAACGAACUUCGUACGUACCUGAAUUGUCCAAUUUCAUGGACCAAUCGAUAUCGGAUUGAGUACAAAACUUGGGUAAUAUCAUAAUGUUGUGGGAGGAGUCAUUUGGUGAGCUUUGAGCGAAAUCGAAUGUAUAAAACAAUGCAAUACAGCAACCACUCUAUUUCAGAACGAACUUCGUACGAACCUGAAUUGUCCAAUUUCAUGGACCACUCGAUAUCGGAUUGAGGCCAAAACUUGGGGAACAUCAUAAUUUACUGGGAGGAGUCAUUUGGUGGGUUUUCAGUGAAAUCCAAUCUCUAGAACUAUGCAAUACACCAACCACACCAUUUCAGAACGAACUUCAUACGGACCUGAAUUGUCCAAUUUCAUGGACCAAUCGAUAUCGGAUUGAGUACAAAACUUGGGGACCAUCAUAAUAUGGUGGGAGAAGUGAUUUGGUGACUUGUGAGUGAAAUCCAAUGGCUAAAACUACACAAUACACCAACCACUCCAUUUCGUAACGAACUUCGUACGAAACUGAUUGUCCAAUUUCAUGGACCAAUCGAUAUCGGAUUGAGUCCAAAACUUGGGGAACAUCAUAAUAUGGUGGGAGAAGUCAUUUGGUGACUUUUGAGUGAAAUUCAAUGGCUAAAACUACGCAAUGCACCAACCACUCCAUUUCGUAACGAACUUUGUACGAACCAGAAUUGUCCAAUUUCAUGGACCAAUCGAUAUCGGAUUGAGUCCAAAACUAGGGGAACAUCAUAACAUGAUGGGAGGGGUCAUUUGGUGACUUUUGAGUGAAAUCCAAUGGCUAAAACUAUGCAAUACACCAACCACUCCAUUUCAUAAUGAACUUCGUACGAGCCUGAAUUGUCCAAUUUUGUUGACCAAUCGAUAUCGGAUUGAGUCCAAAACUUGGAUAAUAUGUUGGGAGGAGUCAUUUGGUGACUUUUGAGGGAAAUCCAAUCGCUAAACCAAUGCAAUACACCAACCACACCAUUUCAUAACAAACUUCGUACAAACCUGAACUGUCCAAAAUUUGAGGAACAUCAUAAUGUCGUGGGAGGAGUCAUUUGGUGAGUUUUGAGUGAAAUCCAAUUGCCAAAAAUAUGCAAUACACCAAACAGUCCAUUUCAGAACGAACUCUGUAUGAACCUGAAUUGUCCGAUUUCAUGGACCAAUCGGUAUCGGAUUAAGUCCAAAACUUGGGGAACAUCAUAAUAUGGUGGGAGGAGUGAUUUCGUGAGUUUUGAGUGAAAUCCAAUUGGCGAAACUAUGCAAUAUACCAACCACUCCAUUGCAGAAGGUAAUUCAUACGAACAUGAAUUGUCCACUAAAUGACUCCUCCCACGAUAUCGGAUGAAGUCCAAAAUUUGGGGAACCUCAUAAUAUUGUGGGAGGAGUCAUUUAGUGGGUUUUGAGAGAAAUCCAAUCUCUAGAACUAUACGACACACCAACCACUACAUUUCAUAACGAACUUCUUACGAACCUGUACUGCCCAAUUUCAUGGACCAAUCGAUAACGGAUUGAGUCCAAAACUUGGGGAACAUCAUAAUAUGGUGGGAGGAGUCAUUUGGUGGGGUUUGAGUGAAAUCCAAUCUCUUGAACUAUACAAACACCAACCUUUACAGUUCAGAAUGAACUUCUUAUGAACCUGAAUUGGCCAAUUUCAUGGACCAAUCAAUAUCGGAUUGGGUCCAAAACUUGGGGAACAUCAUAAUAUUGUGGGAGGAGUCAUUUGGUGGCUGUUGAGUCAAAUCCCAUCUCUACAACUAUGUAAGACACCAACAACUCCAUUCCAUAACGAACUUCGUACGAACCUGAAUUGUCCGAUUUCAUCGACCAAUCGAUAUCGGAUUGAGUCCAAAACUUGGGGAACAUCGUAAUAUGGUGAGAGCAGUUAUUUGGUGAGUUUUUAGUGAAAUCCAAUCUCUAGAACUAUACAGCACACCAACCACUACAUUUCAGAACGAACUUCGUACGAACCUGAAUUGUUCAAUUGCGUGGACCAAUCAAUAUCGGAUUGAGUCUAAAACUUGGGAAACAUCAUAAUAUUGUGGGAGGAGUCAUUUGGUGGUUGUUGAGUGAAAUCCAAUCUCUAGAACUAUGCAACACACCAACCAUUACAUUUCAUAAUGAAUUUCGUUCGAACCUGAAUUCUCCGAUUUCAUGGACCAAUUGAGUCCAAAACAUGGGGAACAACAUAAUAUUGUGGGAGUAGUGAUCUGGUGGGUUUGAUUGCAAUCCAAUCUCUACAACUAUACAACACACCAACCACUACAUUUCAGAACGAACUUCGUACGAACCGGAAUUGUCAAAUUUCAUGGACCAAUCGAUAUCGGAUUGAGUCCAAAACUUGGGAACAUCAUAAUAUUGUGGGAGGAGUCAUUUGGUGGGUUUUUGAGUGAAAUCCAAUCUCCACAACUAUACAAUACACCAACCACUUCAUUUCAGGACGAACUUCGUUCGAACCUGAAUUGUCCAAUUUCGUGGACCAAUCGAUAUCGGAUUGGGUCCAAAACUUGGGGAACAUCAUAAUAUGGUGGGAUGAGUCAGUUGGUGUGUUUUGAGUGAAAUCCAGUGGCUAAAACUAUGCAAUACACCAACCGCUCCAUUUCAUAACGAACUUCGUCCGAACCUGAAUUGUCCAAUUUCAUGGACCAAUCGAUAUCGGAUUCAGUCCAAAACUUGGCGAACAUCAUAAUAUGGUGGUAGGACUCGUUUGGGGGGUUUUGAGUGAAAUCCAAUCGGUAGAACUAUGCAAUGCAUCAACCACUCCAUUUCAGAAUGAACUUCGUAUGAACUUGAAUUGUCCAAUUUCGUGGACCAAUCGAUAUCGGACUAAGUCCAAAACUUGGGGAACAUCAUAAUAUUGUAGGAAGAGUCAUUUGGUGGGUUUUGAGUGAAAUCCAAUCUGUAGAACUAUGCAAUAAACCAACCACUCCAUUUUAGAACGACCUUCGUACGAAACUUAAUUGUCCGAUUUGAUGGACCAAUAGAUAUCGGAUUGAGUCCAAAACUCGGGGAACAUCAUAAUAUGGUGGGUGGAGUCAUUUGGUGAGUUUUCCGUGAAAUCCAAUGGCUAAACCUAUGCAAUACACGAACCACUCCAUUUCAUAACGAACUUCGUACGAACCUGAAUUGUCAAAUUUCAUGGACUAAUCGAUAUCGGACUGAGUCCAAAACUUGGGGAACAUCAUAACGUUGUGGGAGGAGUCAUUUAUUGAGUUUUGAGUGAAAUCCAAAUGCCAAAACUAUGCAAUACACCAACCACUGCAUUUCAAAACGAACAUCGUACAAACAUUCAUUGUCCAAUUUCUUGGAACAAUCGAUAUCGGGUUGAGUCCAAACCUUGGGGAACCUCAUCAUAUUGUGAGAGGAGUCAUUUGGUGUGUUUUGAGUGAAAUCCAAUGGCUCAAACAAUACAAUACACCAACCACUCCAUUUCAUAACGAACUUCGUACGAACAUGAUUUGUCCAAUUUCAUGUACCAAUCGAUAUCGGAUUGAGUCCAAAACUUGGGGAACAUCAUAAUAUUGUGGGAAGAGUCAUUUGGUGGGUUUUGAGUGAAAUCCAAUCUCUACAACUAUACAAUACACAAACCACUCCAUUUCAUAACGAACUUCGUACGAACCUGAAUUGUCCGAUUUCAUGGACCAAUCAAUAUCGGAUGGGGUCCAAAACUUGGGGAACAACAUACCCUGGUGGGAGGAGCCAUUUGGUGAGUUUUGAGUGAAAUCUAAUGGCUAAAACUAAGCAAUAUACCAACCACUCCAUUUCAUAACGAACUUCGUACGAACCUGAUUUGUCCAAUUUCAUGGACGAAUCGAUAUCGGAUUAAGUCCAAAACUUGGGGAACAUCAUAAGAUAGUUGGGGGAGUCAUUUGGUGGGUUUGGAGUGAAAUCCAAUCUCUAGAACUAUACAAUACACCAACCACUCCAUUUCAGAACGAACAUCGUAUGAACCUGAAUUUUCCAAUUUCAUGGACCAAUAGAUGUCGAAUUGAGUCCAAAACUUGGGGAACAUCAUAAUAUUGUGGGAGGAGUCAUUUGGUGGGUUUUGAGUGAAAUACAAUCUAUACAACUAUACGAUUCACCAACCACUCCAUUUCAUAACAAACUUCGUACGAGUCUGAAUUGUCUAAUUUCAUGGACCAAUAGAUGUCGAAUUGAGUCCAAAACUUGCGGAACAUCAUAAUGUUUUGGGACGAGUCAUUUGCUGAGUUUUGAGUGAAACCCGUUUGCCAAAUGUCCAAUUUCAUGGACCAAUCGAUUUCGACUUGAGUCCAAAACUUGCGGAACAUCAUAAUGUUUUGGGAGGAGUCGUUUGGUGAGUUUUGAGUUAAAUCCAUUUUCCAAAACUAUGAAAUACACCAACCAAUCCAUUUCGGAACGAACUUUGUACGAACCUGAAUUGUCUGAUUUCAUGGACCAAUCAAUACCGGAUUGAGUCCAAAACUUCGGGAACAUCAUAAUAUGGUGGGGGGAGUCAUUUAGUGAGUUUUGAGUGAAAUCCAAUGGCUUAAACUGUUCAAUACACCAACCACCCCAUUUCAUAACGAACUUCUUACGAACCUCAAUUGUCCAAUUUCGUGGACCUAUCGAUAUCAGAUUGAGUCCAAAACUUGGGGAACAUCGUAAUGUUGUGGGAUAUGUAUUUCACUCUAAAACUAUACAAUACACCAACCACUCCAUUUCAGAACGACCUUCGUACGAACCUGAAUUGUCCAAUUUCAUCGACGAAUCGAUAUGGGAUUGAGUCCAAAACUUGGGGAGCAGCAUAAUAUGGUGGGAGGAGACAUUUGGUGGGUUUUGGGUGAAAUCCAAUCUCUACAACUAUGCAAUACACCAACAACUCCAUGUUGUAACGAACUUCGUAUGAACCUAAAUUGUCCAAUGUCGUGGACCAAUCGAUGUCACAUUGAGGCCAAAACUUGGGGAACAUCAUAAUAUGGUGGGAGGAGACAUUUGGUGGAUUUUGAGUGAAAUCCAAAAGCAGAAACUAUGAAAUACACCAGCCACUCCAUUUCUUAACGAUCUUCGUACAAACCUUAACUGUCCGAUUUCAUGGACCAAUAGAUAUCGGAUUGAGUCCAAAACAUGGGGAACAUCAUAAUAUUGUGGGAGGAGUCAUUUGGUGGGUUUUGAGUGAAAUCCUGUAUCUACAACUAUACAAUACACCAACUGCCCCAUUUCAUAACGAACUUCGUACGAACAUGAAUAGUCCAAUUUCUUGGAUCAAUCGAUAUCGAAUUGAGCCCAAAACUUGGGGAACAUCAUAAUAUGGUGGGAGGAGUCUUUUGGUGAGUUUAGAUCGAAAUCCAAUGGCAAAAAUUAUGCAAUACACCAACCACUUCAUUUCAUAACGAACUUCGUACAAACCUGAACUGUCCGAUUUCAUGGACCAAUCGAUAUCGGAUUGAGUCCAAAACGUGGGGAACAUCAUAAUAUUGUGGGAGGAGUCAUUUGGUGGGUUUUGAGUGAAAUCCAAUCUCUAGAACUAUACAAUACACCUACCACUCCAUUUCAGAACGAACUUCGUACUAACCUAAAUUGUCCAAUUUCAUGGAUCAUUCGAUAUCGGAUUGAGGCCAAAACUAUGGGAAGAUCAUAAGGUUGUUGGAGAUGUCAUUUUGUGAGUUUUGAGUGAAAUCCAAAGGCGAAAAAAAUGCAAUACCCCAACCACACCUUUUCAGAACGAACUUCGUACAAACCUGAACAGUCCGAUUUCAGGGUCCAAUCGAUAUCGGAUUGAGUCCAACACUUUGGGAAUAUAGUAAGUUGGUGGGAGGAGUCAUUUAGUGAGUUUUGAGCAAAAUCCAAUGUCUAAAACUUUGCAAUGCACCAACCACUUCAUUUCCGAACGACUUUCGUACGAACCUGAAUUGUCCGAUUUCAUGGACCAAUUGAUGUCGGAUUGAGUCCAAGACUUGGGGCAGAUCAUAAUAUGGUGGGAGGAGUCAUUUGGUGAGUUUUGAGUGAAAUCCAAUCUCUAGAACUAUACAAUACACCAACCACUCCAUUUCGUAACGAACUUCGUACGAACCUAAAUUGUAUAGUUUCAUGGACCAAUCGAUAUCGGAUUGAGUCCAAAAUUUGGGGAACAUCAUAAUAUGGUGGUAGGAGUCAUUUGGUGGGUUUUGAGUGAAAUCCAAUCACUAGAACUAUGCAAUACACCAACCACUCCAUUUAAUAACGAACUUCGUAAAACCUGAAUUGUCCAUUUUCAUGGACCAAUCGAUAUCGGAUUGGAUCCAAAACAUGGGGCAGAUCAUAAUAUGGUGGGAGGAGUCAUUUGUUGAGUUUUGAGUGAAAUCCAAUUGCCAAAACUAUGCAAUACACCAACCACUCCAUUUCAUAGCGAACUUCGUUCCAACCUCAGUUGUCCGAUUUCAUGGACCAAUCAAUAUCGGAUUGGGUCCAAAACUUGGGGAAGAUCAUCAUAUCGUGGGAGGAGUCAUUUGGUGGGUUUUGAGUGAAAUCCAAUCUCUAGAACUAUACAAUACACCAACCAUUCCAUUUCAGAACGAACUUCGUACGAACUUGAAUUGUCCAAUUUCAUGGACCAAUCGAUAUCGGAUUGAGUCCAAAACUUUGGGAACAUCAUAAUGUUGUUGGAGGGGUCAUUUUGUGAGUUUUGAGUGAAAUCCAAUGUCCAAAACAAUGCAGUACCCUAACCACUCCAGUUCAGAACGAACUUUGUACGAACCUGAACUAUCCGAUUUCAUGGACCAAUCGAUAUCGGAUUAACUCCAACACUUCGGGAACAUCAUGAUUUGGUGGGAGGAGUGAUUUGGUGAGUUUUGAGUGAAAUCCAAUGGCCAAAACUACGCAAUAAAACAACCACUCCAUUUCGGAAUGAACUUCGUUCGAAACUGAAUUGUCCGAUUUCGUGUUCCAAUGAAUAUCGGGUUCAGUCCAAAACUUGGGGAACGUCAUAAUAUUGUGGGAGGAGUCGUUUGGUGGGUUUUGAGUGAAAUCCAAUCUCUAGAACUAUACAACACACCAACCACUCCAUUUCAUAACGAACUUCGUACAAACCUGAAUUGUCCAAUUUCAUGGGCCAAUCAAUAUCGGAUUGAGUCCAAAACUUGGGGAACAUCAUAAUGUAUUGGGAGGAGCCAUUUGUUGAGUUUUGAGUGAAAUCCAAUUGCCAAAACUAUGCAAUACACCAACCACUCCAUUUCAUAGCGAACUCCGUUCCAACCUCAGUUGUCCGAUUUCAUGGACCAAUCAAGAUCGAAUUGGGUCCAAAACUUGGGGAAGAUCAUCAUAUUGUGGGAGGAGUCAUUUGGUGGGUUUUGAGUGAAAUCCAAUCUCUAGAACUAUACAAUACACCAACCACUCCAUUUCGUGACGAACGUCGUUCGAAACUGAAUUGUCCGAUUUGAUAGACCAAUCAAUAUCAGAUUGAGUCCAAAACUUGGGGAACAUCAUAAUAUUGGGGGAGGAGUCGUUUGGUGGGUCAUGAGUGAAAUCCAACCUCUAGGACUAUACAAUACACCAACCACUCCAUUUCGGAACGAACUUCGUUCAGAACUGAAUUGUCCGAUUUCAUGGACCAAUCAAUAUCGGAUUGAGUCCAAAACUUGGCGAACAUCAUAAUAUUGUGGGAGGAGUCAUUUGGUGGAUGUUGAGUGAAAUCCAAUGGCUGAAACUGUCCAAUACACCAACCACUGUAUUUCGUAACGAACUUCGUACGAACCAAAAUUGUCCAGUUUCAUGGACCAAUCAAUAUUGGAUUGAGUCCAGAACUUAGGGAACAUCAUAACAUGGUGGCAGGAGUCAUUUGGUGAGUUUUGAGUCAAAUCCAACGGCUAAAACAAUGCAAUACACCAACCACUCCCUACCAUAACGAACUUCGUACGAACCUAAAUUGUCCAAUUUCAAGGACCAAUUGAUAUCUGAUUGAGUCCAAAACUUGGGGAACAUCAUAAUAUGGUGGGAGGAGUCAUUUGGUGGGUUUUGAGUGAAAUCCAAUCUCUAGAACUAUGCAAUACACCAACCACUCCAUUUCAUAACGAACUUCGUACGAACUUGAAUUGUCCAAUUUCAUGGACCAAUCGAUAUCGGAUUGAGUUCAAAACUUGGGGAACAUCAUAAUAUGGUGGGAGGAGUCAUUUGGUGGGUUUUGAUUGUAAUCCAAUGUCCAGAACCGUGCAAUACACCAACCAUUCCAUUUCAGAACGAACUUCGUACGAACCUAAAUUGUCCAAUUUGAUGGACCAAUCGAUAUUGGAUUGAGUUCAAAACUUGGGGAACAUCAUAAUAUGGUGGGAGGUGUCAUUUGGUGUGUUUUGAGUGAAAUCCAAUCGCUACAACUAUGCCAACAACUCCAUUUCAUAACGAACUUCAUAUGAACCUGAAUUGUCCAAUUUUGUGGACCAAUCGAUAUCGGAUUGAGUCCAAAACUUGGGGAACAUCAUAAUAUGGUGGGAGGAGUCAUUUGGUGGGUUUUGGGUGAAAUCCAAUCUCAAGAACUAUGAAAUACACCAACCACUCCAUUUCAUAACGAACUUCGUACGAACUUGAAUUGUCCAAUUUCUUGGACCAAUAGAUAUCGGAUUGAGUCCAAAACUUGGGGAACGUCAUAAUAUGGUGGGAGGUGUCAUUUGGUGGGUUUUGAGUGAACUCCAAUCUUGAGAACUAUGCAAUACACCAACCAGUCCAUUUCAAACCGAACUUCGUACAAAUCUAAAUUGUCCAAUUUCAUGGACCAAUCGAUAUCUGAUUGAGUCCAAAAUUUGAGGAACAUCAUAAUAUGGUGGUAGGAGUCAUUUGGUGGGUUUUGAGUGAAAUCCAAUCCUGAGAACUAUGCAAUACACCAACCACUCCAUUUCAUAUCGAACUUCGUACGAAACUAAAUUGUCCAAUUUUAUGGACCAAUCGAUAUCGGAUUGAGUCCAAAACUUGGGGAACAUCAUAAUAUGGUGGUAGGAGUCAUUUGAUGGGUUUUGAGUGAAAUCCAAUCUCUAGAACUAUGCAAUACACCAACCGCUCCAUUUCAUAAUGAACUACGUACGAACAUAAAUUGUCCAAUUUCAUGGACCAAUCGAUAUCGGAUUGAGUCCAAAACUGGGGAAACAUCAUAAUAUGGAGGGAGGAGUCAUUUGGUGACUUUUGAGUGAAAUCCAAAGGCAAAAACUUUGAAAUACACAAACCACUCCAUUUCAGAACGAACUUCGUGCGAACCGGAUUUGUCCAAUUUCAUGGACCAAUUGAUAUCGGAUUGAGUCCAAAACUUGGGGAACGUCAUAAUAAGAUGGGAGGAGUCAUUUGGUGACUUUUGAGUGAAAUCCAAUGGCCAAAACUUUGAAAUACACAAACCACUCAAUUUCAGAACGAACUUCGUACGAACCUGAAUUGUAAAAUUUCAUGGACCAAUCGAUAUCGGAUUCAGUCCAAAACUUGGGGAACAUCAUAAUAUGGUUGUAGGAGUCAUUUGGUGGGUUUUGAGUGAAAUCCAAUCCCUAGAACUAUGCAAUACAAAAACCACUCCAUUUCAUAAUGAACUUCGUACGAAACUGAAUUGUCCAAUUUCAUGGACCAAUCGAUAUCGGAUUGAGGCCAAAAGUUGGGGAACAUCAUAAUAUGGUGGGGGGAGUCAUUUGGUGGGUUUUGAGUUAAAUCCAAUCUCUAGAACUAUGCAACACACCAACCACUGCAUUUCAUAACGAACUUCGUACGAACCUGAACUGUCCAAUUUCAAGGACCAAUCGAUAUCGGAUUGAGUCCAAAACUUGGGAACAUCAUAAUAUUGUGGGAGGAGUCAUUUGAUUGGUUUUUGAGUGAAAUCCAAUGGCGACAACUAUACAACACACCAACCACUCCAUUUCACAAUGAACUUCGUAGGAACUUUAAUUGUCCAAUUUUAUGGAACAAACGAUAUCGGAUUGAGUCCAAAACUUGGGGAACAACAUAAUAUUGUGGGAGGACUCACUUGGUGUGUUUUAAGCAAAAUCCAAUUGCCAAAACUAUGCAACACACCAACCACUCCAUUCCAUAACGAACUUCGUACGAACCUUAACUGUCUAAUUUCAUGGACCAAUCGAUAUCGGAUUGAGUCCAAAACUUGGGGAACAUCAAAAUGUUGUGGGAGGAGUCAUUUGGAGGGUUUUGAAUGAAAUCCAAUCUCUACAACUAUACAAUACACCAACCAAUUCAUUUCAUAACGAACUUUGUACGAACCUGAAUUGUCCGAUUUCAUGGACCAAUCGAUUUCGGAUUGAGGCCAAAACUUUCGGAACAUCAUAAUAUGGUGGGAGGAGUCAUUUGGUGCGUUUUAAGCGAAAUCCAAUGGCUAAAACUAUGCAAUACACCAACCACUCAAUUUUAUAACGAACAUCGUAUGAACCUGAAUUGUCCAGUUUCAAGGACCAAUUGAUAUCGGAUUGAGUCCAAAACUUGGGGAACACAGUAAAAUUAUGGGAGGAGUCAUUUGGGGGGUUUUGAGUGUAAUCCAAUCUCUAGAACUAUAUAAUACUCCAACCACUCCAUUUCAUAACGAACUUCGUACGAACCUAAAUUGUUCAAUUUCAUGGACCAAUCGAUAUCGGAUUGAGUCCAAAAGUUAGGGAACAUGAUAAAAUGUUGUGGGAGGAGUCAUUUGGUGAGUUUUGAGUGAAACUCAAUCUCUAGAACUGUAGAAUACACCAACCACUCCAUUUUAGAAAGAACUUCGUACGAUCCUGAAUUGUCCAAUUUCAUGGACCAAUCAAUAUCGGUCUGAGUCCAAAACCUGGGGAACAUCAUAAUAUUGUUGGAGGCGUCAUUUGGUGGGUUUUUAGUGAAAUCCUAUGUCUAGAGUAAUACAAUACACCAACCACUCCAUUUCAGAACGAAAUUGAUACGGACAUAUAUUUUCCGAUUUCAUGGACGAAUCGAUAUCUGAUUGAGUCCAAAACUUGAGGAACAUCAUAAUAUGGUGUGAGGACUCAUUUGGUGAGUUUUGAGUGAAAUCCAAUUGCUAAAACUAUGCAAUACACCAACCACUCCAUUUCAGAACGAACUUCGUACGAACCUGAAUUGUCCAAUUUCAUGGACCAAUUGAUAUUGGAUUGAGUCAAAAACAUGGGGAACAUCAUAAAGUAGGGGGUGGAGUCAGUUUGUGAGUGAAAUCCAAUGGCUAAAACGAUGCAAGACACCAACCACUCCAUUUCAAAACGAACUUCGUACGAACUGAAUUGUCCGAUUUCUUGGACCGAUCGAUGUCGGAUUGAGUCCAAAACUCGGGCACCAUCAUAAUAUAACGGGAGGAGUCAUUUGGUGGAUUUUCAGUGAAAUCCAAUCUAUAGAGCUAUUGAAUACACCAACCACUCCAUUUCAUAACGAACUUUGAACGAACCUGAAUUGUCCAAUUUCAUGGACCAACCGAUAUCGUAAUGAGCCCAAAACCUGGGGAACAUCAUAAUAUGGUGGGAGUAGUCAUUUGGUGAGUUUUGAGUGAAAUUCAAAAGCUAAAACUAUGCAAUACAGCAACCACUCCAUUUUAGAACGAAGUUCGUACGAACCCGAAUUGAACAAUUUCAUGGACCAAUCGAUAUCGGAUUGAGUCCAAAACUUGAGGAACGUCAUAAUAUGGUGGGAGGAGUCUUUUGGUGAGUUCUGAGUGAAAUCCAAUAUCUAAAACUAUGCAAUACACCAACCACUCCAUUUCAUAACGAACUUCGUACGAACCCGAAUUGAACAAUUUCAUGGACCAAUUGAUAUCGGAUUGAGCCCAAAACUAGGGGAACAUCAUAAUAUGGUGGGAGGAGUCAUAUGUUGAGUUUUGAGCGAAAUCCAACGGAAAAAAUUAUGCAAUACACCCACCGCUCCAUUUCAGAACGAACUUCGUGCGAACCUGAAUUGUCCGAUGUCAUGGACCAAUCGAUAUCGGAUUGAGUCUAAAACUUGGGCAACAUCAUAAUAUAGUGGGAGGAGUCUUUUGGUGGGUUUUGAGUGAAAUCCAAUCUGUAGAACUGUGCAAUACACCAGUCAUUGCAUUUCAGUACGAACUUCGUACGAACCUUAAUUGUCCAAUUUCAUGGACAAAUCGAUAUCAGAUUGAGUCCAAAACUUGGGGAACAUCAUAUAUGGUGGGAGGAGUCAUGUGGUGAGUUUUGAGUGAAAUCCAUUGGCUAACACUAUGCAAUACAUAAUUGUCCAAUUUCAUGGAACAAACGAUAUCGGAUUGAGUCCUAAACUUGGGGAGCAUCAUAAUACAGUGGGAGGGGUCAUGUGGCGGGUUUUGAGUGAAAUCCAAUCUCUAGAACUAUGAAACACACCAACCACUCCAUUUCAGAACGAUUUUCAUACGAACUUGAAUUGUCCAAUUUCAUGGACAAAUCAAUAUCGGAUUGAGUCCAAAAUUUGGGGAACAACAUAAUGUUGUGGGACGAGUCAUUUCGUGAGUUUUGUGUGAAAUCCAAUGGUUAAAACAAUGCAAUACACAAACCACUCCAUUUCAGAAAGGACUUCGUUCAAAACUGAAUUGUCCGAUUUCAUGGACCAAUCAAUAUCGGAUUGAGUCCAAAACUUGAGGAACGACAUAAUAUGGUGGGAGGAGUCAUUUGGUGAGUUUUGAACGAAAUCCAAUUGCUAACACUAUGCAAUACACCAACCACUCAAGUUCUGAACCAAUUUCGUACAGACCUGAAUUGUCAAAUUUCAAGGACCAAUCGAUAUUUGAUUGAGGCCAACACAUGGGGAACAUCAUAAUAUCGUGGAGUAGUAUUUGGUGAGUUUUGAGUCAAAUCCAAUGGCUAGAACUAUGCAAUACACCAACCAUUGCAUUUCAUAACGAACGUCGUACGAACCUGAAUUGUCGAAUUUCGUGGACCAAUCGAUAUUGGAUUGGGUCCAAAACUUCGGGAACAACAUAAUAUGGUGAGAGGAGUCAUUUGGUGGAUUUUGAGUGAAAUCCAAUCUCUAGAACUAUGCAAUACAUCAACCACUCCAUAUUAGAACGAACUUCGUACGAACCUGAAUUGUCCAAUUUCGUGGACCAAUCGGUAUCGAUAUUGGAUUGAGUCCAAAACCUGGGGAACAUCAUAAUAUAAUGGGAGAAGGCAUUUGGUGGGUUUCGAGCUAAAUCCAAUGUCUAGAACUAUGCAACACACCAACCACUCCAUUUCAAAACGAACUUCGUGCGAAACUUAAUUGUCCAAUUUCAUGGAACAAACGAUAUCGGAUUGAGUCCAAAACAUGGGGAACAUCGUAAUGUUGUUGGAGGAGUCAUUUGGUGAGUUUUGAGUGAAAUCCAAUUGAAAAAAUUAUGAAACACACCAACCACUCCAUUUCAGAACAAACUUCGUACGAACCUGAAUUAUCCAAUUUCAUGGACCAAUCGAUAUCGGAUUGAGUCCAAAACUUGGGGAACAUCAUAAUACGGUGGGAGGAGUCAUUUGGUGGGUUUUGAGUGAAGUCCGAAAUCUAGAACUAUGCAAUACACCAACCACUCCAUUCAUAACGAACUUCGUACGAACCUGAAUUGUCCAAUUUCAUGGAACAAUCGAUAUCGGAGAGUCCAAAACUUGGGGAACAUCAUAAUACGGUGAGAGGAGGCAUUUGGUAUGUUUUGAGUGAAAUCCAAUCUCUACAACUAUGCAAUACACCAACCACUCCAUUUCAUAACAAACUUCGUACGAACCUGAAUUGUCCAAUUUCGUGGACCAAUCGAUAUCGGAUUGAGUCCAAAAUUUGGGAAACAUCGUAAUAUGGUUGGAGGAGUCCUUUGGUGACUUUUGAGUGAAAUCCAAAGGCUAAAACUAUUCAAUACACCAACCACUCCACUUCAUAACGAACUUCGUACAAACGUGAAUUGUCCAAUUUCAUGGAGCAAUCGAUAUCGGAUUGAGUCCAAAACUUGGGGAAGAUCAUAAUAUCGUGGGAGGAGUGAUUUCGUGAGUUUUGAGUGAAAUCCAAUGGCUAAAGCAACGCAAUACACCAACCUCUCCAUUUCAGAACGAACUUCGUACAAACCUGAGUUGUCCGAUUUCAUGGACCAAUGAAUGUUGGAUUGAGUCUAAAACUUAGGGAACAUCAUAAUGGUGGGAGGUGUCAUUUGGUGAGUUUUGAGCGAAAUCCAACGGCUAAAACUGUGCAAUACAGCAACCACUCCAUUUCAUAACGAACUACGUACGAACCUGAAUUGUCCAAUUUCAUGAACCAAUCGAUAUCGGAUUGACUCGAAUACUUGGGGAACAUCAUAAUAUGAUGGAAGGAGUUAUUUGGUGGGUUCUGAGUGAAAUCCAAUGGCUACAACUAUGCAAUACACCAACCACUCCAUUUCAUAACGAACUUUGUACGAAAAUGAAUUGUCCAAUUUCAUGGACAAAUUGAUAUCGGUUUGAGUCCAAAACGUGGGGAACAUCAUAAUGUGGUGGGAGAAGUCAUUUGUUGACUUUUGAGUGAAAUCCAAUGGCUAAAACUACGCAAUACACCAACCACCCCAUUUCAAAACGAACUUCGUACGAACCUGAAUUGUCCAAUUUCAUGGACCAAUCGGUAUCGGUUUGAGUCCAAAACUUGGGGAACAUCAUAAUGUGAUGGGAGGAGUUAUUUGGUGGGUUCUUAGUGAAAUCCAAUGGCUACAAAUAUGCAAUACACCAACCACUCCAUUUCAUAACGAACUCCGUACGAACCUGAAUUGUCCAAUUAAAUGGACCAAUCGAUAUCGGAUUGAGUACAAAACUUGGGGAACAUCAUAAUAUGAUGGGUGGAGUCAUUUGGUGAGUUUUGAAAGAAAUCCAGUGGCUAAAACUAUGCAAUACACCACCCACACCAUUUCAUAACGAACUUCAUACGAACCUGAAUUUUCCAAUUUCAAGGACCAAUCGAUAUCGGAUUGAUUCGAAAACUUGGGGAACAUCAUAAUCUGGUGGGAGGAGUCAUUUGGUGACUUUUGAGUGAAACCCAAUUUCUAAAACUUUGAAAUACACAAACCACUUCAUUCCGAAACGAACUUCGUACGAACCUGAAUUGUCCAAUUUCAUGGACCAAUCGAUAUAGGCUUGAGUCCAAAACUUGGGGAACAUCAGAAUGUGGUGGGAGGAUUCAUUUGAUGGGUUUUGAGGGAAAUCCCAUGGCUACGACUAUGCCAUACACCAACCACUCCAUUUCAUAACGAACUUAGUACGAACCUGAAUUGUCCAAUUUCAUGGACCAAUCGAUAUCGCACUGAGUACUAAACUUGGGGAACAUCAUAAGAUGAUGGGUGGAUUCAUUUGGUGAGUUUUGAAUGAAAUCCAGUGGCUAAAACUAUGCAAUACACCACCCACUCCAUUUCAUAACGAACUUCGUACGAACCUGAAUUGUCCAAUUUUAUGGACCAAUCGAUAUCGGAUUGACUCCAAAACUUGGGGAACAUCAUAAUAUGGUGGGAGUAGUCAUUUAGUGACUUUUGAGUGAAAUCCAAUAGCUAAAACUACGCAAUACACCAACCACUCCAUUUCAUAACGAACUUCGUACGAACCUGAAUUCUCUAAUUUCAUGGACCAAUCGAUAUCGGAUUGAGUCCAAAACUCGGGGAACAUCAUAAUGUGGUGGCAGGACCCAUUCGGGGGGUUUUGAGUGACAUCCAAUCUCUAGCACUAUACAAUACACCAACCACUCCAAUUUAUAACGAACUUCGUACAAAACUGAAUUGUCCAAUUUCAUGGACCAAUCGAAAUCGUAUUGAGUCCAAAACUUGGGGAACAUCAUAAUAUGGUGGGGGAAGUCAUUUGGUGACUUUUGAGUGAAAUGCAAUGCCUAAAACUACGCAACACACCAACCACUCCAUUUCGUAAUGAACUUCACAUGAACCUUAAUUGUCCAAUUUCAUGGACCAAUCGAUAUCGGAUUGAGUCCAAAACUUGGGGAACAUCGUAAUAUGAUGGGAGGGGUCAUUUGGUGACUUUUGAGUGAAAUCCAAAGGCUAAAACUAUGCAAUAUACCAACCACUCCAUUUCAGAACGAACUUCGUACGAGCCUGAAUUGUCCAAUUUCGUGGACCAAUCGAUAUUGGAUUCAGUCCCAAACUUGGAUCAUGUGGUGGGAGGAGUCAUUUGGUGACUUUUGAGUGAAAUCCAAUCGCAAAAACUAUGCAAUACACCAACCACUCCAUUUCAUAACGAACUUCGUACGAACCUGAAUCAUCUGAUUUCAUGGACCAAUCGAUAUAGGAUUGAGUCCAAAACUUGGGGAACAUCAUAAUAUGGUGGGAGGAGUCAUUCGGUGGGUUUUGAGUGAAAUCCAAUCUCUAGAACUAUACAAUGCACCAACCACGCCAUUUCCGAACGAACUUCUUGCGAAACUAAAUUGUCCAAUUUCAUGGAUCAAUCGAUAUCGGAUUUUGUCCAAAACUUAGGGAACAUCAUAAUAUGGUGGGAGGAGUCAUUUGGUGGCUAUUGAGUGAAAUCCAAUCUGUACAACUAUGCAAUACACCAACCACUCCAUUUCAUAUCAAACUUCGUACGAACCUGAAAUUGUCCAAUUUCAUGGGACCAAUCGAUAUCGGAUUGAGUCCAAAACGUGGGGAACAUCAUAAUAUGGUGGGAGAAAUCAUUUCGGUGACUUUUGAGUGAAAUCAAAUGGCUAAAACUACGCAAUACACCAACCACUCCAUUUCGUAACGAACUUCGUACGAACCUGAAUUGUCUAAUUUCGUGGACUAAUCGAUAUCUGAUUGAGUCCAAAACUUGGGGAACAUCAUAAUAUGGUGGAAGUAGUCAUUUGCUUGGCUUUCAGUGAAAUCCAAUCUCUACAACUAUGCAAUACACCAACCACUCCAUUUCAUAACAAACUUCGUACGAACCUGAAUUGUCCAAUUUCGUGGACCAAUCGAUAUCGGAUUGAGUCCAAAAUUUGGGAAACAUCGUAAUAUGGUUGGAGGAGUCCUUUGGUGACUUUUGAGUGAAAUCCGAUGGCUAAAACUAUGCAAUACACCAACCACUCCAUUUCAUAACGAACUUCGUACAAACCUGAAUUGUCCAAUGUCGUGGACCAAUCGAUAUCGGAUUGCGUCCAAAACUUGGGAAACAUCAUAAUAUGAUGGGAGGAGUCAUUUGGUGGGUUCUAAGGGAAAUCUAAUGGCUAAAACUAUGCAAUACACCAAGCAGUCCAUUUCAGAACGAUCUUUGCACGAACUUGAACGGUCCAAUUUCAUGGACUAAUCGAUAUCGGAUUGAGUCCAAAACUUGGGGAACCUCAUAAUAUUGUGGGAGGAGUCAUUUGGUGGAUUUUGAGAGAAAUCCAAUCUCAAGAACUACACAAUACACCAACCACUCCAUUUCAGAACGAACUUCGUACGAACCUCAAUUGUCCAAUUUCACAGACCAAUCGAAAUCGGAUUGAGUCCAAAACAUGGGGAACAUCAUAAUAUGGUGGGAGGAGUCAUUUGGUGAGUUUUGAGUGAAAUCCAAUGGCUAAAACUAUGCAAUACACCAACCACCCCAUUUCACAACGAACUUCGUACGAACCUUAAUUUUACCAAUUUCAUGGAAAAAUCGAUAUCGGAUUGAGUUCAAAACUUGCGGAACAUCAUAAUAUGAUAGGAGGAGUCAUUUGGUGGGUUCUGAGGGAAAUCCAAUGGCUACAACUAGGCAAUACACCAACCACUCCAAUUCCUAACGAACUUCUUACGAAGCUGAAUUGUCCAAUUUCAUGGACCAAUCGAAUCGGAUUGAGUCCAAAACUUGGGGAACAUCAUAAUAUGAUGGGAGGAGUCAGUUGGUGACUUUUGAGUGAAAUCUAAUGGCCAAAACUAUGGAAUACACCAACCACUCCAUUUCAGAACAAACUUCGUACGAAACUGAAUUGUCCAGUUUCAUGGACAAAUCGAUAUCGGAUUGAGUCCAAAACUUGGGGAACAUCAUAAUAUGGCGGGAGGAGUCAUUUGGUGAAUUUUGAGUGAAAUCCAAUCUCUACAACAAUGCAAUACACCAACAAUUCCAUUUCAUAACGAACUUCGUACGAACGUGAAUUGCCCAAUUUCACGGACCAAUCGAUAUCGGAUUGAGUCCAAAACUUGGGGAACAUCAUAAUAUGGUGGUAGGAGUCAUUUGGUGGGUUUUGAGUGAAAUCCAAUCUCUAGAACUAUGCAAUACACCCAACCACUCUAUUUCGUAAUUUACUUCGUACGAACCUGAAUUGUCCAAUUUCAUGGACCAAUCGAUAUCAGUUGAGUCCAAAAGUUGGGGAUCAUCAUAAUAUGGUGGGAGAAGUCAUUUGGUGGGUACUGAGUGAAAUCCAAUGGCUAAAACUUUGAAAUACACAAAUCACUCCAUUUCAGAACGAACUUCAUACGAACCUGAAUUGUCCAAUUUCAUAGACCAAUCGAUAUCAGGUUGAGUACAAAACUUGGGGAACAUCAUAAUAUGAUGGGUGAAGUCAUUUGGUGAGUUUUGAAUGAAAUCCAACGGCUAAAUCUAUGCAAUACACCACCCACUCCAUUUCGUAACGAACCUGAAUUGUCCAAUUUUAAGGACCAAUCGAUAUCAGAUUGAGUCCAAAACUUGGGGAACAUCAUAAUAUGGUGGGAGGAGUCAUUUGGUGACUUUUGAGUGAAAUCCAAUGGCUAAAACUUUGAAAUACACAAACGACUCCAUUUCAGAACGAACUUCGUACGAACCUGAAUUGUCCAAUUUCAUGGACCAAUCGAAUCGGAUUGAGUCCAAAACUUGGGGAACAUCAUAAUAUGAUGGGAGGAGUCAUUUGGUGGCUUUUGAGCGAAAUCCAAUGGCUAAAACUAUGCAGUACACCAACCCCUCCAUUUUAGAAUGAACUUUGUACGAACUUGAAUUGUCCAAUUUCAUGGACCAAUCGAUAUCGGAUUGAGUACAAAACUUGGGGAACAUGAUAAUAUGAUGGGUCGAGUCAUGUGGUGCGUUUCGAAUGAAAUCCAAUGGCUAAAACUAUGCAAUACACCGACCACUCCCUUUCACAACGAACUUCGUACGAACCUGAAUUGUCCAAUUUCGUGGACUAAUCGAUAUCGGAUUGAGUUCAAAACUUGGGGAACAUCAUAAUACGAUGGGUUGGAGUCAUGUGGUGAGCUUUGAAUGAAAUCCAAUGGCUAAAACUAUGCAAUACACCACCCACUCCAUUUCAUAACGAACUUCGUACGAACCUGAAUUGUCCAAUUUCAUGGACCAAUCGAUAUCGGAUUGAGUCCAAAACAUGGGGAACAUCAUAAUAUGGUGGAAGGAGUUAUUUUGGUGACUUUUGAGUGAAAACCAAUUGCUAAAACUAUGCAAUACACCACCCACUCCAUUUCAUAACGAACUUCGUACGAACCUGAAUUAUCCAAUUUCAUGGACCAAUCGAUAUCGGAUUGAGUCCAAAAUUUGGGGAACAUUAUAAUAUGGUGGCAGGUGUCAUUUGGGGGGUUUUGAGGGAAAUCCAAUCUCUAGAACUAUUCAAUACACCAACCACUGUAUUUCAUAACGAACUUCAUACGAACCUGAACUGUCAAAUUUCAUGGACCAAUCGAUAUCGGAUUGAGUCCAAAACUUGGGGUACAUCAUAAUAUGGUGGGAGGAGUCAGUUGGUGAGUUUUGAGUGAAAUCCAAUGGCUAAAACUAUGCAAUACACCAACCACUCCAUUUCAUAACGAACUUCGUACGAACCUGAAUUGUCAAAUUUCAUAGACCAAUCGAUAUUGGAUUGAGUCCAAAACUUGGAGAACAUCAUAAUAUGAUGGGAGCAGUCAUUUGGUGGGUUUUGAGUGAAAUCCAAUAUCUAGAACUAUGCAAUACCCCAACCACUCCAUUCCAUAACGAACUUCGUACAAACCUGAAUUGUCCAAUUUCAUGGACCAAUCAAUAUCGGAUUGAGUCCAAAACUUGGAGAACAUCAUAAUAUGGUGGGAGGAGUCAUGUGGUGGGUUUUGAUUGAAGUCCAAUCUCUAGAACUGUGCAAUACACCAAUCACUCCGUUUCAUAACGAGCUUCGUACAAACCUGAAUUCCAAUGUCAUGGACCAAUCGAUAUCGGAUUGAGUCCAAAACUUGGAGUACAUCAUAAUAUGGUGGGAGGAGUCAUUUGGUGACUUUUGAGUGAAAUCCAAUGGCUAAAACUAUGCAAUAUACUAACCACUCCAUCUCAUAACGAACUUCGUACGAACCUGUAUUGUCCAAUUUCGUGGACCAAUCGAUAUCGGAUUGACUUCAAAACUUGGGGAACAUCAUAAUAUGGUGGGACGAGUCAUUUGGUGACUUUUAGUGAAAUCCAAGGGCUAAAACUAUGAAAAACACCAACCACUCCAUUUCAUAACGAACUUCGUACGAACUUGAAUUGUCCAAUUUCACGGACUAAUCGAUAUCGGAUGGAGUCCAAAACUUGGAGAACAUCAUAAUAUGGUGGGAGGAGCCAUUUGGUGAGUUUUGAAUGAAAUCCAAUGGCUAAAACUAUGCAAUACACCACCCAUUAGAUUACAUAACGAACUUCCUACGAACCUGAAUUGUCCAAUUUAAUGUACCAAUCGAUAUUGGAUUGAGUCCAAAACUUGGAGAACAUCAUAAUAUGAUGGGAGCAGUCAUUUGGUGGGUUUUGAGUGAAAUCCAAUCUUUAGAACUAUGCAAUACACCAACCACUCCAUUUCAUAACGAACUUCGUACGAACCUGAAUUAUCCAAUUUCAUGGACCAAUUGAUAUCAGAUUGACUUCAAAACUUGGGGAAGAUCAUAAAUGGUGGGAGGAGUUAUUUGGUGACUUUUGAGUGAAAUCCAAUGGCUAAAACUAUGAAAUACACCAACCACUCCAUUUCAUAACGAACUUCGUACGAACCAGAACUGUCCGAUUUCAUGGACCAAUCGAUAUCGGAUUAAGUCCAACACUUCGGGAACAUCAUAAUUUGGUGGGAGGAGUGAUUUGGUGAGUUUUGAGUGAAAUCCAAUGGCCAAAACUACGCAAUACACCAACCACUCCAUUUCGGAACAAACUUCGUUCGAAACUGAAUUGUCCGAUUUCGCGGACCAAUCAAUAUCCGAUUAGUCCAAAACUUGGGGUACAUCAUAAUAUUGUGGGAGGAGUCAUUUGGUGGGUUUUGAGUGAAACCCAAUCUCUGGAACUAUACAAUACACCAACCACUCCAUUUCAUAACGAACUUCGUAUGAACCUGAAUUGUCCAAUUUCAAGGACCAAUCAAUAUCGGAUUGAGUCCAAAACUUGGGGAACAUCAUAAUGUUGUGGGAGGAGUCAUUUGUUGAGUUUUGAUUGAAAUCCAAUUGCCAAAACUAUGCAAUACACCAACCACUCCAUUUCAUAGCGAACUUCGUUCCAACCUCAGUUGUCCGAUUUCAUGGACCAAUCAAUAUCCGAUUGGGUUCAAAGCUUGGGGAAGAUCAUCAUAUUGUGGGAGGAGUCAUUUGGUGGGUUUUGAGUGAAAUCCAUUCUCUAGAACUAAACAAUACACCAACCACUCCAUUUCAGAAUGAACUUCGUACGAACCUGAACUGUCCGAUUUCAUGGACCCAUCGAUAUCGGAUUAAGUCCAACACUUCGGGAACAUCAUAAUUUGGUGGGAGGAGUGAUUUGGUGAGUUUUAAGUCAAAUCAAAUGGCCAAAACUACACAAUACACCAACCACUCCAUUUCGGAACGAACUUCGUUCGAAACUGAAUUGUCCGAUUUCAUGGACCAAUCAAUAUCGGAAUGAGUCCAAAACUUGGGGAACAUCAUAAUAUUGUGGGAGGAGUCAUUUGGUGGGUUUUGAGGGAAAUCCAAUGGCUGAAACUGUGCAAUACACCAACCACUCCAUUUCGUAAUGAACUUCGUACGAACUGAAAUUAUCCAGUUUCAUUGACCAAUCGAUAUCGCAUUGAGUCAAAAACUUGGGGAACAUCAUAAUAUGGUGUGAGGAGUCAUUUUGUGCGUUUUGAGUCAAAUCCAAUGGCUAAAACAAUGCAAUACACCAACCACUCCAUUUCAUAGCGAACUCCGUUCCAACCUCAGUUGUCCGAUUUCAUGGACCAAUCAAUAUCGGAUUGGGUCCAAAACUUGGGGAAGAUCAUCAUAUUGUGGGAGGAGUCAUUUGGCUGGUUUUGAGUGAAAUCCAAUCUCUAGAACUAUACAAUACACCAACCACUACAUUUCAGAAAGAUCUUCGUACAAACCUGAAUUGUCCAAUUUCAUGGACCAAUCGAUUCGGAUUGGAUCCAAAACUUGGGGCGGAUCAUAAUAUGGUGGGAGGAGUCAUUUGGUGAGUUUUGAGCAAAAUACAAUUGUGGAAACUGUGCAUUAUAACAACCACUCCAUUUCGGAACGAACUUCGUUCGAAACUGAAUUGUCCGAUUUCAGGGAGCAAUCAAUAUCGGAUUGAGUCCAAAACUUGGGGAACAUCAUAAUAUUGGGGAAGGAGUCAUUUUGUGGGUUUUGAGUGAAAUCCAAUGGCUGAAAUUGUGCAAUACACCAACCACUCCAUUUCGUAACGAACUUCGUACGAACCUAAAUUGUCCAGUUUCAUGAACCAAUCGAUAUCGGAUUGAGUCCAAAACUUGGGGAACAUCAUAAUAUGGUGUUAGGAGUCAUUUUGGGAGUUUUGGGGUCAAAUCCAAUGGGCUAAAACCAUGCAAUACACCAACCACUCCCUUUCAUAACGAACUUCGUACGAACAUAAAUUGUCCAAUUUCAUGUACCAGUCGAUAUCGGAUUGAGUCCAAAAUUUGGGGAACAUCAUAAUGUGGUGGAAGGAGUCAUUUGGUGGGUUUUGAGUGAAAUCCAAUCUCCAGAACUACGCAAUACACCAACCACUGGAUUUCAUAAUGAACUUCGUACGAACUUGAAUUGUCCAAUUUCAUGGACCAAUCGAUAUCGGAUUGAGUCCAAAACUUGGGGAACAUCAUAAUAUGGUGGGAGGAGUCAUUUGGUGAGUUUUGAGUGUAAUCCAAUCUCUUGAACAGUGCAAUACACCAACCACUCCAUUUCAGAACGAACUUCGUAUGAACUUGAAUUGUCCGAUUUCAUGGACCAAUCGAUAUCGGACUAUGUCCAAAACUUGGGGAACCUCAUAAUAUUGUGGGAGGGGUCAUUUGGUGUGUUUUGAGUGAAAUCCAAUCUCUAGAACUAUACAACACACCAACCACUACAUUUCAGAACGAACUUCGUACGAACCUGAAUUGUCCAAUUUCGUGGACCAAUCGAUAUCGGAUUUAGUCCAAAACUUGGGGAACAUCAUAAUAUUGUAGGAAGAGUCAUUUGGUGAGUAUUGAGUGAAAUCCAAUUUGUACAACCAUAAAUACAGCAACCACUCUAUUUCAGAACGCACUUCGUACAAACCUGAAUUGUUCGAUUUCAUGGACCAAUCGAUAUCGGAUUGAGUCGAACACUUGGGGAGCAACAUAAUAUGGUGGGAGGACUCAUUUGGCGGGUUUUGAGUGAAAUCCAAUCGUAGAACUAUGCAAUACACCAACCACUCUAUUUUAGAUUGACCUUCGUACGAAACUUAAUUGUCCAAUUUCAUAGACCAAUCGAUAUCGGAUUGAGUCGAAAACCUGAGGAACAUCAUAAUAUGGUGGGAGGUGUCAUUUGGUGGGUUUUGGGUGAAAUCCAAUCUCUAGAACUAUGCAAUACACCAACCAUUGCAUUUCAGAACAAACUUCGUACGAACCUUAAUUGUUCAAUUUCUUGGAACAAUCGAUAUCGGAUUGAGUCCAAAACUUGGGGAACAUCAUAAUGUUGUGGGGGGACACAUUUAUUUAGUUCUGAGUGAAAUCCAAAUGCCAGAACUAUGCAAUAAAACAACCAAUCCAUUUUAGAACGAACAUCGUACGAACUUGAAAUGUCCAAUUUCUUGGACCAAUCGAUAUCAGAUUGAGUCGAAAACCUGGGGAACUCAUAAUAUGGUGGAAGGUGUCACUUGGUGGGUUUGGGUGAAAUCCAAUCUCUACAACUGUGCAAUAUACCAACCAUUGCAUUUCAGAACGAAUUUCGUACGAACCAUAAUUGUCCAAUUUCUUGGAACAAUCGAUAUCGGACUGAGUCCAAAACUUGGGGAACAUCAGAAUGUUGUGGGAGGAGUCAUUUAUUGAGUUUUGAGUGAAAUCCAAAUCCCGAAACUAUGCAAUACACCAACCACUCCAUUUCAUAACGAACUUCGUAUGAACUUGAAUUGUCCGAUUUCACGGACAAUUUGAUAUUGGACUGAGUCCAAAACUUGAGGAACAUCGUCAUAUUGUGGGGGAAGUCAUUUGGUGGGUUUUGAGUGAAAUCCAAUCUCUAGAACUAUGCAAUACACGAAGCACUCCAUUUCUGAACGAACUUCGUACGAACCUUAAUUGUCCAAUUUCAUAGAACAAACGAUAUCGAAUUGAGUCCAAAACUUUUGGAACAUCAUAAUGUUGUGGCAGGAGUCAUUUGGUGGGUUUUGAGUGAAAUCCAAUCUCUAGAACUACGCAAUACACCAACCACUACAUUUCAUAAAGAACUUUGUACAAACCUGAAUUGUCCGAUUUCAUGGACCAAUCGAUAUCGGAUUGAGUCCAAAACUUUGGGAACAUCGUAAUAUGGUGGGAGCAGUCAUUUGGUGAGUUUUGAGUGAAAUCCAAAGGCUAAAACUAUGAAAUACACCAACCACGGCAUUUCAUAACGAACUUCGUACGAACUUGAGUUGUCCAAUUUCAUGCACCAAUCGAUAUCGGAUUGAGUCCAAAACUUGCGGAACAUCAUAAUAUUAUGGGAGGAGUCGUUUGGUGAGUUUUGAGUGAAAUCCAAUUGCCAAAACUAUGCAAUACUCCAACCACUCCAUUUCAGAACGAACUUUGUACGAACUUGAAUUGUCCGAUUUCAUGCACCAAUCGAUAUCGGAUUGAGUCCAAAACUUCAUAAUAUUUUGGGAGGAGUCAUUUGGUGGGUUUUGAGACAAAUCCAAUCUCUAGAACUAUACAACACAAUAUCCACUGCAUUUCGGAACGAACUUCAAUUGUCCAAUUUCAUGGACCAAUCGAUAUCGGAUUGAGUCCAAAACUUGGGGGACAUCAUAAUGUUGUGGGAGGAGUCAUUUGGUGUGUUUUGAGAGAAAUCCUAUAGCCAAAACUAUGCAAUAAACCAACCACUCCAUUAGAGAACGAACUUCGUACGAACAUGAAAAGUCCAAUUUCAUGGACAAAUCGAUAUCGGAUUGAGUCCAAAACUUGGGGAACAUCGUAAUAUGGUGGGAGGAGUCAUUUGGUGAGUUUUGAGUGAAAUCCAAUGGCUAAAACUAUGCAAUACACCAACCACUCCAUUUCAUAACGAACUUCAUACGAACCUGAAAUGAACAAUUUCAUGUAUCAAACGAUAUCGGAUUGAGUCCAAAACUUGGGGAACAUCAAAAUAUGGUGGGAAGAGUCGUUUGGUGAGUUUUGAGUAAAAUCCAAUUGCCAAAACUAUGCAAUACUCCAACCACACCAUUUCAGAAUGAACUUUUUACGAACUUGAAUUGUCCGAUUUCAUGGACCAAUCGAUAUCGGAUUGAGUCGAAAACUUCAUAAUAUUUUGGGAGGAGUCAUUUGGUGGGUUUUGAGACAAAUCCAAUCUCUAGAACUAUACAACACACCAUCCACUGCAUUUCAGAACGAACUUCGUACGAACUUGAAUUGUCCAAUUUCAUGGACCAAUUGAUAUCGGAUUGAGUCCAAAACUUGGGGGACAUCAUAAUGUUGUGGGAGGAGUCAUUUGGUGUGUUUUGAGCGAAAUCCUAUUGCCAAAACUACGCAAUAAACCAACCAUUCCAUUAGAGAACGAACUUCGAACGAACAUCAAUAGUCCAAUUUCAUGGACAAAUCGAUAUCGGAUUGAGUCCAAAACUUGGGGAACAUCAUAAUAUGGUGGGAGGAGUCAUUUGGUGAGUUUUGAGUGAAAUCCAAUGGAUAAAACUAUGCAAUACACCAACCACUCCAUUUCAUAACGAACUUCAUACGAACCUGAAUUGAACAAUUUCAUGUAUCAAUCGAUAUCGGAUUGAGUCCAAAACUUGGGGAACAUUAUAACACGGUGGGAGGAGGCAUUUGGUGGGUUUUGAUUGAAAUCCAAUCUCUAGAACUAUGCAAUACGCCAACCACUCCAUUUCAGAAAGAAGUUCGUACGAACCUGAAUUGUCCAAUUUCAUGGACCAUUCGAUAUCGCAUUGAGUCCAAAACUUGGGGAACAUCAUAAUAUGGUGGGAGGAGUCAUUUGGUGAGUUCUGAGUGAAAUCCAAUGGCUAAAACUAUGCAAUACACCAACCACUCCAUUUCAUAAUGAACUUCGUACGAUCCUGAAUUAUCCAAUUUCAUCGACCAAUCGAUAUCGGAUUGAGUCCAAACUUGGGGAACAUCAUAAUGUGGUGGGAGGUGUCAUUUGGGGGGUUUAGAGGGAAAUCCAAUCUCUAGAACUAUUCAAUACACCAACCACUGUAUUUCAUAACGAACUUCACACGAACCUAAACUGUCCAAUUUGAUGAACCAAUCGAUAUCGGAUUGAGUCCAAAACUUGGGGUACAUCAUAAUAUGGUGGGAGGAGUCAGUUGGUGAGUUUUGAGUGAAAUCCAAUGGCUAAAACUAUGCAAUACACCAACCACUCCAUUUCAUAACGAACUUCGUACGAACCUGAAUUGUCAAAUUUCAUGGACCAAUCGAUAUGGGAUUGAGUCCACAACUAGGGGAACAUCAUAAUAUAGUGGGAGGAGUCAUUUGGUGGGUUUUGAGUGAAAUCCAAUCUCCACAACAAUGCAAUACACCAACCACUCCAUUUCAUAACGAACUUCUUACGAACCUGAAUUGUCCAAUUUCAUGGACCAAUCGAUAUCGGAUUGAGUCCAAAAGUAGGGGAACAUUAUAAUAUGGUGGGAGGAGUCAUUUUUUGGGUUUCGAGGGAAAUCCAAUCUCUAGAACUAUACAAUACACCUACCACUCCAUUUCAUAAAAAACUUCGUACGAACCAGAAUUGUCCAAUUUCAUGGGCAUUGAUGUCGGGUUGAGUCCAAAACAUGGAGAACAUCAUAAUAUGGUGGGAGGAGUCAUUUGUUGAGUUUUGAGUGAAAUCCAAUGGCUAAAAAUGUGCAGUAUACCAACCACUCCAUUUCAGAACGAACUUCGUACGAACCUGAAUUGUCCGAUUUCAUGGACCAAUCGUUAUCGGAUUGAGUCCAAAAGUUGGGGAACAUCAUAAUAUUGUGGGGGGAGUCAUUCGGUGGGUUUUCAGUGAUAUCCAAUCUCUAGUACUAUACAAUACGCCAACCAGUCCAUUUCAGAACAAACUUCGGACCAACCGGAAUUGUCCAAUUUCAUGGACCAAUCGAUGUCGGACUGAGUCCAAAACUUGGGGAACAUCACAAUAUAGUGGGAGGAGUCAUUUGGUGAUUUUUGGGAGAAAUCCAAUAGCAAAAGUUAUGAAAUACAACAACCACUCCAUUAGAGAACGAACUUCAUACGAACAUGAACAGUCUAAUUUGUUGCACCAAUCGAUAUUGGAUUGAGCCUAAAACUUGGGGAACAUCAUAAUAUGGUGGGAGGAGUCAUUUGUUGAGUUUUGAGUGAAAUCCAACGGCUAAAACUAUGCAAUACACCAACCACUCCAUUUCAUAACAAACUUCGGAGGAACCGGAAUUGUCCAAUUUCGUGGACCGAUCGAUGUCGGAUUGAGUCCAAAACUGGGGGGACAUCGUAAUAUGGUGGGAGGAGUCAUUUGGUGGGUUUUGAGUGAAAUCCAAUCUCCACAACUACGCAAUACACCAACCACUUCAUUUCAUAACGAACUUCGUACGAACCUGAAUUUUCCAAUUUCAUAGACCAAUCGAUAUCAGAUUGAGGCCAAAACUUGGGGACCAUCAUAAUAUGACGGGUGGAGUCAAUUGGUGAGUUUUGAGUGAAUUCCAAUUUCUAAAACAAUUCAGUACACCAACCACUCCAUUUCAGAACAUACUUCGUAGGAACCUGAAUUGUCCGAUUUCGUGGACCAAUUGAUGUGGGAUUCAGUCCAAACUUGGGGAACAUCAUAAUAUCGUGGGAGGAGUCAUUUGGUGGGUUUUGGGUGAAAUCCAAUAGCAAAAACUAGGAAAUACACCAACCCCUCCAUUAGAGAACGAACUUCAUACGAACAUGAAUAGUCCAAUUUCUUGGACCAAUCGAUAUCGGAUUGUGCCCAAAACUUGGGAAACAUCAUAAUAUGGUGGGAGGAGUCAUUUGGUGAGUUUUGAGCUAAAUCCAAUGGCUAAAACUAAGCAAUACACCAACCACUGCAUUUCAGAACGAACUUGAUACGAACCUGAAUUUUCUGAUUUUGUGGACCAAUCCAUAUCAUAUUGAGUCCAAAACGUGGGGAACAUCAUAAUAUUGUGGGAGGAGUCAUUUGGUGGGUUUUGAGUGAAAUCCAAUCUCUAGAACUAUACAAUACACCAACCAUUCCAUUUCAUAACGAACUUCGUGCGAACCUGAAUCCAAAUUCAUGGACCAAUCGAUAUCGGAUUGAGUCCAACACUUGGGGAACGUCAUAAUAUAGUGGGAGGAGGAGUCAUUUGGUGGGUUUUGAGGGAAAUCCAAUCUCUAGAACUAUACAAUACACCUACCACUCCAUUUCAUAACAAACUUCGUACGAACCUGAAUUGUCCAAUUUCAUGGGCAUUGAUGUCGGGUUGAGUCCAAAACUUGGAGAACAUCGUAAUAUGGUGGGAGGAGUCAUUUGGUGAGUUUUGAGUGAAAUCCAAUCUCUACAACUACGCAAUACACCAACCACUUCACUUCGUAACGCACUUCGUACGAACCUGAAUUGUCCAAUUUCAUGGACCAAUCGAUAUCGGAUUGAGUCCAAAAGUUGGGAACAUCAUAAUAUAGUGGGAGGAGUCAUUCGGUGGGUUUUUAGUGAUAUCCAAUCUCUAGUACUAUACAAUACGCCAACCAGUCCAUUUCAUAACAAACUUCGGAGGAGCCGGAAUUGUCCAAUUUCAUGGACUGAUCGAUGUCGGAUUGAGUCCAAAACUGGGGGGACAUCGUAAUAUGGUGGGAGGAGUCAUUUGGUGGGUUUUGAGUGAAAUCCAAUCUCUGCAACUACGCAAUACACCAACCACUUCACUUCAUAACAAACUUCGUACGAACCUGAAUUGUCCAAUUUCAUGGACCAAUCGAUAUCGGAUUGAGUCCAAAACUUGGGGUACAUCAGAACGAACUUCGUACGGACUUGAAUUGUCCGAGUUCUUGGACCAAUCGAUAUCGGAUUGAGUCCAAAACUUGGGGAACCUCAUAAUAUUGUGGGAGGAGUCAUUUGGUGGGUUUUGAGAGAAAUCCAAUCUCUAGAACUAUACAACACACCAACCACUACAUUUCAGAACAAAUUUCAUACGAACCUGAAUUGUCCAAUUUCAUGGACAAAUCGAUAUUGGAUUGAGUCCAAAACUUGGGUGAAAUCCAGUAGCAAAAACUAUGAAAUACACCAACCACUCCCUUACAGAACGAACUUCAUACGAACAUAAACAGUCUAAUUUCUUGGACCAAUCGAUAUGGGAUUGACCCCAAAACUUGGGGAACAUCAUAAUAUGGUGGGAGGAGACAUUUAGUGAGUUUUGAGUCAAAUCCAACGGCUAAAAGUAUGCAAUACUCCAACCCCUCCAUUUUAGAACGAACUUCGUACGAACCUGAAUUGUUCGAAUUCGUGCACCAAUCGAUAUCGGAUUGAGUCCAAAACUUGGGGAACAUCAUAAUAUUGUUGGAGGAGUCAUUUGGUGAGUUUUGAGUAAGUUGCCAUCUUCAAAACUAUGCAAUACAGCGACUAAUCCAUUUCAGAACGAACUUUGUAUGAAAUUGAAUUGUCCGAUUUCUUGGAGCAAUCGAUAUUGGAUUGAGUCCAAAACUUGGGGAACCUUAUAAUAUUGUGUGAGGAGUCAUUUGGUUGGCUUUGAGGGAAAUCCAAUCUCUAGAACUGUACAACACACCAACCACUACAUUUCAGAACGAACUUCUUACGAACCUGAAUUGUCCUAUUUCAUGGACAAAUCGAUAUCGGAUUGAGUCCAAAAUUUGGGGAACAUCAUAAUAUAGUGGGAGGAGUCAUUUGCUGGGUUUUGAGUGAAAUCCAAUCUCUAGAACUAUACAAUACACCAACCACUCCAUUUCAGAACGAACUUCAUAUGAACCUGAAUUGUCCAAUUUCGAGGACAAAUUGAUAUCAGAUUGAGUCCAAAAACUUGUGGAACAUCAUAAUAUUGUGGGAGGAGUCAUUUGGUGACUUUUGAGCGAAAUCCAAUGGCUAGAACUAUGCAAUGCACCAACCACUCCAUUUCAGAAUGAACUUCGUACGAACCUGAAUUGUCCAAUUUCAUGGUCCAAUUGAUAUCGGAUUGAGUCCAAAACUUGGGGUACAUCAGAACGAACUUCGUACGGACUUGAAUUGUCCAAUUUCUUGGACCAAUCGAUAUCAGAUUGAGUCCAAAACUUGGGGACCAUCAUAAUAUAGUGGGUGGAGUCUUUUGGUGGGUUUUGAGUGAAAUCCAAUCUCUAGAACUAUGCAACACACCAACCACUAGAUUACAGAAUGAACUUCGUACGAACCUUAAUUGUCCAAUUUCAUGGAACAAAGGAUAUCGGAUUGAGUCCAAAACUUGGGGAACAUCGUAAUGUUGUGGGAGGAGUCAUUUGGUGUGUUUUGAGUGAAAUCCAACUUCCAAAACUGUGCAAUACACCAACCACUCCAAUUCAGAACGAACUUUGUUCAAACCUGAAUUGUCCGAUUUCAUGGUCCAAUUGAUAUCUGAUUGAGUCGACAACUUGGGGUACAUCAGAACGAACUUCGUACGGACUUGAAUUGUCCGAUUUCUUGGGCCAAUCGAUAUCGGAUUGAGUCCAAAACUUGGGGUACCUCAUAAUAUUGUGGGAGGAGUCAUUUGCUGGGAUUUGAGAGAAAUCCAAUCUCUAAAACCAUACAACACACCAACCACUACAUUUCAUAACGAACUUCAUAUGAACCUGAAUUGUCCAAUUUCAUGGACCAAUCGAUAUCGGAUUGCGUCCAAAACUUGGCGAACAUCAUAAUAUGGUGGGGGGAGUCAUUUGGUGGGUUUUGAGUGAAAUCCAAUCUCUACAACUAUGCAAUACACCAACCACUCCAUUUCAUAAUGAACUUCGUACGAACCUGAAUUGUCCAAUUUCAUGGACCAAUCGAUAUCGGAUUGCGUCCAAAACUUGGCGAACAUCAUAAUAUGGUGGGAGUCUUUUGGUGGGUUUUGAUUGAAAUACAAUCUCUACAACUAGGCAACACACCAACCACUCCAUUUCAUAACGAACUUUGUACAAACCUGAAUUGUCCAAUUUCAUGGACCAAUCGAUAUCGGAUUGAGUCCAAAACUUUUGGAACACCAUAAUAUGGUGGGAGAAGUCAUUUGGUGGGUUUUGAGUGAAAUCCAAUCUCCAGAACUAUGGAAUACCCCAAUCACACCAUUUCAUAACGAACUUCGUACGAACAUGAAUUGUCCAAUUUCAUGGACCAAUCGAUAUCGGAUUGAGUCCAAAACUUGGGGAAGAUCAUAAUAUGAUGGUAGGAUUCAUUUGGUGGGUUUUGAGUGAAAUCCAAUGGCUACAACUAUGCAAUACACCAAACACUCCAUUUCAUAACAAACUUCGUACGAACCUGAAUUGUCCAAUUUCAUGGACCAAUCAAUCUCGGAUAGAGUACAAAACUUGAGGAGCAUCAUAAUAUGAUGGGUGGAGUCAUUUGGUGAGUUGUGCAUGAAAUCCAAUGGAUAAAACUAUGCAGUACACCAACCACCCCAUUUUAAAACGAACUUCGUACAAACCUGUAUUGUCCAAUUUCAUGGACCAAUCGAUAUCGGAUUGAGUACAAAGCUUGGGGACACAUCAUGAUAUGAUGGGUGGUGUCAUUUGGUGAGUUUUGAAUGAAAUCCAAUGGCUAAAACUGUGCAAUACACCACCCACUCCAUUUGACAAGACCCGACCCAAAGUCCCCUUUGGAAUCCGAGUCGAACUCUGUUCAUGAUUGACACCUGGCAGGUGCCGAGCACAAUUGACCUAGUUGCCCUUCUGGUUACAAACUUAAUUUCAUUUUAGCCUUGACUUCUACCGAAAAUUCGGGCGAGUCUCCCGUGUAAUUUGUUCAAUCCCCAAAAUUUCACCUGUCAAGACAAGCAUAUAUACACAACCCAACUUCCAACAUGCAUAUAUAUACAAUCAACAGUAAAGUUUGUGCCUAGGGGCAAUAUCAGAGCAUCUAUACAGAGUAAUUUACAAGAAGAACAUUUGGAGGGUCAAGGACCCUACACUGGGCCGAAGAGAUGCAGGAAGCGGAAACUGCCCUGUGGUGGCUUUCAGAUGCACGUCUACGGCCUGGGGGCGCAAAACAUUUAAAAGGUGAGUGGACCCAAAAACAAAGUUUUAAACAAAAAUAGCAUAAGAACAUACUAACCCAACUGUAAAAACAGUUAUACAAAACUAAUUCAUUCUUUUAAUCAUAUACAUACUGAAAUCAAUGCACUCAUAUAUAUAUAUAAAUAUAUGUCAAGCAUACUCAUAUCAUUUUUAAACUCUUAAAAGCACUGAAAUCAGUUUAAAACUAUCACCUAGGUGUACCCCUUAAAUUCUGUCAAUUCAUGAUAUCCGUCAAUUCUUGAUAAUCCGUCAAUUCCCCUUGCAGGUCUCGGUGACACAAAGUCAACCCGAGCCUCAAGCUGGCAGGAUUCAGGGGACCGUAGUCAGCCUGAUCUGCAUUCCUAGCUCUCACGGUCCGGGCGUCCCCGAAACUCGUGAGGCAAAUGUCAAGCGCGCUGACAAAACUGAAGGCAACCUGGAUGUCCGUGGACAUCGUCAUAUCCGAAGGCAACAUAUACCGAAGGCAACCUAUUUCUAUAACUGGGUACCUAAGGUGGCUUAAGAAAAUAUAAAAUUUCUGAAAGAUCUGAUGAAUAACUGAAUUUUUGUUAAAUCUAGAACUCUGCUGCCAUUUAUCUGAUAUAUAUAUCUCGAUCUUUACUUUCCAUAUCUUUUUAGCGUAUUCAACUAGGCAGCAUAUAAAUAAAGAUAUUUAACUUCAAAAAAUCAUGCUAGGAAAACCAUAAUCCAUAAAACUUAUUCAAGAUCAAAUAAUGAAAUUCAUUUGCAUAAAAUCAUUUAUAAAAGAAAAGUCCACUCACAGCUGGUCCGAGCUCACUGGACCUUUUGGAGGUCCCUCCUGCGGGUCAACUGGUGCCCGGGUGCCUGAUUCAAUUACCAAUAUAAUAUAUACGUUAAUAAAACUGCUUGAUAUAAAUAUUUAAAUAAAACCCUGACCCCCGACUCCUAGAAGUGCGUGUAUCCAAUUAAAGUUACUCCUAUGCCUACAUUAAUGUUCCGUUAAACCUAGGACACAAGUCCCAAGAGUCUGGUCUCAAACGGACGGUUGGUUUGGUCACAAACACACGAACAAAGGUUCGAACCCAUUGAACCCGGAAAUCACACAAGAUGCGAAAUCCGUUCAGGGUUCAUACGUUAUCCAAAUUAAGAUCCGCGAAUUCCUACGCGCUCGUGACAACACGAGGAUCAUUUUAGGACUGAGUGUCGUCCCCACCAAACUGCCCACGCUCCGGCAGCGCGUGGGUGGCUUGAGAAAUUCCUGGAGGCUGGAAAAACUCCAAACCGCCGGCCCAAACUCCUAACUUAGGUAAAACACCCAUUUUGAAACCACUUUUGUUCUUGGACCUACCUCAAAAAGUGGCCGGAAGUGGCCGGAAUCACACUCUCAAAACCGGCUGAAACCUAGAUUGAAAAAUCGAAUGAUCUACGCUUGGAAUUUCUGGAAUCCUACCCAACCAGCAGCCAUAGCAUGGAAAAUAGCUAGAAAACCAUAUCUCACUCGUCCGAUUUGGUGGCCGGAUGAAGGAGAACGAAAGCUUGGAAGUUCUGUCCACUCCGGCGUGAUCUCGAGCGUUUUCCGGCGAAAAACAGCAGUUCCAAGGGCAGGGAUCGGUCGGGAAAGGAAGAGGAAGCGGCGGUGGUUCGAUUGGGUCUGGUCCCGUCGGUUGGAGUGGACUGUGGCGGCGGUUAUGGAGGUUUGAAGGUGACGAUUAGAAAGAAAAAAAAACGGGGGGAGUUGUGGUCGUGAGGAAGAAGAGUGAGGGAAGAGAGAGAGAGUCAGUUUUGUUUUUUUUUUAAAUUCUGAUUUCAAAAUUACCGUUUUGCCCUUCUAAGUAUUUUGACCGUAUUUUCUUCGUUACAACUACGAUUCAAGUCCACUCCGUGUCUACGGACUCGUUUCGUUGCGCCCUACGCAACGAUGCAAGUGGAGUAGUCAAAUUCUUUCUCGGUCAAAAAGUCAACUUUUCCUUUACUAGAAUAUUCUAAGGGCAAAAGUGUCCCUCCCCCUUAAUCGUUUAAUAGUUAAAUAUUAAUUACUGUUUAGGUUAUUACACCAUUUCAUAACGAACCUCGUACGAACCUGAAUUGUCCAAUUUCAUGGACCAAUCGAUAUCAGAUUGAGUCCAAAACUUGGGGAACAUCAUAAUAUCGUGGAAGGAGUCAUUUGUUGGGUUUUGAGUGAAAUCCAAUCUCUAGAACUACGCAAUACACCAACCACUCCAUUUCAUAAUGAACUACGUACGAACCUGAAUUGUCAAAUUUCAUGGACCAAUCGAUAUCAGAUUGAGUCCAAAACAUGGGGAAUAUCAAAAUAUGGUGGGAGGAGUCAUUUGGUGGGUUUUGAGUGAAAUCCGUAUCUCUAGAACUAUGGAAUACACCAACCACUCCAUUUCAAGACGAACUUCGUACGAACCUAAGUUGUCCAAUUUCAUGGACCAAUUGAUAUCGGAUUGAGUCCAAAACUUGGGGAACAUCAUAAUAUGGUGGAUGAGUCAUUUGGUGGGUUUUGAGUGAAAUCCAAUCUCUACAACUUUGCAAUACACCAACCACUCCAUUUCAUGACGAAAUUCGUACGACCCUGAAUUGUCCAAUUUCAUGGACCAAUCGAUAUCGAAUUGAGUCCAAAACUUGGGGAACAUCGUAAUAUGAUGGGUGGAGUCAUUUGGUGAGUUUUGAAUGAAAUCCAAAGGCUAAAACUAUGCAAUACACCAACCACUUCAUUUCAGAACGAACUUCGUACGAACCUAAGUUGUCCAAUUUCAUGAACCAAUCGAUAUCGGAUUGAGUCUAAAACUUGGGAAACAUCAUGAUCUGGUGGAGGAGUCAUUUGUUGGGUUUUGAGUGAAAUCCAAUCUCUACAACUUUGCAACACACCAACCACUCCAUUUCAUAACGAACUUCGUACGAACUUGAAUUGUCCAAUUUCAUGGACCAAUUGAUAUCAGAUUGCGUCCAAAUCUUGGGGAACAUAAUAAUAUGAUGGCAGGAGUCAUUUGGUGAGUUUUGAAUGAAAUCCAACGGCUAAAACUAUGCAAUACACCAACCACUCCAUUUCAGAACGAACUUCGUACGAACCUAAGUUGUCCAAUUUCAUGAACCAAUCGAUAUCGGAUUGAGUCCAAAACUUGGGGAACAUCAUAAUAUGUUGGAGGAGUCAUUUGGUGGGUUUUGAGUGAAAUCCAAUCUCUACAACUUUGCAAUACACCAACCACUCCAUUUCAUAACGAACUUCGUACGAACCUGAAUUGUCCAAUUUCAUGGACCAAUUGAUAUCAGAUUGAGUCCAAAACUUGUGGAACAUCAUAAUAUGAUGGGUGGAGUCAUUUGGAGAGUUUUGAAAGAAAUCCAAUGGCUAAACUAUGCAAUACACCAACCACUCCAUUUCAUAACGAACUUCGUACGAACCUGAAUUGUCCAAUUUGAUGGACCAAUCGAUAUCGGAUUGAGUCCAAAACUUGGGGAAUAUCAUAAUAUGGUGGGAGGAGUCAUUUGGUAGGUUUUGAGUGAAAUCCAAUUCUAGAACUAUGCAAUAUACCAACCACUCCAUUUCAGAACGAACUUCGUACGAACCUAAAUGGUCCAAUUUCAUGGACCAAUCGAUGUCGGAUUGAGUCCAAAACUUGGGGAACAUCAUAAUAUGGUGGGAGGUGUCAUUUGGUGGGUUUUGAGUGAAAUCCAAUCUCUACAACCAUGCAACACACCAACCACUCCAUUUCAUAACGAACUUUGUACGAACCGGAAUCGUCCAAUUUCAUGGACCAAUCGAUAUUGGAUUGAGUCCAAAACUUGGGGGACAUCAUAAUAUGGUGGGAGAAGUCAUUUAUUGGGCUUUGAGUGAAAUCCAAUUCUAGAACUAUGAAAUACACCAACCACUCCGUUUCAGAACGAACUUCGUGCGAACCUAAGUGGUCCAAUUUCAUGGACCAAUCGAUAUCGGAUUGAGUCCAAAACUUGGGGGACAUCAUAAUAUGGUGGGCGGAGUCAUUUCGUGGGUUUUGUGUGAAAUCCAAUCUCUAGAACUAUGCAAUACACCAACCAGAUCAUUUCAGAACGAACUCUGUACGAACGUAAAUUGUCCAAUUUCUUGGACCAAUCGAUAUCGCAUUGAGUCCAAAACUUGGGGAACAUCAAAAUCUGGUUGGAGGAGUCAUUUGGUGGGUUUUGAGUGAAAUCCAAUCUCUACAACUAUGCAAUACACCAACCACUGCAUUUCAAACCGAACUUCGUACAAGCCUAAAUUGUCCAAUUUCAUGGACCAAUCGAUCUCGGAUUGAGUCCAAAACUUGGGGAACAUCACAUUAUGGUGGGAGGAGUCAUUUGGGGGGUUUUGAGUGAAAUCGAAUGGCUAAAACUUUGAAAUACACAAACCACUCCAUUUCAGGACGAACUUCUUAUGAACCUGAAUUGUCCAAUUUCAUGGACCAAUCGAUAUUGGAUUGAGUCCAAAACUUGGGGAACAACAUAAUAUGGUCAGAGGAGUCAUUUGGUGAGUUUUGAAUGAACUCCAAUGGCUAGAACUAUGCAAUACACCUACCACUCCAUUUCAGAACGAACUUCGUACGAACUUAAAUUGUCCAAUUUCAUGGACCAAUCGAUAUCGGAUUGCGUCCAAAACUUGGGGAACAACAUAAUAUGGUGGGAGAAAUCAUUUGGUGGGUUUUUAGUGAAAUCCAAUCUUUACAACUAUGCAAUACACCAACCACUACAUUUCAUAAUGAACUUCGUACGAACUUGAAUUGUCCAAUUUCUUGGACCAAUCGAUAUCGGCAUGAGUCCAAAACUUGGGGAACAUCAUAAUAUGAUGGGUGGAGUCGUUUGGUGAGUUUUGAAUGAAAUGCAAUGGCCAAAACUAUGCAAUACACCAACCACUCCAUUUCAGAACGAACUUCGUACGAACCUGAAUUGUCCAAUUUCAUGGACCAAUCGAUAUCAGAUUGAGUCCAAAACUUGGGGAACAUCAAAACAUGGUUGGAGGAGUCAUUUGGUAGGUUUUGAGUGAAAUCCAAUCUCUAGAACAAUGCAAUACACCAACCACUCCAUUUCAUACCGAACUUCGUACGAACCUAAAUUGUCCAAUUUCAUGGAUCAAUCAAUGUCGGAUUGAGUCCAAAACUUGGGGAACAUCAUAAUGUGGUGGGAGGUGUCAUUUGCUGGGGUUUUGAGUGAAAUCCAAUCUCUACAACUACGCAAUACACCAACCACUCCAUUUCAUAACGAACUUCGUACGAACCUGAAUUGUCCAAUUUCUUGGACCAAUUGAUAUUGGACGGAGUCCAAAGCUUGGGGAACAUCAUAAUAUGAUGGGUGCAGUCAUUUGGUGAGUUUUGAACGAAAUGCAAUGGCCAAAACUAUGCAAUACACCAACCACUCCAUUUCAGAACGAACGUCGUACGAACCUGAAUUGUCAAUUUUCAUGGACCAAUCGAUAUCGCAUUGAGUUCAAAACUUGGGGAACAUCAAAAUCUGGUUGGAGGAGUCAUUUGGUGGGUUUUGAGUGAAAUCGAAUCUCUACAACUAUGCAAUACACCAACCACUCCAUUUCAAAACGAACUUCGUACAAGCCUAAAUUGUCCAAUUUCAUGGACCAAUCGAUCUCGGAUUGAGUCCAAAACAUGGGGAACAUCAAAAUAUGGUGGGAGGAGUCAUUUGAUGGGUUUUGAGUGAAAUCCAAUCUCUACAACUAUGCAAUACACCAACCACUCCAUUUCAAAACGAACUUCGUACAAGCCUAAAUUGUCCAAUUUCAUGGACCAAUCGAUCUCGGAUUGAGUCCAAAACAUGGGGAACAUCAAAAUAUGGUGGGAGGAGUCAUUUGAUGGGUUUUGAGUGAAAUCCAAUCUCUAGUACUAUGCAAUACACCAACCACUCCAUUUCAUAACGAACUUCGUACGAACCUGAAUUGUCCAAUUUCCUGGACCAAUCGAUAUCGGAUUGAGUCCAAAACUUGGGGAACAUCAUAAUAUGUUGGGAGGAGUCAUUUGGUGGGUUUUAGGAGAAAUCCAAUCUCUGGAACUAUACGACACACUAACCACUACAUUUCAUAACGAACAUCUUACGAACCUGAAUUGUCCAAUUUCAUGGACCAAUCGAUAUCGGAUUCAGUCCAAAACUUGGGGAACACCAUAAUAUGGUGGGAGGAGUCAUUUGGUGGGUUUUGAGUGAAAUCCAAUCCCUACAACUAUGCAAUACAAUAACCACUCCAUUUCAAAAUGAACUUGAAUUGUCCAAUUUCAUGGAGCAAUCGAUAUCGGAUUGAGGCCAAAACUUGGGGAACAUCAUAAUAUGAUGGGUGGAGUCAUUUGGUGAGUUUUGAAAGAAAUUCAAUGGCCAAAACUAUGCAAUACACCAACCACUCCAUGUCAGAACGAACUUCGUACGAACCUGAAUUGUCCAAUUUCAUGGACCAACCGACAAUGGAGUGAGUCCAAAACUUUGGGAACAUCAUAAUAUGGUGGGAGGAGUCAUUUCGUGAGUUUUGUGAGAAAUUGAAUCGCGAAAACUAUGCAAUACACCAACCACUCCAUUUCAUAACGAACUUCGUACGAACCUGAGUUGCAGAAUUUCAUUGACCAAUCGAUAUCGGAUUGAGUCCAAAACUUGGGGAACAUCAUAACAUGGUCGGAGGAGUCAUGCGGUGUGUCUUGUGUGAAAUCCAAUUGCCAAAACUAUGCAAUACAUCAACCACUCUGUUUCAGAAUGAACUUCGUACAAACCGGAAUUGAACAAUUUCAUGUACGAAUCGAUAUCGGAUUGAGUCCAAAACAUGGGGAACAUCAGAGUAUGGUGGGAGGAGUCAUUUGGUGGGUUUUGAGUGAAAUCCAAUCUCUAGAACUAUGCAAGACACCAACCACUCCACUUCAUAACGAACUUCGUACGAACCUGAAUUGUCCAAUUUCAUGGACCAAUCGAUAUAUGAUCGAGUCCAAAACAUGCGGAACAUCAUAAAAUGGUGGGAGGAGUCAUUUGGUGGGUUUUCAGUGAAAUCCAAUCUGAAGAACUAAGCAAUACACCAACCACUCCAUUUCAAAACGACCUUCGUACAAACCGUAGUUGUCCAAUUUCAAUGACCAAUCGAUAUCCGUUUGAGUACAAAACUUGGGGAACAAGAUAAACUUGUGGGAGGAGUCAUUUGGUGAGUUUUGAGUGAAAUCCAAUUGCCAAAACUAUGCAAUACACCAACCACAACAUUUCAGAACGAACUUCGUACAAACUUGACUUGUCCGAUUUCAUGGACCAAUCGAUAUCGGACUAAGUCCAAAAUUUGGGGAACCUCAUCAUAUUGUGGGAGGAGUCAUUUGGUGGGUUUUGAGAGAAAUCCAAUCUCUUGAACUAUGCGACACACCAACAACUACAUUUCAUAACGAACUUCGUACGAACUUGAAUUGUCCAAUUUGAAGGACCAAUCGAUAUCGGAUUGAGUCGAAAACAUGGGGAACGUCAUAACAUGUUGGGAGGAGUCAUUUGGUGAGUUCUGUUUGGAAUCCAAUCGCUAGAACUAUGCAAUACACCAACCACUCCAUUUUAGAACGAACUUCGUACGAACCUGAAUUGUCCAAUUUCAUGGACCAAUGGAUAUCGGCUUGAGUCCAAAACUUGGGGACCACCAUAAUGUUGUUGGAUGAGUCAUUUGGUGAGUUCUGAGUGAAAUCCAAUGGGUAGAACUAUGCAAUACACGAACCACUCCAUUUUAGAAAGAACUUCGUACGAACCUGAAUCGUCCAAUUUCGUGGACCAAUCAACAUCGGAUUGAGUCCAAAACUUGGGGAACAACAUAAAGUUGUGAGAGGAGUCAUUUGGUGACUUUUGAGUGAAAUCCAAUUGCCAAAACUAUGCAAUACACCAACCACUCCCUUUCAGACCGAACAUCAUACGAACCUGAAUUGUCCAAUUUCAGGGACCAAUCGAUAUCGGAUUGAGUCCAAGACUUGGGGAACAUCAUAAAAUCGGGGGAGGAGUCAUGUGCUUUGUUUUGAGGGAAGUCCAAUCUCAAGAACUAUGCAAUACACCAACAACUCCAUUUCAUAACGAACUUUGAAGGAACCAAAAUUGUCCAAUGUCAUGGACCAAUCGAUAUUGGAUUGUGUCCAAAACUUGGGGAACAUCAUAAAAUGGUGGGAGGAGUCAUUUGGUGGGUUUUGAGUGAAAUCCAUUCUCUGCAACUAUGCAAUACACCAACCACUCGUAUUCAGAACGAACUUUGUACGAACCUGAAUUGUCCAAUUUCAUGGACCAAUCGAUGUCGGAUUGAGUCCAAAACUUGGGGGGAGGAGUCAUUUGGUGGGUUUUGAGUGAAAUCCAAUAGUACAAACUAUGCAAUACACAAACCACUCCAUUUCAGAACGAACUUCGUACGAACCUGAAUUGUCCAAUUUCAGGGACCAAUCGAUAUCGGUUUGGGUCCAAAACUUGGGGAACCUCAUAAUAUGAUGGGAGGGGUCAUUUGGUGACUUUUGAGUGAAAUCCAAUUGGUAAAACUGUGCAAUACACCAACCGCUCCAUUUCAGAAUGAACUUUGUACGAACCAGAAUUGUCCGAUUUAAUGGACCAAUCGAUAUCGGAUUGGGUCCUAAACUAGGGGAACAUCAUAAUAUAGUGUGAGGAGUCAUUUGGUGAGUUUUGAAUGAAAUCCAUUGGCUAAAACUAUGCAAUACCCCAACCACUCCAUUUCAGAAUGAACUUCGAACGAACCUGAAUUGUCUGAUUUAUUGGACCAAUCGAUAUCGGAUUGAGUCCAAAACUUGGGGAACAUCAGAGUAUUAUGGGAGCAGUCAUUUGGUGGGAUUUGAGUGAAAUCCAAUCUCUAGAGCUAUACAAUACACCAACCACUCCAUUUCCUAACGAUCUUUGUACGAACCUGAAUUUCCCAAUUUCAUGGACCAAUCGAUAUCGGAUUGAGUCUGAAACUUGGGGAACAUCAUAAUAUAUGGUGGGAGGAGUCAUUUGGUGACUUUUGAGUGAAAUCCAAUGGCUAAAACUAUGCAAUACACCAACCACUGCAUUUCAGAACGAACUUUGUACGAACCUGAAUUGUCCGAUUUCAGGGACAAAUCGGGAUCGGAUUGAGGGCAAAACGUGGGGAACAUCAUAAUAUGGUGGGUGGAGUCAUUUGGUGAGUUUUGAGUGGAAUCCAAUUGCCAAAACUAUGCAAUACACCAACCACUCCAUUUCAGAACGAACUUCGUACGAACCUCAAUUGUCCAAUUUCAUGGACCAAUCGAUAUCGGAUUGAGUCCAAAACUUGGGGAACAUCAAAAUGUUGUGGGGGGAGUGAUUUGGUGAGUUUUGAGUGAAAUCCAAUUGCCAAAACUGUGCUAUACACCAACCACUCCUUUCAAAACGAACUUCGUACGAACCAGAAUUGUCCAAUUUCAUGGACCAAUCGAUAUCGAAUUGAGUCCAAAAGUUGGUGAUAAGGUCAUAAUUUCACACAUUUGCAUGCCUUCUUUUUUUAGUAAUUUUGUUUAGCGUCUCUGUAUUUUGAGUCUCUUACCUAUGUUUGUGUGUUUUGCAGGUUAAGACAGCAAGGGGAUGACAUUUGAUACAAUUCAUGCAUGUUAUGAGUGGCACAAGAGGAUCCGAUCUCUAGAACUAUGCAAUACACCAACCACUCCAUUUCAGAACGAAAUUCGUACGAACCUGAACUGUCCGAUUUCCUGGAGCAAUCGAUAUCGGACUGAAAUCCAAUGGCUAAAACAAUGCAAUACACCAACCACUCUAUUUCAGAACGAACUUCGUAUGAACCUGAAUUGUCCGAUUUCAUGGACAAAUCGAUAUCGGAUUGUGUCCAAAACUUGAGGAACAUCAUAACAGGGUGGGAAGAGUGGUUUGGUGAGUUUUGAAUGAAAUCCAAAGGCUAAAACUAUACAAUACACCAACCACUACAUUUCAUAACGAACUUCGUACGAACCUGAAUUGUCCAAUUUCAUGGACCAAUCGAUCUCGGAUUAAGUCCAAAACUUGGGGAACAUCAUAAUAUAGUGACUGGAUUCAUUUGGUGGGUUUUGAGUGAAAGCUAAUAGCAAAAACUAUGAAAUACACCAACCACUCCAUUAGAGAACAAACUUCGUACGAACAUGAAUAGUCCAAUUUCAUAGACUAAUUGAUAUCAAAUUCAGUCCAAAACUUGGGGGACAUCAUAAUAUGGUGGGAGGAGUCAUUUGGUGAGUUUUGAGUGAAAUCCAAUGGCUAAAACUAUGCAAUGCACCAACCACUCCAUUUUAUAACGAACUUUGUACGAACCUUAAUUGCCAAUUUCAUGGACCAAUCGAUAUCGAAUUGAGUCCAAUACUUGGGGAACAUCAUAAUACAGUAGGAGGAGUCGUUUGGUAGGUUUUGGGUCAAAUCCAAUAGCAAAAACUGUGAAAUACACCAACGACUCCAUUAGAGAACAAAAUUCGUAUGAACAUGAAUAUUCCGAUUUCCUGGACCAAUCGAUAUCGGAUUGAGUCCAAAACUUUGGGAACAUCUUAAUAUAGUAGGAGGAUUCAAUUGGUGGGUUUUGAGUGAAAGCUAAUAGCAAAAACAAUGAAAUACACCAACCACUCCAUUAGAGAACGAACUUCGUAUGGACAUGAAUAGUCCAAUUCCUUGGACCAAUCGAUAUCGGAUUGAGUGCAAAACUCGGGGAACAUCAUAAUAUGGUGGGAGGAGUCAUUUGGUGAGUUUGGAGUGAAAUCCAAUGGCAAAAACUAUGCAAUACACCAACCACUCCAUUUCAUAACGAACUUCGUGCGAACCUGAAUUGUGCGAUUUCAUGGAUGAAUCGAUAUCGGAUUGAGUCCAAAACUUGGGGAACAUCAUAAUAUGGUGGGAGGAGUGUUGAGUUUUGAGUGAAAUCCAAUUGCUAAAACUAUGCAAUACACCAACCACACCAUUUACAGAACGAACUUCGUACGAACUUGAAUGGUUAGAUUUCUUAAUUCAAUCGAUAUCAGAUUGGGCACAAAACUUGGUGAACAUCAUAAUAUGGUGGGAGGAUUCAUUUGGUGAGUUUUGCGAGAAAUCCAAUUGCUAAAAGUAUUCAAUACACCAACCACACCAUUUACGGAACAAACUUCGUACGAACUUGAAUUGUCCAAUUUCAUCGGGCAAUCGAUAUCAUUUUGAGCCCAAAACUUGGCCAACAUCAUAAUAUUUCGGUUGAAGUCAUUUGGUGAGUUUUGAGGGAAAUCCAAUUCCUGAAACUACGCAAUACACCAACCACUCCAUUUACGGAACGAACUUCGUACGAACUUGAAUUGUCCCAUUUCAUUGGGCAAUCGAAAUCGGAUUGAGCCCAAAAUUUGGUCAACAUCGUAAUAUGAUGGGAUGAGUCGUUCGGUGAGUUUGGAGUGAAAUCCAAUCGCUAAAAGUAUGCAUUACACCAACAACUCCAUUUGAUGAACGCACUUUGUACGGACUUCAAUUGUCCGAUUUCUUGGUUCAAUCGAUAUCGGAUUAAGCCGAAAACUUGGUCAACCUCAUAAUAUGGUGGGAGGAGUCAUUUGGUGAGUUCUGGGAGAAAUCCAAUUGCAAAAACUAUGCAAUACACCAACCACUCCAUUUACGGAACGAACUUCGUACGAACUUGAAUUGUCCCAUUUCAUUGGGCAAUCGAUAUCGGAUUGAGUCCAAAACUUGGUCAACAUCAUAAUAUGGUGGAAGCAGUCAUUUGGUGAUUUUCUUUUAGAAAUCCAAUCGCUAAAACUAUGCAAUACACCAACAACUCCAUUUGAUGAACUAACUUUGUACGAACUUGAAUUGUCCAAUUUCAUGGUUCAAUCGAUAUCGGAUUGAGCCCAAAAAUUGGUCGAUAUCAUAAUAUGGUGGGAGGAGUCGUUCGGUGAGUUUUGAGUGAAAUCCAAUCCCAAAAACUUUGCAGUACACCAACCACUCCAAUUACGGAACGAAUUUCGUACGAACUUGAAUUGUCUAACUUCUUGCUUCAAUCGAUAUCGGAUUGAGCCCAAAACUUGGGCAACAUCAUAAUAUGGUAGGAGGAGUUAUUUGGUCAGUUUUGAAUGAAAUCCAAUUGCCAAAACUAUGCAAUACACCAACCACUCCAUUUCAUAACGAACUUUUUACGAACCUGAAUUGUCCGAUUUCACGGACCAAUUGAUAUGGGAUUGAGUCCAAAACUGGGGGAACAUGAUAAUAUUGUGGGAGGAGUCAUUUGGUGGGUUUUGAGUGAAAUCCAAUGGCUAAAACUAUGCAGUACACCAACCACUCCAUCUCGUAAUAAACUUUGUACGAACCUGAAUUGUCCGAUUUCAUGAACCAAUAGAUAUCGUAUUGAGUCCAAAACUUAGGGAACAUCAUAAUACGGUGGGAGGAGUCAUUUGGUGGGUUCUGAGUGACGUACAAUCUCUAGAACUAUGCAAUACACCAACCACUCCAUUUCAUAAGGAACUUCGUACAAACUUGAAUUGUUCAAUUUCAUGGACCAAUCGAUAUCGGAUUGAGUCCAAAACAUGGGGAACAUCGAAAUGUUGUGGGUGGAGUCAUUUUGUGAGUUUUGAGGGAAAUCCAAUGGCUAAAAUUAUGCAAUACACCAACCAAGACAUUGCGUAACAAACUUCGUACGAACCUGAAUUGUCCAAUUUCAUGGAUCAAUCUAUAUCGGAUUGAGUACAAAACUUGGCGAACAUCAUAAUAUGAUGGGUGGAGUCAUUUGGUGGGUUUUGAAUGAAAUGCAAUGACUAAAACUAUGCAAUACACCACCCACACCAUUUCGUAACGAACUUCGUACGAACUUGAAUUGUCCAAUUUCAUGGACCAAUCGAUAUCGGAUUGAGUUCAAAACUUGGGGAACAUCGUAAUAUGAUGGGUGGAGUCAUUUGGUGAGUUUUGAAUGAAAUCCAACAGCUAAAACUAUGCCCUAUUCCAACCACUCCAUUUCAUAACGAACUUCGUACGAACCUGAAUUGUCCAAUUUUAUGGACCAAUUGAUAUCGGAUUGAGUCCAAAACUUGCGGAACAUCACAAUAUGGUGGGAGGAGUCAUUUGGUGGGUUUUGAGUGAAAUCCAAUCUCCAGAACUAUGCAGUACACCAACCACUCCAUUUCAUAACGAACUCCGUACGAACCUGAAUUGUCCAAUUUUAUGGACUAAUCGAUAUCUGAUUGGGUACAAAACUUGGGAACAUCAUCAUAUGAUGGGGGAGUCAUUUGGUGAGUUUUGAAUGAAAUCCAAUCUCUAAAACUAAGAAAUACACCAACCACUUCAUUUCAUAACGAACUUUGUACGAACCUUAAUGGUCCAUGAACCAUUUCAGAACGAACUUCGUAUGAACCUUAAUUGUCCAAUUUCAUGGACCAAUUGAUAUCGGAUUGAGUCCAAAACUUGGGGAACAUCAUAAUAUGGUGGGAGGAGUCAUUCGGGGGGGUUUUGAGUGAAAUCCACUCUCGACAACUACGCAACACGAAAACAACUCCAUUUCAUAACGAACUUCGUACGAACCUGAAUUGUAGAAUUUAAUGGACCAAUCGAUAUCGGAUUCAGUCCAGAACUUGAGGAACAUCAUAAUAUGGUGGGAAGAGUCAUUCGGUGGGUUUUGAGUGAAAUCCAAUCUGUAUAACUAUGCAAUACACCAACCACUCCAUUUCAUAACGAACUUCGUACGAACCUGAAUUGUCCAAUUUCAUGGACCAAUCGAUAUCGGAUUGAGUCCAAAACUUGGGGAACAUGAUAAUAUGGUGGGAGGAGUCAUUUGGUGACUUUUGAGUGAAAUCCACUAGCUAAAACUAUGCAUUACACCAACCACUCCAUUUCAUAACGAACUUCAUACGAACCUGAACCGUCCAAUUUCAGGACCAAUCGAUAUCGGAGUGAGUCCAAAACUUGGGGAACAUCAUAAUAUGGUGGGAGGAGUCAUUUGGUGUGUUUUGAGUCAAAUCCAAUCUCUAGAACUAUGCGACACACCAACCACUCCAUUUCAUAACGAACUUCGUACGAAUAUGAAUUGUCCAAUUUCAUGGACCAAUCGAUAUCGGGUUGAGUAAAAAACUUGGGGAACAUCAUAUUAUGGUCGGAGGAGUCAUUUGUUGGGUUUUAAGUGAAAUCCAAUCUUUAGAACUAUGCAAUACACCAACCACUCCAUUUCAUAACGAACUUCGUACGAACGUGAAUUGUCCAAUUUCGUGGACCAAUCGAUAUCAGAUUGAGUACAAACUUGGGGAACAUCAUAAUAUGAUGGGUGCAGUCAUUUGGUGAGUUUUGAAUGAAAUCCAAUGGCUAAAACUAUGCAAUACACCAACCACUGCAUUUCAUAAGGAACUUCGUACGAACCUGAAUUGUCCAAUUUCCUGGACCAAUCGAUAUCAGAUUGAGAACAGAACUAGGGGAACAUUAUAAUAUGAUGGGUGGAGUCAUUUGGUUAGUUUUGAAUGAAAUCCAAUGGCUAAAACUAUGCAAAACGCCAACCACUCCAUGUCAUAACGAACUUCGUACGAACCUGAAUUGUCCAAUUUCAUGGACCAAUCUAUAUCGGAUUGAGUAAAAAACUUGGCGAACAUCAUAAUAUGAAGGGUGGAGUCAUUUGGUGAGUUUUGAAUGAAAUGCAAUGGCUAAAACUAUGCAAUACACCACCCACACCAUUUCAUAACGAACUUCGUACGAACCUGAAUUGUCCAAUUUCAUGGACCAAUCGAUAUCGGAUUGAGUUCAAAACCUGGGGAACAUCAUAAUAUGAUGGGCGGAGUCAUUUGGUGAGUUUUGAAUGAAAUCCAAUGGCUAAAACUAUGCAAUAUUCCAACCACUCCAUUUCAUAACGAACUUCGUACGAACUUGAAUUGUCUAAUUUCAUGGACCAAUUGAUAUCGGAUUGAGUCCAAAACUUGGGGAACAUCAUAAUAUGGUGGGAGGAGUCAUUUCGUGGGUUUUGAGUGAAAUCCAAUCUCCAGAACUAUGCAAUACACCAACCACUCCAUUUCAUAAUGAACUUCGUACAAACCUGAAUUGUCCAAUUUUAUGGACUAAUCGAUAUCUUAUUGAGUACAAAACUUGGGGAACAUCAUCAUAUGAUGGGGGAGUCAUUUGGUGAGUUUUGAAUGAAAUCCAAUCUCUAGAACUAUGCAAUACACCAACCACUCAAUUUCAUAACGAACUUCAUACGAAUAUUAAUUGUCCAAUUUCAUGGACCAAUCGAUAUCGGAUUGAGUAAAAAACUUGGGGAACAUCAUAUUAUGGUGGGAUGAGUCAUUUGUUGGGUUUUAUGUGAAAUCCAAUCUCUGGAACUAUGCAGUACACCAACCACUCCAUUUCAUAACGAACUUCAUACGAACGUGAAUUGUCCAAUUUCGUGGACAAAUCGAUAUCAGAUUGAGUACAAACUUGGGGAACAUCAUAAUAUGAUGGGUGCAGUCAUUUGGUGAGUUUUGAAUGAAAUCCAAUGGCUAAAACUAUGCAAUACACCAACCACUCCAUUUCAUAAGGAACUUCGUACGAACCUAAAUUGUCCAAUUUCAUGGACCAAUCGAUAUCAGAUUGAGUACAGAACUUGGGGAACAAUAUAAUAUGAUGGGUGGAGUCAUUUGGUUAGUUUUGAAUGAAAUCCAAUGGCUAAAACUAUGCAAUACACCAACCACUCCAUUUCAUAACAAACCUCGUACGAACCUAAAUUGUCCAAUUUGAUGGACCAAUCGAUAUCGCAUUGAGUCCAAAACAUGGGGAACAUCGUAAUGUGGUGGGAGGAGUCAUUUGGUGGGUUUUGAGUGAAAUCCAAUCUCUACAACUAUGCAAUACAUGAACCACUCCAUUUCAAAACGAACUUCGUAUGAACCUAAAUUGUCCAAUUUGAUGGACCAAUCGAUAUCGGAUUGAGUCCAAAACUUGGGGAACACCAUAAUAUGGUGGGAGGAGUCAUUUGGUGGAUUUUGAGUGAAAUCCAAUGGCUAAAACUUCGAAAUACACAAACCACUCCAUUUCAGAACGAAAUUCAUACAAGCCUGAAUUGUCCAAUUUGAUGGACCAAUCGAUAUCGGAUUUAGUCCAAAAGUUGGGGUACAUCAUAAUACGGUGGGAGUAGUCAUUUGGUAAGUUUUGGCAAAACCAACUGCCAAAACUAAGCAAUACACCAACCACUCCAUUUCGGAACGAACUUCGUUCGAAACUAAAUUGUCCGAUUUCAUGGACCAAUCAAUAUCGGAUUGAGUCCAAAACUUGGGGAACAUCAUAAUAUGGUGGGAGGAGUCAUUUGGUGCUCUUUGAGUGAAAUCGAAUCUCUAAAACUAUGCAAUACACCAACAACUCCAUUUCCAAACGAGCUUCGUACGAACAUGAAUUGUCCAAUUUCAUGGAACAAUCGAUAUCGGAUUGAGUCCAAAACUUGCGGAACAUCAUAAUAUGGUGGGAGGAAUCAUUUGGUGCUCUUUGUGUGAAAUCCACUAUCUAAAACUAUGCAAAGCAAAAACCACUCCAUUUCUGAAUGAACUUCGUAUGAACUUGAAUUGUCCAAUUUCAUGGACCAAUCAUUAUCGGAUUGACUCCAAGACUCGGGGAACAUAAUAAUAUGGUGGGAGGAGUCAUUUGGUGGGCUUUGAGUGAAAUCCUAUCUCUAGAACUACGCAAUACACCAACAACCCCAUUUCAUAAUGAACUUCGGACGAACUUGAAUUGUCCAAUUUCAUGGGCCAAUCAAUAUCGGAUUAAGUCAAAAACAUGGGGAACAUCAUAAUAUGAUGGGAGAAGUUAUUUUGUUGAUUCUUUGUGAAAUCCAACAGCUACAACUAUGCAAUACACCUACCACUCCAUUUCAUAACGAACUUCGUAUGAACCUAUAUUGUCCAAUUUGAUGGACCAGUCGAUAUCGGUUUGAGUCCAAAACUUGGGGAACGUCAUAAUGUUGUGGGAGGAGUUAUUUGGUGAGUUGUGAGUGAUAUCCAUUUCAGAACGAACUUCGUACGAACCUGAUUGUCCAAUUUCAUGUACCAAUCGAUAUCGGAUUGAGUCCAGAACUUGGGGAACAACAUAAUAUGGUGGGUUUUGAGUGAAAUGCAAUUGCCAAAACUAUGCACUACACCAACCACUCCAUUUGAAAAUGAACUUCGCACGAACCUGAAUUGUCCAAUUUCAUGGACCAAUCGAUAUCGGAUUGAGUUCGAAACAAGGGGAACAUCAUAAAAUAGUGUGAGGAGUCAUUUAGUGAGUUUUGAAUGAAAUCCGUUGGCUAAAACAAUGCAAUACACCAACCACUCCAUUUCAGAACGAACUUCGAACGAACCUGAAUUGUCCGAUUUCGUGGACCAAUCGAUAUCGGAUUUAGUCCAAAAGUUGGGGAACAACAUAAUAUGGUGGGAGGAGUCAUUUGGUGAGUUUUGAGCAAAACCAAUUGCCAAAACUAUGCAAUACACAAACCACUCCAUUUUAGAACGAACUUCGUUCGACACUGAGUUGUCCGAUUUCAUGGACCAAUGAAUAUCGGAUUUAGUCCAAAACUUGGGGAACAUCAUAAUAUGGUGGGAGGAGUCAUUUGGUGACUUUUGAGUGAAAUCCAAAGGCUAAUACUUUGAAAUAUACAAACCACUCCAUUUCUGAACGAACUUCGUACGAACCUGAAUUGUCCAAUAUCAAGGACCAAUUGAUAUCGGAUUGAGUCCAUAACUUGGGGAACAUCAUCAUAUGGUGGGAGGAUUCAUUUGGUGACUUUUGCGUGAAAUCCAAUGGCUAAAACUACGCAAUACACCAACCACUCCAUUCCGUAACAAACUUCGUAUGAACCUGAAUUGUCCAAUUUCAUGGACCAAUCGAUAUCGGAUUGAGUCCACAACUUCGGGAACAUCAUAAUAUGGUGGCAGGAGUCAUUUGGUGACUUUUGAGUGAAAUUCAAUGGGAACAACUAUGCAAUACACAAACCACUCCAUUUCAUAACGAACAUCGUCCGAACCUGAAUUGUCAAAUUUCAUGGACCAAUCGAAAUCGGAUUGAGUCCAAAACUUGGGGAACAUCGUAAUAUGGUGGGAGGGGUCAUUUGGUGGGUUUGGAGUGAAAUCCAAUCUCUACAACUAUGCAAUACACCAACCACUCCAUUUCGUAACGAACUUCGUACGAACCUGAAUUGUCCAAUUUCAUGGACCAAUCGAUAUCGGAUUCAGUCAAAAACUUGUGGAACAUCAUAAUAUGAUGGGAGAAGUCAUUUAGUGGGUUCUUUGUGAAAUCCAAUGGCUACAACUAUGCAAUACACCAACCACUCCAUUUCAUAACGAACUUCGUAUCAACCCGAAUUGUCCAAUUUCAGGGAACAAUCGAUAUCGGAUUGAGCCCAAAACUUGAGGAACAUCGUAAUAUGGUGGGGGUAUCAUUUAUUGGGUUUGGAGUGAAAUCCAAUUUCUUGAACUAUGCAUUACGCAAACCACUCAAUUUCAGAACGAACUUCGUACGAACCUAAAUUGUCCAAUUUCAUGGAAAAAUCGAUAUCGGAUUGAGUCCAAAACCUGGGGAACCUCAUAAUAUGGUGGGAGGAGUCGUUUGGUGGGUUUGGAGUCAAAUCCAAUCUCUACGACUAUGCAAUGCACCAACCACUCCAUUUCAUAACGAACUUUGUACGAACCUGAAUUGUCCAGUUUCAUGGACCAAUCGAUAUCGGAUUGAGUCAAAAACUUGGGGAACAUCAUAAUAUGAUGGGAGAAGUUAUUUUGUUGGUCCUUUGUGAAAUCUAAUGGCUACAACUAUGCAAUACACCUACCACUCCAUUUCAGAACGAACUUCGUACGAACCUAUAUUGUCCAAUUUGAUGGACCAAUCAAUAUCGGAUUGAGUCCAACACUUGGGGAACAUCAAAAUAUGGUGGGACGAGUCAUUUGGUGCGUUUUAAGUGAAAUCCAAUCUCUAGAACUAUGCAAUACACCAACCAUCAUACGAACCUGAAUUGUCCAAUUUUGUGGACCAAUCGAUAUCGGAUUGAGUCCAAAACUUUCGGAACAACAUAAUCUGGUAGGAGGAGUCAUUUGGUGACUUUUGAGUGAAAUCGAAUGGCCAAAACUAUGCAAUACACCAACCACUCCAUUUCAUAACGAACAUCGUCCGAAGCUGAAUUCUCAAAUUUCAUGGACCAAUCGAUACCAGAUUGAGUCCAAAACUUGGGGAACAUCGUAAUAUGGUGGGAGGGUUCAUUUGGUGGGUUUGAGUGAAAUCCAAUUUCUAGAACUAUGCAAUACACCAACCACUCCGUUUCAUAACGACCUUCGUAUGUAUCUCAAUUGUCCAAUUUCAUUGACCAAUCGAUAUCGGAUUGAGUACAAAACUUGGGGAACACCGUAAUAUGGUGGGAGGGGUCAUUUGGUGGGUUUGGAGUGAAAUAUAAUCUCUAGAAGUAUGCAAUACACCAACCACUCCAUUUCAGAACGAACUUCGUACGAACCUAAAUUGUCCUAUUUCAUGGACCAAUCAUUAUCGGAUUGAGUCCAAAACCUGGGGAACAUCACAAUAUGGUGGGAGUAGUCAUUUGUUGGGUUUUGAGUGAAAUCCAAUCUCUAAAACUUUGCAAUACACCAACCACUCCAUUUCAAAACGAACUUUGUCCGAACCUGAAUCGUCCAAUUUCAUGGACCAAUCGUUAUCGGAUUGAGUCCAAAACCUGGGGAACAUCACAAUAUGGUGGGAGUACUCAUUUGUUGGGUUUUGAGUGAAAUCCAAUCUCUAGAACUAUGCAAUACACCAACCACUCCAUUUCAUAACGAACAUCGUCCGAACCUGAAUUGUCAAAUUUCAUGGACCAAUCGACACCGGAUUGAGUCCAAAACUUGGGGAACAUCGUAAUAUGGUGGGAGGGUUCAUUUGGUGGGUUUGGAGUGAAAUCCAAUCUCUAGAACUAUAGAAUACACCAACCACUCCAUUUCAUAACGAACUUCGGACGAGCCUAAAUUGUCAAAUUUCAUGGACCAAUCGAUAUCAGAUUGAGUCUAAAACUUGGGGAACAUCAUAAUAUGGUGGGAGGAGUCAUCUGGUGGGUUUUGAGUGGAAUCCAAUCUCCGGAACUAUGCAAUACACCAACCACUCCAUUUCAUAUCGAACUUCGUACGAACCUAAAUUGUCCAAUUUCAUGCACCAAUCGAUAUCGGACUGAGUACAAAACUUGGGGAACACCAUAAUAUGGUGGGAGGAAUCAAUUGGUGGGUUUUGAGUGAAAUGCAAUCUCUAGAACUAUGCAAUACUCCAACCACUCCAUUUCGUAACGAACUUCGUACGAACCUGAAUUGUCAAAUUUCAUGGGCCAAUCGAUAUCGGAUUGAGUCCAAAACUUGUUGAACAGCAAAAUAUGAUGGGAGAAGUCAUUUAGUGGGUUCUUUGUUUCCAAUGGCUACAACUAUGCAAUACACCAACCGCUCCAUUUCAAAAUGAACUUCGUACGGACCUGAAUUGUCCAAUGUCAUGGACCAAUUGAUAUCGGAUUGAGUCCAAAACUUGGGGAACAUCAUAAUAUGGUGGGAGUAGUCAUUUGUUGGGUUCUGAGUGAAAUCCAAUCUCUAGAACUGUGCAAUACACCAACCACUCCAUUUCAGAACGAACUUCGUACGAACCUAAAUUGUCCUAUUUCAUAGACCAAUAGAUAUCGGACUGAGUCCAAAACUUGGGAAACAUCAUAAUAUGGUGGAAGGAGUCAAUUGGUGGGUUUUGAGUGAAAUCCAAUCUCUAGAACUUUGCAAUACACCAACCACUCCAUUCAAAACGAACUUCGUCCGAACCUGAAUCGUCCAAUUUCAUGGACCAAUCGUUAUCGGAUUGAGUCCAAAACCUGGGGAACAUCACAAUAUGGUGGGAGUAGUCAUUUGUUGGGUUUUGAGUGAAAUCCAAUCUCUGGAACUAUGUAAUACACCAACCACUCCAUUUCAGAACGAACGUCAUACGAACCUAAAUUGUCCUAUUUCAUAGACCAAUCGAUAUCGGACUGAGUCCAAAACUUGGGGAACAUCAUAAUAUGGUGGAAGGAGUCAUGUGGUGGGUUUCGAGUGAAAUCCAAUCUCUAGAACUAUGCAAUACACCAACCACUCCAUUUCAGAACGAACUUCGUACGAACCUAAAUUGUCCUAUUUCAUAGACCAAUCGAUGUCGGAUUGAGUCCAAAACCUGGGGAACAUCACAAUAUGGUGGGAAUAGUCAUUUGUUGGGUUUUGAGUGAAAUCCCAUCUCUAGAACUUUGCAAUACACCAACCACUCCAUUCAAAACGAACUUCGUCCGAACUUGAAUCGUCCAAUUUCAUGGACCAAUCGUUAUCGGACUGAGUCCAAAACCUGGGGAACAUCACAAUAUGGUGGGAGUAGUCAUUUGGUGGAUUUUGAGUGAAAUCCAAUCUCCAGAACUAUGCAAUGCACCAACCACUCCAUUUCAUAUCGAACUUCGUACGAACCUAAAUUGUCCAAUUUCAUGCACUAAUCGAUAUCAGACUGAGUACAAAACUUGGGGAACAUCACAAUGUGGUGGGAGUAGUCAUUUGGUGGGUUUUGAGUGAAAUCCAAUCUCUAGAACUAUGCAAUACACCAACCACACCAUUUCAUAUCGAACUUCGUACGAACCUAAAUUGUCCAAUUUCAUGCACUAAUCGAUAUCAGACUGAGUACAAAACUUGGGGAACACAAUAAUUUGGUGGGAGGAGUCAUUUGGUGGGUUCUGAGUGAAAUGCAAUCUCUAGAACUAUGCAAUACUCCAACCACUCCAUUUCGUAACGAACUUCGUACGAACCUGAAUUGUCAAAUUUAAUGGGCCAAUCGAUAUCGGAUUGAGUCCAAAACUUGGGGAACAUCAAAAUAUGAUGGGAGAAGUCAUUUAGUGGGUUCUUUGUGAAAUCCAAUGGCUAGCUAUGCAAUACACCAACCGCUCCAUUUCAAAAUGAACUUCGUACGGACCUGAAUUAUCCAAUGUCAUGGACCAAUCGAUAUCGGAUUGAGUCCAAAACUUGGGGAACAUCAUAAUAUGGUGGGAGUAGUCAUUUGUUGGGUUUUGGGUGAAAUCCAAUCUCUAGAACUAUGCAAUACACCAACCACUCCAUUUCAGAACGAACUUCGUACGAACCUAAAUUGUCCUAUUUCAUAGACCAAUCGAUAUCGGACUGAGUCCAAAACUUGGGGAACAUCAUAAUAUGGUGGAAGGAGUCAAGUGGUGGGUUUUGAGUGAAAUCCAAUCUCUAGAACUAUGCAAUACACCAACCACUCCAUUUCAUAAUGAACUUCGGACGAACCUAAAUUGUCAAAUUUCAUGGACCAAUCGAUAUCGGAUUGAGUCCAAAACUUGGGGAACAUCAUAAUAUGGUGGGAGGAGUCAUCUGGUGGACUUUGAGUGAAAUGCAAUCUCUAGAACAAUGCAAUACACCAACCACUCCAUUUCCUAUCGAACUUCGUAUGAACCUAAAUUGUCCAAUUUCAUGCACCAAUCGAUAUCGGACCGAGUACAAAACUUGGGGAACACCAUAAUACCAGGGUGGAGUCAUUUGGUGGGUUUUGAGUGAAAUGCAAUCGCUAGAACUAUCAAAUACUCCAACCACUCCAUUUCGUAACGAACUUCGUACGAACCUGAAUCGUCAAAUUUCAUGGGCCAAUCGAUAUCGGACUGAGUCCAAAACCUGGGGAACAUCACAAUAUGGUGGGAGUAGUCAUUUGGUGGGUUUUGAGUGAAAUCCAAUCUCCAGAACUAUGCAAUGCACCAACCACUCCAUUUCAUAUCGAACUUCGUACGAACCUAAAUUGUCCAAUUUCAUGCACUAAUCGAUAUCAGACUGAGUACAAAACUUGGGGAACAUCACAAUGUGGUGGGAGGAGUCAUUUGGUGUUUUUUGAGUGAAAUCCAAUCUCUAGAACUAUGCAAUACGCCAACCACUCCAUUUCAUAUCGAACUUCGUACGAACCUAAAUUGUCAAAUUUCAUGGACCAAACGAUAUCGGAUUGAGUCCAAAACUUGGGGAACACCAUAAUUUGGUGGGAGGAGUCAUUUGGUGGGUUCUGAGUGAAAUGCAAUCUCUAGAACUAUGCAAUACUCCAACCACUCCAUUUCGUAACGAACUUCGUACGAACCUGAAUUGUCAAAUUUAAUGGGCCAAUCGAUAUCGGAUUGAGUCCAAAACUUGGGGAACAUCAAAAUAUGAUGGGAGAAGUCAUUUAGUGGGUUCUUUGUGAAAUCCAAUGGCUAGCUAUGCAAUACACCAACCGCUCCAUUUCAAAAUGAACUUCGUACGGACCUGAAUUAUCCAAUGUCAUGGACCAAUCGAUAUCGGAUUGAGUCCAAAACUUGGGGAACAUCAUAAUAUGGUGGGAGUAGUCAUUUGUUGGGUUUUGGGUGAAAUCCAAUCUCUAGAACUAUGCAAUACACCAACCACUCCAUUUCAAAACGAACUUCGUUCGAACAUGAAUUGUCCAAUUUCAUCGACCAAUCAUUAUCGGAUUGAGUCCAAAACUUGGGGAACAGCAUAAUAUGGUGGGAGGAGUCAUUUGUUGGGUUUUGAGUGAAAUCCAAUCUCUCGAACUAUGCAAUACACCAACCACUGCAUUUCAGAAAGAACUUCGUACGAACCUAAACUGUCCUAUUUCAUGGACGAAUAGAUAUCGGACUAUGUCCAAAACUUGGGGAACAUCAUAAUAUGGUGGAAGGAGUCCAGUGGUGGGUUUUGAGUGAAAUCCAAUCUCUAGAACUAUGCAAUACACCAACCACUCCAUUUCAUAACGAACUUCGGACGAACCUAUAUUGUCAAAUUUCAUGGACCAAUCGAUAUCGGAUUGCGUCCAAAACUUGGGGAACAUCAUAAUAUGGUGGGAGGAGUCAUCUGGUGGAUUUUGAGUGAAAUGCAAUCUCUAGAACUAUGCAAUACACCAACCACUCCAUUUCCUAUCGAACUUCGUAUGAACCUAAAUUGUCCAAUUUCAUGCACCAAUCGAUAUCGGACUAAGUACAAAACUUGGGGAACACCAUAAUAUGGUGGGUGGAGUCAUUCGGUGGGUUUUGAGUGAAAUGCAAUCGCUAGAACUAUCAAAUACUCCAACCCCAUUUCGUAACGAACUUCGUACGAACCUGAAUCGUCAAAUUUCAUGGGCCAAUCGAUAUCGGAUUGAGUCCAAAACUUGGGGAACAUCAAAAUAUGAUGGGAGAAGUCAUUUAGUGGGUUCUUUGUGAAAUCCAAUGGCUACAACUAUGCAAUACACCAUCCACUCCAUUUCAAAACGAACUUCGUACAGACCUGAAUUGUCAAAUGUCAUGGACCAAUCGAUAUGGGAUGGAGUCCAAAACUUGGGGAACAUCAUAAUAUGGUGGGAGUAGUCAUUUGUUGGGUUUUGAGUGAAAUCCAAUCUCUAGAACUACGCAAUACACCAACCACUCCAUUUCAGAACGAACUUCGUACGAACCUAAAUUGUCCUAUUUCAUAGACCAAUCGAUAUCAGAUUGAGUCCAAAACCUGGGGAACAUCACAAUAUGGUGGGAGUAGUCAUUUGUUGGGUUUUGGGUGAAAUCCAAUCUUUAGAACUUGGCAAUACACCAACCACUCCAUUCAAAAUGAACUUCAUCCGAACCUGAAUCAUCCAAUUUCGUGGACCAAUCGUUAUCGGAUUGAGUCCAAAAACUGGGGUACAUCACAAUAUGGUGGGAGGAGUCAUUUUGGUGGGUUUUGAGUGAAAUCCAAUCUCUAGAACUAUGCAAUACACCAACCACUCUAUUUCAUAACGAACUUCGGACGAACCACAAUUGUCAAAUUUCAUGGACCAAUCGAUAUCGGAUUGAGUCCAAAACUUGGGGAACAUCAUAAUGUGGUGGGAGGAGUCAUUUGGUGGGUUUUGAGUGAAAUCCAAUACGUAGAACUAUGCAAUACACCAACCACUCCAUUUCAUAUCGAACUUCGUACGAACCUAAAUUGUCCAAUUUCAUGCACUAAUCGAUAUCAGACUGAGUACAAAACUUGGGGAACACAAUAAUAUGGUGGGAGGAGUCAUUUGGUGGGUUCUUAGUGAAAUGCAAUCUCUAGAACUAUGCAAUACUCCAACCACUCCAUUUCGUAACGAACUUCGUACGAACCUGAAUUGUCAAAUUUAAUGGGCCAAUCGAUAUCGGAUUGAGUCCAAAACUUGGGGAACAUCAAAAUAAGAUGUGAGAAGUCAUUUAGUGGGUUCUUUGUGAAAUCCAAUGGCUACAACUAUGCAAUACACCAACCACUCCAUUUCAAAACGAACUUCGUACAAACCUGAAUUGUCCAAUGUCAUGGACCAAUCGAUAUCGGAUUGAGUCCAACACUUGGGGAACAUCAUAAUAUGGUGGGAGGAGUCAAUUGGUGGGUUUUGAGUGAAAUCCAAUAUCUAGAACUAUGCAAUACACCAACCACUCCAUUUCAAAACGAACUUCGUUCGAACAUGAAUUGUCCAAUUUCAUCGACCAAUCAUUAUCGGAUUGAGUCCAAAACUUGGGGAACAGCAUAAUAUGGUGGGAGGAGCCAUUUGUUGGGUUUUGAGUGAAAUCCAAUCUCUCGAACUAUGCAAUACACCAACCACUGCAUUUCAGAAAGAACUUCGUACGAACCUCAAUUGUCCAAUUUCAUAGACCAAUAGAUAUCGGACUAUGUCCAAAACUUGGGGAACAUCAUAAUAUGGUGGGAGGAGUCAUUUGGUGGGUUUUGAGUGAAAUCCAAUCUCUAGAACUACGCAAUACACCAACCACUCCAUUUCAUAACGAACUUCGGACAAACCUAAAUUGUCUAAUUUCAUGGACCAACGAUAUCGGAUUGAGUCCAAAACUUGGGGAACAUCAUAAUAUGGUGGGAGAGUCAUCUGGUGGGUUUUGAGUGAAAUCCAAUCUCUAGAACUAUGCAAUACACCAACCACUCCAUUUCUUAAGGAACUUCGUACGAACCUAAAUUGUCCAAUUUCAUGCACCAACCGAUAUCGGACUGGGUACAAAACUUGGGGAACACCAUAAUAUGAUGGGAGGAGUCAUUUGGUGGGUUUUGAGUGAAAUGCAAUCUCUAGAACUAUGUAAUACUCCAACCACUCCAUUUCGUAACGAACUUCGUACGAAUCUGAAUUGUCAAAUUUCAUGGGCCAAUCGAUAUCGGAUUGAGUCCAAAACUUGGGGAACAUCAUAAUAUGGUGGGAGGAGUCAUUUGGUGACUUUUGAGUGAAAUCCAAUGACUACAACUAUGCAAUACACCAACCACUCCAUUUCAUAACGAACUUCGUACGAACCUGAAUUGUCCAAUUUCAUGGACCAAUCGAUACCGGAUUGAGUCCAAAACUUGGGGAACCCCAUAAUGUGGUGGGAGGUGUCAUUUGGUGGGUUUUGGGUGAAAUUCAAUCGCUAGAACUAUGCAAUACACCAACCACUCCAUUUCAUAACGAACUUCUUACGAACCUGAAUUGUCCAAUUUCAUGGACCAAUCGAUAUCGGAUUGAUUCCAAAACUUGGGGAACAUCAUAAUGUGAUGGGUGGAGUCAUUUGGUGAGUUUUGAAUGAAAUCCAAUGGCUAAAACUAUGCAAUACACCAACCACUCCAUUUUAGAACGAACUUCGUACAAACCUGAAUUGUCCAAUUUCAUGGUCCAAUCGAUAUCGGAUUGAGUCCAAAACUUGGGGAACAUCAUAAUAUGGUGGGAGGAGUCAGUUGGUGGGUUUUGAGGGAAAUCCAAUCUCUACAACUAUGCAAUCCACCAACCACUCCCUUUCAUAUCGAACUUCGUACGAACCUGAAUUGUCCAAUUUCAUGGACCAAUCGAUAUCGGAUUGAGUCCAAAACUUGGGGAACAUCAUAAUAUGGUAGGAGGAGUCAUUUGGUGACUUUUGAGUGAAAUCCAAUGGCUAAAACUGUGCAAUAUGUUGGACCUAUUCUUAACAACUAAAAUGAGUUAUUUAAAACAGCAACUGUGAUUCUCGCAAGUGCACGAUCCAUUUAUAGAAUAGCUUAUGUAAAUACGAGGUCGAUCCCACAGAAAAUGGUAACUUGGUUCCAAGUUAAAUUACUUAGAAUGCUAGAAAAACAUAAAACAAAGAAACUGACUAACAUGAUUUCUCCAGUUUGCCCCUGGCCUGUUCCUGUCAUUGUUAGCAAAAAUGUUGUUUCUCCCUCUGCCUCUUCUCCCUCUUGCAGGUGGAGGGAAUGGAUUGGGAUCCAUCCUUCUGGGUCUGUAGGGCAACACAGCUGGUGGCUCAAGCAGAAGUGCCAAAGGUUGAUCAUGCAGGGCCACAGGUUGAGGAAUAGGCUGAGGUUUUGGAUAAUUCUGCUGGAUCUGAAUUGGUGCAGGGCCUUCUAGCAGGACUGGGGCCUCAUGUUCUUGGACGGGAAGAGCUCCUCCCCUCUGUCCAUCCUGGAUCUCUCCAUGCCCUGGUAUUCCAGCUAUUUGUGCAAUGAGAGGGUUCUCCUGGUAUGGCCAUGCUAAUCCUGGAAGAGGGCUAUAAGGAAGGUCUAGCUGCUGGACUACAACAUCUGGAUUUGGAAUUCUGGCCAUGCUAGCCUCACGGUCCUUCCUGAACUGCAUGUUAACCUGCCACUGCAUCAUGGCUGUCAUGUUAUUGAGAGUAUCCUGGCUCCUUUGUGUUGUAACCUCCUGUCGGAAUACAGAUUCCUGUAUUUGAUUCAUCCUCCUAGAGCCGGUCUUGGGACGUCUGCUUCCGGUACUGCCCUAGGUUGAUUGCCUGGCGUCACUUUCUUCUGACUGCAGACCUUCCCUGAGAGCUACUUGAUUUAUCUCCAUGGGGUGGUGCGGGUUCUAGCUAGAGCUUCCAAUAUUCAUAAACUUGAGAAGAAUUUUGUCAGAGUAUGCAUACUGAGCAGUCCCACUGGGCGUGCCAAAUUGUUCACCUGUUUUGUUUUUAUUCCUGUGAUGGAAGGGCAAAGUUCCCUAUUGCCUUGAAAACCAUUGACUGGUCAGCAAGCCAACUUUCUUUCGUGUGUGAGCGUGCCACUGCUAGCGAUGAAAAAUCCUAGCAGACUUCUUUGAAACAAAUAACUUGCGCCCCAAGUUACUAAUUUCUAAACAAGCAAUUAUGAAUUUGGGUGAGGAAUAUCUCCCAAGUAAGUUCUUUUCCUGCCUCAGGCUGGUGAGGACUUCAUAAUUUAUCACAGUAUAAAAUUGGUAGUUCUGGCCAGAAUAGAUGAUAAUAAAGUGGACUGUUUUAGGCAGAACUGCCUUUUACAAAUUUAAGAAGGAAAAAACCAACUCUAAAAAGACAAAAAGAUGGCUGGAAUCCCAUUUGGCAGAGCUUUAGUCUACUUCAAGCCUUGGGAGGCUUUUGAGCUGGCAAAACUGCAGUUUCUUCAGUCUGAAGGGGUAGAUGUGGCUGGACUUGAGGACUUAAUGAGCUGGAACUGCACUGUAAAAUUUGUUGAGGUUUUCAUAUUUGUGAAAACUCAAACUCUGCUUGUCUUGGCUUUUGCUGAACCAAAUUUGUAACGAGAGGAGUCUCGUUUUGAAUGACUUAUUUCUCUGAGUUUGAACUUGGAAGUUUUGAUCUACAGCUGGCUUCUUUUGUGGCUCAAAUGAGCUUUUGGUUGCUCCAGUUUGUUUUGAAGGUUCUCAGUGAUCAAGUGAUCAUUUUGAAUUUUUGGCUUUGGUUGAUUUUUUGAUUGUUUUUUCUGUUGAUCCUUUGAUUGUCCAACUUCUCCUGUAUUUAUAAGAAAUGUUUUGAAGUAGGGUUUCUUUCUUUUAAUAAUGGGCGGCAAAAAUUCUCAAAAAGAUCUUUCAUUUUUCUAUACAAAGAAGAAGAAGAUUUUAUCAAUUUCUAGCAGAUAGGCUUUCGACAGUGAGUUCUUUUUAAGACCAAUCACUUCUCUGUUUUUUUUUUAAACAGAACCUAACCCCUCUUUAAUUCCAACUCCCCUUUUGUGAGAGCUCAAACUGUGAUGUUCAGUUUGCUUUUAUGGUUUGAACAACUCCCUGUUUUCCUGGUUAUCUCUUUUUGAGAACUUUAGCCUGCGUAUCCCUUGAAAGAUGGUGUUUUCUUUGGAGUAGAAACAAUAUCUCUGAAUAUAUAAAAAGGGUUUUGAUCUUUGUGGUGGCAGAGAUUUCAGAGACGUCCAUUCUUUCUGCCUGCCUCUGUCAACUCUCUUAUCAACCUAGUUGAUUUUGACUUUUCUAAGUCAGAGAAAAAUAAUCAUGUGGGUCUGUUUCCUUUUGGGUUUCUACUUUUUACUUUGAUCAUGCCAAGCCCAAUUUAGUUUCUUCGAAGCCCAAGCUUGAGAUAGGUUCUGGGCCGGGCUUUUGUUGGAUUUUGGACCUUUGGUUCAUGUUUAUUUUCAGAGUCCAGACUUCUCGGGCCCAGGGUUGUUGUCUUUGUUAUUCUGGGCUCUAUAGCGUUUGGGCUGGGUGCGCAAGAUUUUGGCCCAAACAUUAUGUGCUUGAUGUAUGUUUUCUUCGAGUAGCUAACUAGGAUUUUAUGCAUCUAGCACAGGUUGGGAAGGGGUUUAGAUUCACCAAUUCUUCUCUCUUUUCACAAGCAACACAUGAAUGGCCUAAGAAUCAUUCAAGGGUUUAAUAAUCAUAGGUUGACUAGGACAGAUACCAUGUUCUAGGACUUGUGACAGGACCCGAUCCAAAUUUUGCUUUGGGAUCCGAGCCAGACCCUGUGCGUGUCCGACACCUGGCGAAUGUCGGGCACAAAUGACCUAUUUGCCCUUCUAAACAAAACACGAUAAAAUAACAAGGUUGACUUCUACCGAAAAACUGACAGAGUUUCCCUUGUAACUGGCUCAAUACCAAAACAUUUACACCUGUCAAAACAAGUAUAUAUAUAUACAACCAACUGCCAGCAUAUGUAUAUAUACAUUCCAACAGUUCAAUUCUCAGUCUGGGGCAAAACAUCAGAGCAACUACUAAGAAUUUACAAGGAAUCAAUCCUUUUACAAAACAAAAAUCCUACAUCAAAAGAAAGGCGCGAAAGAUGGGAAAUGGCCCGGUGGUGGAUUCCUGUGCACGUCUACUGCCUGGGGGCGCAAAACAACAAAAAGGGUGAGUGGACCCAAAACAAAGUUUAGAAAAUAAUAUAUGAACAUACUAACCCCACUGUAAAAACAGUUAUACAAACUAGCUUGUGUUCUUUAUUUCUGAAAUCAAUGCAUGUAUAUAACUAUACAUUUGAACACAGUUGAAAACUAUCACCUAUGUGUACCCUUCUUUCCGUCAAAUCCUUAUAUCCGUCAAUUCCUUGCAUCACCAUGGGUGACACAUACUCGCAGGUCUCAGUGACACGAAGUCAGUCCGAGCCGCAACUCGCAGGAUGCAGGGGACCGUAGUUCACCUGAUCCGCAUUACUCGCUCCACACGAGUUCGAGUACCAAGGAACUCGUGGGGCAACUGUCAAGCAUGCUGACUAAACCGAAGGCAACAAAUAUAAUCCGAAGGCAACAAUUAAUAUCUGGGUACAAGGUGGUUUAAGAAAAUAUAAAGUUUCUGAAGCAAAAUUGUUGAAUAAUUAACUUUCUGUAACCUUUAAAAUUCUGCUACCAUUUAUCUGAUAAUUAACGAGAAUAUCUUUUCCUAUAUUCUUUAAAGGAGCUUUCACUCGGCAGCAUGCAACAUAAAAUAUUUAACAGCAUAAAACAGCUUAUAACUGAAACUGAACUGCUUAAAUUCAUUUAUUAAAACAAAGAGUCCACUCACUGAUAGUCCGAGCUCGCUGGACCUCUUGAAGGUCCCUCCUGCGGGUCAACUGGUGCCCGGGUGCCUGAUUUAAUGACCAUAAUAUUCUAUUAAUACAAUAUAGUAUUAUAUUAAAAACCCUACCCCCGGCUCCUAAAAGUACGUGUGUCAAUUUAAAGUUAUCCCUAUGACCAUAAAAGCUUUCCUUCCACGUGGGAUAGUUUAACGGUAUCUUGGGACUCAAAUAGCGCCAAAGUCCAAAAAGUCAAUCCGGGACCCCACGGGUCAAUGACCUCACAAUAUGAUCCAGAUACCGCUAGAAGGUCCAAUAUAUCUAGGACACAUGUCCCGAGGGUAUUGGUGUCGAUCGGACGGUCGGAUUGAUCACAAUCGUGUAAUCGCAUAAUUCCUAAACCCUAGCCCUAGGGUUCGCAAUUUUGGAGUAUCCAGGACUCCGAUUCACGAUCCGUCGAAUCCUACACGUUUCUGAAAUUAUCUAGAGUAACAUAUCUAAAACUGGUUACGAUCCAACGGCUCAACAGUAUUGAACCCGAUAAUCGCACAAUAUGGAAAAUCCGUUCGAGGCUCAAACGGUAUCCAAAUUGAGAUCCGCGAAUUCCUAUGUGCUCGUGACAACCUAAGGAUCGCAUCAAGACACAGUGCCACUACACUACACUUGCCCACGUGCCGCCACACGCGCCGGCAGCGAUGGGUGUCCAAAGCGAUUACGCAUCGCCGGAAAAUCUCAAAACCAAGGCUCCAAACUCCUACCCUAGGUAUAACACCAUAUUUGGAACCACUUUUGUUCUUGGACCUACCCCAAAAACUGACCGGAAGUGGCCGAACACGGAGGCCGAAAACUGGCCGAAUUUCCAAUUCGAAAAUUCAUUAUUUACACUGAGAACCGAUUAAUUCCUACCCAACAGGCAGCUAGAACAGCUCAAGAGGGUCAAAAUCCACACCUGGCUCGUCCGAUUUGGUUGAGAAAUGAGAGAGAAUGACGGCCGUGAAAUUCCGGUCACACCGCUCGGUUUUCUGCAGUUUCCGGCGGCUGGAGUGGAUGACGGCGACGGAAACCGGGUGGUGGUCUGUGGCCGGUGGUGGUUUGUGGCGGCGACGGCGACCCUUGGAAGUUAAGGCUGGGCGGAACGAAACUGUCGGGGGGGGGGGAAGAAUGCUCGCGAGAGAGAGAGAGAGAGAGAGAGAGAAACUGAGGGAGAAGAGAGAGAGAGUGAGGGUUUUGUAAUAAAAUCUGAGUUUUCCUAAUUACCAUUUCGCCCCUCAUGAUAUUUUAAUCUUACUUUCUUCGUUAAAGCUCCGAUUUGAGUCAACUUCGUGUCUAUGAACUCAUUUCGUCGUGCUCUACGCAACGGUGUAUGUGGAAUUGUCAAAUUCCUUUUCGGUCAAAAAGUCAACUUUUCGUUAAUAAAGUAUUCCAAGGGUAAAAUUGUCUUUCCGCAUAAUAAAUUACUAAUUAAAUAUGAAUUUUAGGUUUGGGUCAUUACAACUUGUGUGAUUAUCAUAUUCUCAAGGAGCUUAAUGACUCUUGUAUGCUUUAUUCUAAGUAGAUACCAUGCUUAGGUUGCAUAUUAGAGAUCACGUGUUGUGUAGAUACCAUGCAUAAUCACAUGCCUUAGGAGAAUCAUGCAUCCUGCACCUAGAUACCAUAGGCUUGUAUGCGAUAAUCUAUUGUUGAUGAAGCUUGAGUCAAUUUCUAUGCACUCAUAACUUGGAUAGACUAGUGGUGGAUUCCAAGGCUCUAACACCUCUCAAUCAUUGUUUCACAACUCGUUGAUUGCUACCAGUGUUUAGUUUCGAGCACUUUCAUUUCACUUUCUUCUUUUCAUUUCAACAACAAAAAACCCUUCAUUCCGAGUGUGUGUGUGGUGCUAGGAUUCUGUCCUAGACCUUGAGUAAUUAGUAAGAGGCAUUGUUGAAUUCGACCUUGCCUUUAGCUCGUUAGUCAGUUUCUUUGUUCUAUAUUUUUCUAGCAUUCUAAGUAAUUUAACUUGGAACCAAGUUACCACUUUUCGUGGGAUCGACCUCGUAUUUACAUAAGCUAUACUAUAAACGGUUCGUGCACUUGCGAGAAUUAAAGUUGCUGUUUUUAAUAACUCAUUUUAGUUGUUAAGAAUAGGUCCAACAUAUUGCAUAGCUUUAGCCAUUGGAUUUCACUCAAAAGUCACCAAAUGACUCCUCCCACCAUAUUAUGAUGUUCCCCAAAUUUUGGAUUCAAUCCGAUAUCGAUUGGUCCAUGAAAUUGGACAAUUCAGGUUCGUAUGAAGUUCAAUAUGAAAUGGAGUGCUUGGUGUAUUGCACAGUUGUAGAGAUUGGAUUUCACUCAAAACCCACCAAAUGACUCCGCCCACCAUAUUAUGAUCUUCCCCAAGUUUUGGACUCAUUUCGAUAUCGAUUGGUCCAUGAAAUUGGACACUUCAGGUUCGUACGAAGUUCGUUAUGAAAUGGAGUGGUUGGUAUAUUGCAUAGUUCUAGAGAUUGGAUUUCACUCAAAACCCAACAACGGACUCCCCCCACAAUAUUAUGACGUUCCCUAAGUUUUCGACUCAAUCUGAUAUCGAUUAGUCCACGAAAUUGGACAAUUCAGGUUCAUACGAAGUUCGUUCUGAAAUGGAGUGGUCUGUGUAUUUCAUAGCUUUAGUCAUUGGAUUUCACUGAAAAGUCACCAAAUGACUAAUCCCACCAUAUUAUGAUGUUCCCCAAGUUUUGGAGUCAAUCCGAUAUCGAUUGGUGCAUGAAAUUGGACAAUUUAGGUUCGUACGAAGUUCGAUCUGAAAUGGAGUGGUUGGUGUAUUGCAUAGUGCUAGAGAUUGGAUUUCACUCAAAACCCACCAAAUGACUCCGCCCACCAUAUUAUGAUCUUCCCCAAGUUUUGGACUCAUUUCGAUAUCGAUUGGUCCAUGAAAUUGGACACUUCAGGUUCGUACGAAGUUCGUUAUGAAAUGGAGUGGUUGGUAUAUUGCAUAGUUCUAGAGAUUGGAUUUCACUCAAAACCCAACAACGGACUCCCCCCACAAUAUUAUGACGUUCCCUAAGUUUUCGACUCAAUCUGAUAUCGAUUAGUCCACGAAAUUGGACAAUUCAGGUUCAUACGAAGUUCGUUCUGAAAUGGAGUGGUCUGUGUAUUUCAUAGCUUUAGUCAUUGGAUUUCACUGAAAAGUCACCAAAUGACUAAUCCCACCAUAUUAUGAUGUUCCCCAAGUUUUGCACUCAAUCCGAUAUCGAUUGGUCCAUGAAAUUGGACAAUUCAAGUUCGUACGAAGUUCGUUAUUUAAUGGAGUGGGUGGUGCACGCAUAGUUUUAGCCAAUGGAUUUCAUUCAAAACUCACCAAAUGACUCCACCAAUCAUAUUAUGAUGUUCCCCAAGUUUUGGACUCAAUCCGAUAUCGAUUGGUCCAUGAAAUUGGACAAUUCAGGUUCGUACGAAGUUCGUUAUGAAAUGGAGUGGUUGGGGUAUUGCAAAGUUGUAGAGAUUGGAUUUCACUCAAAACCCAUCAAAUGACUCCUCCCACCAUAUUAUGAUGUUCCCCAAGUUUUGGACUCAAUUGGAUAUCGAUUGGUCAAUGAAAUGGGACAAUUCAGGUUCGUACGAAGUUCGUUAUGAAAUGGAGUGGUUGGUGUAUUGCAUAGUUCUAGAGAUUGGAUUUCACUCAAAACCCACCAAAUGACUCCUCCCACCAUAUUAUGAUGUUCCCCAAGUGUUGGACUCAAUCCGAUAUCGAUUGGUCCAUGAAAUAGGACAACUCAGGUUCGUACGAAGUUCGUUAUGAAAUGGAGUGGUUGGUGUAUUGCAUAGUUCUAGAGAUUGGAUUUCACUCAAAACCCACCAAAUGACUCCUUCAACCACAUUAUGAUGUUCCCCAAGUUUUGGACUCAUCGCAUCCGAUAUCGAUUAGUCCAUGAAAUUGGACAACUCAGGUUCGUACGAAGUUCGUUCCGAAAUAGAGUGGUUGGUGUAUUGCACAGUUUUACCCAUUGGAUUUCAUUUAAAACUCACCAAAUAACACACCCAACAUAUUAUGAUGUUCCCCAAGUUUUGGCCUCAAUCCGAUAUCGAUUGGUCCAUGAAAUUGGACAAUUUAGGUUCGUACGAAGUUCAUUCUCAACUGGAGUGGUUGUUGUAUUGCAUAAUUCCAGAGAUUGGAUUUCACUCAAGACCCACCAAAUGACUCCUCCCACCAGAUUAUGACGUUCCCCAAGUUUUGGACUCAAUCCGACAUCAAUUAGUGCAUGACAUUGGACAAAUUAGGAUUGUACGAAAUUCGUUCUGAAAUGGAGUGGUUGAUGUAUUGCAUAGUUCUAGAGAUUGGAUUUCACUCAAAAUCCACCAAAUGACUCCUCCCACCAUAUUAUGACGAUCCCCAAGUUUUGGACUCAAUCCGAUAUCGAUUGGUCCACGAAAUUGGACAAUUCAGGUUCGUACGAAGUUCGUUCUCAAUUGGAGUGGUUGGUGUAUUGCACAGUUCUGGAGAUUGGAUUUCACUUAAAACCCACCAAAUGACUCCUCCCACCAUAUUAUGACGUUCCCCAAGUUUUGGACUCAAUCCGAUAUCGAUUGGUCCACGAAAUUGGACAAUUUAGGUUCGUACGAAGUUCAUUCUCAACUGGAGUGGUUGUUGUAUUGCAUAAUUCCAGAGAUUGGAUUUCACUCAAGACCCACCAAAUGACUCCUCCCACCAUAUUAUGAGGUUCCCCAAGUUUUGGACUCAAUCCGACAUCAAUUAGUGCAUGACAUUGGACAAAUUAGGAUUGUACGAAAUUCGUUCUGAAAUGGAGUGGUUGAUGUAUUGCAUAGUUCUAGAGAUUGGAUUUCACUCAAAAUCCACCAAAUGACUCCUCCCACCAUAUUAUGACGAUCCCCAAGUUUUGGACUCAAUCCGAUAUCGAUUGGUCCACGAAAUUGGACAAUUCAGGUUCGUACGAAGUUCGUUCUCAAUUGGAGUGGUUGGUGUAUUGCACAGUUCUGGAGAUUGGAUUUCACUCAAAACCCACCAAUUGACUCCUCCCACCAUAUUAUGGUGUUCCCCAAGUUUUGGAGUCAAUCCGAUAUCGAUUGGUGCAUGAAAUUGGACAAUUUAGGUUCGUACGAAGUUCGAUCUGAAAUGGAGUGGUUGGUGUAUUGCAUAGUGCUAGAGAUNNNNNNNNNNNNNNNNNNNNNNNNNNNNNNNNNNNNNNNNNNNNNNNNNNNNNNNNNNNNNNNNNNNNNNNNNNNNNNNNNNNNNNNNNNNNNNNNNNNNNNNNNNNNNNNNNNNNNNNNNNNNNNNNNNNNNNNNNNNNNNNNNNNNNNNNNNNNNNNNNNNNNNNNNNNNNNNNNNNNNNNNNNNNNNNNNNNNNNNNNNNNNNNNNNNNNNNNNNNNNNNNNNNNNNNNNNNNNNNNNNNNNNNNNNNNNNNNNNNNNNNNNNNNNNNNNNNNNNNNNNNNNNNNNNNNNNNNNNNNNNNNNNNNNNNNNNNNNNNNNNNNNNNNNNNNNNNNNNNNNNNNNNNNNNNNNNNNNNNNNNNNNNNNNNNNNNNNNNNNNNNNNNNNNNNNNNNNNNNNNNNNNNNNNNNNNNNNNNNNNNNNNNNNNNNNNNNNNNNNNNNNNNNNNNNNNNNNNNNNNNNNNNNNNNNNNNNNNNNNNNNNNNNNNNNNNNNNNNNNNNNNNNNNNNNNNNNNNNNNNNNNNNNNNNNNNNNNNNNNNNNNNNNNNNNNNNNNNNNNNNNNNNNNNNNNNNNNNNNNNNNNNNNNNNNNNNNNNNNNNNNNNNNNNNNNNNNNNNNNNNNNNNNNNNNNNNNNNNNNNNNNNNNNNNNNNNNNNNNNNNNNNNNNNNNNNNNNNNNNNNNNNNNNNNNNNNNNNNNNNNNNNNNNNNNNNNNNNNNNNNNNNNNNNNNNNNNNNNNNNNNNNNNNNNNNNNNNNNNNNNNNNNNNNNNNNNNNNNNNNNNNNNNNNNNNNNNNNNNNNNNNNNNNNNNNNNNNNNNNNNNNNNNNNNNNNNNNNNNNNNNNNNNNNNNNNNNNNNNNNNNNNNNNNNNNNNNNNNNNNNNNNNNNNNNNNNNNNNNNNNNNNNNNNNNNNNNNNNNNNNNNNNNNNNNNNNNNNNNNNNNNNNNNNNNNNNNNNNNNNNNNNNNNNNNNNNNNNNNNNNNNNNNNNNNNNNNNNNNNNNNNNNNNNNNNNNNNNNNNNNNNNNNNNNNNNNNNNNNNNNNNNNNNNNNNNNNNNNNNNNNNNNNNNNNNNNNNNNNNNNNNNNNNNNNNNNNNNNNNNNNNNNNNNNNNNNNNNNNNNNNNNNNNNNNNNNNNNNNNNNNNNNNNNNNNNNNNNNNNNNNNNNNNNNNNNNNNNNNNNNNNNNNNNNNNNNNNNNNNNNNNNNNNNNNNNNNNNNNNNNNNNNNNNNNNNNNNNNNNNNNNNNNNNNNNNNNNNNNNNNNNNNNNNNNNNNNNNNNNNNNNNNNNNNNNNNNNNNNNNNNNNNNNNNNNNNNNNNNNNNNNNNNNNNNNNNNNNNNNNNNNNNNNNNNNNNNNNNNNNNNNNNNNNNNNNNNNNNNNNNNNNNNNNNNNNNNNNNNNNNNNNNNNNNNNNNNNNNNNNNNNNNNNNNNNNNNNNNNNNNNNNNNNNNNNNNNNNNNNNNNNNNNNNNNNNNNNNNNNNNNNNNNNNNNNNNNNNNNNNNNNNNNNNNNNNNNNNNNNNNNNNNNNNNNNNNNNNNNNNNNNNNNNNNNNNNNNNNNNNNNNNNNNNNNNNNNNNNNNNNNNNNNNNNNNNNNNNNNNNNNNNNNNNNNNNNNNNNNNNNNNNNNNNNNNNNNNNNNNNNNNNNNNNNNNNNNNNNNNNNNNNNNNNNNNNNNNNNNNNNNNNNNNNNNNNNNNNNNNNNNNNNNNNNNNNNNNNNNNNNNNNNNNNNNNNNNNNNNNNNNNNNNNNNNNNNNNNNNNNNNNNNNNNNNNNNNNNNNNNNNNNNNNNNNNNNNNNNNNNNNNNNNNNNNNNNNNNNNNNNNNNNNNNNNNNNNNNNNNNNNNNNNNNNNNNNNNNNNNNNNNNNNNNNNNNNNNNNNNNNNNNNNNNNNNNNNNNNNNNNNNNNNNNNNNNNNNNNNNNNNNNNNNNNNNNNNNNNNNNNNNNNNNNNNNNNNNNNNNNNNNNNNNNNNNNNNNNNNNNNNNNNNNNNNNNNNNNNNNNNNNNNNNNNNNNNNNNNNNNNNNNNNNNNNNNNNNNNNNNNNNNNNNNNNNNNNNNNNNNNNNNNNNNNNNNNNNNNNNNNNNNNNNNNNNNNNNNNNNNNNNNNNNNNNNNNNNNNNNNNNNNNNNNNNNNNNNNNNNNNNNNNNNNNNNNNNNNNNNNNNNNNNNNNNNNNNNNNNNNNNNNNNNNNNNNNNNNNNNNNNNNNNNNNNNNNNNNNNNNNNNNNNNNNNNNNNNNNNNNNNNNNNNNNNNNNNNNNNNNNNNNNNNNNNNNNNNNNNNNNNNNNNNNNNNNNNNNNNNNNNNNNNNNNNNNNNNNNNNNNNNNNNNNNNNNNNNNNNNNNNNNNNNNNNNNNNNNNNNNNNNNNNNNNNNNNNNNNNNNNNNNNNNNNNNNNNNNNNNNNNNNNNNNNNNNNNNNNNNNNNNNNNNNNNNNNNNNNNNNNNNNNNNNNNNNNNNNNNNNNNNNNNNNNNNNNNNNNNNNNNNNNNNNNNNNNNNNNNNNNNNNNNNNNNNNNNNNNNNNNNNNNNNNNNNNNNNNNNNNNNNNNNNNNNNNNNNNNNNNNNNNNNNNNNNNNNNNNNNNNNNNNNNNNNNNNNNNNNNNNNNNNNNNNNNNNNNNNNNNNNNNNNNNNNNNNNNNNNNNNNNNNNNNNNNNNNNNNNNNNNNNNNNNNNNNNNNNNNNNNNNNNNNNNNNNNNNNNNNNNNNNNNNNNNNNNNNNNNNNNNNNNNNNNNNNNNNNNNNNNNNNNNNNNNNNNNNNNNNNNNNNNNNNNNNNNNNNNNNNNNNNNNNNNNNNNNNNNNNNNNNNNNNNNNNNNNNNNNNNNNNNNNNNNNNNNNNNNNNNNNNNNNNNNNNNNNNNNNNNNNNNNNNNNNNNNNNNNNNNNNNNNNNNNNNNNNNNNNNNNNNNNNNNNNNNNNNNNNNNNNNNNNNNNNNNNNNNNNNNNNNNNNNNNNNNNNNNNNNNNNNNNNNNNNNNNNNNNNNNNNNNNNNNNNNNNNNNNNNNNNNNNNNNNNNNNNNNNNNNNNNNNNNNNNNNNNNNNNNNNNNNNNNNNNNNNNNNNNNNNNNNNNNNNNNNNNNNNNNNNNNNNNNNNNNNNNNNNNNNNNNNNNNNNNNNNNNNNNNNNNNNNNNNNNNNNNNNNNNNNNNNNNNNNNNNNNNNNNNNNNNNNNNNNNNNNNNNNNNNNNNNNNNNNNNNNNNNNNNNNNNNNNNNNNNNNNNNNNNNNNNNNNNNNNNNNNNNNNNNNNNNNNNNNNNNNNNNNNNNNNNNNNNNNNNNNNNNNNNNNNNNNNNNNNNNNNNNNNNNNNNNNNNNNNNNNNNNNNNNNNNNNNNNNNNNNNNNNNNNNNNNNNNNNNNNNNNNNNNNNNNNNNNNNNNNNNNNNNNNNNNNNNNNNNNNNNNNNNNNNNNNNNNNNNNNNNNNNNNNNNNNNNNNNNNNNNNNNNNNNNNNNNNNNNNNNNNNNNNNNNNNNNNNNNNNNNNNNNNNNNNNNNNNNNNNNNNNNNNNNNNNNNNNNNNNNNNNNNNNNNNNNNNNNNNNNNNNNNNNNNNNNNNNNNNNNNNNNNNNNNNNNNNNNNNNNNNNNNNNNNNNNNNNNNNNNNNNNNNNNNNNNNNNNNNNNNNNNNNNNNNNNNNNNNNNNNNNNNNNNNNNNNNNNNNNNNNNNNNNNNNNNNNNNNNNNNNNNNNNNNNNNNNNNNNNNNNNNNNNNNNNNNNNNNNNNNNNNNNNNNNNNNNNNNNNNNNNNNNNNNNNNNNNNNNNNNNNNNNNNNNNNNNNNNNNNNNNNNNNNNNNNNNNNNNNNNNNNNNNNNNNNNNNNNNNNNNNNNNNNNNNNNNNNNNNNNNNNNNNNNNNNNNNNNNNNNNNNNNNNNNNNNNNNNNNNNNNNNNNNNNNNNNNNNNNNNNNNNNNNNNNNNNNNNNNNNNNNNNNNNNNNNNNNNNNNNNNNNNNNNNNNNNNNNNNNNNNNNNNNNNNNNNNNNNNNNNNNNNNNNNNNNNNNNNNNNNNNNNNNNNNNNNNNNNNNNNNNNNNNNNNNNNNNNNNNNNNNNNNNNNNNNNNNNNNNNNNNNNNNNNNNNNNNNNNNNNNNNNNNNNNNNNNNNNNNNNNNNNNNNNNNNNNNNNNNNNNNNNNNNNNNNNNNNNNNNNNNNNNNNNNNNNNNNNNNNNNNNNNNNNNNNNNNNNNNNNNNNNNNNNNNNNNNNNNNNNNNNNNNNNNNNNNNNNNNNNNNNNNNNNNNNNNNNNNNNNNNNNNNNNNNNNNNNNNNNNNNNNNNNNNNNNNNNNNNNNNNNNNNNNNNNNNNNNNNNNNNNNNNNNNNNNNNNNNNNNNNNNNNNNNNNNNNNNNNNNNNNNNNNNNNNNNNNNNNNNNNNNNNNNNNNNNNNNNNNNNNNNNNNNNNNNNNNNNNNNNNNNNNNNNNNNNNNNNNNNNNNNNNNNNNNNNNNNNNNNNNNNNNNNNNNNNNNNNNNNNNNNNNNNNNNNNNNNNNNNNNNNNNNNNNNNNNNNNNNNNNNNNNNNNNNNNNNNNNNNNNNNNNNNNNNNNNNNNNNNNNNNNNNNNNNNNNNNNNNNNNNNNNNNNNNNNNNNNNNNNNNNNNNNNNNNNNNNNNNNNNNNNNNNNNNNNNNNNNNNNNNNNNNNNNNNNNNNNNNNNNNNNNNNNNNNNNNNNNNNNNNNNNNNNNNNNNNNNNNNNNNNNNNNNNNNNNNNNNNNNNNNNNNNNNNNNNNNNNNNNNNNNNNNNNNNNNNNNNNNNNNNNNNNNNNNNNNNNNNNNNNNNNNNNNNNNNNNNNNNNNNNNNNNNNNNNNNNNNNNNNNNNNNNNNNNNNNNNNNNNNNNNNNNNNNNNNNNNNNNNNNNNNNNNNNNNNNNNNNNNNNNNNNNNNNNNNNNNNNNNNNNNNNNNNNNNNNNNNNNNNNNNNNNNNNNNNNNNNNNNNNNNNNNNNNNNNNNNNNNNNNNNNNNNNNNNNNNNNNNNNNNNNNNNNNNNNNNNNNNNNNNNNNNNNNNNNNNNNNNNNNNNNNNNNNNNNNNNNNNNNNNNNNNNNNNNNNNNNNNNNNNNNNNNNNNNNNNNNNNNNNNNNNNNNNNNNNNNNNNNNNNNNNNNNNNNNNNNNNNNNNNNNNNNNNNNNNNNNNNNNNNNNNNNNNNNNNNNNNNNNNNNNNNNNNNNNNNNNNNNNNNNNNNNNNNNNNNNNNNNNNNNNNNNNNNNNNNNNNNNNNNNNNNNNNNNNNNNNNNNNNNNNNNNNNNNNNNNNNNNNNNNNNNNNNNNNNNNNNNNNNNNNNNNNNNNNNNNNNNNNNNNNNNNNNNNNNNNNNNNNNNNNNNNNNNNNNNNNNNNNNNNNNNNNNNNNNNNNNNNNNNNNNNNNNNNNNNNNNNNNNNNNNNNNNNNNNNNNNNNNNNNNNNNNNNNNNNNNNNNNNNNNNNNNNNNNNNNNNNNNNNNNNNNNNNNNNNNNNNNNNNNNNNNNNNNNNNNNNNNNNNNNNNNNNNNNNNNNNNNNNNNNNNNNNNNNNNNNNNNNNNNNNNNNNNNNNNNNNNNNNNNNNNNNNNNNNNNNNNNNNNNNNNNNNNNNNNNNNNNNNNNNNNNNNNNNNNNNNNNNNNNNNNNNNNNNNNNNNNNNNNNNNNNNNNNNNNNNNNNNNNNNNNNNNNNNNNNNNNNNNNNNNNNNNNNNNNNNNNNNNNNNNNNNNNNNNNNNNNNNNNNNNNNNNNNNNNNNNNNNNNNNNNNNNNNNNNNNNNNNNNNNNNNNNNNNNNNNNNNNNNNNNNNNNNNNNNNNNNNNNNNNNNNNNNNNNNNNNNNNNNNNNNNNNNNNNNNNNNNNNNNNNNNNUUUCAUUGGGCAAUUGAUAUCAGAUUGAGCCCAAAACUUGGUCAACAUCAUAAUAUGGUGGGAGGACUCAUUUGGUGAGUUUUGAAUGAAAUCCACUCGCUGAAACUAUGCAAUACACCAACCACUCCAUUUAUGGAACAAAGCUCCUACGAACUUGAAUUUUCCCAUUUCAUUGGGCAAUCGAUGUCGGAUUGAGCCCAAAAUUUGGUCAACAUCGUAAUAUGGUGGGAUGAGUCGUUCGGUGAGUUUUGAGUGAAAUCCAAUCGUUAAAAACUAUGCAAUACAACAACCACUCCAGUUACGGAACGAACUUCGUACGUACCAGAAUUAUCCGAUUUCUUGGUUCAAUCGAUAUCAGAUUGGGCACAAAACUUGGUCAACAUCAUAAUAUGGUGGGAGGAGUCAUUUGGUGAGUUUUGGGAGAAAUCCAAACGCUAAAACUAUGCAUUACACCAACAACUCCAUUUUAUGAACGAACUUCGUACGGACUUGAAUUGUCCUAUUUCUUGGUCCAAUCGAUAACGGAUUGAGCCGAAAACUUGGUCAACAUCAUAAUAUGGUGGGAGGAGUCAUUUGGUGAGUUCUGAGAGAAAUUCAAUUGCUAAAACUACGCAAUACACCAACCACUCCAUUUACGGAACGAUCUUCGAAUGAACUUGAAUUGUCCCAUUUCAUUGGGCAAUCAAUAUCGGAUUUAGCCCAAAACUUGGUCAACAUCAUAAUAUGGUGGGAGGAGUCAUUUGGUGACUUUUUUUUGAAAUCCAAUCGCUAAAACUAUACAAUACACCAACAACUCCAUUUGAUGAACGAACUUUGUAAGAACUUGCAUUGUCCGAUUUCAUGGUUCAAUCGAUAUCGAAUUGAGCCCAAAACUUGGUCAAUAUCAUAAUAUGGUGGGAGGAGUCGUCCGGUGAGUUUUGAGUGAAAUCCAAUCCCUAAAACUAUACAGUACACCAACCACUCCAACUACGGAACGAAUUUCGUACAAACCUGACUUGUCCGACUUCUUGGUUCAAUCGAUAUCGGAUUGAGCACGAAACUUGGUCAACAUCAUAAUAUGGUGGGAGGAGUCAUUUGGUGAGUUUUGAAUGAAAUCCAAUUGCUAAAACUAUGCAAUACACCAACCACUCCAUUUCAGAAUGAACUUCGUACGAACUGAAUUGUCCGAUUUCAUGGACCAAUCGAUAUCGGAUUGAGUCCAAAACUUAGGGAACAUCACAAUUUGGCGGGAGGACUCAUUUGGUGAAUCUUGAGUGAAAUCCAAUGCCUAAAACUAUGCAAUACACCAACCACUCCAUUUCAUAAGGAACUUCGUACGAACCUGAAUUGUCCAAUUUCAUGGAACAAUCGAUAUAUGAUUGAGUCCAAAACUUGGGGAACAUCAUAGUAUCGUGGGAGUAGUUAUUUGGUGAGUUUUGAGUCAAAUUCAAUGGCUAAAACUAUGCAAUAAACCAACCACUGCAUUUCAGAACGAACAUCGUACGAAUCUGAAUUGUCCGAUUUCAUGGACCAAUAGAUAUCAGAUUGAGUCCAAAACUUGGGGAACAUCAUAAUAUGGUGGGAGGAGUCAUUUGGUGACUUUUCAGUGAAAUCCAAUCUUUAAAACUAAGAAAUACACACACCACUCCAUUUCAGAACAAACUUCGUAUGAACCUGAAUUUUCGAAUUUCAUGGACCAAUCGAAAUUGGAUUGAGUCCGAAACUUGUUGAACAUCAUAAUAUGAUGGGAGGAGUCAUUUUUUGAGUUUUGAAUGAAAUCCAAUGGCUAAAACUAUGCAAUACACCAACCACUCCAUUUCAUAACGAACUUCGUACAAACCUGAAUUGUCUAACUUUACGGACCAAUCGAUAUCGGAUUGAAGUCCAAACUUGGGGAACANNNNNNNNNNNNNNNNNNNNNNNNNNNNNNNNNNNNNNNNNNNNNNNNNNNNNNNNNNNNNNNNNNNNNNNNNNNNNNNNNNNNNNNNNNNNNNNNNNNNNNNNNNNNNNNNNNNNNNNNNNNNNNNNNNNNNNNNNNNNNNNNNNNNNNNNNNNNNNNNNNNNNNNNNNNNNNNNNNNNNNNNNNNNNNNNNNNNNNNNNNNNNNNNNNNNNNNNNNNNNNNNNNNNNNNNNNNNNNNNNNNNNNNNNUACGUCGGUCGUAAAACUGACCAAUGCCUACGCGAAAUGAUUGGUGGAGUCUUUUGGUGAGUUUUGAUGCAAUCCAGUGGCUAAAACUAUGCAAUACACUGCCCACUCCAUUACAUAACAAACUUCGUACGAACUUGAAUUGUCCAAUUUCAGGGACCAAUAGAUAUCGGAUUGAGUCCAAAACUUGGGGAACAUCAUAAUAUGGUUGGAGGAGUCAUUUUGUGGGUUUUGAGUGAAAUCCAAUCUCUGGAACUGUGCAAUACACCAACCACUCCAUUUCAGAACGAACUUCGUACGAACCUGAAUUGUCCAAUUUCAUGGACCAAUCGAUAUCGGAUUGAGUCCAAAACUUGGGGAACAUCAUAAUGUGGUGGGAGGAGUCAUUUGGUGGGAUUUGAGUGAAAUCCAAUAUCUAGAACUAUGCAAUACACCAACCGCAUCAUUUCAUAUCGAACUUCGUACGAACCUGAAUUGUCCAAUUUCAUGGACCAAUCGAUAUUUGACUGAGUCCUAAACUUGGGGAACAUCAUAAUAUGGUGGGAGGAGUCAUUUGGUGAAUUUUGAGUGAAAUUCAAAGACUAAAACUAUGCACUACAGCAACCACUCCAUUUCAGAAUGAACUUUGUAUGAACCUGAAUUCUCCAAUUUCAUGGACCAAUCGAUAUCGAAUUGAGUCCAAAACUCGGGGAACAACAUCAUACGGUGGAAGGAGUCAUUUGGUGGGUUUUGAGUGAAAUCCAAUCUCUAGAACUAUGCAAUACAGCAACCACUCCAUUUCAUAACGAACUUCGUACAAACCUAAAUUGUCCAAUUUCAUGGACCAAUAAAUAUCGUUUUGAGUCCAAAACUUGGGGAACAUCGUAAAAUGGUGGGAGUAGUCAUUUGGGGGGUUUUGAUUCAAAUCCAAUCCCCAGAACUAUGCAAUACACCAACCACUCCAUUUCAGAACGAACUUAAAUUGUCCAAUUUCAUGCACCAAUCAAUAUCGGAUUGAGUCCAAAACUAGGGGAACAUCAUAAUAUGGUGGGAUGAGUCAUUUGGUGGGUUUUGAGUGAAAUCCAAUCUCUAGAACUAUGCAAUACACCAACCACUCUAUUUCGUAACAAACUUCGUACGAACCUGAAUUGUCCACUUUCAAGGACCCAUCGAUAUCGGAUUGAGUCCAAAACUUGGGAAACAUCAUAAUAUGGUGGGAGGAGCCAUUUGGUGACUUUUGAGUGAAAUCCAAAGUCUAAAAGUAUGCAGUACACCAACCACUCCAUUUCAGAACGAACUUCAUACGAAACUGAAUUGUCCAAUUUCAAGGACCAAUCGAUAUCUGAUUCAGUCCAAAACUUAGGGAACAUCAUAAUAUGGUGGGAAGAGUCAUUUGGUGACUUUUGAGUGAAAUCCAAAGUCUAAAACUAUGCAAUACACCAACCACUCCAUUUCAGAACGAACUUCAUACGAACCUGAAUUGUCCACUUUCAUGGACCAAUCGAUAUCGGAUUGAGUCCAAAACUUGGGGAACAAUAUAAUAUGGUGGGAGGAGUCAUUUGGUGGGUUUUCAGUGAAAUCCAAUCCCUACAACUAUGCAAUACACCAACCACUCCAUUUGAUAACGAACUUUGUACGAACCUGAAUUGUCCAAUUUCAUGGACCAAUCGAUAUCGGAUUGAGUACAAAACUUGGGGAACAUCAUAAUAUGAUGGGUGGAGUCUUUUCGUAAGUUUUGAAUGAAAUCCAAUGGCUAAAACUAUGCAAUACACCAACCACUCCAUUUCACAACGAACUUCGUACGAACCUGAAUUGUCCAAUUUCAUGGACCAAUCGACAUCAGAUUGAGUCCAAAACUUGGGGAACACCAUAAUAUAGUGGGAGGAGUCGUUUGUUUGGUUUUGAGUUAAAUAUAAUCUCCAGAGUAGUACAAUGCACCAAGCACUCCAUUUCGUAAUGAACUUCAUAGGAACCUUAAUUUCCCAAUUUCGUGGACCCAUCGAUAUCGGAUUGAGGCCAAAACUUGGGGAACAUCAUAAUAUGGUGGGUGGAGUCAUUCGGAGGGUUUUGAGUGAAGUCCAAUCUCUAGAACUAUGCAAUACACCAACCACUCCAUUUCAUAACGAACUUCGUACGAACCUGAAUUGUCCAAUUUCAUGGACCAAUCAAUAUCGGAUUGAGUCCAAAACUUGGGGAACAUCAUAAUACGAUGGGAGGAGUCAUUUGAUGGGUUCUGAGUGUAAUCCAAUGGCUAAAACUAUGCAAUACACCACUCACUCCAUUUCAUAACGAACUUCGUACGAACCUGAGUUGUCCAAUUUCAUCGACCAAUCGAUAUCGGAUUGAGUCCAAAACUUGGGGACCAUCAUAAUAUUGUUGGAGGAGUCAUAUGGUGGUUUUGAGUGAAAUCAAAUCUCUAGAACUAUACAAUACACCAACCACUCCAUCUCAGAACGAACUUCGUACGAACCUGAAUUUGUCCGAUUUCAUGGACCAAUCGAUAUCGGAUUUUGUUCAGAACUUGGGGAACAUCAUAAUGUGGUGGGAGGUGUCAUUUGGUGAGUUUUGAGCAAAAUCCAAUUGCCAAAACUAUGCAAUACACCAACAACUCCAUUUCGGAACGAACUUCGUUCGAAACUGAAUUGUCCUAUUUCACGGACCAAUCAAUGUCGGAUUGAGUCCAAAACUUGGGGAACAUCGUAAUAUUGUGGGAGGAGUCAUUUGGUGGGUUUUGAGUGAAAUCCAAUCUCCCGAACUAUACAAUACACCAACCACUCCAUCUCAGAACGAACUUCGUAUGAACCUGAAUUGUCCGAUUUCAUUGAUCAAUCGAUAUCGGAUUGAGUCGAAAACUUGGGGAACAUCAUAAUAUUGUUGGAGAAGUCAUAUGGUGGGUUUUGAGUGAAAUCAAAUCUCUAGAACUAUACAAUACACCAACCACUCCAUCUCAAAACGAACUUCAUACGAACCUGAAUUGUCCGAUUUCAUGGACCAAUCGAUAUCGGAUUUAGUCCAGACCUUGGGGAACAUCAUAAUGUGGUGGGAGGUGUCAUUUGGUGAGUUUUGAGCAAAAUCCAAUUGCCAAAACUAUGCAAUACACCAACAACUCCAUUUCGGAACGAACUUCGUUCCAACCUGAAUUGUCCGAUUUCAGGGACCAAUCAAAAUCGGAUUGUGUCCAAAAGUUGGUGAAAAUCAUAAUAUUGUGGGAGGAGUCAUUUGGUGGGUUUUGAGUGAAAUCCAAUUGCCAAAACUAUGCAAUACACCAACCACUCCAUUUCAGAACGAACUUCGUACGAACCUGAAUUGUCCAAUUUCAUGGACCAAUCGGUAUCGGAUUGAGCCCAAAACUUGGGGAACAUCAUAAUGUUUUGGCAGGAGUCAUUUGGGGAGUUUUGAGUGAAAUCCAAUUGCCAAAACUAUGAUAUGCACCAACCACUACAUUUCAGAACGAACUUCGUACGAACCUGAAUUGUCCGAUUUCAUGGACCAAUCAAAAUCGGAUUGAGUCCAAAACUUGGGGAACAUCAUAAUAUGGUUGGAGGAGUCGUUCGGUGAGUUUUGAGUGAAAUCCAAUGGGUGAAACUGUGCAAUACACCAACCACCCCAGUUCGUAACGAACUUCUUACGAACCUCAAUUGUCGAAUUUCAUGUACCAAUCAAUAUCGGAUUGAGUCCAAAACUUGGGGAACAUCGUAAUAUUGUGGGAUUAGUUAUUUCGUCGGUUUUGAGUGAAAUCCAAUCUCUAGAACUAUACAAUACACCAACCACUCCAUUUCAGAACGAACUUCGUACAAACCUGAAUUGUCCAAUUUCAUGUACCAAUCGAUAUCAGAUUGAUUCCGAAACUUAGGGAACAUCAUAAUAUAGUGGGAAGAGUCAUUUGGUGGGUUUGGAGUGAAAUCCAAUCUCUAGAACGAUGCAACACACCAACCUCUGCAUUUCAUCACGAACAUCGUACGAAUCUAAAUUGUCCAAUUUCAUGGAGCAAUCAAUAUCGGAUUGAGUCCAACACUUGAGGAACAUCAUAAUUUUGUGUGAGGAGUCAUUUGGUGAGUUUUGAGUGAAAUCCAAUCUCUAGAACUAUGCAAUACACCAACCACUCCAUUCCAUAACUUGGGGAACGUCAUAAUAUUGUGGGAGGAGCCCUUUGGUGGGUUUUGAGUGAAAUCCAAUUUCUAGAACUAUGCAAUACACCAACCACUCUAUUUUAAAACGAACUUCGUACGAACCUGAAUUGUCCAAUUUCAUGGACCAAUCAAUAUUUGAUUGAGUCCAAAACUUGGGGAACAUCAUAAUAUAUGGUGGGAGGAGUCAUUUGGUGAGUUUUGAAUAAAAUCCAAUGGCUAAAACUAUGCAAUGCACCAACCACUCCUUUUCAGAACGAAAUUCGUACGAACCUAAAUUGUCAUAUUUCAUGUACCAAUCGAUAUCGGAUUGGGUCCGGAACUUGGGGUACAGCAUAAUAUUGUGGGAGGAGUCAUUUGGUGGAUUUUGAGUGAAAUCCAAUUACCAAAACUAUGCAAUACACCAACCACUCCAUUUGAAAACGAACUUCAUCCGAACCUGAAUUGUCCAAUUUCGUGGACCAAUCGAUAUCGGAUUGAGUCCAAAAUUUGGGGAACAUCAUAAUAUAUGAUGGAAGGAGUGAUUUGGUGAGUUUUGAAUGAAAUCCAAUGGCUAAAACUCUGCAGUACACCAACCACUCCAUUUCAUAACGAACUACGUACGAACCUGAAUUGUCCAAUUUCGUGGACCAAUCGAUAUCGUAUUGAGUCCAAAACUUGGGGAACAUCAUAAUAUGGUGGGCGGAGUCAUUUGGUGACUUUUGAGUGAAAUCCAAUGGCUAAAACUAUGCAAUACACCAACCACUCCAUUUCAUAACGAACUACGUACGAACCUAAAUUGUCAAAUUUCAUGGACCAAUUGAUAUCGGAUUGAGUACGAAACAUGGGGAACAUCAUAAUAUGAUGGAGAGAAGUCAUUUGGUGGGUUCUGAGUGAAAUCCAAUGGCUACAACUGUGCAACACAACAACCACUCCAUUUCAGAACGAACUUCGUACGAACCUGAAUUGUCCAAUUUCAUGGAUCAAUCGAUAUCGGAUUGAGUCCAAAACUUGGGGAACAACAUAAUAUGGUAGGAGUAGUCAUUUCGGGGGAUUUGAGUGAAAUCCAAUCUCUAGAUCUAUGAAAUACACCAGCCACUCCAAUUUCAGACCGAACUUCGUACGAACCAAAAUUGUCCAAUUUCAUGAACCAAUCGGAUAUCAGAUUGAGUCCAAACUUGGGAACAUCAUUAUAUGAUGGAGAGUCAUUUGGUGGGUUUUGAGUGAAAUCCAAUCUCUACAACUAUGCAAUACACCAACCACUCCAUUUUAUAACGAACUUCGCACGAACUGAAUUGUCCAAUUUCAUGGACCAAUCGAUAUCGGAUUGAGUCCAAAACUUGGUGAACAUCAUAAUAUGAUGGGAGGAGUCGUUUGCUGACUUUUGAGGGUAAUCCAAUGGCUAAAACUAUGCAUUACACCAACCACUCCAUUUCAUAACGAACUUCGUACAAACCGGAAUUGUCCAAUUUCGUGGACCAAUCAAUAUCGGAUUGAGUCCAAAACUUGGGGAACAUCAUAAUAUGGUGGGAGGAGUCAUUUGGUGGGUUUUGAGUGAAAUCCAAUCACUACAACUAUGCAAUACACCAACCACUCCAUUUAAUAGCUAGUUAGUCAGUUUCUUGGUUCUAUGUUUUUCUAUCAUUCUAAGUAAUUUUCCUUGGAACCAAGUUACCAUUUUCCGUGGGAUCGACCUCGUAUUUACAACAGCUAUACUAUAAAUGGUUCGUGCACUUGCGAGAAUUAAAGUUGCUGUUUUUAAUAACUCAUUUUAGUUGUUAAGAAUAGGUUCAACACCAAUCGAUAUCGGAUUGAGUCCAAAACUUUGGGAACAUUAUAAUAUGCUUGGAGGAGUCAUUUAGUGACUUUUGAGUGAAAUCCAAUAGCUAAUACUAUCCAAUACACCAACUACUCCAUUUCAUAACGAACUUCGUACGAACCUGAAUUGUCCAAUUUAAUGGACCAAUUGAGAUCGGAUUGAGCCCAAGACUUUGGGGACAUCAUAAUAUGCUUGGAGGAGUCAUUUGGUGACUUUUGAGUGAAAUACAAUGGCUAAAACAAUGCAAUACACCAACGACUCCAUUUCAUAACGAACUUUGUAUGAACCUGAAUUGUCCAAUUUCAAGGACAAAUCGAUAUCAGAUUGAGUCCAAAACUUGGGGAGCGUCAUAAUAUUGUGGGAGGAGUCAUUCGGUUGGUAGUGAAAUCCAAUCUCUAGAACUAUGCAAUAAACCAACCACUCCAUUUCAGAAUGGACUUCGUACGAACCUAAGUUGUCCAAUUUCAUGGACCAAUCAAUAUCGGAUUGAGUACAAAACUUUUGGAACAUCAUAAUAUGGUGGAGGAGUCACUUGGUGGGUUUUGAGUGAAAUCCAAUCUCUAGAACUUUGCAAUGCACCAAGCACUCCAUUUCGUAACGAACUUCAUACGAACCAGAAUUGUCCAAUUUGAUGGACCAAUCGUUAUCGGAUUGAGUCGAAAACUUGGAGAACAUCAUGAUUUUGCGGGAGGAGUCAUUUGGUAAGUUUAGAUUGAAAGCCAAUGGCUAAAACUAUGCAAUACACUAACCACUUGAUUUCAUAACGAACUUCGUACUAACCUGAAUGGUGCAAUUUCAAGGAUCAAUCGAUAUCUGUUUGAGUACAAAACUUCGGGAACAGCAUAAAGUUGUGGGAGGAGUCAUUUGGUGAGUUUUGAGUGAAAUCCAAUUGCCAAAACUAUGCAAUACAGCAACCACUCCAUUUCAGAACGAACUUCGUACGAACUUGAAUUGUCCGAUUUCAUGGACCAAUCGAUAUCAGACUAAGUCCAAAACUUGGGGAACCUCGUAAUACUGUGGGAGGAGUCAUUUGGUGGGUUUUCAGAGAAAUCCAAUCUCUAGAACUAUGCAAUACACCAACCACUCCAUUUCCGAACGAACUUCGUACGAACCUGAGUUGUCCAAUUUCGUAGCCCAAUCGAUAUCGGAUUGAGUCCAAAACUUGGGUAACAUCAAAAUAUGGUGGGAGAAGUCAUUUGGUGAGUUUUAAGUGAAAUCUAAUCUCUAAAACUAUGCAAUACACCAACCACUUCAUUUCAGAACGAACUUCGUACGAACCUGAAUUGUGCAAUUUCCUGCACCAAUUGAUAUUGGAUUGAGUCCAAAACUUGGGUAACAUCAUAAUAUAGUGGGAGGAGUCAUUUGGUGAGUUUUGAGUCAAAUCCAACGGCUAAAACUAUGCAAUACACCAACCACUCCAUUUCAUAACGAACUUCGUAUGAACCUGAAUUGUCCAAUUUCAUGGACAAAUCGAUAUCGGAUUGAGUCCAAAACUUGGGGAGCUUCCUAAUAUAGUGUGAGGAGUCAUUUGGUGGCCUGUGAAUGAAAUACAAUCUCUAGAACUAUGCAAUACACCAACAAUUCCAUUUCAGAACGAACUUCGUACGAACCUGAAUUGUCCGAUUUCCUGCACCAAUUGAUAUCGGAUUGAGUCCAAAACUUUGGGAACAUCAUAAUAUGCUUGGAGGAGUCAUUUGGUGAGUUUUGAGUCAAAUACAACAACUAAAACUAUGCAAUACACCAACCACUCCAUUUCAUAACGAACUUCAUACGAACCUGAAUUGUCCAAUUUCAUGGACAAAUCUGUACUGGAUUGAGUCCAAAACUUGGGGAACAUAAUAAUAUGGUGGGAGGAUUCAUUUGGGGAGUUUUGAGUGAAAUCCAAUUGCCAAAACUGGGCAAUGCACCAACCACUCCAUUUGAGUGAAAUCCAAUGGCUGAAACGAUGCAAUACACCAACCACUCCAAUUCAGAACGAACUUCGUACAAACUUGAAUUGUCCGAUUUCUUUGAUCAAUCGAUAUCGGAUUGAGUCCAAAACUUGGGGAACCUCAUAAUAUUGUGGGAGGAGUCAUUUGGUGGGUUUUGACUCAAAUACAAUCUCUAGAACUAUGCAAUUCACCACCCAUUCCAUUUUAGAACGAAUGUCAUACGAACCUGAAUUGUCCAAUUUCAUGGACUAAUCGAUAUCGGGUUGAGUCAAAAACCUGGGGAACAUCAUAAUAUAGUGGCAGGAGUCACUUGGUGGGUUUGGAGUGAAAUCCAAUAGCUAAAACUAUGCAAUACACCAACCACUCCAUUUCAUAUGGAACUUCAUAUGAACCUGAAUUGUCCAAUUUCAUGGACCAGUCGAUAUUGGAUUGAGUCCAAAACAUGGGGAACAUCAUAAUAUGGUGGAGGAUUUAUUUGGUGAGUUUUGAGUGAAAUCCAAUGGUUAAAACUGAGCAAUACACCAGCCACUCCAUUUCGGAAUGAACUUCGUACGAACCUGAAUUGUCAAAUUUCAUGGACCAAUCAAUAUCGGAUUGAGUCCAAAACUUUGGGAACAUCGUAAUGUUGUGGGAGGACUCAUUUGGUGAGUUUUCAGUGAAAUCCAAUGGCUAAAACUAUGCAAUACACUAACCACUCCAUUUCAUAAUGAAUUUCGUACGAACCUGAAUUGUCCAAUUUCCUGGACCAAUCGAUAUCGGAUUGAGUCCAAAACUUGGGGAACAUUAUAAUAUUGUGGAAGCUAGUAGCGAACACUAGGAAAUACACAAACCACUCCAUUAGAGAACGAACUUCGUACGACCAUGAAUGGUCCAAUUUCUUGGAUCAAUCGAUAUCGAACUGAGCCGAAAACUUGGGGAAUAUCAUAAUAUGGUGAGAGGAGUCAUUUGGAGAGUUUUGAGCGAAAUCCAAUGGUUAAAACUACGCAAUGGACCAACCACUCCAUUUCAGAACGGACUUCGUUCGAACCUGAAUUGUCUGUUGAGCCUAUUCUUAACAACUAAAAUGAGUUAUUAAAAACAGCAACUUUAAUUCUCGCAAGUGCACGAACCGUUUAUAGUAUAGCUUAUGUAAAUACGAGGUCGAUCCCACGGAGAAUGGUAACUUGGUUCCAAGUUAAAUUACUUAAAAUGCUAGAAAAACAAAGAACAAAGAAACUGACUAACUAGCUAAAGGCAAGGUCGAAUUCAACAAUGCCUCUUGCUAAUUACUCAAGGUCUAGGACAGAAUCCUAGCACCACACACGCACUCGAAAUGGGGGGUUUUGUUGUUGAAAUGAAAACAAGAAAGUGAAAUGAAAGUGCUCGAAAGUAGACACUGGCAGCAAUCAACAAGUUGUGAAACAAUGAUUGAGAGGUGUUAGAGCCUUGGAAUCCACCACUAGUUUUCCUAUCCAAGUUAUGAAUGCAUAGAAAUUGACUCAAGCUUCAUCAACAAUAGAUCAUCGCAUACAAGCCUAUGGUAUCUAGGUGCAGGAUGCAUGAUUCUCCUAAGGCAUGUGAUUAUGCAUGGUAUCUACACAACACGUGAUCUCUAAUAUGCAACCUAAGCAUGGUAUCUACUUAGAAUAAAGCAUACAAGAGUCAUUAAGCUCCUUGAGAAUAUGAUAAUCACAUAAGUCCUAGAACAUGGUAUCUGUCCUAGUCAACCUAUGGUUAUUAACCCCUUGAAUGAUUCUUAGGCCAUUCAUGUGUUGCUUGUGAAAGGAGAGUAGAAUUGGUGAAUCUAAACCCCUUCCCAACCUGUGCUAUAUGCAUAAAAUCCUAGUUAGCUACUCCAAGAAAACAUACAUCAAGCACAUAAUAAACUGGAGAUUAACAACUUGAUAAUAAAAGCAAGAAAAUCAAUUAACCAUAAAAUCAUCCAUAACAUUGAAUAUUCAUGACUAGGGCUUCAUCCUAAGCCCUAACUAAAUGGAUUAGUUAGACAUAACUAUGAAUACUGAAAAUAAGAAAUACAUAGAUAGGAUAAAGAGAGGAGAAGAACUAGAUGAUGGCAGCAAGGAAGUUCCCAGGACAGCUCCAAGCUCCCUUGACAGCUCCAAGCUCCCUUCUCUCUUUGUGGUGAAUCUGAAUGUGUGUAUGAGAGUAAUGGAUGAAGUGAAUGUGUGUGUCUCCUCCCCCUUGAAUGAGUGUGCAACUCUCUAUUUAUAGAGUGCAAUUUCGUGCUCCCCUUUGGCUGGUGAAGCACACCUCUCUUAGCUGCUCCCAACUGCUCCAGCUGCCCAUACUUGCCAACUGUUCCAGCUGACAAAUACAUGCUUUGGUAUGGUUUCUUUAUGGAAAGCUUGACUUUUGUUCAUCUUUCUGAGCUUCUGAGCUGACUUGACUCCCAUGUAUGGCUGUCCAUGUGUAGCACAUGGCUCUAGGGAUGUAGCCACAUUAAAUGUGAUGGCAGCCAACAUGACAUUUCUGUGAACUUGGUUCAGUCUUUGACGUGUUGAGGGCUCCAGAUUUAUCCAAUUGGGCUGCAAUUUGGAUAUGUUAUAAUAGACACCCAUCGGAACAACUUCUAUGAAGGAUGUCUCCUCAUCCAACCUGUGUAAGUUACUGAAAUGAGGCCUGCAAGAUGACCUACGAAACUGGACUGACAAGGAGUGUGGCACAAAUUGGUUUUGUCUUUAAGCUCAUAUUCCUCUUGUGCCACUCAGCCCUUAACAUGCAUGAAUUGUAUCAAAUGUCAUCCUCUUGCUGUCUUAACCUACAAAGCACACAAACAUAGGUAAGAGACUCAAAAUAAAGAGAAGCUAACAAAAUUACUAAGGAAAGAAGGCAUGCAAAUGUGUGAAAUUAUGAGCUUAUCAUUGUCUGAUUUCGUGGACCAAUCGAUAUUGAAUUGAGUCCAAAACAUGGGGAACAUCAUAAUAUAGUGGGAGGAGUCACUUUGGUGGGGUUUGAGUGAAAUCCAAUAUCUAGAACCGUACAAUACACCAACCACUCCAUUUCUGAAAAAACUUUGUACGAACCUGAUGUGUUCAAUUUCAUGGACCAAUCGAUAUCGGAUAGAGUCCAAAACUUCGGGAACAAAAGAAUAUGGUGGGAGUAGUCAUUUCCUGGGUUUUGACUGAAAUCCAAUCGCUAGAACUAAGCAAUACACCAACCACUCCAUUCCACAAAGAACUUCGUACGAACCAGAAUUGUCCAAUUUCAUGGACCAAUCUAUAUUGGAUUGAGUCCAAAACUUGGGGAACAUCAUAAUAUAGUGGGAGUAGUAAUUUGGUGGCGUUUGAGUGAAAUCCAGUCUCUAGAACUAUACAAUACACCAACCACUCCAUUUCAGAACAAACUUCGUACGAACCUAAAUUGUCCAAUUUCAAGGACCAAUCAAUAUCGGAUUGAGUCCAAAACUUGGGGAACAUCACAAUGUUGUGGGAGGAGUCAUUUGGCGAGUUUUGAGUGAAAUCCAAUUUCCAAAACUAUGCAAUACACCAACCACUCCAUUUCAGAACGAACUUCGUACGAACCUGAAUUGUCCGAUUUCAUAGACCAAUUGUUAUGAAAUUGAGUCCAAAACUUGGGGAACAUCAUAAUAUAGUGGGAGUAGUCAUUUGGUGGGGUUUGAGUGAAAUCCAGUCUCUAGAACUAUACAAUACACCAACCACACCAUUAGAGAACCAACUUCGUACGAACCUGAAUUGACCAAUUUCAUGCACCAAUCCAUAUCGGAUUGAGUCCAAAACUUCGGGAACAUCAUAAUGUUAUGGGAGGAGUCAUUUGUUGAGUUCUGAGCAAAAUCCAAUUGCCAAAACUAUGCACUACACCAACCACUCCAUUUCAGAACGAACUUCGUUUGAACCUGAAUUUUCCAAUUUCAUGGACCAAUCGAUGUCGGGUUGAGUCCAAAACUUGGAGAACAUCAAAAUAUGGUGGGAGGAGUCAUUUGGUGAGUUUUGAGUGAAAUCCAAUUUCUAAAAUUAUGCAAUACACCAACCACUCCAUUUCAUAAUGAACUUCGCACGGACCUGAAUUGUCGAAUUUCAUGUAACAAUCGAAAUCAGAUUCAGGCCAAAACUUGGGAAACGUCAUAAUAUAGUGGGAGGAGUCAUUUGGUGGGUUUUGAGUGAAAUCAAAUCUCUAGAACUAUGCAGUACAUUAACCACUCCAUUUCAGAAAGAACUUCGUACGAACCUGAAAUGUCCAAUUUCAUGGCCCAAUCGAUACCGGAUUGAGUCUAAAACUUGGGUAACAUCGUAAUAUAGUGGGAGGAGUCUAUUUGUGGGUUUUGAGUGAAAUCCAAUGGCAAAAACUAUGAAAUACACCAACCACUCCAUUAGCGAACGAAUUUCGCACGACCAUCCAAUUUCUUGGACCAAUUGAUAUCGAAUUGACCCCAAAACUCGCACGAACAUCUUAAUAUUCUGGGAGGAGUCAUUUGGUGGGUUUUGAGUGAAAGCCAGUAGCAAAAACUAUGAAAUACCCCAACCACUCUAUUAGAGAAAGAACUUCGUACGAACAUGAAUAGUCCAAUUUCUGGGAUCAAUUGAUAUCGAAUUGACCCCAAAACUCGGGGAACAUGAUAAUAUGGUGGGAAUCGUCAUUUGGUGAGUUUUGAGCAAAAUCCAAUGGCUAAAACUUUGCAAUACAUCAACCACUCCAUUUCAUAAUGAACUUCAUACGACCAUGAAUUGUCCGAUUCGGUGGGUUUGGAGUGAAAUCCAAUCUCUAGAACGAUGCAAUACACCAACCACUCCAUUUCAUAACGAACUUCGUACGAAAUUGAAUUGUCCAAUUUCAUGGACCAAUCGAUGUCGGAUUGAGUCCAAAACUUGAGGAACAUCAAAAUAUGGUGGGAGGAGCAAUUUGGUUAGUUUUGAGUCAAAUCCAAUGGCUAAAACUAUGCAAUACCCCAAUCACUCCAUUUCAUAACGAACUUCGUACGAACCUGAAUUGUCCAAUUUCAUGGACCAAUCAAUAUUGGAUUGAGUCCAAAACUUGGGGAACAUCACAAUGUUGUGGAGGAUUUAUUUGGUGAGUUUUGAGUGAAAUCCAAUGGUUAAAACUGAGCAAUACACCAGCCACUCCAUUUCGGAAUGAACUUCGUACAAACCUGAAUUGUCAAAUUUCAUGGACCAAUCAAUAUCGGAUUUUGUCCAAAACUUGGGGAACAUCACAAUGUUGUGGGAGGAGUCAUUUGGUGAGUUUUGAGCGAAAUCCAAUGGCUAAAACUUUGCAAUACAUCAACCGCUCCAUUUCAUAAUGAACUUCGUACGACCAUGAAUUGUCCGAUUCGGUGGGUUUCGAGUGAAAUCCAAUCUCUAGAACGAUGCAAUACACCAACCACUCCAUUUCAUAACGAACUUCGUACGAAAUUGAAUUGUCCAAUUUCAUGGACCAGUCGAUAUCGGAUUGAGUCCAAAACAUGGGGAACAUCAUAAUAUGGUGGAGGAUUUAUUUGGUGAGUUUUGAGUGAAAUCCAACGGUUAAAACUGAGCAAUACACCAGCCACUCCAUUUCGGAAUGAACUUCGUACGAACCUGAAUUGUCAAAUUUCAUGGACCAAUCAAUAUCGGAUUGAGUCCAAAACUUGGGGAACAUCACAAUGUUGUGGGAGGAGUCAUUUGGUGGGGUUUGAGUGAAAUACAAUCUCUAGAACCAGACAAUACACCAGCCACUCCAUUUCAGAACGAACUUCGUACGACACUGAAUUGUCCAAUUUCAUGGACCAAUCGAUAUCGAAUUGAGUCCAAAACAUGGGGAACAUCAUAAUAUAGUGGGAGUAGUCAUUUGGUGGGGUUUGAGUGAAAUCCAAUCUCUAGAACUAUACAAUAUACCAACCACUCCAUUCGAUAACCAACUUCGUACAAACCUGAAUUGACCAAUUUCAUGGAUGAAUCGAUAUCGGAUUGAGCCCAAAACUUGGGGAACAUCAUAAUGUCGUGGGAGGAGUCAUUUGUUGGGGUUUGAGUGAAAUCCAAUCUUUAGAACCAUACAAGACACCAGCCACUCCAUUUCAGAACGAACUUCGUACGAACCUGAAUUGUCCAAUUUCAUGGACCAAUCGAUAUCGAAUUGAGUCCAAAACUUGAGGAACAUCAAAAUAUUGUGGGUGGAGUCAUUUGGUGCUUUUUGAGUGAAAUCCAAUGGCUGAAACUACGCAAUACACCCACCACUCCAUUUCAGAACGAACUUCAUACGAACCUGAAUUGUCUGAUUUCGUGGACCAAUCGAUAUCGGAUUGAGUCCAAACGUAAGGGAACAUCAUAAUAUUGUGGUAGGAGUCAUUUGGCGGGCUUUGAGUGAAAUCCAAUCUCUAGAACUAUACAAUACACCAACCGUUACAUUUUCAUAAAGAACUUCAUACGAACCUGAAAUAGCCCAAAUUUCGUGGACCAAUCGAAUAUCGGAUUGAGUCCAAAACUUGGGGAACNNNNNNNNNNNNNNNNNNNNNNNNNNNNNNNNNNNNNNNNNNNNNNNNNNNNNNNNNNNNNNNNNNNNNNNNNNNNNNNNNNNNNNNNNNNNNNNNNNNNNNNNNNNNNNNNNNNNNNNNNNNNNNNNNNNNNNNNNNNNNNNNNNNNNNNNNAAACAUGGGGAACAUCAUAAUAUAGUGGGAGGAGUCAUUUCGUGGGUUUUUAGUGAAAUCCAAUCUCUAGAACUAUGCAAUAAACCAACCACUCCAUUUCAGAAGGAACUUCGUACGAACAUAAAUUGUCCAAUUUCAUGGACCAAUCAUUAUCGGAUUGAGUCCAAAACUUGGGGAACAUCAUAAUAUAGUGGGAGGAAUCAUUUGGUGGGUUUUGAGUUAAAUCCAAUGUCUACAACUAUGUAAUACACCAACAACUCCAUUUGAUUACGAACUUCGUACGAACCUGAAUUGUGCCAUUUCAUGGACCAAUCGUUAUCUGAUUGAGUCCAAAACUUGGGGAACGUCAUAAUAUGGUGGGAGAAGUCAUUUGGUAGGUUUUGAGUGAAAUCCAAUCUCUAAAACUAUGCAGUACACCAACCACUCCAUUUCAUAACGAACUUCGUACAAACCUGGAUUGUCUAAUUUCAUGGACCAAUCGAUAUCGGAUUGAGUCCAAAACAUGGGGAACAUCAUAAUAUGGUGGGAGUAGUCAUUUGGUGGGUUUUGAGUGAAAUCCAAUCCCUAGAACUAUGCAAUAAACCAACCACUCCAUUUCAUAACGAACUUCGUACGAACCUAAAUUGUCCAAUUUCAUGGACCAAUCGUUAUCGGAUUGAGUCCAAAACUUCGUGAACAUCAUAAUAUGGUGGGAGGAGUCAUUUGGUGGGUUUUGAGUGAAAUCCAAUCUCUAGAAAUAUGCAAUACACCAACCACUCCAUUUCAGAACGAACUUCGUACGAACCUAAAUUGUCCAAUUCUUGGACUAAUUGAUAUCGGAUUGAGUCCAAAACUUGGGGAACCUCAUAAUACUGUGGGAAGAGUCAUUUGUUGGCUUUUGAGUUGAAACCAAUCUGUACAACUACGUAAUACACCAACAACUCCAUUUCAUAACGAACUUCGUACGACCCUAAAUAGUCCAAUUUCAUGGACCAAUCGGGGUCGGAAUGAGUCCAAAACUUGGGAAACAUCAUAAUACGGUGGGAGGAGUCAUUUCGUGGGUUUUGAGGGAAAUCCAAUCUCUACAACUAUGUAAUACACCAACCACUCCAUUUCAUAACGAACUUCGUACGAACCUGAAUUGUCCAAUUUCAUGGACCAAUCGAUAUCGGAUUAAUUCCGAAACUUGGGGAACUUCAAAAUAUGAUGGGAGGAGUCGUUUGGGGAGUUCUGAGUGAAAUUUAAUGGCUGAAACUAUGCAAUACACCCACCACUCCAUUUCAGAACGAACUUCGUACGAACCUGAAUUGUCUGAUUUCGUGGACCAAUCGAUAUCGGUUUGAGUCCAAAACGUGAGGAACAUCAUAAUAUUGUGGUAGGAGUCAUUUGGCGGGCUUUGAGUGAAAUCCAAUCUCUAGAACUAUACAAUACACCAAUCAUUACAUUUCAUAAAGAACUUCGUACGAACCUGAAUUGUCCAAUUUCAUGGACCAAUCGAUAUCGGAUUGAGUCCAAAACUUGGGGAACAUCAUAAUAUGGUGGGAGGAGUCAUUUGGUGACUUUUGAGUGACAUCCAAUGGCUAAAACUAUGCAAUACACCACCCGCUCCAUUUCAUAACGAACUUCGUACGAACCUGAGUUGUCCAAUUUCUGGGACCAAUCGAUAUCGGAUUGAGUCCAAACUUGGGGAACAUCAUAAUACGGUGGGAGGAGUCAUUUGGUGACUUUUGAGUGAAAUCCAAUUACUAAAACUAUGCAAUACACCAACCAAUCCAUUUCAGAAGGAACUUCGUACAAACCUGAAUUGUCCAAUUUCAUGGACCAGUUGAUAUCGGAUUGGGUCCAAAACUUGGGGAACAUCAUAAUAUGGUGGGAGGAGUCAUUUGGUGGGUUUUGAGUGAAGCCCAAUCCCUAGAACUAUGCAAUACACAAAUGACUACAUUUUAUAACGGACUUCGUACGAACCUGAAUUGUCCAAUUUCAUGGACCAAUCGAUAUCGGAUUGAGUCCAAAACUUGGGGAACAAGAAAACAUGGUGAGGGGAGUCAUUUGGUGGGUUUUGAGUGAAGUCCAAUCUCUAGAACUAUGCAAUACACCAACCACUCCAUUUCAGAACGAACUUCAUACGAACCUGAAUUGUCCAAUUUCAUGGACCAAUCGAUAUCGUAUUGAGCCCAAAACUUGGGGAACAUCAUAACAUGGUGGACGAGUCAUUUGGUUGGUUUGGAGUGAAAUCCAAGCUCGACAACAUUGCAAUACACCAACCACUCCAUUUUGUAACGAACUUCGUAUGAACCUAAGUUGUCCAAUUUCAUGGACCAAUCGAUAUCGGAUUGAGUGCAAAACUUCAGGAACGCCAUAAUAUGGUGGAGGAGUCAUUUGGUGGGUUUUGAGUGAAAUCCAAUCUCUACAACAUUGCAAUACACCAACCACUACAUUUCAUAACGAACCUCGUACGAACCUGAAUUGUCCAAUUUCAUGGACCAAUCGAUAUCGGAUUGAGUCCAAAACUUGGGGAACAUCAUAAUAUGGUGGGAGGAGUCCUUUGGUGGGUUUUGAGUGAAACCCAAUGUCUAGAACUAUGCAAUACACCAACCACUCCAUUUCAUAAUGAACUUCGUACGAACCUGAAUUGUCCAAUUUCAUGGACCAAUCGAUAACGGAUUGAGUCCAAAACUUGGGGAACAUCAUAAUAUGAUGGGUGGAGUCAUUUGGUGAGUUCUGAAUGAAAUCCAAUGGGUAAAACUAUGCAAUACAACAGCCACUCCAUUUCAGAACGAGCUUCGUACGAACCUGAAUUGUCCAAUUUAAUGGACCAAUCGAUAUCAGAUUGAGUCCAAAACUUGGGGAACAUCAUAAUAUGGUUGGAGGAGUCAUUUGGUGGGUUUUGAGUGAAAUCCAAUCUCUAGAACUAUGCAAUACACCAAUCACUCCAUUUCAUAACGAACUUCGUACGAACCUGAAUUGUCCAAUUUCAUGGACCAAUCGAUAACGGAUUGAGUCCACAACUUGGGGAACAUCAUAAUAUGAUGGGUGGAGUCAUUUGGUGAGUUCUGAAUGAAAUCCAAUGGGUAAAACUAUGCAAUACAACAGCCACUCCAUUUCAGAACGAGCUUCGUACGAACCUGAAUUGUCCAAUUUAAUGGACCAAUCGAUACCAGAUUGUGUCCAAAACUUGGGGAACAUUAUAAUAUGGUUGGAGGAGUCAUUUGGUGGGUUUUGAGUGAAAUCAAAUCUCUAGAACAAUGCAAUACACCAGCCACUCCAUUUCAGAACCAAUUUCGUACGAACCUAGGUUGUCCAAUUUCAUGGACCAAUCGAUAUCGGAUUGAGUCCAAAACUUUUGGAACAUCAAAAUAUGGUGGAGGAGUCAUUUGGUAGGUUUUGAGUGAAAUCCAAUCUCUAGAACUAUGCAAUACACCAACCACUCCAUUUCAGAACAAAUUUCAUGCACCAAUCGAUAUCGGAUUGAGUCCAAAACUUGGGGAACAUCGUAAUAUGGUGGGAGGAGUCAUUUGUUGGAUUUUGAGUGAAAUCCAAUCUCUAGAACUAUGCAAUACACCAACCACUCCAUUUCAGGACGAACUUCGUACGAACCUAAGUUGUCCAAUUUCAUGGACCAAUCGAUAUCGGAUUGAGUCCAAAACUUGGGGAACAUCAUAAUAUGGUAGAGGAGUCAUUUGGUAGGUUUUGAGGGAAGUCCAAUCUCUAGAACUAUGCAAUACACCAACCACUCCAUUUCGUAAAGAACUUCGUACGAACCUGAAUUGUCCAGUUUCAUGGACCAAUCGAUAUCGGAUUGAGUCCAAAACUUUUGGAACAUCAUAACAUGGUAGAGGAGUCAUUUGGUAGGUUUUGAGGGAAGUCCGAUCUCUAGAACUAUGCAAUACACCAACCACUCCAUUUCAUAAAGAACUUCGUACGAACCUGAAUUGUCCAAUGUCAACGACCAAUCGAUAUCGGAUUGAGUCCAAAACUUGGGGAGCAUCACAAUACGGUGGGAGGAGUCAUCUGGCGACUUUUGUGUGAAAUCCAAUGGCUAAAACUAUGCAAUACACCAGCCACUCCAUUUCAGAACGAACUUCGUACGAACUUGAAUUGUCCAAUUUCAUGUACCAAUCGAUAUCCGAUUGAGUCCAAAAUUUGGGGAACAUCGUAAUAUGGUGGGAGGAGUCAUUGGAUGGGUUUUGAGUGAAAUCCGAUCUCUUCAACUAUGCAAUGCACCGACAACUCCAUUUCAUAACGAACUUCGUACGAACCUGAAUUGUCCAAUUUCAUGGACCAAUCGAUAUCGGAUUGAGUCCAAAACUUGGGGAACGUCAUAAUAUUGUGGGAGGACUCAUUUGGUGGUUUUUGAGUGAAAUACAAUCUCUAGAACUAUGCAAUAAACCAACCACUCCAUUUCAGAACGAACUUCGUACGAUCUUGAAUUGUGCAAUUUCAUUGACCAAUCGAUAUCGGAUUGAGUCUAAAACUUGGGGAACAUCAUAACGUUCUGGGAGGAUUCAUCUGGUGAGUUUUGAGCGAAAUACAAUGGCUAAAAUACUAUAAUACACCGACCACUCUAUUUCAGAAUGAACUUCGUACGAACUUGAAUUGUUCGAUUUCGUGCUCCAAUCAAUAUCGGAUUGCGUCCAAAACUUUGGGAACAUCAUAAUGUUGUGGGAGGAGUCAUUUUGUGAUUUUUGAGUGAAUUCCAAUGGCUAAAACAAUGCAAUACACCAACCACUCCAUUUCAAAACGAACUUCGUGCAAACCUGAAUUGUCCUCUUUCUUGGACCAAUCGAUAUCCGAUUGAGUACAAAACAUGGGGAACGUAAUAAUAUUGUUGGAGGAGUCAUUUGGUAUAUUUUGAGUGAAAUCCAAUCUCUAGAACUAUGCAAUACACCAACCACUUAAUUUCUGAACGAACUUCGUACGAACCUGAAUUGUCCGAUUUCAUGGUCCAAUUGAUAUCGGAUUGAGUCCAAAACUUGGGGAACAUUAUAAUAUUGUGGGAGAAGUCAUUUGGUGGGUUUUGAGUGAAACCCAAUCUCUAGAACUGCAGAGUACACUAACAACUCCAUUUCAGAACGAACUUCGUACGAACCUGAAUUGUCCAAUUUCAUAGACCAAACGAUAUCAGAUUGAGUCCAAAACUUAGGGAACAUCAUAAUAUGGUGGGAACAUCAUAAUAUGGUGGGAAAAGUCAUUUGGUGAGUUUUGAGCGAAAUGCAAUGGCUAAAACUAUGCAAUAUGUACCAAUCCAUUUCAUAACGAACUUCGUACGAACCUGAAUUGUCCGAUUUCAUGGACCAAUCGAUAUCGGACUGAGUCCAAAACUUGGGGUACGUCAUAAAAUUGUGGGAGGAGUCAUUUGGUGGGUUUUGAGUGAAAUCCAAUCUCUAGAACUAUAGAAUACACCAACUGCGCCAUUUCAUAACGAACUUCGUACGAUCCUGAAUUGUCCAAUUUCAUGGUCCAAUCGGUAUCGGAUUGAGUGACAGGACUCGAUCCAAAUUCCGCUUUGGAAUCCAAGCGGGACCCUGUGCGUGUUCGACACCUGGCGGAUGUCAGGCACAAAUGACCUAAUUGCCCUUCUAUGCAAAACACGAUAAAAUAACAUGGUUGACUUCUACCGAAAAACCAGCAGAGUUUCCCUUGUAACUGGCUCAAUACCAAAACAUUUACACCUGCCAAACAAGUAUAUAUAUACAACCAACCGCCGGCAUACGUAUAUAUACAUUCCAACAGUUCAAUUCUAAGUCUAGGUCAAAACAUCAGAGCGACUACUAAGAAUUUACAAGGAGUCAAUCCUUUUAUAAAACAACAAGUCCUACAUCAAAGAGGAAAGCACGGAAGGUGGAAAACGGCCCGGUGGUGGAUUCCUGUGCACGCCUACUGCCUGGGGGUGCAAAACAUUAAAAAGGGUGAGUGGACCCAAAAACAAAGUUUAGAAAAUAGCAUAUGAACAUACUAACCCCACUGUAAAAACAAUUAUACAAUGCACGUUUAUCAUUAUACAUGUAUAUAAGCCAAUCAUAUUCAUGGUCAACAUUAAUUUCUUAAGGCAUUGAAAACAGUUUAAAACUACCACCCAGGUGUACCCUUUAUUUCCGUCAAUUCCUUAUAUCCGUCAAUUCCUUGCGUCACUAUAGGUUACACGUACUCGCAGGUCUCAUUGACACGAGGUCAGUCCGAGCCGCAAGGGGACCGUAGUCCACCAAAUCCGCAUAACUCGCUCCACACGAAUUUGAGUACGAAGGAACUCGUGGGGCAACCGUCAAGCAUGCUGACUAAACCGAAGGCAACCAAUAUAAUCCAAAGGCAACAUUUAAUCUCUGGGUACAAGGUGAUUUAGGAAAAUAUAACAUUUAUGUAACCUUUCAAAUUCUGCUGCCAUUUAUCUGAUAAUUAACUAGAAUUUCUUUCUUUAUAUCCGUUAAAGGGUAUUCCACUCGGCAGCAUGCAAACCAAAAUAUUCAAAAACAUAAAACAGCUUAUAACACUAAUCUUUGAAUAAAAUUUAUUCAAGAUCAAAUACUAUAACUGAAACUGAACUGCUUAAAUUCAUUUAUAAAAACAAAGAGUCCACUCACUGGUAGUCCGUGCUCGCUGGACCUCUUGAAGGUCCCUCAUGCGGGUCAACUGGUGCCCGGGUGCCUGAUUCAAUGACCAUAAUAUUCUAUUAAUACAAUAUAAUAUUAAUUUAAAAACCCUAACCCCCGGCUCCUAGAAGUACGUGCAUCAAAUUAAAGUUAUUCCUAUGCCCAUAAAAGCUUUCAUUCCAGUUUAGUAGUAUCUUGGGACUCAAAAAGCGCUAAAGUCCCAAAAAGUCAACCCGGGGUCUCGCGGGUCCAUGACCUUGCAAUUAUGAUCCGGAAGCCUCUAAAAGUUCCAAUAUAUCUGGGACACAUGUCCCGAGGGUUUGGUCUCAAUCGGACGGUCGGAUUGAUCACGAUCGUACAAUCGCACGAUUUCUAAACCCUAGCCCUAGGGUUCACGAUUUCGGAGUAUCCGGGACUCCGAUGCACGAUCCGUCAAAUCCUACAUGAUUCUGAAAUUGUCUAGAGUAACAUAUCUGAAACUAAUUACGAUCCAAUGGCUCAACAGUAUUAAACCCGGAAAUCGCACAAUAUGUAAAAUCCGUUCGAGGCUCAAACGGUAUCCAAAUUGAGAUCCGCGAAUUCCUACGCGCUCGUGACAACCUAAGGAUCUUAUCAAGACACAGUGCCACUUCACUACCCUCACCCACACGCCGGCAGCACUGGGUGUCCAAAGCGAUUACGUAUCGCCGAAAAGUCUUAAAACCACGGCUCCAAACUCCUACCCUAGGUAAAACACCCUAUUUGGAGCCACUUUUGUUCUUGGACCUACCCCAAAAACUGACCAGAAGUGGCCGAACUCGGAGGCCGAAAACUGGCCGAAUUUCCAAUUCAAAAAUCAAUUACCUACACUGAGAACCGAUUAAAUCCUACCCAACAGGCAGCUAGAACAGCUCGAGAGGUUCAAAAUCCAAACCUGGAUCGUCCGCUUUGGUGGCCAGAGGCGUUUGAAACGAUCGAAGGAAAACGGCUCGAAUCCGGCCGGAUUUUCGCAAAAUCCGGUGGCUGCACAUGCUGUUGGCGGCGAAGAUUGGUUAGGUUAGGACGGCGAGGCCUUACCGAUCAUUUCAAGACUGGACCCAGCUCCGGUGGUGGACCACGGCGACAGCGACGGCUCCAAGAGCCGCUCGGCUGUAAAAAAAAAAACGGGUGGAUGGUUCUGUGCUCGCGGGAGAGAGAGAGAGAGAGAGAGAGAGAGAGAGAGAGAGAGAGAGAAACUGAGGGAGAAGAGAGAGAAGUGAGGUUUUUGUAAAAAUCUGAUUUUUCAAAUUACCGUUUCGCCCCUCGGAGUAUAUUAACCGUAUUUUCUUCGUUAAAGCUCCGAUUCUAGUCCCCUUCAUGUCUACGAACUCAUUUCGUCAUGCUCUAUGCAACGGUGUAUGUGGAAUUGUCAAAUUCCUUCUCGGUCAAAAAAUCAACUUUUCUUUACUAAAUUAUUCCAAGGGCAAAAUUGCCUUUUCCCUUUAACAAAUCAAUAAUUAAAUAUUAAUUAAGGUUUGGGUUACUGCAUUGAGUACAAAACUUGGGUAAUAUCAUAAUGUUGUGGAAGGAGUCAUUUGGUGAGUUUUGAGGGAAAUCGAAUGGCUAAAACAAUGCAAUACACCAACCACUCUAUUUAAGAACGAACUUCGUACGAACCUGAAUUGUCCGAUUUCAUGGUCCAAUCGAUAUUGGAUAUAGUCCAAAACUUACGUAACAUCAUAAUAUGGUGGGAGGAGUCAUUUGGUGCGUUUUGAGCGAAAUCCAAUGGCUAAAACUAUGCAAUACAAAAACCACUCCAUUUUAUAACGAACAUUGUAUGAACCUGAAUUGUCCAAUUUCAUGGACCAAUUGAUAUCGGAUUGAGUCCAAAACUUGGGGAACAUCUUAAAAUUCUAGGAGGAGUCAUUUGGGGAGUUUUGAGUGAAAUCCAAUCUCUAGAACUAUAGAAUACUCCAACCACUCCAUUUCAGAACCAACUUCGUACGAACAUAAAUUGUUCAAUUUCAUGGACCAAUCGAUAUCGGAUUGAGUCCAAAAGUUAGGGAACAUCAUAAUGUUGUGGGAGGAGUCAUUUGGUGAGGUUUGAGCGAAUCCAAUGGCUAAAACUACGCAAUACACCAACCACUCCAUCUCAGAGCUAACUUCGUACAAACUUGAAUUGUCCGAUUUCAAGGACCAAUCAAUAUCGGAUUGAGUACAAAACUUGGGGAACAUCAUAAAAUUGUGGGAGGAGUCAUUUGGUGGGUUUUGUGUGAAAUCUAAUCUCUAGAACUAUACAAUACGCCAACCACUCCAUUUCAUAACGAACUUCGUAAGAACCUGGAUUGUCCAAUUUCAUAGACCAACCGAUAUCGGAUUGAGUCCAAAACUUGGGAAACAUCAUAAUGUUGUGGGAGGAGUCAUUUGGUGAGUUUUGAGUGAAUUCCAAUAGCUAAAACAAUGCAAUACACCAACCACUCCAUUUCAAAACGAAUUUCCUACGAACUUGAAUUGUCCGAUUUCAUGGACCAAUCGAUAUCGGAUUGAGUCCAAAACUUGGAGAACAUCAUAAUAUGGUGGGAGGAGUCAUUUGGGGGGUUUUGAGUGAAAUCCAAUCACUAGAAUAAUACAAUACACCAACCACUCCAUUUCAGAACGAACUUCGUACGAACCUGAAUUGUCUAAUUUCAUGUACCAAUCGAUAUCGGAUUGAGUCCAAAACUUAGGGAACAACAUAAUACGGUGGGAGGAGUCAUUUGGUGAGUUUUGUGUGAAAUCCAAUCGCUAAAACUAGGCAAUACACCAACCACUCCAUUUCAUAACGAACAUCGUAUGAACCUGAAUUGUCCAAUUUCAUGGGCCAAUCGAUAUCGGCUAGAGUCCAAAACUUGGUGAACAACAUAAUAUUGUGGAAUGGGUCAUGGGGUGGGUUUUAAGUGAAAUCCAAUUCCUAGAACUAUGCAAUACACCAACCACUCCAUUUAAGCACGAACUUCGUACGAACCUGAAUUGUCCGAUUUCGUGGACCAGUCGAUAUCGGAUUGGGCCCAAAACUUGGGGAACAUCAUAAUAAGGUGGGAGGAGUCAUUUGGUGAGUUUUGAGUGAAAUCCAAAGGCUAAACACUAUGCAAUACACCAACCACUCCAUUUCAGAACGAACUUCGUACGAACCUGAAUUGCCCAAUUUGAUGGACCAAUCGAUAUCGAAUUGUGGCCAAAACUUGGGGAACAUCAAUUUAGUGGGAGGAGUCAUUUGGUGGGUUUUCAGUGAAAUCCAAUCUCUAGAACUAUGCAAUACACCAACCACUCCAUUUCAGAACGGACUUCGUAGGAACCUGAAUUGUCUGAUUUCAUGGACGAAUCAAUAUCUGAUUGAGUCCGAAACUUAGGGAACAACAUAAUAUUGUGAUAAGAGUCAUUUGGUGACUUUUGACUGAAAUCCAAUUGCCAAAACUACGCAGUACACCAACCCAUUAGGGAACGAACUUCGUACGAGCAUGAAUAGUCCAAUUUCUUGGACAAUCGAUGUUGGAUUGAGUCCAAAACUUGGAGAACACCAUAAUAUGGUGGGCCUAUUUGGUGAGUUUUGAGUGAAAUCCAAUGGCUAAAACCAUGCAAUACACCAACCACUCAAUUUUAGAACGAACUUCGAAUCUGAAUCGACAUCGUAUUGAGUCCACAACUUGGGGAACAUCAUAAUGUUGUGUUAGGAGUCAUUUUGUGAGUUUUAGGUGAAAUCCAAAGCCUAAAACUGUGCAAUACACCAACCACUUCAUUUCAGAACGAACUUCGUACGAACAUGAAUUGUCUGAUUUCAUGCACCAAUCGAUAUCGAAUUGAUUCCAAAACUUGAGGAACAUCAUAAUAUGGUGGAAGGACUCAUUUGGUAAGUUUUGAGUGAAAUCCAAUGACUAUAAAACUAUGCAAUACACCAACCACUUUAUUUCAUAACGAACUUCGUACGAACUUUAAAUAUUUCAACACUUUUUCGGACCGAGAUGUAACAAUUUUACCAAAGUCUCCUUGGUCAACAAGUCACCAUCUUCUCUAAUAAUUUUUUAUAGAGGCAAAAUUAUCAUUUCUCAGAAUAAAUUAAUAACUAAAAAUUAAUUUAGGAUCGGGAUGUUACAAAAACAAUGCAAUACACCAACCACCCCAUUUCAGAACGAACUUUGUACGAACCAGAAUUGUCCGAUUUCAGGGACCAAUCGAUAUCGGAUUGAGUCCAUACCUUGGGGAACAUCAUAAUAUUGUUGGAGGCAUCAUUUGGUGGGUUUUUAGUGAAAUCCAAUCUCUAGAGCAGUACAAUACACCAACCACGCCAUUUCAGAACGAACUUCAUACGGACAUGAAUUUUCCGAUUUCAUGGACGAAUCGAUAUCGGAUUGAGUCCAAAACUUGAGGAACAUCAUAAUAUGGUGGGAGGACUCAUUUGGUGGGAUUUGAGUGAAAUCCAAUGGCCAAAACAAUGCAAUACACCAACCACUCCAUUUCAGAACGAACUUCGGACGAACCUGAAUUGUCCAAUUUCAUGGACCAAUCGAUAUCGGAUUGAGUCUAAAGCAUGGGGAACACCAUAAAGUAGUGGGAGGAGUCAUUUUGUGAGUUUUGAGUGAAAUCCAUUGGCUAAAACUAUGCAAUACACCAACCACUCCAUUUCAGAAUGAACUUCGUACGAACUGAAUUGUCCGAUUUCAUGAAGCUAUCGAUAUCGGAUUGGGUCCAAAACUUGGGGAACAUCAUAAUAUGGUGGGAGGAGUCAUUUGGUGGGUUUCAAGUGAAAUCCAAUCUUUAGAACUAUACAAUACACCAACCACUCCAUUUCAGAAUGAACUUCGUACGAACCUAAAUUGUCCAAUUUCAUGGACCAAUUGAUAUCGGCUUGAGUCAAAAACUUGGGGAACAUCAUAAUAUGGUGGGAGGAGUCAUUUGGUGGGAUUUGAGUGAAAUCCAAUCUCUAGAGCUAUACAAUGCACCAACCACUCCAUUUCCUAACGAUCUUCGUACGAAUUUGAAUUUCCCAAUUUGAUGGACCAAUGGAUAUCGGAUUGAGUCCAAAACUUGGGGAACAUCAUAACAUAUGAUGGGAGGAGUGAUUUGUUGAGUUUUGAAUGAAAUCCAAUGGCUAAAACUAUGCAAUACACCAACCACUCCAUUUCAGAAUGAACUUCGUACGAACCUUAAUUGUCCCAUUUCAUGGACAAAUCGGGAUCGGAUUGAGGGCAAAACUUGGGGAACAUCAUAAUAUGGUGGGAGGAAUCAUUUGGUGAGUUUGGAGUGAGAUCCAAUUGCCAGAACUAUGCAAUAUACCAACCACUCCAUUUCAGAACGAACUUCGUACGAACCGAAAUUGUCUAAUUUCACCGACCAAUAGAUAUCCGAUUGAGUCCAAAACUUGGGGGACAUCAUAAUGUUGUGGGAGGAGUCAUUUGGUGAGUUUUGAGUGAAAUCCAAUGGCUAAAACUAUGCAAUAGAACAACAACUCCAUUUCAUAAUGAACUUCGUACGAACCUGAAUUGUCCGAUUCCAUGGACCAAUCGAUAUCGGAUUGAGUCCAAAACUUGGGGAACAUCAUAAUGUUGUGGGAUGAGUCAUUUUGUGAGUUUUGAGUGAAAUCCAAUGGCUAAAACAAUGCAAUACACCAACCAAAUUAUUUCAGAACGAACUUCGUACGAACCUAAAUUGUCCGAUUUCAUGGACCAAUCGAUAUCAAAUUGAGUCCAAAACUCAGGGAACAUCAUAAUAUGGUGGAAGGAGUCAUUUGGUGUGUUUUUAGUGAAAUCCAAUGGCUAAAAGUAUGCAAUACACCAACCACAUUAUUUCAAAACGAACUUCGUACGAACUUGAACUGUCCGAUUUCAUGGACGAAUCGAUAUCAAAUUGAGUCCAAAACUUAGGGAACAUCAUAAUAUGGUGGAAGGAGUCAUUUGGUGAGUUUUUAGUGAAAUGCAAUGGCCUAAAGUAUGCAAUACACCAACCACUCUAUUUCAGAACGAACUUCGUACGAACCUGAAUUGUCCGAUUCAUGGACCAAUCGAUAUCGGACCGAGUCCAAAACAUAAGGAACAACGUAAUAUGGUGGGAGGAGUCAUUUGGUGAGUUUUGAGCGAAAUCCAAUGGCUAAAACUUUGCAAUACAACAGGCACUCCAUUUCAUAACGAACUUCGUACGAACCUGAAUUGUCCAAUUUCUUGGACCAAUCGAUAUCGGAUUGAGUCCAAAACUUGGUGAACAUCAUAAUAUGGUGGGAGGAGUCAUUUGGUGAGUUUUGAGUGAAAUCCAAUGGCUAAAACUAUGCAAUACACCAACCACUCCAUUUCUUAACGUACUUCGUACGAACAUGAAUUGUCCAAUUUCGUGGACCAAUUAAAAUUGGAUGGAGUCCAAAACUUAGGGAACAUCAUAACAUAGUGGGAGGUGUCAUUUGGUGGGUUUUCAGUGAAAUCCAAUCUAUAGAACUACGCAAUACACCAACCACUCCAUUUCUUAACGAUCUUCGUACGAACCUGAAUUGUCAAAUUUCAUGGACAAAUCGAUAUCGGAUGGAAUCCGAAACUUAGGGAACAUCAUAACAUAGUGGGAGGUGUCAUUUUGGUCGGUUUUCAGUGAAAUCCAAUCUAAAGAACUAUGCAAUACACCAACCACUCCAUUUCAGAACGAACUUCGUACGGACUUGAAUUGUCCAAUUUCAUGGGCCAAUUGACAUUGGAUUGAGUCGAAAACUUGGGAAACAUCAUAAUAUUGUGGGACGAGUCAUAUGGGGAGUUUUGUGUGAAAUACAAUCUCUAGAACUAUGCAGUAGACCAACCACUCAAUUUCAGAACGAACUUCGUACAAAAAUGAAUUGUCCGAUUUCAAGGACCAAUUGAUAUCGGAUUGAGUCCAACAGUUGGGGAACAUCAUAAUAUUGUGGGAGGAGUGAUUUGGAGGGUUUUGACUGAUAUUCAAUCUCUAGAUCUAUACAAUACACCAACCACUCCAUUUCAAAACGAACUUCGUACGAACCUGAAUUGUCUGAUUUCAUGGACCAAUCGAUAUCGAAUUUUAUCCAAAACUUGAGGAACAUCAUAGUAUGGUUGGAGGAGUCAUUUGGUGAGUUUUGAGUGAAAUCCAAUGGCUAAAACUAUGCAAUACACGAACCACUCCAUUUCUUAACGAACUUCGUACGAACAUGAAUUGUCCAAUUUCGUGGACCAAUCAAUAUCAGAUGGAGUCCAAAACUAAAAGAACACCAUAACAUAGUGGGAGGUUUCAUUUGGUGGGUUUUCAGUGAAAUCCAAUCUACAGGACUAUGCAAUACACCAACCACUCUAUUUCUUAAUGAUCUUUGUACGAACCUGAAUUGUCCAAUUUCAUGGACGAAUUGAUAUCGGAUUGAAUCCGAAACUUGGGGAACAUCAUAAUGUUGUGGUAGGAGUCAUUUGGUGAGUUCUGAGUGAAAUCCAAUGGCUAAAACUAUGAAAUACACCAACCACUCCGUUUCUUAACGAACUUCGUACGAACAUGAAUUGUCCAAUUUCAUGGACCAAUCAAUAUCGGAUGGAGUCCAAAACUUAGGCAACAUCAUAACAUAGUGGGAGGUGUCAUUUGGUGGGUUUUUAGCGAAAUCCAAUCUAUAGAACUGUGCAAUACACCAACCACUCCACUUCAGAACGAACUUCGUAUAGACCUGAAUUGUCCAAUUUUAUGGACCAAUUGAGGUUGGAUUGAGUCCAAAACUUGGGAAACAUCAUAAUAUAGUGGCAGGAGUCAUUUGGUAUUUUUUUAGGGAAAUCCGCUCCCUAGAACUAUGCAAUACACCAACCACUCCAUUUCAGAAUGAACUUCGUACGAACCUGAAUUGUCCGAUUUCAUGGACGAAUCGAUAUCGGAUUGAGUCCAAAACUUAGGGAACAUCAUAAUAUGGUCUGAGGAGUCAUUUGGUGAGUUUUGAGUGAAAACCAAUGGUAAAACUAUGCAAUACAACUACAACUCCAUUUCAUAAUGAACUUCGUACGAACCUGAAUUGUCCAAUUUGAUGGACUCAUCGAUAUCGGACUGAGUCCGAAACUUGGGGAACAACAUAAUAUAGUGGGGGGAGUCAUUUGGUGGGUUUUCAAUGAAAUCCAAUCUCGUGAACUGUACAAUACACCAAUCACUCCAUUUCAGAACAAACUUCAUAUGGACUUGAGUAAUCCGAUUUCAUGGACUAAUCGAUAUCGGAUUGAGUCCAAAACUUAGGGAAUGUCAUAAUACGGUGGGAGGAGUCAUUUGGUGAGUUUUAAGUGAAAUCCAACGUCCAAAACUAUGCAAUUCACCAACCACUCCAUUUCUUAACGAACUUCGUACAAACCUGAAUUGUCCAAUUUCAUGGAACAAUCGAUAUCGGAUUGAGUCCAAAACAAGGGGAACAUCAUAAAGUGGUGGGAGGGGUCAUAUGGGGUGUUUUGAGUGAAAUACAAUCUCUAGAACUAUGCAAUACACCAACCACUCAACUGCAGAACGAACUUCGUACAAAAAUGAAUUGUCCGAUUUCAUGGACCAAUCGAUAUCGGAUAAGUACAAAACUUGAGGAGCAUCAUAAUAUGAUGGAUGGAGUCAUUUGGUGAGUUUUGCAUGAAAUGCAAUGGCCAAAACUAUGCAAUACACCAACCACUCCAUUUCAGAACGAACGUCGUACGAACCUGAAUUGUCCAAUUUCAUGGACCAAUCGAUAUCGCAUUGAGUCCAAAACUUGGGGAACAUCAAAAUAUGGUUGGAGGAGUCAUUUGGUAGGUUUUGAGUGAAAUCCAAUCCCUAGAACUAUGCCACACACCAACCAGUCCAUUUCAUAACGAGCUUCGUAUGAACCUGAAUUGUCCAAUUUCGUGGACCAAUCGAUAUCGGAUUGAGUCCAAAACAUGGGGAACAUCAUAAUAUGGUGGGAGGAGUCAUUUGGUGGGUUUUGAGUGAAAUCCAAUCUCUAGAACUCUGCAAUACACCAACCACUCCGUUUCAUAACGAACUUCGUACGAACCUGAAUUGUCCAAUUUCAUGGACCAAUCGAUAUCGGAUUGAGUCCAAAACUUGGGGAACAACAUAAUAUGAUGGGUUGGAGUCGUUUGUUGAGUUUUAAAUGAAAUCCAAUGGCUAAAACCACGCUAAAAACCACCCACUCCAUUUCCUAACGAACUUCGUACGAACCUGAAUUAUCCAAUUUCAUGGACGAAUCGAUAUCGGAUUGAGUCCAAAACUUGGGGAACAUCAUAAUAUGGUGGGAGGAGUCAUUUGGUGACUUUUGAUUGAUAUCCAAUGACUAAAACUGUGAAAUACACAAACCACUCCAUUUCAGAACGAACUUCGUACGAACCUGAAUUGUCCAAUUUCAUGGACUAAUUGACAUCGGAUUGAGUCCAAACUUGGGUAACAUCAUAAUAUGGUGGGAGGAGUCAUUUGGUGGCUUUUUAGUGAAAUCCAAUCUCUACAACUAUGCAAUACACCAAGCACUCCAUUUCAGAACGAACUUCGUACGAACCUAAAUUGUCCAAUUUCAUGGACCAAUCUAUAUCGGAUUGAGUUCACAAGUUGGGGAACAUCAUAAUAUGGUGGGAGGAGUCAUUUGGUGACUUUUGAGUGAAAUCCAAUGGCUAAAACUAUGCAAUACACCAACCACUCCAUUUCAUAAUGAACUUCAUACGAACCUGAAUUGUCAAAUUUCAUGGAUCAAUCGAUAUCGGAUUGAGUCCAAAACUUGGGGAACAUCAUAAUAUGGUGGGCGGAGUCAUUUGGUGACUUUUGAGUGAAAUCCAAUGGCUAAAACUAUGCAAUAUGUUGGACCUAUUCUUAACAACUAAAAUGAGUUAUUAAAGAGGGCAACUUUGAUUCUCGCAAGUGCACGAACCGUUUAUAGUAUAGUUUAUGUAAAUACGAGGUCGAUCCCACUGAAAGUGGUAACUUGGUUCCAAGUUAAAUUACUUAGAAUGCUAGAAAAACAUAGAACAGAGAAACUGACUAACAUGAUUUCUCCAGUUUGCCCCUAGCCUGUUCCUGUCAUUGUUUGCAAAAACGUUGUUUCCCCCUCUGUCUUUUCUGCCUCUUGCAAGUGGAGGGAAUGGAUUGGGAUCUAUCCUUCUGGGUCUGUAGGGCAACACAGCUGGUGGCUCAGGCAGAAGUGCCAAAGGUUGAUCAUGGGGGGCCACAGGUUGAGGAAUAGGCUAAGGUUCUGGCUAAUUCUGUUGGAUCUGAACUGGUGCAGGGCCUUCUGGCCGGACUGGGGCCUCAUGUUCUUGGACGGGAAGAGCUCCUCCCCUCUGUCCAGCCUGGAUCUCUCCAUGCCCUGGUAUUCCAGCUAUUUGUGCAAUGAGAGGGUUCUCUUGGUAUGGCCAUGCUAAUCCUGGUAGAGGGCUAUAAGGAAGGUCUAGCUGCUGGACUACAACAUCUAGAUUUGGAAUUCUGGCCAUGCCAGCCUCACGGUCCUUCCUGAACUGCCUGUUAACCUGCCAUUGCAUCAUGGCUGUCAUGUUAUUGAGAGUAUCCUGGCUCCUUUGUGUUGUAACCUCCUGUCGGAAUACAGAUUCUUGUAUUUGAUUCAUCCUCCUAGAGCCGGUCCUGGGACGUCUGCUUCCGGUACUGCCCUGGGUUGAUUGCCUGGCGUCACUUUCUUCUGACUGCAGACCUUCCCUGAGAGCUACUUGAUUUAUCUCCAUGGGGUGGUGCGGGUUCUAGCUAGAGCUUCCAAUAUUCAUAAACUUGAGAAGAAUUUUGUCAGAGUAUGUAUACUGAGCAGUCCCACUGGGCGUGCCAAAUUGUUCACCCGUUUUGUUUUUAUUCCUGUGAUGGAAGGGCAAAGUUCCCCAUUGCCUUGAAAACCAUUGACUGGUCAGCAAACCAACUUUCUUUGGUGUGUGAGCGUUCCACUGCUAGCGAUGAAAAAUCCUAGCAGACUUCUUUGAAACAAAUAACUUGCGCCCCAAGUUACUAAUUUCUAAACAAGCGAUUAUGAAUUUGGGUGAGGAAUAUCUCCCAAGUAAGUUCUUUUCCUGCCUCAGGCUGGUGAGGACUUCAUAAUUUAUCACAGUAUAAAAUUGGUAGUUCUGGCCAGAAUAGAUGAUAAUAAAGUGGACUGUUUUAGGCAGAACUGCCUUUUACAAAUUUAAGAAGGAAAAAACCCAACUCUAAAAAGACAAAAAGAUGGCUGGAAUCCCAUUUGGCAAAGCUUUUAAUCUACUUCAAGCCUUGGGAGGCUUUUGAGCUGGCAGAACUACAGUUUCUUCAGUCUGAAGGGGUAGAAGUGGCUGGACUUGAGGACUUAAUGAGCUGGAACUGCACUGUAAAAUUUGUUGAGGUUUUCAUAUUUGUGAAAACUCAAACUCUGCUUGUCUUGGCUUUUGCUAAACCAAAUUUGUAACGAGAGGAGUCUCGUUUUGAAUGACUUAUUUCUCUGAGUUUGAACUUGGAAGUUCUGAUCUACAGCUGGCUUCUUUUGUGGUUCAAAUGAGCCUUUGGUUGCUCCAGUUUGUUUUGAAGGUUCUCAGUGAUCAAGCGAUCAUUUUGAGUUUUUUUGCCUUUGGUUGAUUUUUUGAUUGUUUUUUUUUUGUCGAUCCUUUGAUUGUCCAACUUCUCCUGUAUUUAUAAGAAAUGUUUUGAAGUAGGGUUUCUUUCUUUUAAUAAUGGGCGGCAAAAAUUCUCAAAAAGAUCUUUCAUUUUUCUAUACAAAGAAGAAGAAGAUUUUAUCAAUUUCUAGCAGAUAGGCUUUCGAUAGUCAAUUCUUUUUAAGACCAAUCACUUCUCUGUUUUUUUUUGAAAGAGAACCUAACCCCUCUUUAAUUCCAACUCCCCCUUUGUGAGAGCUCAAACUGUGAUGUUCAGUUUCUUUAAUGGUUUGAACAACUCCCUGUUUUCCUGCUUAUCUCUUUUUGAGAACUUUAGCCUGCGUAUCCCUUGAAAGAUGGUGCUUUCUUUGGAGUAGAAACAAUAUCUCUGAAUAUAUAAAAAGGGUAGAUUUCAGAGACGUCCUUUCUUUCUGCAUGCCUCUGUCAACUCUCUUAUCAACCUAGUUGAUUUUGACUUUUCUAAGUCAGAGAAAAACAAUCAUGUGGGUCUGUUUCCUUUUGGGUUUCUACUUUUUACUUUGAUCAUGCCAAGCCCAAUUUAGUUUCUUCGAAGCCCAAGCUUGAGAUAGGUUCUGGGCCGGGCUUUUGUUGGAUUUUGGACCUUUGGUUCAUGUUUAUUUUCAGAGUCCAAACUUCUCGGGCCCAGCGUUGUUGUCUUUGUUAUUCUGGGCUCUGUAGCGUUUGGGCUGGGUGCGCAAGAUUUUGGCCCAAACAUUAUGUGCUUGAUGUAUGUUUUCUUGGAGUAGCUAACUAGGAUUUUAUGCAUCUAGCACAGGUUGGGAAGGGGUUUAGAUUCACCAAUUCUUCUCUCCUUUUACAAGCAACACAUGAAUGGCCUAAGAAUUAUUCAAGGGGUUAAUAACCAUAGGUUGACUAGGACAGAUACCAUGUUCUAGGACUUGUGUGAUUAUCAUAUUCUCAAGGAGCUUAAUGACUCUUGUAUGCUUUAUUCUAAGUAGAUACCAUGCUUAGGUUGCAUAUUAGAGAUCACGUGUUGUGUAGAUACCAUGCAUAAUCACAUGCCUUAGGAGAAUCAUGCAUCCUGCACCUAGAAACCAUAGGCUUGUAUGCGAUAAUCUAUUGUUGAUGAAGCUUGAGUCAAUUUCUAUGCAUUCAUAACUUGGAUAGGAAAACUAGUGGUGGAUUCCAAGGCUCCAACACCUCUCAAUCAUUGUUUCACAACUUGUUGAUUGCUGCCAGUGUUUACUUUCGAGCACUUUCAUUUCACUUUCUUCUUUUCAUUUCAACAACAAAACCCCUCAUUCCGAGUGCGUGUGUGGUGCUAGGAGUCUGUCCUAGACCUUGAGUAAUUAGCAAGAGGCAUUGUUGAAUUCGACCUUGCCUUUAGCUCGUUAGUCAGUUUCUUUGUUCUAUAUUUUUCUAGCAUUCUAAGUAAUUUAACUUGGAACCAAGUUACCACUUUCCGUAGGAUCGACCUCGUAUUUACAUAAGCUAUACUAUAAACGGUUCGUGCACUUGCGAGAAUUAAAGUUGCUGUUUUUAAUAACUCAUUUUAGUUGUUAAGAAUAGGUCCAACAUAUUGCAUAGUUUUAGCCAUUGGAUUUCACUCAAAAGUCACCAAAUGACUCCUCCCACCAUAUUAUGAUGUUCCCCAAGUUUUGGAUUCAAUCCGAUAUCGAUUGGUCCAUGAAAUUGGACAAUUCAGGUUCGUACGAAGUUCGAUAUGAAAUGGAGUGGUUGGUGUAUUGCACAGUUGUAGAGAUUGGAUUUCACUCAAAACCCGCAAAAUGACUCCUCCCACCAUAUUAUGAUGUUCCCCAAGUUUUGGACUCAAUCCGAUAUCGAUUGGUCCAUGAAAUUGGACACUUCAGGUUCGUACGAAGUUCAUUAUGAAAUGGAGUGGUUGGUGUAUUGCAUAGUUCUAGAGAUUGGAUUUCACUCAAAACCCAACAACUGACUCCUCCCACCAUAUUAUGAUCUUCCCCAAGUUUUCGACUCAAUCUGAUAUCGAUUAGUCCGUGAAAUUGGACAAUUCAGGUUUGUACGAAUUUUGUUCGGAAAUGGAGUGGUCUGUGUAUUUCAUAGCUUUAGUCAUUGGAUUUCACUGAAAAGUCACCAAAUGACUAAUCCCAUCAUAUUAUGAUGUUCCCCAAGUUUUGGCCUCAAUCCGAUAUCGAUUGGUCCAUGAAAUUGGACAAUUCAAGUUCGUACGAAGUUCGUUAUGUAAUGGAGUGGGUGGUGUAUUGCAUAGUUUUAGCCAUUGGAUUUCAUUCAAAACUCACCAAAUGACUCCACCAAUCACAUUAUGAUGUUCCCCAAGUUUUGGACUCAAUCCGAUAUCAAUUGGUCCAUGAAAUUGGACAAUUCAGUUUCGUACGAAGUUCGUCAUGAAAUGGAGUGGUUGGUGUAUUGCAAAGUUGUAGAGAUUGGAUUUCACUCAAAACCCACCAAAUGACUCCUCUCACCAAAUUAUGAUGUUCUCCAAGUUUUGGACUCAAUUGGAUAUCGAUUGGUCAAUGAAAUUGGACAAUUCAGGUUCGUACGAAGUUCGUUAUGAAAUGGAGCGGCUGGUGUAUUGCAUAGUUCUAGAGAUUGGAUUUCACUCAAAACCCACCAAAUGACUCCUUCAACCACAAUUAUGAAUGUUCCCCAAGUUUUGGACUCAAUCCGAUAUCGAUUGGUCCAUGAAAUUGGACAACUCAGGUUCGUACGAAGUUCGUUCUAAAAUAGAGUGGUUGGUGUAUUGCAUAGUUUUAGCCAUUGGAUUUCAUUUAAAACUCACCAAAUAACACACCCACCAUAUUAUGAUGUUCCCCAAGUUUUCGACUCAAUCUAAUAUCGAUUAGUCUAUGAAAUUGGAUAAUUUAGGUUCGUACGAAGUUUGUCCUGAAAUGGAGUGGUCUGUGUAUUACAUAGCUUUAGUCAUUGGAUUUCAUAGAAAAGUCACCAAAUGACUAAUCCCAUCAUAUUAUGAUGUUCCCCAAGUUUUGGACUCAAUCCGAUAUCGAUUGGUCCAUGAAAUUGGACAAUUCAAGUUCGUACGAAGUUCGUUAUUUAUUGGAGUGGGUGGUGUAUUGCAUAGUUUUAGCCACUGGAUUUCAUUCAAAACCCACCAAAUGACUCCACCAAUCAUAUUAUGAUGUUCCCCAAGUUUUGGACUCAAUCGGAUAUCGAUUGGUCCAUAAAAUUGGACAAUUCAGUUUCGUACGAAGUUCGUUAUGAAAUGGAGUGGUUGGUGUAUUGCAAAGUUGUAGAGAUUGGAUUUCGCUCAAAAGUCACCAAAUGACUCCUCCCACCAUAUUAUGAUGUUCCCCAAGUUUUGGACUCAAUCCGAUAUCGAUUGGUCCAUGAAAUUGGACAAUUCAGGUUCGUACAAAGUUCAAUAUGAAAUGGAGUGGUUGGGGUAUUGCAUAGUCCUAGAGAUUGGAUUUCACUCAAAACCCACCAAAUGACUCAUCCCAUCAUAUUAUAAAGUUCCCCAAGUUUUGGACUCAAUCCGAUAUCGAUUGGUCCACGAAAUUGGACAAUUUAGGUUCGUACGAAGUUCGUUCUCAACUGGAGGGGUUGGUGUAUUGCACAGUUGUAGAUAUUGGAUUUCACUGAAAACCCACCAAAUGACUCCUUCAACCAUAUUAUGAUGUUCCCCAAGUUUUGGACACAAUCCGGUAUCGAUUGGUGUAUGAAAUUGGACAAUUCAGAUUCGUACGAAGUUCGUUUUGAAAUGGAGUGGUUGGUGUAUUGCAUAGUUCUAGAGAUUGGAUUUCACUCAAAACCCACCAAAUGACUCCUCCCACCAUAUUAUGACGUUCCCCAAGUUUUGGACUCAAUCCGAUAUCGAUUGGUCCACGAAAUUGGACAAUUUAGGUUCGUACGAAGUUCGUUCUCAACCAGAGUGGUUGGUGUAUUGCACAGUUUUAGAGAUUGGAUUUCACUCAAAACCUACCAAAUGACUCCUCCCACCAUAUUAUGGUGUUCCCCAAGUUUUGGAGCCAAUCCGAUAUCGAUUGGUGCAUGAAUUGGACAAUUUAAGUUCGUACGAAGUUCGUUCUGAACCUGGAGUGGUUGGUGUAUUGCACAGUUCUAGAGAUUGGAUUUCACUCAAAACCCACCAAAUGACUCCUCCCACCAUAUUACGAUGCUCCCCAAGUUUUGGACUCAAUCUGAUAUCGAUUGGUCCAUGAAAUUGGACAAUUUAGGUUCGUACGAAGUUCGUUAUGAAAUGGAGUGGGUGGUGUAUUGCAUCGUUUUAGCCAUUGGAUUUCACUCAAAAGUUUCCAAAUGAUUCCUCCCACCAUAUUAUGAUGUUCCCCAAGUUUUGGACUCAAUCCGAUAUCGAUUGGUCCAUGAAAUCGGACAAUUCAAGUUCGUACGAAAUUCGUUAUGAAAUGGAGUGGGUGGUGCAUUACCUAGUUUUAGCGAUUGGAUUUCAUUCAAAACUCACCAAAUGACUCCAACUAUCAUACUAUGAUGUUCCCCAAGUUUUGGACUCAAUCCGACGUCGAUUGGUCCACGAAAUUGGACAAUUCAGGUUCGUACGAAGUUCGUUAUGAAAUGGAGUGGUUGGUGUAUUGCAUAGUUGUAGAGAUUGGAUUUCACUCAAAACCCACCAAAUGACUCGUCCCACCAUAUUAUGAUGUUCCCCAGGUUUUGGACUCAAUCCAAUAUCGAUUGGUGCAUGAAAUUGGACAAUUUAUGUUUGUACGAAGUUCGUUCUGAAACGGAGUGGUUUUUGUAUUGCAUGGUUCUAGAGAUUAGAUUUCACUCAAGACCCACCAAAUGACUCCUCCCACCAUAUUAUGACGUUCCCCAAGUUUUGGACUCAAUCCGAUAUCGAUUGGUGCAUGAAAUGGGACAAUUUAGGUUCGUACGAAGUUCGUUCUGAAAUGGAGUGUUUGGUUUAUUGCAUAGUUCUAGAAAUUAGAUUUCACUCAAAAUCCACCAAAUGACUCCUCCCACCAUAUUAUGACGUUCUCCAAGUUUUGGAAUCAAUCCGAUAUCGAUUGGUCCACGACAUUGGUCAAUUUUGGUUCGUACGAAGUUCAUUCUCAAAUGGAGUGGUUGGUGUACUGCACAGUUCUAGAGAUUGGAUUUAAAUCAAAACCCACCAAAUGACUCCUCCCACCAUAUUAUGGUGUUCCCCAAGUUUGGAGUCAAUCCGAUAUCGAUUCGUGCAUGAAAUUGGACAAUUUAGGUUCGUACGAAGUUCAUUCUGAAAUGGAGUGGUUGGUGUAUUGCAUAGUUCUAGAGAUUGGCUAUCAUUACAACCCGCCAAAUGACUCCUCCCACCAUAUUACGAUGUUCCCCAAGUUUUGGACUCAAUCCGAUAUCGUUUGGUCCAUGAAAUUAGACAAUUUAGUUUCGUACGAGGUUCGUUCUGAAAUGGAGUGGUUGCUGUAUUGCAUAGUUGUAGAGAUUGGAUUUCACUCAAAACACACCAAAUGACUCCUCCCACCAUAUUAUGAUGUUCCCCAAGUUUUGGAGUCAAUCCUAUAUCGAUUGGUCCAUGAAAUUGGACAAUUUAGGUUCGUACGAAGUUCGUUCUGAAAUGGAGUGGUUGGUGUACUGCAUAGUUCUAGAGAUUGGUUUCACUCAAAACCCACUAAAUGACUCCGCCCACCAUAUUAUGGCGUUCCCCAAGUUUUGGACUCAAACCGAUAUUGAUUGGUCCAUGAAAUUGGACAAUUUAGGUUCGUACGAAGUUCGUUCUAAACUGGAGUGGUUGGUGUAUUGCACAGUUCUAGAGAUUGGAUUUCACUCAAAACCCACCAAAUGACUCCUCCCACCAUAUUAUGAUGUUCCCCAAGUUUUGUACUCAAUCCGAUAUCGAUUGGUCCAUGAAAUUGGACAAUUCAUGUUUGUACGAAGUUUGUUAUGAAAUGGAGUGGUUGGUGUAAUUCAUAGUUUUAGCCAUAGGAUUUCACUUAAAAGGCACUAAAUGACUCCUCCUACCAUAUUAUGAUGUUCCUCGAGUUUUGGACUCAAUCAGAUAUCGAUUGGUCCAUGAAAUUGGAGAAUUCAGGUUCGUACGAAGUUCGUUAUGAAAUGACUGGUUGUUGUAUUGCAUAGUUGUAGAGAUUGAAUUUCACUCAAAACCCACCAAACGACUCCUCCCACAAUAUUAUGAUGUUCCCCAAGUUUUGGACUUUCCAAUAUCGAUAGGUCCAUGAAAUGACAAUUCAUGUUCUUACGAAGUUUGUUGUGAAAUAGAGUUGUUGGUGUAUUGCAUAGUUGUAGAAACUGGAUUUCCCUUAAAACUGAUAACUCAUAUAUUUAUACAUUUAUACCAUCCAUUUCUAGUAUAUUUGUGAUGUUUUGAGUUAAACUUGUUGCGUUUUAUCCUAUUUUGUGUUAGUAUGCAGGUGCAUAUACUUUAGGAUCAAGUUGAAGGCAAAAGAAAUGAAAACAUGCCAUUUUUGGAGCUGACCCUUUUUCAAACGUGGAAACAAGUUUCGUGACCUGUUUUGAAGUCCAAAUAAAGAAUCCAAGGCGAACCUGGCUUGUUUGAAGACUAAGAGCAGAAUGGGAAAGCAAUGGGGAUUUCUUGCCUGAUUUGGAGGUGCCAAGUAAGGCAAAAACGUGCAAAAUAAAGGCUGCUUCGUUAGGAUAUCUUUGGAACAUCUGGCAGCCUUGUUUUCCCCAUAAAAACUUGCCUUUUAGCCACUUUUAAAACCCCUAUUUAUUUUGGACGAAUUUCACAACCCUAGAUCUGACUUCUUGGUUAUUCUCUCCUUUCAUGCACACUAAAACCCUAGCCGUCCAUAUUUCCACCAUCAGGACUCAGCGCAGGAGGUGGUUCUUGAAGAAGUUCAACAUCAGAAUUGGUUCAAGGGUUUCCUCUCAUGAAUUUAUUUUCACUCAUGUUGUUCAUUUUUGUUUUAAUCUCUUUGAACAUGAUGUGUAACUAAAUUCAUAGCUAGGGAUUUCGAUGUAGCCUUGCAACGUUGAUCCAUGUUUCUAAGUUAAAGUAUUCAGUUCAUCAAUUUGUUUCUUGUUUCAGUCACUGAAUCAAUUGUUCAAUUUGUUUGUCAAUUUUAAUGUUUGAUCACCAUUAGAGUCGCCUACAGAUUAUCUAGACAAGGUUAUAGUAAACAUCAUGCUUAAUCUUGUUAGACAUGUGAAUGAAUGAAGAGAAUGCUAUGCAAACAUCAUGCUGUGUAUUUUCUUUGGUUCUUUAACGUUUUCUUGCAUGUUAAUGACUCUUAACUUGGAACCAAAGUUGAACAUCCCAACUAGGUUGCAGAUUUGGAGAAUUUGAUCAAAACCACACAUCAUAUGGCUGAUCAUAUAUAUGUAAAACGAACUCUGGAAACAGGUUGGUAGUUGAGUACGGUUUAAUUUUAUAAACAUGGAAUUAGUUUUGCAAUUGUGAAUUCGAAAUCCCUGGUCUCUUCCCUAUUCUUUCUACAUCAAUAUAUUAUUCACUACUACACUCUUUUUGCAUUUGAAGUUAUUUUUCAUUUACAACACAAAAACUACUUUCAAAUUGUCACUUUCAUUUUUAGUUAGGGUUCUUUCAAAACUAGUAAUUUAUAGAGGUCCAAUCGGUCCCUGUGGUUCGACACCCUUACUUGUACCAUUAUACUAACCAUAUAUUGGCACUUGGAAGGAACACAACAAGGUUCUUUCAAAACUAGUAAUUUAUAGAGGUCCAAUCGGUCCCUGUGGUUCGACACCCUUACUUGGACCACUAUACUAACCAUAUAUUGGCACUUGGAAGGAACACAACCAAAUUUUGGUGCCGUUGCCGGGGACUGAUUUCAGUCCUCUAUAAUUGCUUGUUCUCAAACCCUAAUUUCGUUUUAUUUUUGUUUCUCAGGUAGUAUAUGUCAGAUACACUUGCUGAGAUAGGCCAAAGACUUGAACGGUUGAAGAGCAACACUUUUGAGAAUUCUGUAUCAGCUAGUGCCCAGACUAGCAGUGUGGACAAUAGUUCUUCUAGCCCAACGAGUGUAGAUUCUUUCGAUAACUCUAAUUCUGAUAGAGAAGAAGAGAUGGCUGGCAAUAACGAUGACAACCGAGCUUUGGAAGAUUAUGCUCAACCGGUUAUACCAAAUUCCCCUUCAUGCAUCUUGCUGCCUACUGAAGCUAGAAAUUACAAUCUCAAAUCUUCACAUUCUCACAUGCUUCCUUCUUUUUAUGGUUUACCUAACGAAGAUCCAUUAGCCCAUAUUAAGGAAUUCUACAAUGUUGUGAGUGGUUUACCUUUGCAGGGAGUGACUGAAGCAAAUCUGAGGAUGAGGGUUUUUCCUUAUACAUUGAAAGAUAGAGCAAAGGGUUGGCUAAUGACUUUAGCACCUGGUUCGCUCACCACUUGGGAUGCCGUAGCUAAGAAAUUUUUGGAGAAGUUCUUCUCUACUCAAAAGAUAGCUACUUUGAGAGGGCAAAUCUUUAACUUUAAACAAGAUGAUGGAGAACCUUUCAAUGAAUGUUGGGAGCGUUUCAAAGGGCUGUUGGUGCAAUGUCCACAUCAUGGGUUACCUCUUUACUUACAAAUGCAAAUUUUUUAUGAUGGACUAACCCAAACAUGUCAAUCGAUUGUCGAUAAUGCAGCAGGUGGAGCUUUGAAGAAAAAAAAGCUCAAGAGUCAUAUAACAUUCACUACUACAUUCUUCUUGCAUUUUAAGUUAUUUUUCAUUUACAACACAAAAACUACUUUCAAAUUGUCACUUUCAUUUUUAGUUAGGGUUCUUUCAAAACUAGUAAUUUAUAGAGGUCCAAUCGGUCCUUGUGGUUCGACACCCUUGCUUGUACCACUAUACUAACCAUAUACUGGCACUUGGAAGGAACACAACAAUAUGGUGGGAGGAGUCAUUUGGUGGGUUUUGAGUGAAGUCCAACCUCUAGAACAAUGCAAUACACCAACCACUACAUUUCAUAACGAACUUCGUACGAACCUGAAUUGUCCAAUUUCAUGGACCAAUCGAUAUUGGAUUGAGUCCAAAACUUAGGGAACAUCAUAAUAUGGUGGGAGGAGUCAUUUGGUGGGUUUUGAGUAAAGUCCAAUCUCUACAACUAUGCAAUACACCAACCACUCCAUUUCAUAACGAACUUCGUACGAACCUGAAUUGUCCAAUUUCAUGGACCAACCGAUAUCGGAUUGAGUCCAAAACUUGGGGAACAUCAUAAUAUGAUGGGUGGAGUCAUUUGGUGAGUUUUGAAUGAAAUCCAAUGGCUAAAACUAUGCAAUACACCAAUCACUCCAUUUCAUCACGAACUACGUACGAACCUGAAUUGUCCAAUUUCAUGUACCAAUCGAUAUCGGAUUGAGUCCAAAACUUGGGGAACAUCAUAAUAUGGUGGAAGGAGUCAUUUGGUGACUUUUGAGUGAAAUCCGAUGGCUAAAACUAUGCAAUGCACCAACCACUCCAUUUCAUAACGAACUUCAAUUGUCCAAUUUCAUGGACCAAUCGAUAUCGGAUUGAGUCCAAAACUUGGGGAACAUCAUAAUAUGGUGGGAGGAGUCAUUUGGUGACUUUUGAGUGAAAUCCAAUGGCUAAAACUACUCAAUACACUAACCACUCCAUUUCGUAACGAACUUCGUACGCACCUGAACUGUCCAAUUUCAUGGACCAAUCGAUAUCGGAUUGAGUCGAAAACUUGGGGAACAUCAUAAUAUGAUGGGUGGAGUCAUUUGUUGAGUUUCGAAUGAAAUCCAAUGGCUAAAACUAUGCAAUACACCAACCGCUCCAUUUCAUAACGAACUACGUACGAACCUGAAUUGUCCAAUUUCAUGGACCACUCGAUAUCGGAUUGAGUCCAAAACUUGGGGAACAUCAUAAUAUGGUGGGAGGAGUCAUUUGGUGGGUUUUGAGUGAAAUCCAAUCUCUACAACUAUGCAAUACACUAACCACUCCAUUUCAUAACGAACUUCAUACGAACCUGAAUUGUCCAAUUUCAUGGACCAAUCGAUAUCGGAUUGAGUCCAAAACUUGGGGAACAUCAUAAUAUUGUGGGAGGAGUCAUUUGGUGGGUUUUGAGUGAAGUCCAAUCUCUAUAACUAUGCAAUACCCCAACCACUCCAUUUCAUAACGAACUACGUACGAACCUUUAUUGUCUAAUUUCAUGGACCAAUCGAUAUCGGAUUGAGUCCAAAACUUAGGGAACAUCCUAAUAUGGUGAAAGGAGUCAUUCGGUGACUUUUGAGUGAAAUCCAACGGCUAAAACUAUGCAAUACACCAACCACUCCAUUUCGUAACGAACUUCGUACGUACCUGAAUUGUCCCAUUUCAUGGACCAAUCAAUAUUGGAUUGAGUCCAAAACUUGGGGAACAUCAUAAUAUGGUGGGAGGAGUCAUUUGGUGACUUUUGAGUGAAAUCCAAUGGCUAAAACUAUGCAAUACAUUAACCCCUCCAUUUCAAAACGAACUUCGUACGAACCUGAAUUGUCCAAUUUCAUGGACCAAUCGAUAUCGGAUUGAGUCCCAAACUUAGGGAACAUCAUAAGAUGGUUGGAGGAUUCAUUUGGUGUGUUUUGUGUGAAAUCCAAUCUCGAGAACUAUGCAAUACACCAACCACUCCAUUUCAGAACGAAUUUCGUGCGAACCUGAAUUGUAAAAUUUCAUGGACCAAUCGAUAUCAGAUUGAGUCCAAAACUUAGGGAACAUCAUAAUAUGGUGGGAGGAGUCAUUUGGUGGGUUUUGAGUGAAAUCCAAUUUCUAGAACUAUGCAAUAAACCAACCAUUCCAUUUCAUAACGAACAUUCGUACGAACCUAAAUUGUCCAAUUUCAUGCACCAAUCGAUAUCGGAUUGAGUCCAAAACUUAGGGAACAUCAUAAUAUCGUGGGAGGAGUCAUUUGGAGGGUUUUGGGUGAAAUCCAAUCCCCAGAACUAUGCAAUACACCAACCAUUUCAUUUCAGAACGAACUUCCUACAAACCUAAUUUGUCCAAUUUCAGGGACCAAUCGAUAUCGGAUUGAGUCCAAAACUUGGGAUACAUCAUAAUAUGGUGGGAGGAGUCAUUUGGUGGGUUUUGAGUGAAAUCCAAUCUCUAGAACUAUGCAAUACACCAACCAUUCCAUUUCAUAACGAACUUCGUACGAACCUAAAAUGUCCAAUUUCAUGUACCAAUCGAUAUCGGAUUGAGUCCAAAAUUUGGGGAACAUCAUAAUAUGGUGGGUGUAGUCAUUGGUGAGUUUGAAAUGAAAUCCAAUGGCUAAAACUAUGCAAUACACCAACCACUCCAUUUCAGAACGAACUUCAUACGAACAUGAAUUGUCCAAUUUCAUGGACCAAUCGGUAUCGGAUUGAGUACAAAACUUGGGGAACAACAUAAUAUAGUGGAAGGAGUCAUUUGGUUGGUUUUUUUUGUAAAAUCCAAUCUCUAGAACUAUGCUCCAUCUCAGAACGAACUUCGUACGGACCUGAAUUGUCCAAUUUCAUGGACCAAUUGGUAUCGGAUUGAGUCCAAAACUUGGGGUACAUCAUAAUAUAGUGGGAGGUGUCAUUUGGUGGGUUUUUUGUGAAAUCCAAUCUCUAGAACUAUGCAAUACACGAACCACUCCAUUUCACAACGAACUUCGUACGAACCUGAAUUGUCCAAUUUCAUGGACCAAUUGAUAUCAGAUUGAGUCCCAAACUUGGGGAAGAUCAUAAUGUAGUGGGAGGAGUCAUUUGGUGGGAUUUGAGUGAUAUCCAAUCUUUAGAACUAUUCAAUACACCAACCACUCCAUUUCAGAACGAAUUUCGUACGAACUUGAAUUGCCCAAUUUCAUGGACCAAUCGAUAUCGGAUUGAGUCCUAAAAUUGGGGAAAAUCAUAAUGUUGUGGGAGGAGUCAUUUUGAGAGUUUUGUGUGAAAUGCAAUGGCUAAAACUAUUCAAUACACCAACCACUCCAUUUCAUAAAGAACUUCGUACGAACCUGAAUUGUCCACUUUCAUUGACCAAUCGAUAUAUGAUUCAGUCCAACACUUGGGGAACAAUAUAAUAUUGUGGGAGGAGUCAUUUGGUGGGUUUUGAGUGAAAUCCAAUCUCUAGUACUAUGUAAUACACCAACCACAACCUUUCUAAAUGAACUUCGUACGAACCUGAAUUGUACAAAUUCAUGGUCCAAUCGAUAUCAGAUUGAGUCCACAACUUGGGGAACGUCAUAAUAUAGUGGGAGGAGUCAUUUGGUGGGUUUUGAGUGAAAUCCAAUCCCUUGAACUAUGGAAUACGCUAACCACUCUAUUUCAGAACGAACUUCAUACGAACCUGAAUUGUCGUAAUUCAUAGACCAAUUGAUAUCGGAUUGAGUGCAAAACUUGGGGAACAUCAUAAUGUUGUGGGAGGAGUCAUUUUGUGAUUUUUGUGGGAAUUCCAAUGGCUAAAACAAUGCAGUACACCAGCCACUCCAUUUCAGAUCGAACUUCGUACGAACCUAAAUUGUCCAAUUUCAUGGACCAAUCGAUAUCCGAUUGAGUACAAAACUUGGGCAACAUCGUAAUAUGGUGGGAGGAGUCAUUUGGUGGGUUUUGAGAAAAAUCCAAUGGCUAAAAGUAUGCAAUACACAAGCCACUCCCUUUUAGAAUGAACUUCGUACGAACCUGAAUUGUCCAAUUUCAUGGACCGAUCGAUAUCAGAUUGAGGCCAAAACAUGGGGAACAUCAUAAUAUAGUGGGAGGAGUCAGUUGAUGGGUAUUUUGUUAAAUUCAAUAGCAUAAACUAUGAAACACACCAACCACUCCAUUGCAGAACGAACUUCGUACAAAAUGACUUGUCCAAUUCCUUGGACCAAUCGAUCUCGGAUUGAGUCCAAAUGUUGGGGAACAUCAUAAUAUGGUGGGAGGAGUCAUUUGGUAAAUUUUGAGUGAAAUCCAAUGACUAAAACUAUGCAAUAUCCCAACCACUCCAUUUCAUAAAUAACAUCGUACGAACUUGAAUUGUCCAAUUUCAUGGACCAAUCGAUAUCGGAUUGUGUCCAAAACUUGGGGAACAUCAUAAUAUAGUGGGAUGAGUCAUUUGGUGGGUUUUUAGUGAAAUCCAAUCUCUAGAACUAUGCAAUACACCAACCACUCCAUUUCAGAACGAACAUCGUACGAACCUGAAUUGUCCAAUUUCAUGGACCAAUCGAUAUCGGAUUGAGUCCAAAACUUGGGGAACAUCAUAAUAUAGGGGGAGGAGUCAUUUGGUGGGUUUUGAGUGAAAGCCAAUCUUUAGGACUAUGCAAUACGCCAACCACUUCAUUUCAUAACGAACCUGAAUUGUCCAAUUUCAAGGACCAAUCGUUAUCGGAUUGAGUCCGAAACUUGUGGAACAUCAAAAUGUUGUGGGAAGAGUUCUUUUGUGAGUCUUGAGUGAAAUCCAAUGGCUAAAACAAUGCAAUACACCAACCAUUCCAUUUCACAAUGAACUUCGUACGAACAUAAAUUGUCCGAUUCCAUGGACCAAUCGAUAUUGGAUUGAGUCAAAAAUUUGGGGAACAUCACAGUAUUGUGGGAGGUGUCCUUUGGUGGGUUUUGAUUGAAAUCCAAUCUCUAGAACUAUACAAUACACCAACCACUCUAUUUCAAAACGAACUUCAUACGAACCAUAAUUGUCCAAUUUCAUAGACCAAUCGAUAUCGGAUUGAGUCCCAAACUUGUUGAACAUCAUAAUGUUGUGGGAGGAGUCAUUUGGUCAGUUUUGAGUGAAAUUGAAUUGCCAAAACUGUUCAACAUACCAAUCACUCCAUUAGAGAACGAACUUCGAAUGAUCAUGAAUUGUCCGAUUUAGUGGACCAGUUGAUAUCGGAUUGGGUCCAAAACUUGGCGAACUUCAUAAAACUGGGGGAGGAGUCAUUUGGUGAGUUUUGAGUGAAAUCCAACGGCUAAAACUAUGCAAUACACCAACCACUCCAAUUUAUAACGAACUUCGUACGAACCUGAAUUGUUCAAUUUCAUGGACCAAUCGAUAUCGGAUUUAGUCCUAAACUAAGGGAACAUCAUAAUAUAGUAGGAGGGGUCAUUUGGUGGGUUUUGGGUGAAAUCCCAUAGCAAAAACUAUGAAAUACACCAACCACUACAUUAGAGAACGAACUUCGUACGAACAUGAAUAGUCCAAUUUCUUGAACCAAUCGAUAUGGGAUUGGGCCCAAAACAAGGGGAACAUCAUAAUAUGGUGGGAGGAGUCAUUUGGGGAGUUUUGAGUGAAAUCAAAUGGCUAAAACUAUGCAAUACAUCAAUCACUCCAUUAGAGAACGAACUUCGUAUGAACAUUAAUAGUCAAAUUUCAUUUGACCAAUCGAUAUCGGAUUGAGUCAAAAACUUGGAGAACGUCAUAAUUUUGGGGGAGGAGUCAUUUGGUGGGUUUUAAUCGAAAUCCAAUCCCUAGAACUAUACAAUACACCCACCACUCCAUUUCAGAAUGAACUUCGUACGAGCCGGAAUUGUCCGAUUUCAUGGACCAAUCGAUAUCGGAUUGAGUCCAAAACUUGGGGAACAUCAUAAUAUGGUGGGAGGAGUGAUUUGGUGAGUUUUGGGCGAAAUACAAUGGCUAAAACUAUGCAAUACACCAACCACUCCAUUUCAGAACGAACUUCGUACGAACCGGAAUUGUCCAAUUUGAUAACCAAUCGACAUCGGAUUGAGUCCAAAACUUGGGGAACAUCAUUAUCUUGUUGGAGGUGUCGUUUGGUGGGUUUUGAGUGAAGUCCACUAUCCACAACUAUACAAUACACCAACAACCCCAUUUCAGAACGAACUUCGUACGAACAUGAAUUGUCCGAUUUAGUGGACUAGUAGAUAUCGGAUUGGGUCCAACACUUGGCGAACUUCAUAAGACUGGGGCAGGAGUCAUUUGGUGAGUUUUGAGUGAAAUCCAAUAGCUAAAAUUAUGCAAUACACCAACCACUCCAAUUUAUAACAAACUUCAUACGAACCUGAAUUGUCCAAUUUCAUGGACCAAUCGAUUUCGGAUUGAGUCCAAAACUUGGGGAAUAUCAUAAUUUUUUGGGAGUCAUUUGGUUUUGAGUGAAAUCCAUUUGCCAAAAGUAUGAAAUACACCAACCAAUCCAUUCCAGAACGAACGUUGUACGAACCUGAAUUGUCCGAUUUCAUGGACCAAUCGAUACCGGAUUGAGUCCAAAACUUGGAAAACAUCGUAAUAUUGUGGGAUUAGUCAUUUGCUUGGUUUUGAGUGAAACCCAAUCUCUAGAACUAUACAAUACACCAACCACUUGAUUUCAGAACCACCUUCGUACGAACCUAAAUUGUCCAAUUUCAUGGACCAAUCAAUAUCGGAUUGAUUCCGAAACUUAAGGAACAUCAUAAUAUAGUGGGAGAAGUCAUUUGGUGGGUUUUGAGUGAAAUCAAAUCUCUAGAACGAUGCAAUACACCAACCACUCCAUUUCAUAACGAGCUUCGUACGAACCUAAAUUGUCCAAUUUGAUGAACCAAUCGAUAUCGGAUUGGGUACAAAACUUGGGGAACAUCAUAAUAUGGUGGUAGGAGUCAUUUGGUGAGUUUUGAGUCAAAUCCAAUGGCUAAAACUAUGCAAUACACCAACCACUGCAUUUCAUAACGAACUUCGUACGAACCUAAAAUUUCCAAUUUCAUGGACCAAUGGAUAUCACAUUGAGUCCAAAACUUGGGGAACAUCAUAAUAUGGUGGGAGGAGACAUUUGGUGGGUUUUGAGUGAAAUCCAAUAGCAAAAACUAUGAAAUACACCAACCACUCCAUUUCUUAACGAUCUUCGUACAAACCUGAACUGUCCGAUUUCGUGGACCAAUCGGUAUCGGAUUGAGUCCAAAACGUGGGGAACAUCAUAAUAUAGUGGGAGGAGUCAUUUGGUGGGUUUUGAAUGAAAUCCAGUCUCUACAACUAUACAAUAUACCAACCGCCCUAUUUCAUAACGAGUUUCGUACGAACAUGAGUAGUCCAAUUUCCUGGAUCAAUCGAUAUCGAAUUGAGCCCAAAACUUGGGGAACAUCAUAAUAUGGUGGGAGGAGUCUUUUGGUUAGUUUAGAGUUAAAUCCAAUGGCAAAAACUAUUCCAUACCCCAACCACUCCAUUUCGUAACGAAAUUCGUACAAACAUGAACUGUCUGAGUUCAUGGACCAAUUGAUAUCGAAUUGAGUCCAAAACGUGGGGAACAUCAUAAUAUUGUGGGAGGAGUCAUUUGGUGGGUUUUGAGUGAAAUCCAAUCUCUAGAACUAUACAAUACACCAACCACUCCAUUUCAGAAUGAACUUCGUACAAACCUGAAUUGUCCAAUUUCAUGGACCAAUCGAUAUCGGGUUGAGUCCAAAACUUUGGGAACAUCAUAAGGUUGUUGGGGAUGUCAUUGUGUGAGUUUUGAGUGAAAUCCAAAGGCAAAAAAAAUGCAAUACCCCAACCACUCCAUUUCAGAACGAACGUGAAUUGUCCGAUUUCAGGGUUGAAUCGAUAUCGGAUUGAGUCCAACACUUCGAGAAUAUAGUAAUUUCGUGGGAGGAGUCAUUUGGUGAGUUUUGAGUGAAAUCCAAUGUCUAAAACUUUGCAAUACACCAACCACUUCAUUUCAGAACGACUUUCGUACGAACCUGAAUUGUCCGAUUUCAUGGACCAAUCAAUGUCGGAUUGAGUCCAAGACUUGGGGAACACCAUAAGGUAGUGCAACGAGUCAUUUGGUGGGUGUUGAGUGAAAUCCAAUCCGUUGAACUAUGCAAUACACCAACCACUCCAUUUCAGAACAAACUUCAUACGAACCUGAAUUGUCCGAUUUCAUGGAACAAUCGAUAUCCGAUUCAGUCCAAAAUUUGGGGAACAUCAUAAUAUAGUGGGAGGAGACAUUUGGUGGGGUUUGAGUGAAAUCCAAUCUCUAGAACAAUAUAAUACACCAACCACUUCAUUUCUUAACGAACUUCGUACGAACCAGAAUUGUUCAAUUUCAUGGACCAAUCGAUAUCGGAUUGAGUCCAAAACAUGGGGAACAUCAUAAUAUAGUGGGAGGAGUCAUUUGGUGGGUUUUGACUGAAAUCCAAUAGCAAAAACUGUGAAAUACGACAACUACUCCAUUAGAGAACGAACUUCAUACGAACAUAAAUAGUCUAAUUUCUUGGAUCAAUCGAUAUCCAACUGAGCCCAAAACUUGGGGAACAUCAUCAAUAUGGUGGAAGGAGUCAUUUGGUUAGUUUUGAGUGAAAUCCAAUGGUAAAAACUAUGCAAUAUAGCAACCACUCUAUUUCAGAACGAACUUUGUACAAACCAGAAUUGUCCGAUUUCAUGGACCAAUCGAUAUCGGAUUGAGUCCAAAACGUGGGGAACAUCAUAAUAUUGUGGGAGGAGUGCAUUUGGUGGGUGUUUGAGUGAAAUCCAAUCUCUAGAACUAUGCAAUACACUAACCACUCCUUUAAAGAAUGAACUUCGUACGAACCUAAGUUGUCCAAUUUCAUGGAUCAAUCGAUAUCGGAUUGAGUCCAAAACUUUUGGAGCAUCAUAAUAUGGUGGAGGAGUCAUUUGGUGGGUUUUGAGUGAAAUCCAAUCUCUAGAACUAUGCAAUACACCAACCACUCCAUUUCAGAACGAACUUCGUACGAACCUAAAUUGUCCAAUUUCAUGGACCAAUCGAAAUCGGAUUGAGUCCAAAACUUGGGGACCAACAUAAUAUGACGGGAGAAGUCAUUUGUUGGGUUCUGAGUGAAAUCCAAUGGCUACAACUAUGCAAUACACCAACCACUCCAUUUCAUAACGACCUUCUUACGAACAUGAAUUGUCGAAUAUCAUCGACCAAUCGAUAUCGGAUUGAGUCCAAAACUUGGGAAACAUCGUAAUAUGGUAGGAGGAGUCAUUUGGUGGGUUUUGAGUGAAAUCCAAUUUCUAGAACUAUGAAAUACACAAACCGCUCCAUUUUAGAACGAACUUCGUACAAACCUCAAUUGUCCAAAUUCAUGGACCAAUCGAGAUCGGAUUGAGGCCAAAACUUAGGGACAACAUAAUAUGGUGGGAGUCGUUUGGUGAGUUUUGAAUGAAAUCCAUUGGCUAAAGCAGUGCAGUACACCAACCGCUCCAUUUCAAAACGAACUUUAUGCGAACGUUAAUUGAACAAUUUCAUUGACCAAUCGAUAUCGGAUUGAGUCCAAAACUUGGGGAACAUGAUAAUAUGGUGGGAGGAGUCAUUUGCUGGGUUUUGAGUGAAAUCCAAUCUCUACAACUAUGCAAUACAAUAACCACUUCAUUUCAGAACGAACCUCUUACGAACCUAAACUGUCCAAUUUCAUGGACCAAUCGAUAUCGGAUUGAGUCCAAAACUUGGGGAACAUCAUAAUAUGGUGGGUUUUGAGUGAAGUCCAAUCCCUAGAACCAUGCAAUACACCAAGCACUCCAUUUCAUAACGAACUUCGUACGAAGCUGUAUUCUCCAAUUUUAUGGACCAAUCGAUAUCGGAUUGAGUCCAAAUCUUGGGGAACACCAUAAUAUGGUGGGAGGAGUCAGUUGGUGGGUUUUGAGUGAAAUCCAACCUCUACAACUAUGCAAUACACCAACCACUCCAUUUUAUAACGAACUUCGUACGAACCUGUAUUGUCAAAUUUCAUGGACCAAUCAACAUCAGGUUGAGUCCAAAAAUUGGGGAACAUCAUAAUAUGGUGGGAGGAGUCAUUUGGUGGGUUUUGAGUGAAGUCCAAUCCCUAGAACUAUGUAAUACACCAAGCACUCCAUUUCAUAAUGAACUUCGUACGAACCUGAAUUGUCCAAUUUCAUGCACCAAUCGAUAUCGGAUUGAGUCCAAAUCUUGGGGAACACCAUAAUAUGGUGUUUGGAGUCAGUUGGUGGGUUUUGAGUGAAAUCCAAUCUCUACAACUUUGCAAUACACCAACCAUGCCAUUUCUUAACGAACUUCGUACGGAACUGAAUUGUCCAAUUUCAUGGAGCAAUCGAUAUCGGAUUGAGUCCAAAACUUGGGGAACAUCAUAAUAUGGUGGGAGGAGUCAUUUGGUGGGUUUUGAGUGAAAUCCAAUCUCUAGAACUAUGCAAUACACUAACCACUCCUUUUCAGAAUGAACUUCGUACGAACCUAAGUUGUCCAAUUUCAUGGAUCAAUCGAUAUCGGAUUGAGUCCAAAACUUUUGGAGCAUCAUAAUAUGGUGGAGGAGUCAUUUGGUGGGUUUUGAGUGAAAUCCAAUCUCUAGAACUAUGCAAUACACCAACCACUCCAUUUCAGAACGAACUUCGUACGAACCUAAAUUGUCCAAUUUCAUGGACCAAUCGAAAUCGGAUUGAGUCCAAAACUUGGGGACCAACAUAAUAUGACGGGAGAAGUCAUUUGUUGGGUUCUGAGUGAAAUCCAAUGGCUACAACUAUGCAAUACACCAACCACUCCAUUUCAGAACGAACUUUGUACGAACCUGAAUUGUCCAAUUUCAUGGACCAAUCGAUAUUGGAUUGGGUACAAAACUUGGGGAACAUCUAAAUAUGGUAGGAGGAGUCAUUUGGUGGGUUUUGAGUGAAAUCCAAUCUCUACAACUAUGCAAUACAACAACCACUUCAUUUCAGAACGAACCUUUUACGAACCUAAAUUGUCCAAUUUCAUGGACCAAUCGAUAUCAGAUUGAGUUCAAAACUUGGGGAACAUCAUAAUAUGGUGGGAGGAGUCAUUUGGUGGGUUUUGAGUGGAAUCCAAUCUCUGGAACUAUGCAAUACACCAAGCACUCCAUUUCAUAACGAACUUUGUACACACCUGAAUUGUCCAAUUUCAUGGACCAAUCGAUAUCGUAUUGAGUCCAAAACUUGGGGACCAACAUAAUAUGACGUGAGAAGUCAUUUGGUGGGUUCUGAGUGAAAUCCAAUGGCUACAACUAUGCAAUACACCAACCACUCCAUUUCAUAACGACCUUCGUACGAACAUGAAUUGUCGAAUAUCAUUGACCAAUCGAUAUCGGAUUGAGUCCAAAACUUGGGGAACAUCGUAAUAUGGUAGGAGGAGUCAUUUGGUGGGUUUUGAGUGAAAUCCAAUUUCUAGAACUAUGAAAUACACCAACCGCUCCAUUUUAGAACGAACUUCGUACAAACCUAAAUUGUCCAAAUUCAUGGACCAAUCGAGAUCGGAUUGAGGCCAAAACUUAGGGAACAUCAUAAUAGGAUGGGUGGAGUCGUUUGCUGACUUUUUGAGUGAAAUGCAAUUGCUAAAACUAUGCAAUACACCAACCACUCCAUUUGAGAACGAACUUCGUACGAACCUGAAUUGUCCAAUUUCAUGUACCAAUUGAUAUCGGAUUGAGUCCCAAACAUAGGGAACAUCAUAAUAUCUUGGGAGUAGUCAUUUGGUGAGUUUUGAGUCAAAUCCAAUGGCCACAAUUAUGCAAUACACCAACCAUUGCAUUUGAUAACGAACUUCGUUCGUACCUGUAUUAUCCUAUUUCAUGGACCAAUCGAUAUCGGAUUGGGUCCAAUACUUGGGGAACAUCGUAAUAUGGUAGGAGGAGUCAUUUGGUGGGUUUUCAGUGAAAUCCGAUCUCUAGAACUAUGCAAUACACCAAGCACUCCAUUUGAUAACGAACUUCGUACGAACCUGAAUUGUCCAAUUUCGUGGACCAAUCAAUAUCGUAUUGAGUCCAAAACUUGGGGAACGUCAUAUUAUGGUGGGAGGAGUCAUUUGGUGACUUUUGAGUGAAAUGCAAUUGCUAAAACUAUGCAAUACACCAACCACUCCAUUUGAGAACGAACUUCGUACGAACCUGAAUUGUCCAAUUUCAUGUACCAAUUGAUAUCGGAUUGAGUCCCAAACAUAGGGAACAUCAUAAUAUCGUGGGAGUAGUCAUUUGGUGAGUUUUGAGUCAAAUCCAAUGGCCACAAUUAUGCAAUACACCAACCAUUGCAUUUGAUAACGAACUUCGUUCGUACCUGUAUUAUCCUAUUUCAUGGACCAAUCGAUAUCGGAUUGGGUCCAAUACUUGGGGAACAUCAGAAUAUGGUGGGAGGAGUCAUUUGGUGAGUUUUGCAUGAAAUCCAACGGCUAAAACUACGCAAUACAUGAACCACUCCAUUUCAGAACGAACUUUCGUAUGAACUUUAAUUGUCCAAUUUCUUGGAGCAAUCGAUAUCGGAUUGAGUCCAAAACUUGGGGAACAUCAUAAUAUUGUGGGAGGAGUCAUUUGGUGAGCUUUGAGCGAAAUCAAAUCUCCAGAACUAUACAAUACACCAACAACCCCAUUUCAGAACGAACUUCGUACGAACCUGAAUUGUCCGAUAUCAAGUACCAAUCGAUAUCGGAUUGAGUCCAAAAGUUGGGGAACAUCAUAAUAUAGUGGGAGGAGUCAUUUGGUGUAUUUUGAGUGAAAUCCAAUGGCAAAAACUAUGCAAUACACCGACCACUCCAUUUCAGAACGAACUUAUUACGAACCUGAAUUGUGCAAUUUCAUGGACUAAUCGAUAUCAGAUUGAGUCCAAAACUUGGGGAACAACAUAAUGUUGUGGGAGGAGUCAUUUGGUGGGCUUUGAGUGAAAUCCAAUCUCUAGAACUAUACAAUACACUAACCUCCCCAUUUCAAAACGAACUUCGUACGACCCUGAAUUGUCCAAUUUCAUAGACUAAUCGAUAUCGGAUUGAGUCAAAAACCUGGGGAACAUCAUAAUAUGGUGGAAGGAGUCAUUUGGUGAGUUUUGAGUGAAAUCAGAUGGCCAAAACUAGUCAAUACACCAACCACUCCAUUUCAGAACGAACUUCAUACGAAUGUGAAUUGUCCGAUUUCAUGGACCAAAUCGAUAUCGGAUUGAGUCCAAAACUUGGGGAACAUCAUAAUAUGUUGGGAGGACUCAUUUGAUGGGUUUUGAGUGAAAUCCAAUAUGUAGAACUAUGCAAUACAUCAACCACUCCAUUUCAGAAGGACAUUCGUACGAACCUUAAUUGUCCGAUUUCAUUGACCAAUCGAUAUCGGAUUGAGUCCAAAACUUUGGGAGCAACAUAAUGUGGUGGGAGGACUCAUUAGGUGGUUUUGAGUGAAACCCAAUCUGACAGGACCCGAUCCAAAUUCUGCUUUGGAAUCCGAGUCAGACCCUGUGCGUGUCCGAUACCUGGCGAAUGUCGGGCACAAAUGACCUAUUUGCCCUUCUAUACAAAACACGAUAAAAUAACAAGGUUGACUUCUACCGAAAAACCGGCAGAGUUUCCCUUGUAACUGGCUCAAUACCAAAACAUUUUUACCUGCCAAACAAGUAUACAUAUAUACAACCAACUGCCAGCAUACGUAUAUAUACAUUCCAACAGUUCAAUUCUCAGUCUAGGUCAAAAUAUCAGAGCGACUACUAAGAAUUUACAAAGGAGUGAAUCCUUUCGCAAACAAAAUCCUACAUCAGAAGAAAGGCGCGGAAGAUGGGAAGUGGCCAGGUGGUGGAUUCCUGUGCACGUCUACUGCCUGGGGGCGCAAAACAACAGAAAGGGUGAGUGGACCCAAAACAAAGUUUAGAAAAUAACAUAUGAACAUACUAACCCCACUGUAAAAACAGUUAUACAAACUAGCUUAUUUUCUUUAUUUCUGAAAUCGAUGCAUGUAUAUAACUAUACAUUUGAAAACAGUUGAAAACUAUCACCUAGGUGUACCCCUAUUUCCGUCAAAUCCUUAUAUCCGUCAAUUCCUUGCAUCACCAUGGGUGACACAUACUCGCAGGUCUCAGUGACAUGAAGUCAGUCCAAGCCGCAACUCGCAGGAUUCAGGGGACCGUAGUUUACCUGAUCCGCAUUACUCGCUCCACACGAGUUCGAGUACCAAGGAACUCGUGGGGCAACUGUCAAGCAUGCUGACUAAACCGAAGGCAACAAAUAUAAUCCGAAGGCAACAUUUAAUAUCUGGGUACAAGGAAAUCUGUUGAAUAAUUAACUUUCUAUAACCUUUAAAAUUCUGCUGCCAUUUAUCUGAUAAGUAACGAGAAUAUCUUUUCCUAUAUUCUUUACAGAAGAUUUCACUCGGCAGCAUGCAACAUAAAAUAUUUAACAGAAUAAAACAGCUUAUAAUUGAAACUGAACUGCUUAAAUUCAUUUAUUAAAACAAAGAGUCCACUCACUGAUAGUCCGAGCUCGCUGGACCUCUUGAAGGUCCCUCCUGUAGGUCAACUGGUGCCCGGGUGCCUGAUUCAAUGACCAUAAUAUUCUAUUAAUACAAUAUAGUAUUAUAUUAAAAAACCCUACCCCCGGCUCCUAAAAGUACGUGCAUCAAUUUAUAGUUAUCCCUAUGCCCAUAAAAGCUUUCCUUUCACGUGAAAUAGUUUAGCGGUAUCUUGGGACUCAAAUAGCGCUAAAGUCCAAAAAGUCAAUCCGGGACCCCACGGGUCUAUGACCUCACAAUAUGAUCCGGAUACCGCUAGAAGGUCCAAUACAUCUAGGACACAUGUCCCGAGGGUAUUAGUGUCAAUCGGACGGUCGGAUUAAUCACGAUCGUGUAAUCGCAUAAUUUCUAAACCCUAGCCCUAGGGUUCGCGAUUUCGGAGUAUCCGAGACUCCAAUUCACAAUCCGUCGAAUCCUACACGUUUCUGAAAUUAUCUAGAGUAACAUAUCUAAAAUUGAUUACGAUCCAACGGCUCAACAGUAUUGAACCCGAUAAUCGCACAAUAUGGAAAAUCCGUUCGAGGCUCAAACGGUAUCCAAAUUGAGAUCCGCGAAUUCCUACGCACUUGUGACAACCUAAGGAUUGCAUCAGACACAGUGCCACUGCACUACACGCGCCGGUAGCGAUGGGUGUCCAAAGUGAUUACGCAUUGCCGGAAAAUCUCAAAACCAAGGCUCCAAACUCCUACCCUAGGUAUAACACCAUAUUUGGAACCACUUUUGUUCUUGGACAAACCCCAAAAAACUGACCGGAAGUGGCCGAACACGGAGGCCGUAAACCGGCCGAAUUUCAAUUUGAAAACUGAGCUAGCUACGGUCAAAAUCGAUGCAAACCUACCCAACCAUCAGCUAGAGCAUGGAAAAUAGGCAGAAAUCCAUACCUUACUAGACAAAUUUGGAGGAGAAUUGAAGGAGAACGAACGGUUUGAAGUUUCUGUCAAAACCACUCGGUUUUCUUCAGUUUCCGGCCAGCACCGGCGGUUCCACGGGCGGAGAGUGGUCGGAAAGGGAAGAGGAGGUGGCGGCGGUUCAAACGAGCCCGAUCUUGUCGCCAACGGCGGCCUGUGGUGGCGACGGCCAAUCGGGGGGGGAAUUCGCGACGGGAGGGAGAGAGAGAAAGAGACAAACUGAGGUUUUAUAAAAAAAAAUCUGAUUUUUCAAAUUACCCUUUUGCCCCUCGUGAUAUUUUACUCGUAUUUUCUUCAUUAAAACUCAGAUUCAAGUCCACUUCGUGUCAAUAAACUCAUUUCGUCGUAUUUCAUGGACCAAUUGAUAUCGGAUUGAGUCCAAAACUUGGGGAACAUCAUAAUAUGGUGCGGGGAGUCAUUUGGUGACUUUUGAGUGAAAUCCAAUGGCUAAAACAUUGAAAUACACAAACCACUCCAUUUUAGAACGAACUUCGUACGAACCUGACUUGUCCAAUUUCAUGGACCAAUCGAUAUCGGAUUGAGUCCAAAACUCGGGGAACAUCAUAUUAUGACGGGAGGGGUUAUUUGGUGACUUUUGAGUGAAAUCCAAUGGCAAAAACGAUGAAAUACACCAACCACUCCAUUUCAGAACAAACUUUGUACGAACAUGAAUUCUCUAAUUUCAUGGACCAAUCGAUAUUGGAUUGAGUCCAAAACUUGGGGAACACCAUAAUAUGGUGGGAGGAGUCAUUUGGUUAGUUUUGAGUGAAAUCCAAUCUCUAGAACUAUGCAAUACACUAACCACUCCAUUUUAGAACGAACUUCGUAGGAACCUAAAUUGUCCAUUUUGAUGGACCAAUCGAUAUCGAAUUGAGUCCAAAAUUUGGGGAACAUCCUAAUAUGGUGGGAGGAGUCAUUCGGUGGGUUUUUAGUGAAAUCGAAUCUCUACAACUAUGCAAUACACCAACCACUCCAUUUCAUAACAAACUUCGUACGAACCUGAAUUGUCCAAUUUCGUGGACCAUUCGAUAUCGGAUUGAGUCCAAAACUGGGGGAACAUCAUAAUAUGGGGGGAGGAGUCAUUUGGUGACUUUUGCGUGAAAUCCAAUGGCUAAAACUAUGCAAUACACAAACCAAUCCAUUUCAGAACAAACUUCGUACGAACCUAAAUUGUCCAAUUUCAUGGACCAAUCGAUAUCGGUUUGGGUCCAAAACUUGGGGAACGUCAUAAUAUGAUGGGAGGGGUCAUCUGGUGACUUUUGAGUGAAAUCCAAUGCCUAAAAUGGUGCAAUACACGAACCACUCCAUCUCAGAACGAACUUCGUAAGAAACUGAAUUGUCCAAUUUCAUGGAUCAAUCGAUAUCGGAUUGAGUGAAAAACUUGGGUAACAUCAUAAUAUAGUGUGAGGAGUCAUUUGGUGAGUUUUGAAUGAAAUCCAAUUGCUAAAACUAUGCAAUACCCCAACCACUCCAUUUCAUAACGAACUUCGAACGAACCUGAAUUGUCCGAUUUCUUGGACCAAUCGAUAUCGGAUUGAGUCCAAAACUUGGGGACUAUCAUAAUAUUGUGGGAGGAAUAUCAUAAUAUUGUGGGAGGAGUCAUUUGGUGGGAUUUGAAUGAAAUCCAAUCUCUAGAGCUAUACAAUACACCAACCACUCCAUUUCAUAACGAUCUUCUUACGAAGCUGAAUUUCCCAAUUUGAUGGACUAAUCGAUAUCGGAUUGAGUCCAAAACUUGGGGAACAUCAUAAUAAUGAUGGGAGGAGUGAUUUGGUGUGUUAUGAAUGAAAUCCAAUGGCUAAAACUAUGCAAUACACCAACCACUUCAUUUCAGAACGAACUUCGUACGAACCUGAAUUGUCUGAUUUCAAGGACAAAUCGGGAUCAGAUUGAGGGCAAAACUAAGGGAACAUCAUAAUAUGGUGGGAGGAGUCAUUUGGUGAGUUUUGAGUGAAAUCCAAUUGCCAAAACUACGCAAUACACCAACCACUCCAUUUCAGAUCGAACUUCGUACGAACCUGAAUUGUCUAAUUUCAUGGACCAAUCGAUAUCGGAUUGAGUCCAAAACUUGGGGAACAUCGUAAUGUUGUGGGAGGAGUCAUUUGGUUAGUUUUGAGUGAAAUCCAAUUGCCAAAACUGUGCAAUACACCAACCACUCCAUUUCAUCACGAACUUCGUACGAACCUGAAUUGUCCAAUUUCAUGGACAAAGCGAUAUCGGAUUGGGUGCAAAAGUUGGGGAACAUCAUAAUAUGGUGGGAGGAGUCAUUUGGUGAAUUUUGAGUGAAAUCCAAUUGCCAGAACAAUGCAAUACACCAACCACUCCAUUUUAUAACGAACUUCGUACGAACCAGAAUUGUCCAAUUUCAUGGAACAAUCGAUAUCGUAUUGAGUCCAAAAGUUGGUGAUAAGGUCAUAAUUUCACACAUUUGCAUGCCUUCAUUUUUUAGUAAUUUUGUUUAGUGUCUCUAUAUUUUGAGUCUCUUACCUAUGUUUGUGUGUUUUGUAGGUUAAGACAGCAAGGGGAUGACAUUUGAUACAAUUCACGCACGUUAAGGGCUGAGUGGCACAAGAGGAUCCGAUCUCUAGAACUAUGCAAUACACCAAUCACUCCAUCGCAUAAUGAACUUCGUACGACUCUGAAUUGUCCGAUUUCAUGGACGAAUUGAUAUCGGUUUGAGUCCAAAACUUAGGGAACGUCAUAAUAUGGUCGGAGGAGUCAUUGGUGAGUUUUGAGUGAAAUCCAAUGGCUAAAACUAUGCAAUACAACAACCACUCCAUUUCAAAAUGAACUUCGUACGAACCUGAAUUGUCCAAUUCGAUGGACCAAUCGAUAUCGGAUUGAGCUCAAAACUUGGGGAACAUCAUAAUAUGGUGGGGGGAGUCAUUUGGUGGGUUUUGAAUGAAAUCCAAUCUCUUGAACUAUACAAUACACCAAUCACUCCAUUUCAGAACGAACUUCAUAUGGACCUGAGUUAUCCGAUUUCAUGGACCAAUCGAUAUCGGAUUUAGUCCAAAACUUAGGGAACGUCAUAAUAUAGUGGGAGGAGUCAUUUGGUGAGUUUUGAGUGAAAUCCAAUGGCUAAAACUAUGUAAUAGAACAAUAACUCCAUUUCAUAAUGAACUUCGUACGAACCUGAAUUGUCCGAUUCCAUGGACCAAUCAAUAUCGGAUUGAGUCUAAAACUUGGGGAAUAUCAUAAUGUUGUGGGAGGAGUCAUUUUGUGAGUUUUGAGUGAAAUCCAAUGGCUAAAACAAUGCAAUACACCAACCACUCUGUUUCAUAACGAACUUCGUACGAACCUGAAUUGUCCGAUUCCAUGGACCAAUCGAUAUCGGAUUGAGUCCAAAACUUGGGCAACAUCAUAAUGUUGUGGGAGGAGUCAUUUUGUGACUUUUGAGUGAAAUCCAAUAGCUAAAACUAUGCAAUACACCAACCACUCUAUUUCAGAACGACUUUCGUAUGAACCUGAAUUGUCCGAUUUCAUCGACCAAUCGAUAUCGGACUGACUCCAAAACAUAAGGAACAACAUAAUAUGGUGGGAGGAGUCAUUUGGUGAGUUUUGAGCGAAAUCCAAUGGCUAAAACUAUGCAAUACAACAAGCACUGAUUUCAUAACGAACUUCGAACGAACCUGAAUUGUCCAAUUUCAUGGACCAAUCGAUAUCGGAUUGAGUCCAAAACUUGAUGAACAUCAUAAUAUGGUGGGAGGAGUCAUUUGGUGAGUUUUGAGUGAAAUCCAAUGGCUAAAACUAUGCAGUACACCAACCACUCCAUUUCUUACCGAACUUCGUACGAACAUGAAUUGUCCAAUUUUGUGGACCAAUUAAUAUCGGAUGGAGGCCAAAACUUAGGGAACAUCAUAACAUAGUAGGAGGGGUCAUUUGGUGGUUUUCAUUGAAAUCCAAUCUAUAGAACUAUGCAAUACACCAACCACUCCAUUUCUUAACGAUCUUCGUACGAACCUGAAUUGUACAAUUUCUUGGGCGAAUCGAUAUCGGAUUGAGUCCAAAACUUGGGGAACAUCAUAAUGUUGUGGGAGGUUUCUUUUGGUCGGUUUUCAGUGAAAUCCAAUCUAUAGAACUAUGCAAUACACCAACCACUCCAUUUCUGAACGAACUUCGUACGAACCUGAAUUGUCCAAUUUCAUGGGCCAAUUGAAAUUGGAUUGAGUCAAAAACUUGGGAAACAUCAUAAUAUUGUGGCAGGAGUCAUUUGGUAAGUUUUUAGUGCAAUCCGAUCUCUAGAACUAUGCAAUACAUCAACCACUCCAUUUUAGAAUGAAUUUCGUACGAACCUGAAUUGUCCGAUUUCAUGGACGAAUCGAUAUCGGAUUGAGUCCAAAACAUAGGAAACGUCAUAAUACGGUGGGAGGAGUCAUUCGGUGUGUUUUUCGUGAAAUCCAAAGGCCAAAACUAUGCAAUAAACCAAUCACUCCAUUUCUUAACAAACUUCAUACAAACCUGAAUUGUCCAAUUUUGUAGACCAAUCGAUAUCGGAAUGAGUCCAAAACAAGGGGAACAUCAUAAUAUGGUGGGAGGAGUGAUAUGGGGAGUUUUGAGUGAAAUACAAUCUCUAGAACUAUGCAAUAAACCAACCACUCAAUUUCAGAACGAACUUCGUACUAAAAUGAAUUGUCCAAUUUCAAGGACCAAUCGAUGUCGAAUUGAGUCCAACACUUGUGGAACAUCAUAAUAUUGUGGGAGGAGUGAUUUGGAGGGUUUUGAGUUAAAAUAUAAUCUCUAGAUCUAUACAAUACACCAACCACUCCAUUUCAAAACGAACUUCAUACGAACCUGAAUUGUCCGGUUUCAUGGACCAAUCGAUAUCGGAUUUUAUCCAAAACUUGAGGAACAUCAUAAUAUGGUUGGAGGAGUCAUUUGGUGAGUUUUGAGUGAAAUCCAAUGGCUAAAACUAUGCAAUACACGAACCACUCCAUUUCUUAACGAACUUCGUACGAACAUGAAUUGUCCAAUUUCGUGGACCAAUCAAUAUUGGAUUGAGUCCAAAACUUAGGGAACAUCAUAACAUAGUGGGAGGUUUCAUUUGGUGGGUUUUCAGUGAAAUCCAAUCUACAAAACUAUGCAAUACACCAACCACUCCAUUCCUUAACGAGCUUCGUACGAACCUGAAUUGACCAAUUUCAUGGACGAAUCGAUAUCGGAUUGAAUUUAAAACAUGGGGAACAACAUAAUGUUGUGGUAGGAGUCAUUUGGUGAGUUUUGAGCGAAAUCCAAUGGUUAAAACUAUGCAAUAACCAACCACUCCGUUUCUUAACGAAGUUCAUACGAACAUGAAUUGUUUGAUUUUGUGGACCAAUCAAUAUCGGAUGGAGUCCAAAACUUAGGCAACAUCAUAACAUAAUGGGAGGUGUCAUUUGGUGGGUUUUCAGUGAAAUCCAAUCUAUAGAACUAUGCAAUACACCAACCACUCCAUUUCAGAACGAACUUCAUACGGACCUGAAUUGUCCAAUUUCAUGGACCAACUGAUGUUGGAUUGAGUCCAAAACUUGGGGAACAUCAUAAUAUAGUGGCAGGAGUCAUUUGGUAGGGUUUUAGUGAAAUCCGCUCUCUAGAACUAUGCAAUACACCGACUACUCCAUUUCAUAAUGAACUUUGUACGAACCUGAAUUGUCCAAUUUCAUGGACGAAUCGAUAUCGGAUUGAGUCCAAAACUUAGGGAACGUCAUAAUAUGGUAUGAGGAGUCAUUUGGUGAGUUUUGAGUGAAAACCAAUGGCUAAAACUAUGCAAUAUGACAAUAACUCCAUUUCAUAAUGAACUUCGUACGGACCUGUAUUGUCCAAUUUGAUGGACCCAUCGAUAUCGGACUGAGUCCAAAACUUGGGGCACAUCAUAAUAUACUGGGGGGAGUCAUUUGGUGGGUUUUGAAUGAAAUCCAAUCUCUUGAACUAUACAAUACAGCAAUCACUCCAUUUCAGAACAAACUUCCUAUGGACCUGAGUAAUCCGAUUUCAUGGACCAAUCGAUAUCGGAUUGAGUCCAAAACAAGGGGAACAUCAUAAUAUGGUGGGAGGAGUCAUACGGGGAGUUUUGAGUAAAAUACAAUCUCUAGAACUAUGCAAUACACCAACCACUCAAUUUCAGAACAAACUUCGUACUAAAAUGAAUUGUCCGAUUGCAUGGACCAGUCGAUAUCGGAUUGAGUCCAACACCUGGGGAACAUCAUAAUAUUGUGGGAGGAGUGAUUUGGAGGGUUUUGAGUUAAAUUCAAUCUCUAGAUCUAUACAAUACACUAACCACUCCAUUUCAAAACGAACUUCGUACAAACCUGAAUUGUCCAAUUUCUUGGACCAAUCGAUAUCGGAUUUUAUCCAAAACUUGAGGAACAUCAUAAUAUGGUUGGGGGAGUCAUUUGGUGAGUUUUGAGUGAAAUCCAAUGGCUAAAACUAUGCAAUUCACCAACUACUCCAUUUCAUAACGAACUUUGUACAAACCUGAAUUGUCAGAUUUCAUGGACCAAUCAAUAUCGGAUUCAGUCAAAAACUUGGGGAACACCGUAAUGUAGUGGGGCGAGUCAUUUUGUAGGUUUUCAGUGAAGUCCAAUCCCUAGAACUAUGCAAUACACCAACCACUCCAUUUCAAAACAAACUUCGUACGAACUUGAAUUGUCCGAUUUGAUGGACCAAUCGAUAUCGGAUUGUGUCCAAAACUUGAGGAACAUCAUAACAUGGUGGGAAGAGUGGUUUGGUCAGUUUUGAGUGAAAUCCAAAGGCUAAAACUAUGCAAUACACCAACCCCUCCAUUUUAUAACGAACUUCGUACGAACAUGAAUAGUCCAAUUUCAUGGACCAAUCGAUAUCAGAUUGAGUCCAAAACUUGGGGUACAUCAUAAUAUGGUGGGAGGAGUCAUUUGGUGAGUUUUGAGUGAAAUCCAAUCCCUAGAACUAUGCAAUACAUUAACCACUCCAUUUCAGAACGAACUUCGUUCGAACCUAAAUUGUCCCAUUUGAUGGACCAAUCGAUAUCGGAUUGAGUCUAAAAUUUGGGGAACAGCAUAAUAUGGUGGGAGGAGUUAUUCGGUGGGUUUUGAGUGAAAUCCAAUCUCUACAACUAUGCAGUACACCAACCACUCCAUUUCAGAACGAACUUCGUACAAACCUGAAUUGUCCAAUUUCAUGGAACAAUCGAUAUUGGUGUGGGUCCAAAACUUGGGGAACGUCAUAAUAUGAUGGGAGGGGUCAUUUGGUGACUUUUGAGUGAAAUCCAAUGCCUAAAACUGUGCAAUACACCAACCACUCCAUUUCAGAAAGAACUUCGUACGAACCUGAAUUGUCCAAUUACAUGGACCAAUCGAUAUUGGAUUGAGUCCAAAACUUGGGGAACAUCAUAAUAUGGUGGGAGGAGUCAUUUGGUUGGUUUUGAGUGAAAUUCAAUCUCUAGAACUAUGCAAUACAGUAACCACUCCAUUUCAGAACGAACUUUGUUCGAACCUAAAUUGUCCAAUUUGAUGGACCAAUCGAUAUCGGAUUGAGUCCAAAAUUUGGGGAACAUCAUAAUAUGGUGGGAGGAGUCAUUUGGUGGGUUUUCAGUGAAAUCCAAUGGCUAAAACUAUGCAAUACCCCAACCACUUCAUUUCAGAACGAACUUCGAACAAACCUGAAUUGUCCAAUUUCUUGGACCAAUCGAUAUCGGAUUGAGUCCAAAACUUGGGGAAUAUCAUAAUAUUGUGGGAGGAGUCAUUGGGUGGGAUUUGAGUAAAAUCCAAUCUCUAGAGCUAUACAAUACGUCAACCACUCCGUUUCCUAAUGAUCUUCGUACGAACCUGAAUUUCCCAAUUUCGUGGACCAAUCGAUAUCGAAUCGAGUUCAAAACUUGGGGAACAUCAUAAUAUAUGAUUGAAGGAGUGACUUGGUGAGUUUUGAAUGAAAUCCAAUAGCUAAAACUAUGCAGUACACCUACCACUCCAUUUCAGAACGAACUUCGUACGAACCUGAAUUGUCCGAUUUCAUGGACAAAUCGGGAUCAGAUUGAGGGCAAAACUAGGGGAACAUCAUAAUAUGGUGGGAGGAGUCAUUUGGUGAGUUUUGAGUGAAAUCCAAUUGCCAAAACUAUGCAAUAAACCAACCACUCCAUUUCAGAACAAACUUCGUACGAACCUGAAUUGUCUAAUUUCAUGGACCAAUCGAUAUCGGAUUGAGUCCAAAACUUGGGGAACAUCAUAAUGUUAUGGGAGAAGUCAUUUGGUGAGUUUUGAGUGAAAUCCAAUUGCCAAAACUGUGCAAUACACCAACCACUCCAUUUCAGAACGAACUUCGUACGAACCUGAAUUGUCCGAUUUCAUGGACAAAGCGAUAUCGGAUUGGGUGCAAAAGUUGGGGAACAUCAUAAUAUGGUGGGAGGAGUCAUUUGGUGAAUUUUGAGUAAAAUCCAAUUGCCAAAACAAUGCAAUACACCAACCACUCCAUUUUAUAACGAACUUCGUACGAACCAGAAUUGUCCAAUUUCAUGGACCAAUCGAUAUCGUAUUGAGUCCAAAAGUUGGUGAUAAGUCAUANNNNNNNNNNNNNNNNNNNNNNNNNNNNNNNNNNNNNNNNNNNNNNNNNNNNNNNNNNNNNNNNNNNNNNNNNNNNNNNNNNNNNNNNNNNNNNNNNNNNNNNNNNNNNNNNNNNNNNNNNNNNNNNNNNNNNNNNNNNNNNNNNNNNNNNNNNNNNNNNNNNNNNNNNNNNNNNNNNNNNNNNNNNNNNNNNNNNNNNNNNNNNNNNNNNNNNNNNNNNNNNNNNNNNNNNNNNNNNNNNNNNNNNNNNNNNNNNNNNNNNNNNNNNNNNNNNNNNNNNNNNNNNNNNNNNNNNNNNNNNNNNNNNNNNNNNNNNNNNNNNNNNNNNNNNNNNNNNNNNNNNNNNNNNNNNNNNNNNNNNNNNNNNNNNNNNNNNNNNNNNNNNNNNNNNNNNNNNNNNNNNNNNNNNNNNNNNNNNNNNNNNNNNNNNNNNNNNNNNNNNNNNNNNNNNNNNNNNNNNNNNNNNNNNNNNNNNNNNNNNNNNNNNNNNNNNNNNNNNNNNNNNNNNNNNNNNNNNNNNNNNNNNNNNNNNNNNNNNNNNNNNNNNNNNNNNNNNNNNNNNNNNNNNNNNNNNNNNNNNNNNNNNNNNNNNNNNNNNNNNNNNNNNNNNNNNNNNNNNNNNNNNNNNNNNNNNNNNNNNNNNNNNNNNNNNNNNNNNNNNNNNNNNNNNNNNNNNNNNNNNNNNNNNNNNNNNNNNNNNNNNNNNNNNNNNNNNNNNNNNNNNNNNNNNNNNNNNNNNNNNNNNNNNNNNNNNNNNNNNNNNNNNNNNNNNNNNNNNNNNNNNNNNNNNNNNNNNNNNNNNNNNNNNNNNNNNNNNNNNNNNNNNNNNNNNNNNNNNNNNNNNNNNNNNNNNNNNNNNNNNNNNNNNNNNNNNNNNNNNNNNNNNNNNNNNNNNNNNNNNNNNNNNNNNNNNNNNNNNNNNNNNNNNNNNNNNNNNNNNNNNNNNNNNNNNNNNNNNNNNNNNNNNNNNNNNNNNNNNNNNNNNNNNNNNNNNNNNNNNNNNNNNNNNNNNNNNNNNNNNNNNNNNNNNNNNNNNNNNNNNNNNNNNNNNNNNNNNNNNNNNNNNNNNNNNNNNNNNNNNNNNNNNNNNNNNNNNNNNNNNNNNNNNNNNNNNNNNNNNNNNNNNNNNNNNNNNNNNNNNNNNNNNNNNNNNNNNNNNNNNNNNNNNNNNNNNNNNNNNNNNNNNNNNNNNNNNNNNNNNNNNNNNNNNNNNNNNNNNNNNNNNNNNNNNNNNNNNNNNNNNNNNNNNNNNNNNNNNNNNNNNNNNNNNNNNNNNNNNNNNNNNNNNNNNNNNNNNNNNNNNNNNNNNNNNNNNNNNNNNNNNNNNNNNNNNNNNNNNNNNNNNNNNNNNNNNNNNNNNNNNNNNNNNNNNNNNNNNNNNNNNNNNNNNNNNNNNNNNNNNNNNNNNNNNNNNNNNNNNNNNNNNNNNNNNNNNNNNNNNNNNNNNNNNNNNNNNNNNNNNNNNNNNNNNNNNNNNNNNNNNNNNNNNNNNNNNNNNNNNNNNNNNNNNNNNNNNNNNNNNNNNNNNNNNNNNNNNNNNNNNNNNNNNNNNNNNNNNNNNNNNNNNNNNNNNNNNNNNNNNNNNNNNNNNNNNNNNNNNNNNNNNNNNNNNNNNNNNNNNNNNNNNNNNNNNNNNNNNNNNNNNNNNNNNNNNNNNNNNNNNNNNNNNNNNNNNNNNNNNNNNNNNNNNNNNNNNNNNNNNNNNNNNNNNNNNNNNNNNNNNNNNNNNNNNNNNNNNNNNNNNNNNNNNNNNNNNNNNNNNNNNNNNNNNNNNNNNNNNNNNNNNNNNNNNNNNNNNNNNNNNNNNNNNNNNNNNNNNNNNNNNNNNNNNNNNNNNNNNNNNNNNNNNNNNNNNNNNNNNNNNNNNNNNNNNNNNNNNNNNNNNNNNNNNNNNNNNNNNNNNNNNNNNNNNNNNNNNNNNNNNNNNNNNNNNNNNNNNNNNNNNNNNNNNNNNNNNNNNNNNNNNNNNNNNNNNNNNNNNNNNNNNNNNNNNNNNNNNNNNNNNNNNNNNNNNNNNNNNNNNNNNNNNNNNNNNNNNNNNNNNNNNNNNNNNNNNNNNNNNNNNNNNNNNNNNNNNNNNNNNNNNNNNNNNNNNNNNNNNNNNNNNNNNNNNNNNNNNNNNNNNNNNNNNNNNNNNNNNNNNNNNNNNNNNNNNNNNNNNNNNNNNNNNNNNNNNNNNNNNNNNNNNNNNNNNNNNNNNNNNNNNNNNNNNNNNNNNNNNNNNNNNNNNNNNNNNNNNNNNNNNNNNNNNNNNNNNNNNNNNNNNNNNNNNNNNNNNNNNNNNNNNNNNNNNNNNNNNNNNNNNNNNNNNNNNNNNNNNNNNNNNNNNNNNNNNNNNNNNNNNNNNNNNNNNNNNNNNNNNNNNNNNNNNNNNNNNNNNNNNNNNNNNNNNNNNNNNNNNNNNNNNNNNNNNNNNNNNNNNNNNNNNNNNNNNNNNNNNNNNNNNNNNNNNNNNNNNNNNNNNNNNNNNNNNNNNNNNNNNNNNNNNNNNNNNNNNNNNNNNNNNNNNNNNNNNNNNNNNNNNNNNNNNNNNNNNNNNNNNNNNNNNNNNNNNNNNNNNNNNNNNNNNNNNNNNNNNNNNNNNNNNNNNNNNNNNNNNNNNNNNNNNNNNNNNNNNNNNNNNNNNNNNNNNNNNNNNNNNNNNNNNNNNNNNNNNNNNNNNNNNNNNNNNNNNNNNNNNNNNNNNNNNNNNNNNNNNNNNNNNNNNNNNNNNNNNNNNNNNNNNNNNNNNNNNNNNNNNNNNNNNNNNNNNNNNNNNNNNNNNNNGGGGAUCGUGUUGGACGCUGGCGUCACUGUGGCCAUUGGAUUUCACUCAAAACUCACCAAAUCAGUCCUCCCACCAAAUUAUGAUGUUCCCGAAGUGCUGGACUUAAUCCGAUAUCGAUUGGUCCAUGAAAUCGGACAGUUCAGGUUCGUACGAAGUUCGUUCUGAAAUGGAGUGGUUGGGGUAUUGCAUUGUUUUAGACAUUGGAUUUCACCCAAAACUCAACAAAUGACUCCUCCCACAACAUUAUGAUGUUCCCCAAGUUUUGGACUCAAUCCUAUAUUGAUUGGUCCAUGGAAUUGGAAAAUUCAGGUUCGUACGAAGUUCGUUAUGAAAUGGAGUGGUUGGUGUAUUGUAUAGUUCUAGAGAUUGGAUUUCACUCAAAACCCACCAAAUGACUCCUCCAACAAUAUUAUGAUGUUCCCCAAGUUUUGCACUCAAUCCGAUAUUCAUUGGUCCAUGAAAUUGGACAAUUCAGUUUCGAACGAAGUUCGUUCCGAAAUGGAGUGGUUGGUGUAUUGCAUAGUUUUGGCCAUUGGAUUUCACUGAAAACCCACCAAAUGACUCCUCCCACAAUAUUAUGAUGUUCCCCAAGUUUUGGACUCAAUCCGAUAUUCAUUGGUCCCUGAAAUCGGACAAUUCAGUUUCGAACGAAGUUCGUUCCGAAAUGGAGUGGUUGUUUUAUUGCAUAGUUUUGGCAAUUGGAUUUUGCUCAAAACUCACCAAAUGACUCCUCCCGCUAUAUUAUGAUCUGCCCCAAGUUUUGGAUCCAAUUUGAUAUCGAUUGGUCCAUGAAACUAGACAAUUCAGGUUUGUAUGAAGUUCUUUCUGAAAUGUAGUGGUUGGUGUAUUGUAUAGUUCUAGAGAUUCGAUUUCACCCAAAACCCACCAAAUGACUCCUCCCACAAUAUGAUGAUGUUCCCCAAGAUUGAACGUAGGUAAUUGAUUUUCGAAUUGAAAAUUCGGCCGAUUUUCGGCCUCCGAGUUCGGCCACUUCCGUUCAGUUUUUGGGGUAGGUCAAAGAACAAAAGUGGUUCCAAAUAUGGUGUUAUACCUAGGGUAGGAGUUUGGAGCCGUGGUUUUGAGAUUUUCCGGCGAUGUGUAAUCGCUUUGGACACCCAGCGCUUCUGGCGCGUGCGGCGGCGCGUGGGCGAGGGUAGUGAAGUGGCACUGUGUCUCGAUGAGAUCCUUAGGUUGUCACGAGCACGUAGGAAUUCGCAGAUCUCAAUUUGGAUACCGUUUGAGCCUCGCACGGAUUUUCCAUAUUGUGCGAUUUUCGGGUUCAAUACUGUGGAGCCGUUGGAUCGUAAUCAGUUUCAGAUAUGUUACUCUAGACAAUUUCAAAAUCGUGUAGGAUUCGACGGAUCGUGAAUCGGAGUCCCGGAUACUCCGAAAUUGCGAACCCUAGGGCUAGGGUUUAGAAAUUGUGCGAUUGUACGAUCGUGAUCAAUCCGACCGUCCGAUCGAGACCAAACCCUCGAGACAUGUGUCCUAGAUAUAUUGGACCUUCUAGCGGCUUCUGGAUCAUAUUGUGAGGUCAUGGACCUGCGGGGUCCUGGGUUGACUUUUUGGGACUUUAGCGCUUUUUGAGUCCCAAGAUACUCCUAAACUAUUCCAAACUUUUAUGGGCAUAGGGAUAACUUUAAUUUGACGCAUGUACUUCUAGGAGCCGGGGGUCAGGAUUUUUAAAUUAAUACUAUAUUGUAUUAAUAGAAUAUUAUGGUCAUUGAAUCAGGCACCCGAGCACCAGUUCACCCGCAGGAGGGACCUUCAAGAGGUCGAGCGAGCACGGACUACCAGUGAGUGGACUCUUUGUUUUUAUAAAUGAAUUUAAGCAGUUCAGUUACAGUAUGUGAUCUUGAAUAAGUUUUAUUCAAAGAUUAUCGUUUUAUAAGCUGUUAUAUGCUUUUAAAUAUUUUUCUUUGCAUACUGUCGAGUGAAAAUCUCCAUUAAAGGAUAUAGGAAAAGAAAUUCUAGUUAAUUAUCAAAUAAAUGGAAGCAGAAUUUGAAAGGUUACAGAAACUUUAUAUUUUCCUAAACCACCUUGUACCCAGAUAUACAAAUGUUGCCUUCAGAUUAAAUGUUGCCUUCGGAUUAUAUUGGUUGCCUUCGGUUUAGUCAGCAUGCUUGACAGUUGCCCCACGAGUUCUUUGGUACUUGAACUCGUGUAGAGCAAGUAAUGCGGAUCAGGUGGACUACAGUCCCCUGAAUCCUGUGAGUUGCGGCUCGGACUGACCUUGUAUCACUGAGACCUGCGAGUACGCGUCACCCAUGGUAAUGCAAGGAAUUGACGGAUAUUAGGAAUUGACGGAAAUAAGGGUACACCUAGGUGGUAGUUUUAAACUGUUUUCAAUGCCUUAAGAAAUUAAUGUUAACCAUGAGUAUGCUUGGCUUAUAUACAUGUAUAAUUAUAUGAGUGCAUUGAUUUCAGAAAUAAAGAGAAUAAUUUAGUUUGUAUAACUGUUUUUACAGUGGGGUUAGUAUGUUCUUAUGUAUUUUUCUAAACUUUGUUUUUGGGUCCACUCACCCUUUUUAAUGUUUUGCGCCCCUAGGCAGUAGGCGUGCACAGGAAUCCACCACCGAGUCGUUUUCCACCUUCCGCGCCUUUCUUUUGAUGUAGGACUUUUUGUUUUGUAAAAAGAUUGACUCUUUUGUAAAUUCUUACUAACCGCUCUGAUGUUUUGCCCUAGACUUAGAAUUGAACUGUUAGAAUAUAUAUAUACGUAUGCUGGCAGUUGGUUGUAUAUAUAUACUUGUUUGGCAGGUGUAAAUGUUUUGGUAUUGAGCCAGUUACAAGGGAAACUCUGCCGGUUUUUCGGUAGAAGUCAACCUUGUUAUUUUAUCGUGCUUUGCAUAGAAGGGCAAUUAGGUCAUUUGUGCCCGACCUCCUCCAGGUGUUGGACACGCACAGGGUCCGGCUCAGAUUCCAAAGCGGAAUUUGGAUCGGGUCCUGUCAUGGUGGCUUUUGAAUGAAAUCCGAUCUCUUGAACUAUACAAUACACCAAUCACUCCAUUUCAGAACGACCUUCAAAUGGACCUGAGUUAUCCGAUUCCAUGGACCAAUCGAUAUAGGAUUUAGUCAAAAACUUAGGGAACGUCAUAAUAUGGUGGGAGGAGUCAUUUGGUGAGUUUUGAGUGAAAUCCAAUGGCUAAAACUAUGCAACAGAACAACAACUCCAUUUCAUAAUGAACUUCGUACGAACCUGAAUUGUCCGAUUCCAUGGACCAAUCUAUAUCGGAUUGAGUCCAAAACUUGGGGAACAUCAUAAUGUUGUGUGAGGAGUCAUUUUGUGAGUUUUGAGUGAAAUCCAAUGGCUAAAACAAUGCAAUACACCAACCACUCUAUUUCAGAACGAACUUUGUACGAACCUGAAUUGUCUGAUUUCAUGGACCAAUCGAUAUCAAAUUGAGUCCAAAACUUAGGGAACAUCAAAAUAUGGUGGAAGGAGUCAUUUGGUGAGUUUUUAGUGAAAUCCAAUGGCUAAAACUAUGCAAUGCACCAACCACUCUAUUUCAGAACGAACUUCGUACGAACCUGAAUUGUCCAAUUUCAUGGACCAAUUGAUAUCUGGCUGAGUCCAAAACAUAAGGAACAACAUAAUAUGGUGGGAGGAGUCAUUUGGUGAGUUUUGAGCGAAAUCCAAUGGCUAAAACUAUGCAAUACAACAGGCACUCCAUUUCAUAACGAACUUCGUACGAACCUGAAUUGUCCCAUUUCAUGGACCAAUCAAUAUCGGACGGAGUCCGAAACUUAGGCAACAUCAUAACAUAGUGGGAGGUGUGAUUUGGUGGGUAUUGAGUAAAAUCCAAAGGCUAAAACUAUGCAAUACACCAACCACUCCAUUUCUUAGCGAACUUCGUACGAACCUGAAUUGGUGAAUUUUUUUGAGAAAUCCAAUCACUAAAAUUAUGCAACUGAUAAGCUCAUAAUUUCACACAUUUGCAUGCCUUCUUUCCUUAGUAAUUUUGUUAGCUUCUCUUUAUUUUGAGUCUCUUACCUAUGUUUGUGUGCUUUGUAGGUUAAGACAGCAAGGGGAUGACAUUUGAUACAAUUCAUGCAUGUUAAGGGCUGAGUGGCACAAGAGGAAUAUGAGCUUAAAGACAAAACUAAUUUGUGCCACACUCCUUGUCAGUCCAGUUUCGUAGGUCAUCUUGCAGGCCUCAUUUCAGUAACUUACACAGGUCGGAUGAGGAGACAUCCUUCAUAGAAGUUGUUCCAAUGGGUGUCUAUUAUAACGUAUCCAAAUUUCAGCCCAAUUGGAUAAAGCUGGAGCCCUCAACACGUCAAAGACUGAACCAAGUUCACAGAAAUGUCAUGUUGGCUGCCAUCACAUUUAAUGUGGCUACAUCCCUAGAGCCAUGUGCUACACAUGGGCAGCCACACAUGGGAGUCAAAUCAGCUCAGAAGCUCAGAAAGAUGAACAAAAGUCAAGCUUUCCAUAAAGAAACCAUACCAAAGCAUGUAUUUGUCAGCUGGAGCAGUUGGCAAGUAUGGGCAGCUGGAGCAGUUGGGAGCAGCUAAGAGAGGUGUGCUUCGCCAGCCAAAGGGGAGCACGAAAUUGCACUCUAUAAAUAGAGAGUUGCACACUCAUUCAAGAAGGGAGGGCAGUCAUACACAUUCACUUCAUCCAUUACUCUCAUACACACAUUCAGAUUCACCACAAAGAGAAAAGGGAGCUUGGAGCUGUCCUGGGAACUUCCUUGCUGCCAUCAUCUAGUUCUUCUCCUCUCUUUAUCCUAUCUAUGUAUUUCUUAUUUUCUGUAUUCAUAGUUAUGUCUAACUAAUCCAUUUAGUUAGGGCUUAGGAUGAAGCCCUAGUCAUGAAUAUUCAAUGUUAUGGAUGAUUUUAUAGUUAAUUGAUUUCCUUGCUUUUAUUAUCAAGUUGUUAAUCUCUAGUUUAUUAUGUGCUUGAUGUAUGUUUUCUUGGAGUAGCUAACUAGGAUUUUAUGCAUCUAGCACAGGUUGGGAAGGGGUUUAGAUUCACCAAUUCUACUCUCCUUUCACAAGCAACACAUGAAUGGCCUAAGAAUCAUUCAAGGGGUUAAUAACCAUAGGUUGACUAGGACAGAUACCAUGUUCUAGGACUUGUGUGAUUAUAAUAUUCUCAAGGAGCUUAAUGACUCUUGUAUGCUUUAUUCUAAGUAGAUACCAUGCUUAGGUUGCAUAUUAGAGAUCACGUGUUGUGUAGAUACCAUGCAUAAUCACAUGCCUUAGGAGAAUCAUGCAUCCUGCACCUAGAUACCAUAGGCUUGUAUGCGAUAAUCUAUUGUUGAUAAAGCUUGAGUCAAUUUCUAUGCAUUCAUAACUUGGGUAGGAAAACUAGUGGUGGAUUCCAAGGCUCUAACACCUCUCAAUCAUUGUUUCACAACUUGUUGAUUGCUGCCAGUGUUUACUUUCGAGCACUUUCAUUUCACUUUCUUGUUUUCAUUUCAACAACAAAACCCCCCAUUUCGAGUGCGUGUGUGGUGCUAGGAUUCUGUCCUAGACCUUGAGUAAUUAGCAAGAGGCAUUGUUGAAUUCGACCUUGCCUUUAGCUAGUUAGUCAGUUUUUUUGUUCUAUGUUUUUCUAGCAUUCUAAGUAAUUUAACUUGGAACCAAGUUACCAUUCUCCGUGGGAUCGACCUCGUAUUUACAUAAGCUAUACUAUAAACGGUUCGUGCACUUGCGAGAAUUAAAGUUGCUGUUUUUAAUAACUCAUUUUAGUUGUUAAGAAUAGGCCCAACAGCAACACACCAACAACUCCAUUUGAUGAACAAACUUUGUACGAACUUGAAUUGUCCGAUUUCAUGGUUUAGUCGAUAUCGGAUUGAGCCCAAAACUUGCACAAUAUCAUAAUAUGGUGGGAGGAGUCGUUCGGUGAGUUUUGAGUGAAAUCCAAUCCCAAAAACUUUGUAGUACACCAACCACUCCAAUUACGGAACGAAUUUCGUACGAACCUGAAUUGUUUGACUUCUUGAUUCAAUCGAUAUCGAAUUGAGCCCAAAACUUGGUCAACAUCAUACUAUGGUGGGAGGAGUCAUUUGGUGAGUUUUGAAUGAAAUCGAAUUGCUAAAACUAUGCAAUACACCAACCACUCCAUUUCAAAACGAACUUUUUACAAACCUGAAUUGUUCGAUUUCAUGGACCAAUCGAUAUCGGAUUGAGUCCAAAACUGCGAGAACAUCAUUAUAUUGCUGGAGGAGUCAUUUGGUGGGUUUUGAGUGAAAUCCAAUGGCUAAAACUAUGCAGUAAACCAACCACUCCAUUUCGUAAUGAACUUUGUACGAACCUGAAUUGUCCGAUUUCAGGAACCAAUAGAUAUCAAUUUGAGUCCAAAACGUGGGGAACAUCGUAAUGUUGUGGGUGGAGUCAUUUUGUGAGUUCUGAGUGAUAUCCAAUGGCUAAAACGAUGCAAUACACCAACCACUCCAUUUCAGAACGAACUUCGUAUGAAUUGAAUUGUCCGAUUUCAUGGACCAAUCGACAUCGGAUUGAGUCCAAAACUUAGGGAACAUCACAAUAUGGGGGAGAACUCAUUGGUGAGUUUUAAGUGAAAUCCAAUGGCUAAAAUUAUGCAAUACACCAACCAAGCCAUUGCGUAACAAACUUCGUACGAACCUGAAUUGUCCAAUUUCAUGGAUCAAUCGAUAUCGGAUAGAGUCCAAAACUUGGGGACAUCAUAAAUCAGCGGGAGGAGUCAUUUGGUGGGUUUUGAGUGAAAUCCAAUCUCUACAACUAUACAAUACACCAACCACGCCAUUGCGUAACAAACUUUGUACGAACCUUAAUUGUCCGAUUUCAUGGACCAAUCGAUAUAGGAUUGAGUCCAAAACUUGGGGAACGUCAUAAUAUAUGGGAGGAGUCAUUUGGUGAGUUUUGAGUGCAAUCCAAUCUCUAGAACUAUACAACACAAUAACCACAACAUUUCUUAAAGAACUUCGUACGAACCUGAAUUGUCCAAUUUCACGGACCAAUCGAUAUCGGGUUGAGUCCAAAACUUGGGGAACAACAUAAUAUGGUGGGUGGAGUCAUUUGGUGAGUUUUGAGUGAAAUCCAAUCUCUAGAACUAUACAACACAAUAACCACAACAUUUCUUAAAGAACUUCCUACGAACCUAAAUUGUCCAAUUUCAUGGACCAUUCGAUAUCGGAUUCAGUCCAACACUUAGGGAACAUCAUAAUAUUGUGGGAGGAGUCAUUUGGUGGGUUUUGAGUGAAAUCCAAUCUCUAGAACUAUGCAAUACACCAACCACUCCAUUUCUUAACGAACUUCGUACGAACAUGAAUUGUCCAAUUUCGUGGACCAAUCAAUAUCGGAUGGAGUCCAAAACUUAGGGAACAUCAUAACAUAGUGGGAGGAGUGAUCUGGUGCGUGUUGAGUGAAAUCCAAUCUCUACAACUAUGCAAUACACCAACCACUCCAUUUCAUAAAGAACUUCGUAUGAACCUGAAUUGUCCAAUUUCAUGGACCAAUCGAUAUCAGAUUGAGUCCAAAACUUGGGGAACAUCAUAAUAUGGUGGGAGGAGUCAUUUGGUGGGUUUUGAGUGAAAUCCAAUCUCGAGAACUAUGCAAUACACCAACCACUCCAUUUCAUAACGAACUUCGUACGAACCUGAAUUGUCCAAUUUCAUGGACCAAUUGAUAUCGGAUUUAGUCAAGAACUUGGGGAAUAUCAUAAUAUUGUGGGAGGAGUCAUUUGGUUGGUUUUUGAGUGAAAUCCAAUCUCGACAACUAUACAAUACACCAACCACUCCAUUUCAGAACGAACUUCGCACGAACCUGAAUUGUCCGAUUUCAUGUACCAAUCGAUAUUGGAUUUAGUCCAGAACUUGGGGAACAACAUAAUUUUGUGGAAGGAGUCAUUUGGUGAGCUUUGAGUGAAAUCCAAUGGCUAUAACUAUGCAAUACAACAACAACACCAUUUCAUAAUGAACUUCGUACGAACCUGAAUUGUCCGAUUUCAUGGACCAAUCGAUAUCGGAUUGAGCACAAAACUUGGGGCACAUCAUAAUAUGAUGGGAGGAGUCAUUUAGUGAGUUUUGAAUGAAAUCCAAUGACUAAAACUAUGCAAUACACCAACCACUCCAUUUCAUAACGAACUUCGUACGAACCAGGAUUGUCAAAUUUCAUGAACCAAUAGAUAUCGGAUUGAGUACAAAACUUGGGGAAGAUCAUAAUAUGAUGGGUGGAGUCAUUUGGUGAGUUUUGAAUGAAAUCCAAUGGCUAAAAAUUAUGCAAUACACCAACCACUCCAUUUCAUAACGAACUUCGUACGAACCAGGAUUGUCAAAUUUCAUGGACCAAUCGAUAUCGGAUUGAGUACAAAACUUGGGGAAGAUCAUAAUAUGGUGGGAGGAGUCAUUUGGUGGGUUUUAAGUGAAAUCCGAUCUCUAGAACUAUCCAAUAACCCAACCACUCCAUUUCAUAACGAACUUCGUACGGACCUGAAUUGUCCAAUUUCAUGGACCAAUCGAUAUCGGAUUGAGUCCCAAACUUGGGGAACAUCAUAAUACGGUGGGAAGAAUCAUUUGGUCGGUUUUGAGUGAAGUCCAAUGGCUAAAACUAUGCAAUACACCACCCGCUCCAUUUCAGAAUGAACUUCGUACGAACCUGAAUUGUCGAUAUCGGAUUUUGUACAAAACUUGGGCAAGAUCCUAAUAUGAUGGGUGGAGUCAUUUGGUGAGUUUUGAAUGAAAUCCAAUGGCUAAAACUAUGAAAUACACCACCCGCUCCAUUUCGUAACGAACUUCGUACGAACAUGAAUUGUCCAAUUUCGUGGACCAAUCGAUAUUGAAUAGAGUCCAAAACUGGGGGAACAUCAUAAUACGGUGGGAGGAGUCAUUGGUGAGUUUUGAGUGAAAUCCAAUCUCUACAGCUAUGCAAUACACCAACCUCUCCAUUUCAUAACGAACUUCGUACGAACCUGAAUUGUCCAAUUUCAUGGACCAAUUGAUAUCGGAUGGAGUCCAAAACUGGGGCAACCACAUAAUAUGGUGGGAGGAGUCAUUUGGUGCGUUUUGAGUGAAAUCCAAUCUCUGGAACUAUGCAAUACACCAACCCCACCAUUUCGUAACGAACGUCGAACGAACCUGAAUUGUCCAAUUUCGUGGACCAAUCGAUAUCGGAUUGAGUCCAAAACUUGAGAAACAUCAUAAUACGAUGGGAGGAGUCAAUUGGUGAGUUUUGAGUGAAAUCCAAUCUCUACAACUAUGCAAUACAGCAACCUCUCCAUUUCAUAAUGAACUUCGUACGAACCUGAAUUGUCCAAUUUCAUGGACCACUCGAUAACGGAUUGAGUACAAAACUUGGGGAACAUCAGAAUAUGAUGGGUGGAGUCAUUUGGUGAGUUUCGAAUGAAAUACAAUGGCUAAAACUAUGCAAUACACCAACCACUCCAUUUCAUAAGGAACUUCGGACGAACCAGAAAUAUCCAAUUUCAUGGACCAAUCGAUAUCGGAUUGAGUAAAAAACUUGGGGAACAUCAUAAUAUGGUGGGAGGAGUCAUUUGUCGGGUUUUAAGUGAAAUCCAAUCUCUAGAACUAUGCAGUACCUCAACCACUCAUUUCAUAACGAACUUCGUAUGGACCUGAAUUGUCCAAUUUCAUGGACCAAUCAACAUCGGAUUGAGUACAGGACUUGGGGAACAACAUAAUAUGGGUGGGGUCAUUUGGUGAGUUUUGAAUUAAAUCAAAUGGCUAACACUAUGCAUUACACCAACCACUCCGUUUCAUCUCGAACUUUGUUCGAACCUGGAUUGUCCAAUUUCGUGGAUCAAUUGAUAUCGGACUGAGUCCAAAACUUGGGGAACAUCAUAAUAUGGUGGGAGGAGUCAUUUGGUAAGUUUUGAGUGAAAUCCAAUCUCUAGAAUUAUGCAAUACACCAACCACUCCAUUUCAUAAGGAACUACGUACGAAUAUGAAUUGUCCAAUUUGAUGGACCAAUCGAUACCGGAUUGGGUUCAGAACUUGGGGAACAUCAUAAUAUGGAGGGAGGAGUCAUUUGGUGAGUUUUGAGUGAAAUCCAAUGGCUACAACUAUGCAAUACACCACCCACUCUAUUUCAUAACGAACUUCGUACGAACCAGAAUUGUCCAAAUUCAUGGACCAAUCGAUAUCUGAUUGAGUACAAAACUUGGGGAACAUCAUAAUAUGAUGGGUGGAGUCAUUUGGUGAGUUUUGAUUGAAAUCCAGUGGCUAAAACUAUGCAAUACACCAACCACUCCAUUUCAUAACGAACUUCAGACGAACCUGAAUUGUCCAAUUUCAUGGACCAAUCGAUAUCGGAUUGAGUAAAAAACUUGGGGCACAUCAUAAUAUGGUGGGAGGAGUCAUUUGUCUGGUUUUAAGUGAAAUCCAGUCUCUAGAACUAUGCAAUACCCCAACCACUCCAUUUCAUAACGAACUUCGUACGGACCUGAAUUGUCCAAUUUCAUGGACCAAUCGAUUUCGGAUUGAGUACAAAACUUGGGGAACAUCAUAAUAUGAUGGGAGCAGUCAUUUGGUGAGUUUCGAAUGAAAUCCAGUGGCUAAAACUAUGCAAUGCACCAAUCGAUAUCAGAUUGAGUAAAAAACUUGCGGAACAUCAUAAUAUGGUGGGAGGAGUCAUUUGUCGGGUUUUAAGUGAAAUCCAAUCUCUAGAACUAUGCAAUACCCCAGCCACUCCAUUUCAUAAGGAACUUCGUACGGACCUGAAUUGUCCAAUUUCAUGGACCAAUCGAUUUCGAAUUGAGUACAAAACUUGGGGAACAUCAUAAUAUGGGGGGAGGAGUCAUUUGGUGGGGUUUGAGUGAAAUCCAAUCUCGAGAACUAUGCAAUACACCACCCACUCCAUUUCAUAACGAACUUCGUACGAACCUGAAUUGUCCAAUUUCAUGGACCAAUCGAUAUCGGAUUGAGUACAAAACUCGGGGAACAUCAUAAUAUGGUGGGAGGAGUCAUCUGGCGGUUUUUGACUGAAAUCCAGUCUCUAGAACUAUGCAAUACACCAACCAUUCCAUUUCAUAACGAACUUCGUUUGACCCUGAAUUGUCCAAUUUCAUGGACCAAUCGAUAUCAGAUUGAGUCCAAAACUUGUUGAACAUUAUAAUAUGGUGGGUGGAGUCAUUUGUUGGGUUUUGAGUGAAAUCCAAUCUUUAGAACUAUGCAAUACACCAACCACUCCAUUUCAUAACGAAUUUCGUACGAAUCUAAAUUGUCCAAUUUCAUGGACCAUUCGAUUUCGGAUGGAGUACAAAACUUGGGGAACAUCAUAAUAUGGUGGGAGGAGUCAUUUGGUGGGUUUUGAGUGAAAUCCAAUCUCUAGAACUGUGCAAUACAUCAACCACUCCAUUUCAUAACGAACUUCGUAUGAACCUGAAUUGUCCAAUUUCAUGGACCAAUCGAUAUCGGAUUGAGUACAAAACUUGAGGAACAUCAUAAUGUGAUGGGUUGAGUCAUUUGGUGAGUUUUGAAUGCAAUCCAUGGGCUAAAACUAUGCAAUACACCAACCACGCCAUUUCAUAACGAACUUCGUACGAACCUGAAUUGUCCAAUUUCUUGGACCAAUCGAUAUCGGAUUGAGUCCAAAACUUUGGGAACAUCAUAAUAUGGUGGGAGGAGUCAUUUGGUGACUUUUGAGUGAAAUCCAAUGGCUAAAACUAUGCAAUACUCCAACCACUCCUUUUCAUAACGAACUUCGUACGAACCUGAAUUGUCCAAUUUCAUGGACCAAUCGAUAUCGGAUAGAGUCCACAACUUGGGGAACAUCAUAAUAUGGUGGGAGGAGUCAUUUGGUGGGUUUUGAGUGAAAUCUAAUCUCUCGAACUAUGCAAUACACCAACCACACCAUUUCAGAACGAACUUUGCGCAAAAGUAAAUUGUCCAAUUUCUUGGACCAAUCGAUAUCGGAUUGAGUCCAAAACUUGGGGAACCUCAUAAUAUGGUGGGAGGAGUCAUUUGCUGGGAUUUGAGUGAAAUCCAAUGGCUACAACUAUGCAAUACACCAACCACUCCAUUUCAUAACGAACUUUGUACGAACCUGAAUUGUCCAAUUUCAUGGACCAAUGAUAUCGGAUAGAGUCCAAAACUUGGGAAACACCAUAAUAUGGUGGGAGGAGUCAUUUGGUGACUUUUGAGUGAAAUCCAAUGGCUAAAACUAUGCAAUACACCAACCACUCCAUUUCAGAACGAACUUCGUUUGAAACUGAAUUGUCAAAUUUCAUGGACCAAUCGAUAUCGGAUUGAGUCCAAAACUUGGGGAACCUCAUAAUAUGGUGGGAGGAGUCAUUUUGGGGCUUUUGAGUGAAAUACAAUUUCUACAACUAGGCAAUACACCAACCACUACAUUUCCGAACGAACUUCGUACGAACCUAAAUUGUGCAACUUCAUGGACCAAUCGAUAUCGAAUUGAGUCCGAAACUUGGGGAACAUCAUAAUAUUGUCGAAGGAGUCAUUUGGUGGGUUUUGUGAGAAAUCCAAUCUAUAGAACUAUGCAAUACAUCAACCACUCCAUUUCAUAACGAACUUUGUACGAACCUAAAUUGUCCAAUUUCAUGGACCAAUCGAUUUUGGAUUGGGUACAAAACUUGGGGAACAUCAUAAUAUGGUGGGAGGAGUCAUUUGGGGGCUUUUGAGUGAAAUCCAAUUUCUACAACUAGGCAAUACACCAACCACUACAUUUCCGAACGAACUUCGUACGAACCUAAAUUGUCCAACUUCAUGGACCAAGCGAUAUCGAAUUGAGUCCAAAACUUGGGGAACAUCGUAAUAUUGUCGAAGGAGUCAUUUGGUGGGUUUUGUGAGAAAUCCAAUCUCUAUAACUUUGCAAUACAUCUACCACUCCAUUUCAUAACGAACUUCGUACGAACCUAAAUUGUCCAAUUUCGUGGACCAAUCGAUUUCGGAUAGAGUCCAAAACUUGGGGAACAUCAUAAUAUGUUGGGAGGAGUCAUUUCGUGGUUUUUGAGAAAAAUCCAAUCUCUAUAACUAUCCAACACACCAACCACUCCAUUUCUGAAUGAAUUUCGUACGAACCUAAAUUGCCCAAUUUCAUGGACCAAUCGAUUUCGGAUUGUGUACAAAACUUGGGGAACAUCAUAAUAUGGUGGGAGGAGUCAUUUGGUGGGUUUUGAGUGAAAUCCAAUCUCUAGAACUAUGUAAUACAUCAACCACUCCAUUUCAUAACGAACUUCGUAUCAACCUGAAUUGUCCAAUUUCAUGGACCAAUCGAUAUCGGAUUGAGUACAAAACUUGAGGAACAUCAUAAUAUGGUGGGAGGAGUCAUUUGGUGACUUUUGAGUGAAAUCCAAUGGCUUAAACAAUGCAAUACACCAACCACUCCAUUUCAUAACGAACUUCGUACGAACCUGAAUUGUCCAAUUUCAUGGACCAAUCGAUAUCGGAUAGAGUCCAAAACUUGGGGAACAUCAUAAUAUGAUGGGAGGAGUCAUUUGGUGAGUUUUGAGUGAAAUCCAAAUUCCAAAACUUUGCAAUGCACCAACCACUUCGUUUCAGAACGAACUUCGUACGAACCUGAAUUGUGCAAUUUCACGAACCGAUCGAUAUCAGAUUGAGUGCAAAACUUGGGGCACAUCAUAAUAUAUGGUUGGAGGAGUGAUUUGGUGAGUUUUGAAUGAUAUCCAAUGGCUGAAACUAUGCAAUACACCAACCACUCCAUUUCACAACGAACUUCUAACGAACCUGAAUUGUCCAAUUUCAUGGACCAAUCGAUAUUGGAUUGAGUCCAAAACUUGGGGAACAUCAUAAUAUGAUUGGAGGAGUCAUUUGGUGGGUUCUGAGUGUAAUCCAAUGGCUAAAACUAUGCAAUACACCACCCACACCAUUUCAUAACGAACUUCGUACGAACCUAAAUUGUCCAAUUUCACGGACCAAUCGACAUCGGAUUGAGUCCAAAACUUGGGGAACAUCAUAAUCUGGUGGGAGGAGUCAGUUGGUGGAUUUUGAGUGAAAUUCAAUCUCUAGAACUAUGCAAUACACCAACCACAACAUUUAAAAACGAAAUUCGUACGAACCUGAACUGUCCAAUUUCAUGGACCAAUCGAUAUCGGAUUGAGUCCAAAACUUGGGGCACACCAUAAUAUGGUGGGAGGAGUCAUUUGGUGGGUUUUGAGUGGAAUCCAGUCUCUAGAACCUCGGAAUACACCAACCACAACAUUUCGUGACGAACUUAGUACGAACCUAAAUUGUCCAAUUUCGUGGACCAAUCGAUACCGGAUUGAGUCCAAAACUUGGGAAACAUCAUAAUAUGGUGGGAGGAGUCAUUUGGUGACUUUUGAGUGAAAUCCAAUGGCAAAAAGUACGCAAUGCACCAACUACUCCAUUUCGUAAUGAACUUCGUAUGAACCUGAAUUCUCCAGUUUCAUGGACCAAUCGAUAUUGGAUUGAGUCCACAACUUGGGGAACAUCUUAAUAUGGUGGGAGGAGUCAAUUGGUGACUCUUGAGUGAAAUCCAAUGGCUAAAACUAUGCAAUACACCAACCACUCUAUUUCAUAACGAACUUCGUACGAACCUGAAUUGUGAAAUUUCAUAGACCAAUCCAAAACUUGAGGAACAUCAUAAUAUGAUGGGAGGAGUCAUUUGGUGGGUUCUGAGUGAAAUCCAAUGGCAACAACUAUGCAAUGCACCUACCACUCCAUUUCAUAACGAACUUCGUACAAACUUGAAUUGUCCAAAUUCACGGACCAAUCGACAUCGGAUUGAGUACAAAACUUGGAGAACAUCAUAAUAUGGUGGGAGGAAUCAUUUGGAGGGUUUUGAGUGAAAUCUAAUCUCGACAACUGUGCAAUACACCAACCACUCCAUUUCAUAACGAACUUCGUACGAACCUAAAUUGUCCAAUUUCAUGGACCAAUCGAUAUCGGAUUGAGACCAAAACUUGCCGAACAUCAUAAUAUGAUGGGAGAAGUCAUUUGGUGGGUUCUUUGUGAAAUCCACUGGCUACAACUAUGCAAUACACCAACCACUCCAUUUCAUAACGAACAUCGUACGAACCUGAAUUGUCCAAUUUCGUUGGCCAAUCGAUAUUGAAUUUAGUCCAAAACUUGGGGAACAUCGUAAUUUGGUGGAAGGAGUCAUAGGAGUCAUUCGGUGGGUUUUGAGUGAAAUCCAAUGGCUAAUACUUUGAAAUAUACAAACCACUCCAUUUCAUAACGAACUUUGUACGAACCUAAAUUGUCCAAUUUCAUGGACCAAUCGAUAUCGGAUUGAGUCCAAAACUUGGGGAACAUCAAAAUAUGAUGGGAAAAGUCAUUUGGUGGGUUCUUUGUGAAAUCCAAUGGCUAGAACUAUGCAAUACACCAACUACUCCAUUUCAUAACGAACUUCUUACGAACCUGAAUUGUCCAAUUUCGUGGACCAAUCGAUAUCGGAUUGAGUCCAAAACUUGGGGAACACCAUAAUAUGGUGGGAGGAGUCAUUUGUUGGGUUUUGAGUGAAAUCCAAUCUCUAGAACUAUGCAAUACACCAACCACUCCAUUUCAGAACGAACUUCGUACGGACCUAAAUUGUCCUAUUUAGUAGACCAAUCGAUAUCGGACUGAGUCCAAAACUUGGGGAACAUCAUAAUAUGGUGGGAGGAGUCAUUUGGUGAGUUUUGAGCGAAAUCCAAUCUCUACAACUAUGCAAUACACCAACCACUCCACUUUUGAACGAAACUUCGUAAGAACCUGAAUUGUCCGAAUUCAUGGACCAAUCGAUAUCGGAUUGAGUACAAAACUUGGGGAACAACAUAAUAUGAUGGGAGGAGUCAUUUGGUGACUUUUGAGUGAAAUCCAAUGGCAAAAACUAUACAACACAUCAACCACUCCAUUUCAUAACGAACUUCGUACGAAAUUGAAUUGUCCAAUUUCAUAGACCAAUCGAUAUUGGAUUGAGUCCAAAACUUGGGGAACAUAAUAUGAUGGGUUGGAGUCAUUUGGUGAGUUUUAAAUGAAAUCCAAUGGCUAAAACCAUGCAAUACACCACCCACUCCAUUUCAUAACGAACUUCGUACGAACCUGAAUUCUCCAAUUUCAUGGACCAAUCGAUAUCGAAUUGAGUCCAAAACUUGGGGAACAUCAUAAUAUGGUGGGAGCAGUCAUUUGGCGGGUUAUGAGUGAAGUCCAAUCUCUAGAACUAUGCAAUACACCAACCACUCCGUUUCAGUACGAACUUCGUACGAACCUGAAUUGUCCGAUUUUAUGGACCAAUCGAUGUUGGAUUGUGUACAAAACUUGGGGAACAUCAUAAUAGGAUGGGAGGAGUCAUUUUGUGAGUUUUGCGUAAAAUCCAGUGGUUAAAACUACACAAUACACCACCCACUCCAUUUCAUAGCGAACUUCGUACGAACCUGAAUUGUCCAAUUUCGUGGACCAAUCAAUAUCGGAUUGAAUCCAAAACUUGGGGAACGUCAUAACAUGGUGGAAGGACUCAUUUGGUUUGUUUUGAGUGAGAUCCAAUCUCUAGAACUAUACAAUACAUCAACCACUCCAUUUCAGAGCGAACUUCAAACGAACCUGAAUUGCCCAAUUUCCUGGACCAAUCGAUUUCGAAUUGAGUUCAAAACUUGGGGAACAUCAUAAUGUUCUAGGAGUAAUCAUUUUGUGAGUUUUGAGUGAAAUCCAAUGGGCUAAAACAAUGCAGUACACCAACCACCCCAUUUCAGAACAAACUUCUUACGAACAUGAAUUGUCUGAUUUGAUGGACCAGUCGAUAUCGGAUUGAGUCCAAAACCCGGGGAAUAUCAUAAUAUAGUGGGAGGAGUCGUUUAGUUGGUUUUGAGUAAAAUCUACUCUCUAGAGCAAUACAAUACAACAACCACUCCAUUUCAAAACGAACUUCGUACGAACCUCAAUUUCCCAAUUUUGUGAACCAAUCGAUAUCGAAUUGAGGACAAAUCUUGGGGAACAUCAUAAUAUAGUGGGAGGAGUCAUUUGGUGGGUUUUGAGUGAAAUCCAAUCUCUAGAACUAUGCAAUACACCAACCACUCCAUUACAGAAAGAACUUCGUACGAACCUCAAUUGUCCAAUUUCAUGGACCAAUCGAUAUCGGAUUGAGUCGAAAACUUGGGAAACACCAUAAUAUGGUGGGAGGAGUCAUUUGGUGGGUUAUGAGUGAAGUCCAAUCUCUAGAACUAUGCAAUACACCAACCACUCCAUUUCAUAACGAACUUCUUACGAACCGGAAUUGUCCAAUUUCAUGGACCAAUCGAUAUCGGAUUGGGUCCAAAACUUGGGGAACAUCAUAAUAUGGUGGGAGGAGUCAUUUGGUGGGUUUUGAGUGAAAUCCAAUCUCCGCAACUAUGCAAUUCACCGACAACUCCGUUUAAGAACGAACUUCGUACGAACAUGAAUUGUCCAAUUUCAUGGACCAAUCGAUAUCGGAUUGAGUCCAAAACUUGGGGAACAUCGUAAUAUGGUCGGAGGAGUCAUUUUUGGGUUUUGAGUGAAAUCCAAUCUCCAGAACUAUGCAAUAUACCAACCACUCCAUUUCAUAACGAACUUCGUACGAACCAGAAUUGUCCAAUUUCGUGGACCAAUCGAUAUCGGAUUGAGUCCAAAACACGGGGAACGUUAUAAUAUCGUGGGAGGAGUCUGAUAGGAUUUUUAGUACUUGUGCAAACAGUGUUAAAAUCACAUAAAAUACUUGCAAGAAUACAAGGCUAUUGUAAUAUAGAUGCUCAUGCAAGGUCGUUUUCCUCAAGGACUAAUUAGCAAUUUAUGUAAAAACAAAUUCCAAAUAACUACUUAAAAUAAAAAGUCAAGAAAGAUGAUUAUGAAUUUGGUUGAUUCUAAAAACAAAUACGAUUGAAGGAAAGAGUUUUGAAUAUCAAUUUAUAAAAGCACUAGGGUUUCACCAUCACCUAGCAAUCCUAUGAACUUUUACCAAUUACUUAUGAUUUGCACAUGCCACUUUGAAGGUUAGGUUUUCCUAAUGUAUAUUCUACUUGGAACCUCCAACACAGAACGUAUAUCUAACAUGCAACCCGUCCGGACGUUCGGAUCAAAUCUGAACAUGAAAGAUGCAUUAAGUUUUGUGAAAACCCUUUGAAAAACCAUGCAACCCUUAAGACGUGGUAUUCAUCUUAAGUGAAAUUACAAUUAUUAAUCACAAGAAGCUAGCAUCAAUUUCAGGGAACCUUCCGACCAAAAUUGCAUCCAAUUACUUUUCUAAAGAUCCUAAUGGUGAUCAGGCAUUAAGACAGUUAGAUAGUUUAAAACAGUGAUUAACAAUUCAAGUAGGCAUGCACUCAUCAUAAGCAAUUAAAUAAAAAUCACAUAUUCAUGCUAAGGUUCAAGGCUUCACCCUAGCAAAAGAAAUUUAGUUACGCAUACUCAUAAUUGAAAUCCAAGAAAAUAUCAUUAAGAAGAAAAGAACGAAAACACCUGAAAGUUGUGAAAACCCAAAACCCUAGCAAUUGCUCUCCACAAUGCAAAGUUCAAAAGUGAAAAGGGAGUCCUAAAUUCCUUGUGAGAAAGAGCUUAAAUACCCCUUAAAACCUAGCUGCCAAUGUACAGCUUUUCUAUCACCACAAGGAAUCUAAUUAAAAUAAAUUAAUACUAGGAAAUAAAGUCCAAAUUGGAAUAGGAGAAUCUGCCCAAAAUCUGCCCAGCCACGUUUUGGCCCCAAAUCUCCUCAAAAUCUGGCCCAAGAUAGCUUGUUUUAAAGAUAAAAAUGUUCUGAACACUUCUCUAGAAGGCCACGAACCCAUCCGAGGUCAUGAACCCACCCACUCCAUUUCAUAUCGAAGUUCGUACGAACCUAAAUUGCCCAAUUUCAUGGACCAAUCGAUAUCGGAUUGUGUCAAAAACAUGGGGUACAUCAUAAUAUGGUGGGAGGAGUCAUUUGGUGGGUUUUGAGUGAAAUCCAAUCUCCGCAACUAUCCAAUUCACCGACAACUCCGUUUAAGAACGAAAUUCGUACGAACCUGAAUUGUCCAAUUUCAGGGAACAAUCGAUACCAGAUUGAGUCCAAAACUUGGGGAACAUCAUAAUAUGGUUGGAGGAGUCAUUUGGUGGGUUUUGAGUGAAAUCCAAUCUCUAGAACUAUGCAAUACACAAACCACUCCAUUUCAUAAUGAACUUUGUACGGAACUGAAUUGUCCAGUUUCUUUUACCAAUCGAUAUCGGAUAGAGUCCAAAACUUGGGGAACAUCAUAAUACGGUGGGAGGAGUCAUUUGGUGGGUUUUCAGUGAAGUCCAGUUUCUAGAACUAUGCAAUACGCCAAUCACUCCAUUUCAUAACGAACUUCGUACAAACCUGAAUUGUCCAAUUUCAUGGACCAAUCGAUCUCGGAUUGUGUCCAAAACAUGGGGAACAUCAUAAUAUGGUGGAAGGAGUUAUUUUGGUGACUUUUGAGUGAAAACCAAUUGCUAAAACUAUGCAAUACACCACCCACUCCAUUUCAUAACGAACUUCGUACGAACAUGAAUUAUCCAAUUUCAUGGACCAAUCGAUAUCGGAUUGAGUCCAAAACUUGGGGAACAUCAUAAUAUGAUGGGUGAUGUCAUUUGGUGGGUUUGAGUGAAAUCCAAUCUCUACAACUAUGCAAUACACCAACCACUGUAUUUUAGAAUGAACCUCGUACGACCAUAAAUUGUCCAAUUUCAUGGACCAAUCGAUAUCGGAUAGAGUCCAAAACUUGUGCAACACAAUAAUAUGAUGGGUGGAGUCGUUUGGUGAGUUUUGAAUGGAAUCCAAUCUCUAGAACUAUGCAAUACACCAGCCACUCCAUUUCAUAACGAACUUCGUAAGAACCUAAAUUUUCCAAUUUCAUGGACCAAUCGAUAUCGGAUUGUGUCCAAAACUUGGGGAACAUCAGAAUACGGUAGGAGGAGUCGUUUGGUGGGUUUUGAGUGAAAUCCAAUCUCUAGACCUAUGCAACACACCAACCACUCCAUUUCAUAACGAACUUCGUCCAAACCUGAAUUGUCCAAUUGCCGGGACCAAUCGAUAUUGGAUUAAGUCCAAAACUUGGGGAACAUCAUAAUAUGGUGGGAGCAGUCAUUUGGUGGGUUUUGAGUGAAAUCCAAUCUCUAGAAGUAUGCAAUACACCAACCACCACAUUUUAUACCGAACUUCGUACGAACCUGAAUUGUCCAAUUUCAUGGACCAAUCGAUAUCGGAUUGAGUCCAGAACUUGGGGAACAUCAUAAUAUGGUUGGAGGAGUCAUUUGGUGAAUUUUGAGGGAAAUCCAAUCUCUAGGCAAUACACCAACCACUCCAUUUCAGAACGAACUUCGUACAAAUUUAAAAUGUCCAAUUUCAUGGACCAAUCGAUAUCGGAUUGAGUCCAAAAGUUUGGGAACAUCAUAAUAUGGUGGGAGGAGUCAUUUGGUGGUUUUGAGUGAAAUCCAAUGGCUAAAAGUAUGCAAUACACCAACCACUCCAUUUCAGAAUGAACUUUGUACGAACCUAAAUUGUCCAAUUUCAUGGACCAAUCGACAUCGUAUUGAGUCCAAAACUUGGGGAACAUCAAAAUAUGGUGGGAGGAGUCAUUUGGUGGGUUGUGAGUGAAAUUCAAUCUCGAGAACUAUGCAAUAUACCAACCACUCCAUGUCAGAACGAAUUUCGUACGAACCUAAACUGUCCAAAUUCGUGGACCAAUCGAUAUCGGAUUGAGUCGAAAACUUUUGGAACAUCAUAAUAUGGUGGGAGGAGUCAUUUGGUGGGUUUUGAGUGAAAUCCAAUCUCUACAACUAUGCAAUACACCAACAACUCCAUUUCAUAACGAAGUUCGUAUGAACCUGAAUUGUCCAAUUUCGUGUACCAAUCGAUAUCUAAUUGAGUCCAAAACUUGGGGAACAUCAUAAUAUGGUGGGAGGAGUCUUUUGUUGAGUUUUGAGUGAAAUCUAAUCUCUAGAACUAUGCAAUACACCAACCACUCCAUUUCAGAACGAAUUUCGUACGAACCUAAACUGUCCAAAUUCGUGGACCAAUCGAUAUCGGAUUGAGUCGAAAACUUUUGGAACAUCAUAAUAUGGUGGGAGGAGUCAUUUGGUGGGUUUUGAGUGAAAUCCAAUCUCUACAACUAUGCAAUACACCAACAACUCCAUUUCAUAACGAAGUUCGUAUGAACCUGAAUUGUCCAAUUUCGUGUACCAAUCGAUAUCUAAUUGAGUCCAAAACUUGGGGAACAUCAUAAUAUGGUGGGAGGAGUCUUUUGUUGAGUUUUGAGUGAAAUCUAAUCUCUAGAACUAUGCAAUACACCAACCACUCCAUUUCAGAACGAACUUCGUACGAACCUAAAUUGUCCAAGUUCAUGGACCAAUCAAUAUCGGAUUUAGUCCAGAACAUGUGGAACAUCAUAAUAUGGUGGGAGGAGACAUUUGGUGGGUUUUGAGAGAAAUCCAGUCAAUACAACUAUGCAAUACACCAACAACUCCAUUUCAUAACGAACUUCGUCCGAACCUGAAUUGCCCAAUUUCAUGGACCAGUUGAUAUCGGAUUAAGUCCAAAACUUGGGGAACGUCAUAAUAUGGUGGGAGGAGUCAUUUGGUGGGUUUUGAGUGAAAUCUAAUCCCUAGAACUAUGCAAUACACCAACAACUCAAUUUCAUAACGAACUUUGUACGAACCUGAAUUGUCCAAUUUCAUGGACCAAUUGAUAUCGGAUUGAGUCCAAAACUUGGGGAACAUCAUCAUAUGACCGGACAAGUCAUUUGGUGGGUUCUGAGUGAAAUCCAAUGGCCACAACUAUGCAACACACCAACCACCCUAUUUCAUAAUGAACUUCGUACGAACCUGAAUUGUCUAAUUUCAUUGACCAAUCGAUAUCAGAUUGAGUCCAAAACUUGGGGAACCUCGUAAUAUGGUGGGAGGAGUAUUUGGUGUGAUUUGAGUGAAAUGCAAUUUCUAGAAAUAUGAAAUACACCAACCGCUCCAUUUCAGAACGAACGUCGUACAAACCUGAAUUGUCCAAUUUCAUGGACCAAUCGAUAUCGGAUUGAGUCCAAAACUUGGGGAACAUCAAAAUAUGGUGGGAGGCGUCAUUUGGUGAGUUUUGAGUGAAAUCCAAUCUCUACAACUAUGCACUACACCAACAACUCCAUUCCAUAACGAACUUCAUACGAACCUGAAUUGUCCAAUUUCAUGGACCAAUCGAUAUCAGAUUGAGUCCAAAACUUGGGGAACACCAUAAUAUGGUGGGAGGAGUCAUUUGCUGGGUUUUGAGUGAAACCCAAUCACUACAACUAUGCCAUACCCCAACCACUCCAUUUCAUAACGAACUUCGUAUGAACCUGAAUUGCCCAGAUUCAUGGACCAAUCGAUAUCGGAUUCAGUCCAAAACUUGGGGAACAUCAUAAUAUGGUGGAAAGAGUCAUUUGGUGGGUUUUGAGUGAAAUCCAAUCUCUACAACUAUGCAGUACACCAAGAACUCCAUUUCAUAACGAACUUCGUACGGACCUCAAUUGUCCAAUUUCAUGGACCAAUCGAUAUCGGAUUGAGUCCAAAACAUGGGGAACAUCAUAAUAUGGUGGGAAGAGUUAUUUGGUGGGUUUUGAGUGAAAUCCAAUCUCUAGAACUAUGCAAUACACCAACUACUCCAUUUCAUAACGACCUUCGUGCGAACCUGAAUUGCCCAGAUUCAUGGACCAAUCGAUAUCGGAUUAAGUCCAAAACUUCGGGAACAUCAUAAUAUCGUGGGAAGAGUCAUUUGGUGGGUUUUGAGUGAAAUCCAAUCUCUACAACUAUGCAAUACACCAACCACUGCAUUUCAUAACGAACUUAGUACGAACCUGAAUUGUCCAAUUUCAUGGACCAAUCGAUAUCGGAUUGAGUCCAAAACUUGGCGAACAUCAUAAUAUAGUGGGAGGAGUCAUUUGGUGAGUUCUGAGUGAAAUUCAAUCUCUACAACUAUGCAAUACACGAACCACUCCAUUUCAUAACGAACUUUGUACGAAGCUGAAUUGUCCAAUUGCAUGGACCAAUCGAUAUCGGAUUGAGUCCAAAACUUGGGGAACAUCAUAAUAUGGUGGGAGGAGUAAUUUGCUGGGUUUUGAGUGAAAUCAAAUCACUAGAACUAUGCAAUACACCAACCACUUCAUUUCAGAACGAACUUCGUAGGAACCAAAAUUCUCCAAUUUCAUGAACCAAUCGAUAUCGGAUUGAGUCCAAAACUUAGGGAACAUCAUAAUAUGGUGGGAGGAGUCAUUUGGUGAGUUUUGAGUGAAAUCCAGUCUCUACAACUAUGCAAUACACCAACCACUCCAUUUCAUAACGGACUUCGGACGAAACUGAAUUGUCCAAUUUCAAGGACCAAUCGAUAUCAGAUUGAGUCCAAAACUUGUGGAACAUCAUAAUAUGAUGGGUGAUGUCAUUUGGUGGGUUUUGAGUAAAAUUCAAUCUCUACAACUAUGCAAUACACCAACCACUCCAUUUCAUAACGAACUUCGCACGAACCUGAAUUGUCCAAUUUCAUGGACCAAUCGAUAUCGGAUUGAGUCCAAAAUCUGGGGAACAUCGUAAUAUGAUGGGUGGAGUCGUUUGGUGAGUUUUGAAUGAAAUCCAAUGGCUAAAACUAUGCAAUACACCAACCACUACAUUUCAGAACAAACUUCGUACGAACCUUAAUUGUCCAAUUUCAUUGACCAAUCGAUAUCGGAUUGAGUCCAAAACUUAGGGAACAACAUAAUGUGGUGGGAGGAGUCAUUUGGUAGGUGUUUAGUGAAUUCCAAUAUCUAGAACUAUGCAAUACACCAACCACUUCAUUGCAGAACGAACCUCUUACGAACCUAAAGUGUCCAAUUUCGUGGACCAAUCGAUAUCGGAUUGAGUCCAAAACUUGGGGAACAUCAUAAUAUGGUGGGAAGAGUCAUUUGGUGGGUUUUGAGUGAAUUCCAAUCUCUAGAACUAUGCAAUACACCAACCACUCCAUUUCAUAACGAAUUUCGUACAAACCUGAAUUGCCCAGAUUCAUGGACCAAUCGACAUCGGAUUGCGUCCAAAACUUGGGGAACAUCAUAAUAUGACGGGUGAUGUCAUUUGGUGGGUUUUGAGUGAAAUCCAAUCUCUACAACUAUGCAAUACACCAACCACUUCAUUUUAGAACGAACCUCGUACGAACAUAAAUUGUCCAAUUUCAUGGACCAAUCGAUAUCGGAAUGUGUCCAAAACUUGGGGAACAUCAUAAUAUGGUGGCAGGAGUCAUUUGGUGGGUUUUUAGUGAAAUCCAAUCUCUACAACUAUGCAAUACCCCAACCACUCCAUUUCAUAACGAACUUCGUACGAACCUGAAUUGUCCAAUUUCAUGGACCAAUUGAUAUCGGAUAGAGUCCAAAACUUGGGGAACAUCAUAAUAUGAUGGGUGAUGUCAUUUGGUGGGUUUGAGUGAAAUCCAAUCUCUACAACUAUGCAAUACAUCAACCACUUCAUUUUAGAAUGAACCUCGUACGACCAUAAAUUGUCCAAUUUCAUGGACCAAUCGAUAUCGGAUAGAGUCCAAAACUUGUGCAACACAAUAAUAUGAUGGGUGGAGUCGUUUGGUGAGUUUUGAAUGAAAUCCAAUCUCUAGAACUAUGCAAUACACCAGUGAUAACUCAUAUAUUUAUACAUUUAUACCAUCCAUUUCUAGUAUAUUUGUGAUGUUUUUGAGUUAAACUUGUUGCGUUUUAUCCUAUUUUGUGUUAGUAUGCAGUUGCAUAUACUUUAGGAUCAAGUUGAAGGCAAAAGAAAUGAAAACAUGCCAUUUUUGGAGCUGACCCUUAUUCAAACGUGGAAACAAGUUUCGUGACCUGUUUUGAAGUCCAAAUAAAGAAUCCAAGGCAAACCUGGCUUGUUUGAAGACUAAGAGCAGAAUGGGAAAGCAAUGGGGAUUUCUAGCCUGAUUUGGAGGUGCCAAAUAAGGCAAAAACGUGCAAAAUAAAGGCUGAUUCGUUAGGGUAUCUUUGGAACAUCUUGCAGCCUUGUUUACCCUAUAAAAACUUGCCUUUUAGCCACUUUUAAAACCCCUAUUUAUUUUGGACGAAUUUCACAACCCUAGACUGACUUCUUGGUUAUUCUCUCCUUUCAUGUACACUAAAACCCUAGCCGUCCAUAGAUUUCCACCAUCAGGACUCAGCGCAAGAGGUGGUUCUUGGAGAAGUUCAACAUCAGAAUUGGUUCAAGGGUUUCCUCUCAUGAAUUUAUUUUCACUCAUGUUGUUUAUUUUUGUUUUAAUCUCUUUGAACAUGAUGUGUAACUAAAUUCAUAGCUAGGGAUUUCGAUGUAGCCUUGCAACAUUGAUCCAUGUUUCUAAGUUAAAGUAUUCAAUUCAUCAAUCUGCUUCUUGUUUCAUUCACUGAAUCUAUUGUUCAAUUUGUUUGUCAAUUUUAAUGUUUGAUCACCAUUAGGGUUGCCUACAGAUUAUCUAGACAAGGUUAUAGUAAACAUCAUGCUUAAUCUUGGUAGACUUGUGAAUGAAUGAAGAGAAUGCUAUGCAAACAUCAUGCCGUGUGUUCUCUUUGGUUCUUUAAUGUUUUCUUGUAUGCUAAUGACUCUUAACUUGGAACCAAAGUUGAACAUUCCAAUUAGGUUGCAGAUUAGGUGAAUUUGAUCAAAACCACACAUCAUAUGGCUGAUCAUAUAUUUGUAAAACGAACUCUGGAAACAGGUUGGUAGUUGAGUACGGUUUAAUUUUAUAAACAUGGAAUUAGUUUUGCAAUGGUGAAUUCGAAAUCCCUAGUCUCAUCCCUAUUCUUUCUACAUCAAUAUAUUAUUCACUACUACAUUCUUCUUGCAUUUUAAGUUAUUUUUCAUUUACAACACAAAAACUACUUUCAAAUUGUCACUUUCAUUUUUAGUUAGGGUUCUUUCAAAACUAGUAAUUUAUAGAGGUCCAAUCGGUCUCUGUGGUUCGACACCCUUACUUGUACCAUUAUACUAACCAUAUAUUGGCACUUGGAAGGAAUAUAACAAACUUUUGGCGCCGUUGCCGGGGACUGAUUUCAGUCUUCUAUAAUUGCUUGUUCUCAAACCCUAAUUUCUUUUUAUUUUUGUUUCUCAGGUAGUAUAUGUCAGAUACACUUGCUGAGAUAGGCCAAAGACUUGAACGGUUAAAGAGCAACACUUUUGAGAAUUCUAUAUCAGCUAGUGCCCAUACUAGCAGUGUAGAAGAGGACAAUAGUUCUUCUACCCCAACGAGUGUAGAUUCUUUCGAUAACUCUAAUUCUGACAGAGAAGAAGAGAUGGCUGUCAAUAACGAUGACAACCGAGCUUUGGAAGAUUAUGCUCAACCGGUUAUACCAAAUUCCCCUUCGUGCAUCUUGCUGCCUAGUGAAGCUAGAAAUUAUGAUCUCAAAUCUUCACAUUUUCACAUGCUUCCUUCUUUUUAUGGUUUACCUAACGAAGAUCCAUUAGCCCAUAUUAAGGAAUUCUACAAUGUUGUGAGUGGUUUACCUUUGCAGGGAGUGACUGAAGCAAAUCUGAGGAUGAGGGUUUUUCCUUAUACAUUGAAAGAUAGAGCAAAGGGUUGGCUAAUGACUUUAGCACCUGGUUCGCUCACCACUUGGGAUGCCAUAGCUAAGAAAUUUUUGGAGAAGUUCUUCUCUACUCAAAAGACAGCUACUUUGAGAGGGCAAAUCUUUAACUUUAAACAAGAUGAUGGAGAACCUUUCAAUGAAUGUUGGGAGCGUUUCAAAGGGCUGUUGCUGCAAUGUCCACAUCAUGGGUUACCUCUUUACUUACAAAUGCAAAUUUUUUAUGAUGGACUAACCCAAACAUGUCAAUCGACUGUUGAUAAUGCAGCAGGUGGAGCUUUGAAAAAAAAAAAUGCUCAAGAGUCAUAUAACAUUUAUGAGAUGUUGGGAUCUAAUGCUCAACACAAAGAUACAAAGAGGUAAACGAGUUGGAGUGUAUGAAAUGAGUUCUAAUAAUGAUCUUGCCUUGCAGGUGGCUAGUUUGGAAAAGAAGCUCGAUUCUAUGAUCAAUAUGGUGCCUAAGAUAGCUGAGGUGUGUGCCAUUUGCAACAUACCAGGUCAUCCAACUUAUCAAUGCUCUGCUAGUUCGGCUUAUCCCGAAUUUGUUCAAGAGCAAGUGAAUCUCAUGAAUUCUUACAAUCAGAGGCCGAGGAAUGACCCGUUCUCUAAUACAUAUAACCCUGGUUGGAGAGAUCAUCCCAAUCUCUCAUGGAAGAAUAACAAUCAAUUUCAAAAUUUCCAACCAAAGCCUGCCACUACGCUUGAAGAUACUGUCAAAAUGCUAGCUCAAAACACCGUCCAAUUCCAGCAAACUACCAAUAGUACUCUCCAACAACAUUCAGCUGCUCUAACCAAAAUGGAGACACAAUUAGGUCAGAUUGCUGAUGCUUUGAGUCAAAGAGAACCCGGAAAAUUUCCAAGCCAACCGGUGAUACUUCAAAGGAACCAAGAGCAAGCCAAAGCGGUCAUAACACUUAGAAGUGGUAAGGUUAUUAAUAAUGGAGUUGGCAAUGAAGUUACUAAUGAAUCUGAUCAUGUGAAUGCAGGUCCUACUCAAGAAGAGAAUGAGAAACCGAAUGACGAUCCAAGCAAUGCCACUUCUUCGUUUGAAGCUCCAAAUUUUCACAAGGCUGAAAAACCUUACUCUCCACCCAUCCCAUUUCCGGGAAGACUUGCCAAAAGCAAGCAGGAUAAGUCAUUUAAAGAAAUUUUUGAUAUAUUAAGUAAAGUGAAUGUUAAUUUACCUUUGCUUGAUGUCAUUAGGAAUAUGCCAGCGUAUGGGAAAUUUUUCAAGGAGCUAAACACUUAUAAGAGGAAGUAUGGACCUAAUGAAAAGGUGAUGGUGUCUGAAAAUAUGAGUGCUGUGCUUCAAAGAAAGCUCCCACCAAAACUCAAGGAUCCGGGCAGUUUUUCUAUCAAUAUCACCAUUGGAGACAAGCUAGUUGAAAAGGCUAUGCUUGACUUGGGAGCUAGCAUCAAUUUAAUGCCUUAUUCAGUGUAUCUUCAAUUGGGUUUGGGGGGUUUGAAGGCAACAACUAUUUCAUUGCAACUUGCUGAUCGAUCAGUGAAAUAUCCAAGAGGUAUAGUGGAAGAUAUCUUAGUUCAAGUUGACAAACUAAUUUUGCCUGCUGAUUUUGUAGUGUUGGACAUGGAAGAGGCUCCUCUACAUGAUCAUGAGUUACCUAUUUUGCUUGGGAGACCCUUUAUGGCCACGGCAAAGACGAUCAUAGAUGUGCAAAAUGGUCUCCUCACCAUGACUGUGCUAGGAGAAACUGUACAAUUCAAAGUGUUUGAAUCUCUUUCUCACCCUUCUAGUUCAUUUGAUUGUUGUUCGAUUGAUGUGCUUGAUUCACUUGUUUUCUCUAAGUUUUUGCUGGCACAAUCCAAUGAUCCAUUACAAUAUGUUUUGAGUCAAUCUCAAAAUGACUUUGAUGAAGAAGUGCUCAUGGAGAUGGUGGCUGCCUUGGAAGCAUUAAAACAGUAUCCCUCUACUUUUUCACCUCUUAUAGAGCCAUUAGAACCAUCUGCCACACAUCUGAUCCCUUCUAUUGUUAAACCUCCAAAACUUGACCUUAAACAACUUCCAUCACAUCUAAAAUAUGCUUACCUAGCUGAGUUUGAAACUCUCCCAGUUAUAAUAGCAUCUGAUCUCACCCCUUUGGAAGAAGAUAAGCUAAUUAGGGUGCUAAAAGAGUUCAAAUCAGCCAUUGGUUGGUCUAUUGCAGAUAUCAAGGGAAUAAGCCCUACCAUGUGUAUGCAUCGAAUUUUAUUGGAGGAGGGAGCGAAACCAACUCGUGAACCACAAAGAAGGCUCAAUCCACACAUGAAGGAAGUAGUGAGAGAUGAAGUGCUGAAGUUGCUAGAUGUGGGUAUCAUAUACCCGAUUUCUGAUAGCAAAUGGGUCAGCGCUGUUCACGUAGUGCCUAAGAGGAUUGGAAUCACAGUGGUAAAAAAUGAGCAUAAAGAGCUUGUUCAAACGAGACCUGCAGCUAGUUGGCGUGUUUGCACCGAUUACAGGAAGUUGAAUUCAGACACUAGAAAAGAUUAUUUUCCUAUGCCUUUUAUUGAUCAAAUGCUUGAGCGAUUAGCUGGUCACUCAUAUUAUUGUUUUCUUGAUGGAUAUUCAGGUUAUAAUCAAAUUGUGAUUGCUCCGGAAGAUCAAGAGAAGACUACAUUCACCUGUCCUUUUGGCACUUUUGCAUAUAGGAGGAUGCCUUUUGGCCUUUGCAAUGCCCCAGCAACAUUCCAAAGAUGUAUGCUGGCAAUCUUUUCAGAUAUGAUUGAGAGAUUUAUUGAGGUAUUCAUGGACGAUUUUUCAGUUUUUGGUUCUUCUUUUGAUAAUUGUCUUAACCAUCUCUCUCUAGUGCUUCAAAGAUUUCAGGAAACAAAUUUGAUUCUCAAUUGGGAAAAGUGUCAAUUUAUGGUGAAACAAGGUGUUGUGUUGGGGCAUGUAAUAUCCAACAAGGGUAUUGAAGUUGACAAAGCAAAAAUUGACAUCAUCUCAAAUAUGGCAGCCCCUGCUUCAGUGAAGGGAGUGAGAAGCUUUCUAGGACAUGCUGGUUUUUAUCGUCGUUUCAUUAAGGAUUUUUCCAAGAUCACUCAUCCAUUGUGCAAUCUUUUGGCCAAAGAUGUUGUAUUUCACUUUGAUAAAGAUUGUAUGAAUGCAUUUAAUACCUUGAAACGUGAACUAACCUCCGCUCCUAUCAUUAUGGCACCAGAUUGGUCUUUGCCUUUUGAGCUAAUGUGUGAUGCCUCUGACUAUGCUAUUGGUGCUGUUUUAGGUCAAAGAGUAAAUAAGCUGCCACACGUAAUCUACUAUGCAAGUCGGACGUUAAACGAUGCUCAACUCAAUUACUCUACAACUGAGAAGGAGUUGCUUGCUGUUGUGUUUGGUUUAGAGAAAUUUCGUUCAUAUCUUGUUGGCUCUAAAGUUAUUGUUUACUCUGAUCAUGCAGCUCUUAGGUUUUUGUUGACCAAGAAAGAUGCUAAACCACGUUUGAUCAGAUGGAUACUCUUGUUUCAAGAGUUUGACCUAGAAAUUCGAGACAAGAAAGGGAGUGAAAAUGUUGUUGCUGAUCACUUGUCACGUCUUGUUGAUGAAAACCAUGGAGAUGGACAAAUUUUGCCUCUCAACGAAUGAUUCCCGGAUGAACAACUCUUUGUCAUUCAAGAUAAAGAGCCAUGGUAUGCUGAUUUUGUCAAUUAUCUUGCUUCUAGUGUAAUUAGAGAUGAUUUGACUUUUCAAGAGAGAGAGAAGUUCUUUUCAAUGGUGAAACACUACAUGUGGGAUGAGCCCUAUUUGUUCAAGUAUUGCCCUGACCAAAUCAUUCGAAGAUGUGCUCCAGAGAGUGAGCAGCAAAGCAUACUAACAUUCAGUCAUGCAUUGGGAUGCGGAGGUCAUUUCAGUGCCAAAAGACAGCUUUAAAGGUUUUACAAUCUGGUUUCUUUUGGCCUACAUUGUUUAAAGAUGCUUUUGAUUUUUGCUCUAAGUGUGAUAGGUGUCAGAAAAUGGGGAGCAUCAGUCGCAGGAACGAAAUGCCAUUAAACAACAUUUUAGUGGUAGAGCUGUUUGAUGUGUGGGGAAUUGACUUCAUGGGACCAUUCCCAUCUUCUUUUGGAUACAUAUACAUACUAGUGGCAGUAGAUUAUGUAUCAAAAUGGGUUGAGGCAACAGCUACACGAACUAAUGAUCACAAAGUUGUUUUGAAUUUUCUCAAAGAUAUGAUUUUCACUAGGUUAAGUUGUUUUGAAUUUUCUCAAAGAUAUGAUUUUCACUAGGUUUGGAACUCCGAGAGCUAUCAUUAGCGAUGGUGGCAGUCACUUCUGCAACAAACCUUUCGAGGCAUUGAUGAAGAAGUACAACAUCACACAUAAAGUGGCAACUCCAUACCAUCCUCAAACCUCUGGACAAGUGGAAAUCAGCAAUAGAGAAAUAAAGAACAUCUUGAUGAAAACCGUCGGCCCUACAAGAACAGCGUACAAGACCCCAAUUGGAAUGAGCCCUUAUCGACUGGUGUUUGGAAAGGCAUGUCAUCUGCCAAUGGAGCUCGAGCACCGUGCAUAUUGGGCCAUAAAGAAGUUCAAUUUUGAUCUCAAAGAAGCUGGUACAGUGAGGAAGUUCCAACUCAAUGAGUUGGAAGAGCUCAGAAAUGAAUCAUAUGAGAAUGCAAGGAUCUACAAAGAACGAACCAAGCUCUACCAUGACAAAGCAAUUCUUAGGAAGGAGUUUCAACCAGGUAUGAAAGUACUUUUGUAUGACUCACGUUUGCGACUGUUUCCAGGUAAAUUGAAGUCUAGAUGGGUUGGACCAUUCAAAGUGCUUCAGGUAUUUCCCCAUGGAGCUAUGGAGAUAGAAAACAUCAAGAAUGGCACCCGUUUUAAGGUCAAUGGACAGCGUUUGAAGCCUUAUUUGGAGAAUGUUUCACAGGAGCAGGUUUAUGUCGUUAUAGAUUCUCUCGAGUUUAUGGCAACUUAGACACACUAACAUGUCUUGCCUAGACAUUAAAUAAAGCGCUUGCUAGGAGGCAACCUAGCUGGGUUUGUGUUCUUUCCUUUUAUUUGUGUUACUUUUUAGUUGUUAUUUUAUUUCAUUCCAUACACACUGUGCCAAUUUGCAUUGCAUCCAUUCCAUUCAUUUUUUUAAAAAAGCAUCGAGGACAAUGCUUAGUUUAGGUUUGGGGGUGUGGGAUUUUCGUUUGUUUUUAGUUCUGGUUGAAGUUUGCUUUUGCUUACUAAUGUGAAUGUAUAUGAGGGCUAUGGUUUACAAUGAGGACUACUGUGAUGUCAUGAAAAAGUUCAUAUCAUAUUUUUUUUUUCAAAGCUGUUACUCUUGGAAUCAUGGUGGUUAAAGUAUCAUGCUCAAAUUCUAGAAGAAGAAUUGUGGAGACUACCCUAGUGAGUGAUUUUGAGCCUAUUUACUUCUUUGAGAGGGUUUAAAGUGUUUGUACUCCUAUCUUUUUGCUUCAAUGUCAUUUCAAAUUAUCUCAUUAUUUUUGUUUGAUUGAACGCUAAGAAUUGUUCGCUUUCGCAGAUACCAUGUGUUUGGUAACAUUCAUGAAUGAACUCAUUGAGACGAUGUUAGGCUAUGCAUGUCUUAACCACCAAAAGGCCUAAUUUCUUACCUUUAUGUGUGUGCCAUUACCCCAUUUUGAAGCCAAUCAUUUUUAGCCAUUUUCUUUUCUCACAUUUGUUUCCCCAUAUCCUUUUAUCUCAAUAUGAGAUAUUUAGCCCAUUACAGCUAUACCCUAUAGUUUGGGGAAUACCAAAGUGAUGAAGACAAAGAUAAUUCGAGCUCUACAUCAAGAAAGUGGUAUGUACCGAGGUAUGUGUGCUGGAAUUGUAGAAAAAAAGAAAGAAAAAAGAAACAAAGUUUUAGAAGAAGAAAAGAAAAGAAAAAGAAUCAAAGAGGAUGUAAUUUCUAAAUUCUUCCAUUAUCGCACGGGUCCUGGAUGCCACGAACAAACAACAAAGAUCAAUUCAAGAGGAGAGCUUGCUGCUUUCACAAGGAAGACACUUUGGUAUGUCCCAAGCUUUAGUAUUUCCUAUCCUUUCUUUCAUAGCCCCUGACCUAAGCCUUACAUUACACACCUUGUGAAAGACCUAGCUGAUCUUUGGGGAUGUAUUCAUGGGUGCUGCUAAGUAUGUGUGCUAUCCAUAUUCUUAGUGUUUAAUUCCUUUCAUGAGAUAUGUCCAGAAAUUGUGCUUUUAUUUCAUAUUUCAUAUGUGAGGAUUUUGAUUCCCUUUUACAUAACUUCACUCACAUAUGUUUGAGGAGAGACCACACCUUAGGAUCUGAGUGAAAAUUUGAGUGAUAUCUGUGAGGACUAGAGUUGAGGCGAUUUCUAUCUUUGGCAUUUGAGUAUGGUGUCUUUGAAGUCAUGGGACAUGAAGUAAUUAUUUUUUUUUUUACACUAUACUUAUGAUAUGAUUCUUUGAAGUGGCAAACUAGUGGUUCGAAUGUAUGACUAAGCUUUCAUUGGUUCUUAUUAGUUUGCUAUAAGUAUGCUUUAACCAAUUUGCUUGCAAGUAUGAAGAUGUUUGUGGGAGUCAUCACUGUAAACCCUCAGGAGACACAACUCCUCCUACUAGGGACACCUAGGGGUUUAAAGGCUUGUUGCACAUGCACAGUGCAAUCAUUUAACCUGCAAAAGUGGUCUAGUUAGAUUUUAUUGUCUUGUGUGUUUUUAGUUUCAGUUUUGCUCGAGGACUAGCAAAAAUCAGGUUUGGGGGUAUUUGAUAACUCAUAUAUUUAUACAUUUAUACCAUCCAUUUCUAGUAUAUUUGUGAUGUCUUUGAGUUAAACUUGUUGCGUUUUAUCCUAUUUUGUGUUAGUAUGCAGUUGCAUAUACUUUAGGAUCAAGUUGAAGGCAAAAGAAAUGAAAACAUGCCAUUUUUGGAGCUGACCCUUAUUCAAACGUGGAAACAAGUUUCGUGACCUGUUUUGAAGUCCAAAUAAAGAAUCCAAGGCGAACCUGGCUUGUUUGAAGACUAAGAGCAGAAUGGGAAAGCAAUGGGGAUUUCUAGCCUGAUUUGGAGGUGCCAAAUAAGGCAAAAACGUGCAAAAUAAAGGCUGAUUCGUUAGGGUAUCUUUGGAACAUCUUGCAGCCUUGUUUACCCUAUAAAAACUUGCCUUUUAGCCACUUUUAAAACCCCUAUUUAUUUUGGACGAAUUUCACAACCCUAGACUGACUUCUAGGUUAUUCUCUCCUUUCAUGUACACUAAAACCCUAGCCGUCCAUAGAUUUCCACCAUCAGGACUCAGCGCAAGAGGUGGUUCUUGGAGAAGUUCAACAUCAGAAUUGGUUCAAGGGUUUCCUCUCAUGAAUUUAUUUUCACUCAUGUUGUUUAUUUUUGUUUUAAUCUCUUUGAACAUGAUGUGUAACUAAAUUCAUAGCUAGGGAUUUCGAUGUAGCCUUGCAACAUUGAUCCAUGUUUCUAAGUUAAAGUAUUCAAUUCAUCAAUCUGCUUCUUGUUUCAUUCACUGAAUCUAUUGUUCAAUUUGUUUGUCAAUUUUAAUGUUUGAUCACCAUUAGGGUUGCCUACAGAUUAUCUAGACAAGGUUAUAGUAAACAUCAUGCUUAAUCUUGGUAGACUUGUGAAUGAAUGAAGAGAAUUCUAUGCAAACAUCAUGCCGUGUGUUCUCUUUGGUUCUUUAAUGUUUUCUUGUAUGCUAAUGACUCUUAACUUGGAACCAAAGUUGAACAUCCCAAUUAGGUUGCAGAUUAGGAGAAUUUGAUCAAAACCACACAUCAUAUGGCUGAUCAUAUAUUUGUAAAACGAACUCUGGAAACAGGUUGGUAGUUGAGUACGGUUUAAUUUUAUAAACAUGGAAUUAGUUUUGCAAUGGUGAAUUCGAAAUCCCUAGUCUCAUCCCUAUUCUUUCUACAUCAAUAUAUUAUUCACUACUACAUUCUUCUUGCAUUUUAAGUUAUUUUUCAUUUACAACACAAAAACUACUUUCAAAUUAUCACUUUCAUUUUUAGUUAGGGUUCUUUCAAAACUAGUAAUUUAUAGAGGUCCAAUCGGUCUCUGUGGUUCGACACCCUUACUUGUACCAUUAUACUAACCAUAUAUUUGCACUUGGAAGGAAAAUAACAACCAGCCACUCCAUUUCAUAACGAACUUCGUACGAACCUAAAUUUUCCAAUUUCAUGGACCAAUCGAUGUCGGAUUGAGUCCAAAACUUGGGGAACAUCAGAAUAUGGUAGGAGGAGUCGUUUGGUGGGUUUUGAGUGAAAUCCAAUCCCUACAACUAUGCAAUACCCCAACCACUCCAUUUCAUAACGAACUUCGUACGAACCUGAAUUGUCCAAUUUCAUGGACCAAUCGAUAUCGGAUAGAGUCCAAAACUUGGGGAACAUCAUAAUAUGAUGGGUGAUGUCAUUUGGUGGGUUUGAGUGAAAUCCAAUCUCUACAACUAUGCAAUACACCAACCACUUCAUUUUAGAAUGAACCUCGUACGACCAUAAAUUGUCCAAUUUCAUGGACCAAUCGAUAUCGGAUAGAGCCCAAAACUUGUGCAACACAAUAAUAUGAUGGGUGGAGUCGUUUGGUGAGUUUUGAAUGAAAUCCAAUCUCUAGAACUAUGCAAUACACCAGCCACUCCAUUUCAUAACGUACGAACCUAAAUUUUCCAAUUUCAUGGACCAAUCGAUAUCGGAUUGUGUCCAAAACUUGGGGACAUCAUAAAAUGGUGGCAGGAGUCAUUUGGUGGGUUUUGAGUGAAAUCCAAUCUCUACAACUAUGCAAUACACCAACCACUCCAUUUCAGAACGAACCACGUAUGAACCUGAAUUGUCCAAUUUCAUGGACCAAUCGAUAUCGGAUUGUGUCCAAAACUUGGGGACAUCAUAAAAUGGUGGCAGGAGUCAUUUGGUGGGUUUUGAGUGAAAUCCAAUCUCUACAACUAUGCAAUACACCAACCACUCCAUUUCAGAACGAACCACGUACGAACCUGAAUUGUCCAAUUUCAUGGACCAAUCAAUAUCGGAUUGAGUCCAAAACUUGGGGAACAUCAUAAUAUGGUGGGAGGAGUCAUUUGGUGGGUUUUGAGUGAAGUCCAAUCUCUAGAACUGUGCAAUACACCAACCACUCUAUUUCAUAACGAACUUCGUACGAACAUGAAUUGUCCAAUUUCAUGGACCAAUUGAUAUCGGAUUGAGUCCAAAACUUGUGGAACAUCAUAAUAUAGUUAGAGGAUUCAUUUGGUGGGUUUUUAGUGAAAGCUAAUAACAAAAACUAUGAAAUACACCAACCACUCCAUUAGAGAACAAACUUCGUACAAACAUGAAUAGUCCAAUUUCAUAGUUUUUGUGGGAGGAGUCAUUUGGUGGGAGGAGUCAUUUGGGGGGUUUUAAGUGAAAUCGAAUUACCAAAACUAUGCAAUACCCCAACCGCUCCGUUUUAGAACGAACUUCGUACGAACCUGAAUUGUCCGGUUUCAUGGACCAAUUGAUAUCAGAUUGUGUCCAAAACUUGGGGAACAUCAUAAUAUGGUGGGAGGAGUCAUUUGGUGAGUUUUGAGUGAAAUCCAAUGGCUAAAACUACGCUAUACACCAACCACUCCAUUUUAUAACGAACUUCGUUCGAACCUUAAUUGUCCAAUUUCAUGGACCAAUCGAUAUCGGAUUGAGUCCAAAACAUGGGGAACAUCAUAAUACAGUGGGAGGAGUCAUUUGGUAGGUUUUGGGUGAAAUCCAAUAGCAAAAACUAUGACAUGCACCAACCACUCCAUUAGGGAACGAACUUCGUACGAACAUGAAUAGUCCGAUUUCUUGGUCCAAUCGAUAUUGGAUUGAGUCCAAAACUUGGGGAACAUCAUAAUAUGGUGGGAAGAGUCAUUUGCUGAGUUUUGAGUCAAAUCCAAUGGCAAAAAACUACGCAAUACACCAACCACUCCAUUUUAUAACGAAUUUCGUACGAAGCUGAAUUAUCCAAUUGCAUGGACCAAUCGAUAUCGGAUUGAGUCCAAAACAUGGGGAACAUCAUAAUACAGUGGGAGGAGUCAUUUGGUAGGUUUUGGGUGAAAUCCAAUAGCAAAAACUAUGAAAUACACCAACCACUCCAUUAGAGAACGAACUUAGUAUGGACAUGAAUAGUUCAAUUCCUUGGACCAAUUGAUAUCGGAUUGAGCGCAAAACUCGGGGAACAUCGUAAUAUAAUGGGAGGAGUCCUUUGGUGAGUUUUGGGUGAAAUCCAAUGGCUAAAACUAUGCAAUACACCAACCACUCCGUUUCAUUACGAACUUCGUACGAACUUGAAUUGUCCGAUUUCAUGGAUGAAUUGAUAUCGGAUUGAGCCCAAAACAUGGCCAACAUCAUAAUAUUUCGGUUGGAGUCAUUUGGUGAGUUUUGAGUGAAAUCCAAUUGCUGAAACUAUGCAAUACACGAACCAGUCCAUUUACGGAACGAACUUCGUACGAAGUUGAAUUGGCCAAUUUCAUUGGGCAAUCGAUAUCUGAUUGAGCCCGAAACUUGGUCAACAUCAUAAUAUGGUGGAAGGACUCAUUUGGUGACUUUUGAAUGAAAUCCACUCGCUGGAACUAUGCAAUACACCAACCACUCCAUUUACGGAACGAACCUCGUACGACCUUGAAUUGUCCCAUUUCAUUGGGCAAUCGAUAUCGGAUUGAGCGCAAAAUUUGGUCAACAUCCUAAUAUGGUGGGAUGAGUCGUUUGGUGAGUUUUGAGUGAAAUCCAAUCUCUAAAACUAUGCAAUACAACAACCACUCCUGUUACGGAACGAAUUUCGUACGUACCUGAAUUAUCCGAUUUCUUGGUUCAAUCGAUAUCGGAUUGGGCACAAGACUUGGUCAACAUCAUAAUAUGGUGGGAGGAGUCAUUUGGUGAGUUUUAAGAGAAAUCCAAUCGCUGAGCCUAUGCAUUACACCAACAACUCCAUUUGGUGAACGAACUUCGUACGGACUUGAAUUGUCCUAUUUCUUGGUUCAAUCGAUAUCGGAUUGAGCCGAAAACUUGGUCAACAUCAUAAUAUGGUGGGAGGAGUCAUUUGGUGAUUUUUGAGAGAAAUCCAAUUGCUAAAACUAUGCAAUACACCAACCACUCCAUUUACGGAAUGAACUUCGUACGAACUUGAAUUGUCCCAUUUCAUGGGGCAAUCGAUAUCGGAUUGAGCCCAAAACUUGGACAACAUCAUAAUAUGGUGGGAGGAGUCAUUUGGUGAUUUUUUUGAGAAAUCCAAUCGCUAAAACUACGAAAUACACCAACAACUCCUUUUGAUGAAUGAACUUUGUACGCACUUGCAUUGCCCGAUUUCAUGGUUCAAUCGAUAUUGGACUGAGCCCAAAACUUGGUCAAUAUCAUAAUAUGGUGGGAGGAGUCAUUUGGUGAGUUUUGAGUGAAAUCCAAUCCCUAAAACUAUGCAGUACACCAACCACUCCAACUACGGAACGAACUUCGUACGAACCUGAAUUGUCCGACUUCUGGGUUAAUCAUUGAGCCCGAAACUUGGUCAACAUCAUAAUAUGGUGGGAGGAGUCCUUCGGUGAGUUUUGAGUGAAAUCCAAUCCCUAAAACUAUGCAGUACACCAACCACUCAAACAACGGAACGAACUUCGUACGAACCUGAAUUGUCCGACUUCUUGGUUCAAUCAUUGAGCCCGAAACUUGGUCAACAUCAUAAUAUGGUGGGAGGAGUCAUUUGGUGGGUUUUGAAUGAAAUCCAAUUGCCAAAACUAUGCAAUACAUCAACCACUCCAUUUCAUAACGAACUUUUUAUGAACCUGAACUGUCUGAUUUCAUGGACCAAUCGAUAUCGGAUUGAGUCAAAAACUGGGGGAACAUCAUAAUAUUUUGGGAGGAGUCAUUUGGGGGGAUUUGAGUGAAAUCCAAUGGCUAAAACUAUGCAGUACACCAACCACUCCAUUUCAUAAUGAACUUCGUACGAACCUGAAUUGUCCGACUUCAUGAACCAAUGGAUAUCGGUUUGAGUCCAAAACUCGGGGAACAUCGUAAUGUUGUGGGAGGAGUCAUUUUUUAAGUUUUGAGUGAAAUCCAAUGGCUAAAACGAUGCAAUACACCAACCACUCCAUUUCAGAACGAACUUCGUACGAACUGAAUUGUCCGAUUUCAUGGACCAAUCGAUAUCGGAUUGAGUCCAAAACUUAGGGAACAUCACAAUGUGGUGGGAGGACUCAUUUGGUGAGUUUUCAGUGGAAUCCAAUGCCUAAAACUAUGCAAUACACCAACCACGCCAUUGCGUAACAAAACUUCGUACGAACCGAAUUGUCCAAUUUCAUGGAUCAAUCGAUAUCGGAUUGAGUCCAAAACUUGGGGAACAUCAUAAUAUAGUGGGAGGAGUCAUUUGAUGGGUUUUGAGUGAAAUCCAAUCUCUACAACUAUACAAUACACCAACCACGCCAUUGCGUAAUAAACUUUGUAUGAACCUGAAUUGUCCAAUUUCAUGUAUCAAUCGAUAUCGGAUUGAGUCCAAAACUUGGGGAACAUCAUAAUAUGGUGGGAGGAGUCAUUUGAUGAGUUUUGAGUGAAAUCCAACGUCUAGAACUAUACAACAAAACAACCACUACAUUUCUUAACGAACUUCGUACGAACCUGAAUUGUCCAAUUUCGUGGACCAAUCGAUAUCGGAUUGAGUCCAAAACUUUGGGAACAUCCUAAUAUCGUGGGAGAAGUCAUUUGGUGGGUUUUGAGUGAAAUCCAAUCUCUACAACUAUACAAUACACCAACCACUCCAUUUCAGAACGAACUUCGUACGAACCUGAAUUGUCCAAUUUCAUAGACCAAUCGAUAUCGGAUUGAGUCCAAAACUUGGGGAACAUCAUAAUAUGGUGGGAGGAAUCAUUUGGUGAGUUUUGCGUGAAAUCCAAUAUCUAAAACUAUGCAAUUUACCAACCACUUCAUUUCAUAACGAACUUCAUACGAACCUGAAUUGUCCAAUUUAAUGGACCAAUCGAUAUAUGAUUGAGUCCAAAACUUGGGGAACAUCAUAAUAUCGUGGGAGUAGUCAUUUGGUGAGUUUUGAGUCAAAUCCAAUGACAGGACCCGACCCAAAUUCCCUUUUGUAAUCCGAGCCGAACCUUGUUCGUGAUAGACACCUGGCAGGUGCCGAGCACAAAUGACCUGGUUGCCCUUUUGGUUACAAACUUAAUUUCAUUUUAGCCUUGACUUCUACCAAAAAUUCGACAGUCUCCCCUGUAAUUUGUUCAAUCCCAAAAUUACACCUGUCAAAACAAGCAUAUAUACGCAACCCAACUUCCAGCAUGCAUAUAUAUAUACAAUCAACAGUAACGUUCGAGCCCAGGGGCAAUAUCAGAGCAUCUAUACAGAUUAAUUUACAAGAGGAACAUUUGGAGGGUCAAGGACCCUACACUAAGCUGAAGAGAUGCAGGAAGCGGAAACUGCCCUGUGGUGGCUUUCAGAUGCACGUGUACGCCCUGGGGGCGCAAAACAUUUAAAGGGUGAGUGGACCCAAAAACAAAGUUUUAAGAAAAAAAUAACAUAAGAACAUACUAACCCCACUGUAAUACUCAUAAUCAUCUUUAAACUCUUAAAAGCAUUGAAAUAAGUUUAAAACAACCACCUAGGUGUACCCCUUUAAUUCUGUCAAUUCUUGAUAUCCGUCAAUUCCUGAUAAUCCGUCAAUUCCCCUGGCAGGUCUCGGUGACACAAAGUCAACCCGAGCCACAAACUGGCAGGAUUCAGGGGACCGUAGUCAGACUGAUCCGCAUUCCUGGUUCCCACGGUCCGAGCGUCCCCGAAACUCGUGAGGCAAAUGUCAAGCGUGCUGACAAAACUGAAGGCAAACUGGAUGUCCGUGGACAUUGUCAUAUCCGAAGGCAACAUAUACCGAAGGCAACCUGUUUCUAUAACUGGGUACCUAUUGUGGCUUAAGAAAAUCUAAAAUCUCUGAAAAAUAUGAUAAAGAACUGAAUUUCUGUUAAAUCUAGAACUUUGCUGCCAUUUAUCUGUUAUUUAGCUAAAAUUUCCUAUAUCCAUAACGAAUGUCUCACUCGAUAGCAUGUGAAUUCAAAACAUUUAAAGGCAUAUAUGAACUAAUAAAACACUAAUAUUUGAAUAAAACUUAUUCAAUAUCAAAUACUGUAACUGAAUAGCAUAAAUUCAUUUAUGAAAACAAAGAGUCCACUCACAGCUGGUCCGAGCUCGCUGGACCUUUUGGAGGUCCCUCCUGCGGGUCAACUGGUGCCCGAGUGCAUUCAAUUACCACAAUAAUAUAUACAUUAAUAAAACUGCUGGAUAUAAAUAUGUAAAUAAAACCCUGACCCCCGGCUCCUAGAAGUGUGUGCUAAUUAAAGUUACUCAUAUGCCCACAUUAACGUUCCUUUAAAUCUAGGACACAAGUCCCAUGAGUCUGGUCUCAAACGGACGGUUGGUUUGGUCACAAAUGCACGAACAAAGGUUCGAACCCAUUGAACCCGGAAAUCACACAAGAUGCGAGAUUCGUUCAGGGUUCAAACGUUAUACAAAUUAAGAUCCGCGAAUUCCUACACGCUCUUGACAACACGAGGAUCAUUCUAGAAUAAAAACCUAACAUUGACGUGUUGAGCCUAUUCUUAACAACUAAAAUGAGUUAUUAAAAACAGCAACUUUAAUUCUCGCAAGUGCACGAACCGUUUAUAGUAUAGCUUAUGUAAAUACGAGGUCGAUCCCACGGAGAAUGGUAACUUGGUUCCAAGUUAAAUUACUUAGAAUGCUAGAAAAACAUAGAACAAAGAAACUGACUAACUAGCUAAAGGCAAGGUCGAAUUCAACAAUGCCUCUUGCUAAUUACUCAAGGUCUAGGACAGAAUCCUAGCACCACACACGCACUCGAAAUGAGGGGUUUUGUUGUUGAAAUGAAAACAAGAAAGUGAAAUGAAAGUGCUCGAAAGUAAACACUGGCAGCAAUCAACAAGUUGUGAAACAAUGAUUGAGAGGUGUUAGAGCCUUGGAAUCCACCACUAGUUUUCCUAUCCAAGUUAUGAAUGUAUAGAAAUUGACUCAAGCUUCAUUAACAAUAGAUUAUCACAUACAAGCCUAUGGUAUCUAGGUGCAGGAUGCAUGAUUCUCCUAAGGCAUGUGAUUAUGCAUGGUAUCUACACAACACGUGAUCUCUAAUAUGCAACCUAAGCAUGGUAUCUACUUAGAAUAAAGCAUACAAGAGUCAUUAAGCUCCUUGAGAAUAUGAUAAUCACACAAGUCCUAGAACAUGGUAUCUGUCCUAGUCAACCUAUGGUUAUUAACCCCUUGAAUGAUUCUUAGGCCAUUCAUGUGUUGCUUGUGAAAGGAGAGUAGAAUUGGUGAAUCUAAACCCCUUCCCAACCUGUGCUAGAUGCAUAAAAUCCUAGUUAGCUACUCCAAGAAAACAUACAUCAAGCACAUAAUAAACUAGAGAUUAACAACUUGAUAAUAAAAGCAAGGAAAUCAAUUAACUAUAAAAUCAUCCAUAACAUUGAAUAUUCAUGACUAGGGCUUCAUCCUAAGCCCUAACUAAAUGGAUUAGUUAGACAUAACUAUGAAUACAGAAAAUAAGAAAUACAUAGAUAGGAUAAAGAGAGGAGAAGAACUAGAUGAUGGCAACAAGGAAGAUCCCAGGACAGCUCCAAGCUCCCUUGACAGCUCCAAGCUCCCUUCUCUCUUUGUGGUGAAUCUGAAUGUGUGUAUGAGAGUAAUGGAUGAAGUGAAUGUGUGUGUCUGCCCUGCCUUCUUGAAUGAGUGUGCAACUCUCUAUUUAUAGAGUGCAAUUUCGUGCUCCCCUUUCGCUGGUGAAGCACACCUCUCUUAGCUGCUCCCAACUGCUCCAGCUGCCCAUACUUGCCAACUGCUCCAUCUGACAAAUACAUGCUUUGGUAUGGUUUCUUUAUGGAAAGCUUGACUUUUGUUCAUCUUUCUGAGCUUCUGAGAUGAUUUGACUCCCAUGUGUGGCUGCCCAUGUGUAGCACAUGGCUCUAGGGAUGUAGCCACAUUAAAUGUGAUGGCAGCCAACAUGACAUUUCUGUGAACUUGGUUCAGUAUUGUACAUGUUGAGGGCUCCAGAUUUAUCCAAUGGGGCUGAAAUUUGGAUAUGUUAUAAUAGACACCCAUUGGAACAACUUCUAUGAAGGAUGUCUCCUCAUCCGACCUGUGUGAGUUACUGAAAUAAGGCCUGCAAGAUGACCUACGAAACUGGACUGACAAGGAGUGUGGCACAAAUUGGUUUUGUCUUUAAGCUCAUAUUCCUCUUGUGCCACUCAGCCCUUAACAUGCAUGAAUUGUAUCAAAUGUCAUCCCCUUGCUGUCUUAACCUACAAAGCACACAAACAUAGGUAAGAGAAUCAAAAUAAAGAGAAGCUAACAAAAUUACUAAGGAAAGAAGGCAUGUAAAUGUGUGAAAUUAUGAGCUUAUCAUGACGCUCUGCCACACGCCGCCACCGCCAGCGGGUGCAUUGAGCAAUUUUUCGGCGAUCGGAAAACUCCAAACCGCCAGCCAAUAAUCACACCUACAGAUGAAGCACAUCAAGGGGAGUAAUUUUAUACCUUGGCUCGACGAUCAAUUCAAACUUUAAAGCCCUCGAACGAAGCUUUCUGUCUCUUGAAAAACCUAAAAAAAAUUAGUUUCAAAAUCAAAGAAAUUGGAAUGGAUUCACGUUGUGUUUUCAAGGAAAAACACAAAGGGAAGGUAGGAGAGUAGUUUGGGUGCACUUACAUGAGCUAUGGCAGCUGGAAUCCGCCAGAAAAUACCUCGAAAUUUCUGGGUUCGAAGCUGCCCGUUUUUGGGUUCAAUUUUGGCUCGAUUUUCUGGUUGAUUCGCUUGGAAUCAAGGUUGGAUAUGGGUAUGUAUGGGAAGAGGAGAGAGAGGCGAAGACUUUGCAGGUUGUGGCACUCGAUUUGGUGGCCAGACGGAGGAGAAAUGGUUGUCUGAAAUGGCUAUUCGAAACAUUCCCGAGAGGAAGAAGAAAUCUAGGUUUAAAAAUUCUAAACUUCGAAAAAUUUACGUUUGUGCCACUGAACUUCUUUUGAUCGUAACUUCUUCGUUACAACUCCGAUUUGAGCCCACUACGUGUCUACAGACUCAUCUAGACGUGCUCUACGUAAGAUACAAGUGGAAAGGUCAAAUUCUUUCUCGGUCAAAAAGUCAACUUUUCCUUUACUAGAAUAUUCUAAGGGCAAAAGUGUCAUUUCCGCUUAAUAGUUUACUAGUUAAAUAUUAAUUAAGGUUUGGGUUAUUACAUCCAAUGCCCAAAACUAUACAAUAAAACAACCACUGCAUUUCAGAACGAACUUCGUACGAACCUGAAUUGUCCGAUUUCAUGGACCAAUCGAUAUCGGAUUGAGUCCAAAACUUGGGGAACAUCAUAAUAUAGUGGGAGGAGUCAUUUGGUUGGUUUUGAGUGAAAUCUAAUCUCUAGAGCAAUACAAUACACCAACCACUUCACUUCGUCACGAACUUCGUACGAAAAUAAAUUUCUCAAUUUUGUGGACCAAUCGAUAUCGGAUUGAGGCCAAAACUUAGGGAACAUCAUAAUAUAGUGGGAGGAGUCAUUUGGUGGGUUUUUAGUGAAAUCCAAUCUCUACAACUAUGCAAUACACCAACCACUCUAUUACAGAAAGAACUUCAUACGAACCUUAAUUGUCCAAUUUCAUGGAACAAACGAUAUCGGAUUGAGUCCAAAACUUGGGGAACAUCAUAAUGUUGUGGGAGGAGUCAUUUGGUGAGUUUUGAGUGAAAUCCAAUUGCCAAAACUAUGCAAUAUACCAACCAAUCCAUUUCAGAACGAACUUCGUACGAACUUGAAUUGUCCGAUUUCAUGAACCAAUCGAUAUCGGAUUGAGUCGAAAACUUGGGGAACGUCAUCAUAUUGUGGGAGGAGUCAUUUGGUGGGUUUUGGAGUGAUAUCCAAUCCCUAGAACUAUGCAAUACACCAACCACUCCAUUUCAGAACGAACUUCGUACGAACCUGAAUUGUCCAAUUUCAUGGACCUAUCGAUAUCGGAUUGAGUCCAAAACUUGGGGAACAUCAUAAUAUAGUGGGAGGAGUCAUUUGGUUGGUUUUGGGUGAAAUCUAAUCUCUAGAGCAAUACAAUACACCAAACACUCCAUUUCGUCACGAACUUCGUACGAACCUGAAUUUCCCAAUUUUGUGGAACAAUAGAUAUCGGAUUGAAUCCAAAACUUGCGGAACAUCAUAAUAUAGUGGGAGGAGUCAUUUGGUGGGUUUUGAGAGAAAUCCAAUCUUUAGAACUAUGCAAUACACCAACCACUCCAUUAUAGAAAGAACUUCAUACGAACCUUAAUUGUCCAAUUUCAUGGAACAAACGAUAUCGGAUUGAGUCCAAAACUUGGGGAACAUCAUAAUGUUGUGGGAGGAGCCAUUUGGUGGGUUUUGAGAGAAAUUCAACCUCUAGAACUAUACAACACAUAAACCACCACAUUUCAGAACGAACUUCGUACGAACCUAAACUGUCCAAUUUAAUUGACCAAUCUAUAUCGGAUUUGGUCCAAAACUUGGGGAACAUCAUAAUAUGGUCGGAGGAAUCAUUUGGUGAGUUUUGAGUGAAAUCCAUUGGCUAAAACAAUGCAAUACACCAACCACUCCAUUUCAUAACAAAUUUCGUACGAACCUGAAUUGUCCAUUUUCAUGGACCAAUCGAUAUCGGAUUGAGUCCAAAGCUUGGAGAACAUCAUAAUAUUGUGGGAGGAGUCAUUUGGUGGGUUUUGGACUGAAAUCCAAUCCCUAGAACUAUGCAAUAUCCCAACCACUCCAUUUCAGAACGAACUUCCUUCAAACCUUGAUUGUCCAAUUUCAAGGACCAAUCGAUAUUGGAUUGAGCCCAAAACCUGGGGAACAUCAUAAUAUCGUGGGAGGUGUCAUUUGGUGGGUUUUGAGAGAAAUCCAAUCUCUAGAACUUUGCAAUACACCAACUACUCCAUUCAAAACGAACUUCUUACGAACCUGAAUUGUCCAAUUUCACGGACCAAUCAAUAUCGGUUUGAGUCCAAAACCUGGGGAACAUCAUAAUAUGGUGGUAGGUGUCAUUUGGUGGGUUUUGAGUGAGAUCGAAUCUCUAGAACUAUGCAAUACCCCAACCACUCGAUUUAAGAACGAACUUCAUACGAACCUUAACUGUCCAAUUUCAUUGGCGAAUCGAUAUCGGUUUGAGUCCAAAACCUGGGGAACAUCAUAAUAUGGUGGUAGGUGUCAUUUGGUGGGUUUUGAGUGAAAUCGAAUCUCUAGAACUAUGCAAUACCCCAACCACUCCAGUUAAGAACGAACUUCAUACAAACCUUAACUGUCCAAUUUCAUGGGCGAAUCGAUAUAGGAUUGAGUCCAAAACUUGGGGAACAUCAUAAUAUGGUGGGAGGAGUCAUUUGGGGCGUUAUGAGUACAAUCCAAUCACCGAAACUAUGCAAUACACCAACAACUCCAUUUCAUAACGAACUUCGUACGAACCUGAAUUGUCCAAUUUCAUGGUCCAAUCGAUAUCAGAUUGAGUCCAAAACUUGGGGAACACCACCAUAUGGUGGGAGGAGUCGCAUGGUGACUUUUGACUGAAAUCCAAUGGCCAAAACUAUGCAUUAGACCAACCAUUCCAUUUCAUAAUGAACUUCGUACGAACCUGAAUUGUCCAAUUUUAGGGACCGACGAUAUCGGAUUUAGUCUAAAACUUGGGGAACAUCAUAAUGUGAUGGGAGAUUUGGUGGGUUCUGAGUGAAAUCCAAUGGCUACAACUAUGCAAUACACCAACCAAUAAAUUUCAUAACGAACUUCGUACGAAUCUGAAUUGUCCAAUUUCAUGGACCAAUAGAUAUCGGAUUGAGUACAAAACUUGGGAAACAUCAUAAUAUGAUGGGUGUAGUCAUUUGGUGAGUUUUGAAUGAAAUCCAGUGGCUAAAACUAAGCAUUACACCACCCACUGCAGUUCAUAAUGAACUUCGUGUGAACCUGAAUUGUCCCAUUUCAUGGAUCAAUCAAUAUCGAACUGAGUCCAAAACUUGGGGAACAUCAUAAUAUGGUGGGAGGAGUCAUUUGGUGGGUUUUUAGUGAAAUCCAAUGGCUAAAACUUUGAAAUACACAAACCACUCCAUUUCAUAACAAACUUCGUACGAACCUGAAUUGUCCAAUUUCUUGGACCAAUAGAUAUCGGAUUGAGUCCAAAACUUGGGGAACAUUAUAAUAUGGUUGCAGGAGUCAUUUGGUGGGGUUUGAGUGAAAUCCAAUCUCUAGAACUAUGCAAUACUGUACCAGUCCAUUUCAGAACGAACUUCGUACGAACCUAAAUGUUCCAAUUUCAUGGACCAAUCGAUAUCGGAUGGAGUCCAAAACUUGGGGAACAUCAUAUUAUGGUGGGAGGAGUCAUUCGGUGGGUUUUGAGUGAAAUCCAAUCUGUACAACUAUGCAAUACACCAACCACUCCAUUUCAUCACGAACUUCGUGUGAACCUGAAUUGUCCAAUUUCAUGGAACAAUUGAUAUCGGAUUGAGUCCAAAACAUGGGGAACGUCAUAAUUUGGUGGGAGGAGUCAUUUGGUGGGUUUUGAGUCAAAUCCAAUGGCAAAAACUUUGAAAUACGCAAACCACUCCAUUUCAGAACGAACUUCGUACGAACCUGAAUUGUCCAAUUUCAUGGACCAAUCGAUAUCGGAUUGAGUCCAAAACUCGGAGAACAUCAUAAUAUGGUGGGAGGAGUCAUCUGGUGGGUUUUGAGUGAAAUCAAUCUCUAGAACAAUGCAAUACACCAACCACUCCAUUUCAUAUUGAACUUCGUACGAACCUGAAUUGUCCAAUUUCAUGGACCAAUCGAUAUUGGAUUGAGUCCAAAACUUGGGGAACAUCAUAAUAUGGUGGGAGGAGUCAUUUGGUGACUUUUGAGUAGAAUCCAAUGGCUAAAACUAUGCAAUAUACCAACCACUCCAUUUCAUCACAAACUUCGUACGAACCUGAAUUGUCCCAUUUCAUGGACCCAUCGAUAUCGGAUUGAGUAAAAAACUUGGGGAACAUCAUAAUAUGAUGGGUGCAGUCAUUUGGUGAGUUUUGAGUGAAAUCCAGUGGCUAAAACUAUGCAAUACACCACCCACUCCAUUACAUCACGAAGUUCGUACAAACCUGAAUUGUCCCAUUUCAUGGAUCAAUCGAUAUUGGACUGAGUCCAAAACUUGGGGAACAUCAUAAUAUGAGGGGUGGAGUCAUUUGGUGUGUUUUGUGUGAAAUCCAAUCUCUACAACUAUGCAAUACACCAACCACCCCAUUUCAUAACGAACUUCGUACGAACCUGAAUUGUCCAAUUUCAUGGACCAAUUGAUAUCGGCUUGAGUCCAAAACUUGGGGAACGUCAUAAUAUGGUGGGAGGAGUCAUUUGGUGACUUUUGAGUGAAAUACCAUGGCUAAAACUACGCAAUACAUUGAGAAGGUCAUAAUUUCACACAUUUGCGUGCCUUCUUUGCUUAGUAUUUUUGUUUAGCUUCUCUUUAUUUUGAGUCUCGUACCUAUGUUUGUGUGUUUUGUAGGUUAAGACAGCAAGGGGAUGACAUUUGAUACAAUUCAUGCAUGUUAAGGGCUGAGUGGCACAAGAGGAAUAUGAGCUUAAAGACAAAACCAAUUUGAGCCACACUCCUUGUCAGUCCAGUUUCGUAGGUCAUCUUUCGGACAUCAUUUCAGCAACUUACACAGGUCGGAUGAGGAGACAUCCUUGAUAGAAGUUGUUCCAAUGGGUGUCGAUUAUAACAUAUCCAAAUUUCAGCCGAAUUGGAUAAAUCUGGAGCCCUCAGCACGUCAAUGACUGAACCAAGUUCACAGAAAUGUCAUGUUGGCUGCCAUCACAUUUAAUGUGGCUACAUCCCUAGAGCCAAGUGCUACACAUGGGCAGCCACACAUGGGAGUCAAAUCAGCUCAUAAGCGCAAAAAGAUGAACAAAAUUCAAGCUUUCCAUAAAGAAACCAUACCAAAACAUGUAUUUGUCAGCUGGAGCAGUUGGCAAGUAUGUCAGCUGGAGCAGUUGGCAAGUAUGGGCAGCUGGAGCAGUUGGGAGCAGAUAAGAGAGGUGUGCUUCACCAGCCAAAGGGAGGACAAAAUUGCACUCUAUAAAUAGAGAGCUGCACACUCAUUCAAGAGAAGGGUCAGACACACACAUUCACAUCAUCCAUUACUCUCAUAUACACAUUCAGAUUCACCACAAAGAGAGAAGGGAGCAUGGAGCUGUCCUGGGAACUUCCUUGCUGCCAUCAUCUAGUUCUUCUCCUCUCUUUAUCCUAUCUAUGUAUUUCUUAUUUUAUGUAUUCAUAGUUAUGUCUAACUAAUCCAUUUAGUUAGGGCUUAGGAUGAAGCCCUAGUCAUGAAUAUUCAAUGUUAUGGAUGAUUUUAUAGUUAAUUGAUUUCCUUGCUUUUAUUAUCAAGUUGUUAAUCUCCAGUUUAUUAUGUGCUUGAUGUAUGUUUUCUUGGAGUAGCUAACUAGGAUUUUAUGCAUCUAGCACAGGUUGGGAAAGGGUUUAGAUUCACCAAUUAUACUCUCCUUUCACAAGCAACACAUCAAUGGCCUAAGAAUCAUUCAAGGGGUUAAUAACCAUAGGUUGACUAGGACAGAUACCAUGUUCUAGGACUUGUGUGAUUAUCAUAUUCUCAAGGAGCUUAAUGACUCUUGUAUGCUUUAUUCUAAGUAAAUACCAUGCUUAGGUUGCAUAUUAGAGAUCACGUGUUGUGUAGGAGAAUCUUGCAUCCUGCACCUAGAUACCAUAGGCUUGUAUGCGAUCAUCUAUUGUUGAUGAAGCUUGAGUCAAUUUCUAUGCAUUCAUAACUUGGAUAGGAAAACUAGUGGUGGAUUCCAAGGCUCUAACACCUCUCAAUCAUUGUAGAGUGAGGUUUGUGUAGAUGCAGUAUGGUAGAGUGAGUGCUUAUGUAUCUCAACAACGGAAGAAGUAUAAAUCGAAGCAUUCUAUUUAUGAUUUGGAACAGGCCACAGUAAGUCUGGCUUAGUAAGGUUGGUGGCCGUCUUUUAUGAAGAAUUAUGCAAGAUCCUUACAGAUCAUAAGAGGUUACCAAAUUUCUUUAUACAAGAAGAAGAAAACUUGAGACGGAGAAAAUGGUCAGAGGAUAUAGAUACACUCAGUAUGGAAUUCUCAGGAAGAAGUGGCUUAUCUCCGAAGGAGAUGGAUUAUCAGUGAUAGUAAGACAAAAAGUUGAGUUGGAUACGAAUAAUCAGAAAGCACUAUUAAUGACUUGUCAAGGAAAAUCAGUACUAAUGAACUCGAAUAUUUGCAGGUUAAUUUCAGGAUCCUGAUUUGAUUCCUACGAGUAAAAGGUUGAAUUAUAUGACAUGAAAAGCAAAGGUUCAAAAUAGAGAUCUUACAAGGAGCUUCUUAUGAUGAAAGGAACAAUAGAACUUAGCAGCAAGGAAUAGCCCCGCGACAAGAAUCAACAAGGUUCUUGCAAUCACUUUCGAGUUCUGAAAGGAAGCAGGAGGAGCUUACGAUGGAUUUUGUGUUCAGCCUCCUUGAACAUAGAGGAAGCAGGGUGGGGUGUAGGAAAUUACGGAUCGAUUUAGUAAGUCUGUAUAUGUUCCGCAGGUGAGAACCGAGUAUAGUCUGAACAAACUGGUAAGAAUUUUCAUAGAUAAAGUCUUACGACGCUAUGGAAUACCAGUCCCUACGGUUUAGAUCAAGAAAUCCAGGCUAUGUUCCAGUCGGACUCAGCUAAAAGAAGCUUUUGGGCCUUGAUUAUAGUUUAAUACCGCAAUUCACUCUAGACAGAUGACCAUCUUAAGAAAAUGACUCAAAUUGUGGAAAGGUUAUUGAGAUAUAAUCUACUACAGUUUCAGAAUGAUUUGAGUGAAAAGAUGCUGGUUUGGGAGUAUGCCUUAAGUGACAGUUGUUGGAUUUCCUCGGAUUACAAAUCUAAAAUUUGCUAUUGGUAUCUAUAACUGAGAUGUUUCCAAUAGAUGCCUUACACGAGGCAUAGUAUGGAUCACCCAAGUAUGAAGAUGGAAUGUUAAGCAAGGUUCAUUGAAAUCUGAAAGUAUUGUAGGAAAUAAAGAACCUGUUUGGAUUAAGCAGAAAAAGACUCAAGUAACCCAGGAUUGGCAAGAAAUUAUGCAGAUACUAGAAGAAGGAUCUUCAAUUAAGUAUUUUCGAUAUUUAUCGCCUGAGGAAGGUGAAAUGAGAUUUAAGGAAGCAAGGGAGCCAAAUCCUAGAUGUAUCGGACCCAAUGAGAAUAUAGAAUGUGUGGGAAACAAGCGGUUCAGAUUGAAAUAGAAAGUGUCCAGCUUUUAGUAACACAUGCUGUGUAAUAACUUAAGUUGCAGAUAUAGGUGCAGUCCUUCCCCCUCUUUAAACGACAAGGAGGUAAAUUUCGAGGACGAAAUUUUUAUAAGGGGGGUAGAUUGUAAUAACCCAAAACAAAAUAUCUAAAAAGAAAUAAAAUAUCUAAAAAGUAAGGAUAAUAUCUUCUAGUAAAAAGACUAUUUUGCCCUCGCAUUAUUUAAUAGGGGGAAAAUUGACUUUUUGAUCGAGAAAGAAUUUGGCAAUUCCGCUUAUGCCGUUGCGUAGAGCACGGCGAAACGAGUUCAUAGACACGGAGUAAACCCGAAUCGGAGCUGUAACAAAGAAGAUAUGGUCUAAAUACCGCGAAGGGCAAAACGGUAAUUUGGAAAAAAGUCAGAUUUUUAUCCCUUCUCUCUCCUCUCCCCCGUCAGUUUUCUCUCUCUCUCCUCUCUCCCUCUCCCGUCGCACCCAGCUGUGCGAUGCUUCGACGUCUAGGCGACGGUCCGGCCACCACAGGCCGAGCUGAUCUCCGCCGUGGGCACCGUCGGCUCCACCUCCCUCUCGCCGUCACGACUUGACCAUCAUCCACCCUUGGGUCGCCCGGAGUUGAUCGGAAAGUCAUGAUUUCCGACGGAUGUUCACCCGAGUUCACCCGAUCUUCCAGCUCGAAUUUCUCCUUCGUUUCUCCACCAAAUCAAUCGAGUAAGGUAUGGUUUCUCAGCUAUUUUUCGUGUUCUAGCUGAUGGAUGUAUGGGUUUCGAUCGAUUUUAGCUCUAAAGCGAUCAAUUUUCGACUUGAAUUCUGGCCGAAACUUCGGCCGCCGAGAUCUACUGUUUAUGGUCACUUUUUGGGGUAUGUCCAAGAACAAAACUGACUCCAAAUGGGGUUUUUUACCCAGGAUAGGAGUUUGGAGUCUUAGUUCCGAGAUUUUUCUGCCACCCGGUAUCGCUUUAGACACCCGAUUCUGCCCGCGCGUGCUGGGGCGCGUGGGCGAGGGUGGUGAAGUAAUUCUGUGCAGUUUUGUGAUCCUCGUGUCGUCACGAGCGCGUAGGAUUUCGCGGAUCUCGAUUCGGAGUCCGUUUGAGCCCCGAACGGAUUUUCCAUAUCGUGCGAUCCGUGGGUGCAGUGUCGUCAAAUCGUCGGAUCACGCUGAAUUUUGGAUAUGUCGGUCUACAUGAUUUCAGGAUCGUGUAGGAUUCGACGGAUUGCGAAUCGGAGUCCCGGAUACUCCGAAAUCGCGAACCCUGGGGCUAGGGUUUAGAUUUUAAGCGAUAACGCGAUUUUGGCUAAUCCGACCAUCCGUUUCGGACCAAACUCGCAGAACAUGGUUCCUUCUCUGUAAGGAACCUUCAGAGGAGCCCAGAUUGGCCAUCGGAGACCGCAAACCCACGGGGUCCCGGAUCAGCCGAUCUGGAUGUUUAUCGCUUAGUAAGGCUUCGGGUCUUUUAAGGCCGUUCUAACUGUCUAAAAAGCUAAUGUCGGCAUAAGAGUACUUUAAAAUGAGUGCACGUAUUUCUAGAAGCCGGGGGCAGGGUGUUUAAUUUAAUUCUUUUUAUUCAGCAGUUUAUUGAUUUAUUAUUCAUGGAUAAUCAGGCACCAGAGGUUCAGUCGACCUGCAGGAGGGACCUUCGAGGGGUCCAAUUAGCUCGGACCAUCAGUGAGUGGACUUUCUUUCAUAAAUGAUUUUAUAUGCAUGAGUUAUAUCAUAAAUGAAUUAUAUAAAUGAGAUUACUUAAGUGAUUUUUAUAAUGAUUUUAUACAAAUAAGCUUUUACAAAUCAGUUUAUAUGGGUUAAUGUCAUUAUUUGAUAUGGAAGAAGUUUUAUGAACUAUUCAUUUCGAACGUGAUUUGUGCUGUACAAUACUUUGAUUUACGUGUUGUUCAGUUACUGAAGCUCAGUAAUAUAAAAAGCAGAGUUUGAGAACUUUAUCAGAGGAGAUAGCAGUUAAAGUUCAGUUUCACAAAAAGGCAGUGAGUUAUUAGAUUUUUCUAAAAAUAGUUUAUUUUAGAACCACCAUGUACCCACCCUUGACUUGGUGAUUACCCAGAGUUGGACCGAUGUCUACGGACAUCCAGUCCAAUUUCAGUUUAUGUCAGUGCACUUGACUUUGCCUCACGAGUUACGGGGACGCUCGGACCGUGAGUGCCAGGAUUUGCGGCUCGGCAGACUUGGUGUCCCGAGACCUGCCAGGAUUGCGGCUCGGCUGACUCUGUGUCCCCGAGACCUGCCAGGAUUGCGGAUCAGGCUGACUACGGUCCCUUGCAUCCUGCCAGAGCGACUCGAGCUGACUUGGUGUCAUCGAGGAAUCUGCCGGCAGAUCAGGCUGAUCAUAGUCCCCUGAUUUCGCCAGUUUGCGGCUCGGGUAGACUGCGUGGCGCCCGAGACCUGCCAGGGGAAUUGACGGAUAUGACAGGGGUACAAAUAGGUGGUAUUUUCAAAGGAUUUUGAGUUUUCUUUUAUUCGAUUAUGACUUUCAGUUAUUUUAUAUCAGCUUCUUUGAUAUUCGUGCAUUUAUAUCUUUACAUAUUUGUUCAGUUAUACGAGCACAUUCAUCAGUAGGUUUUUACAUGCUUAUUUGAAUACCUUGUAUUGCAAUAUAGACAAACCCUCGAUUUAAAUCCUUGCUUAUUUUUAAAUGGGGGUUACUAUGUUUAUAAAAUUUAUUUUCAAGAACUUAAUUUUUGUCCACUCACAUUUUCAACCUGUUUUUCGCCCCCAGGCCGUAGAAGUGCGUAGGAUCCACCACCGGGCCAUCCCUAGCUUCCGCGCCACCAAGUGAGGUAGAGUUUUGUGGAAAAGUUCUUGAAACUCUGUGAACUUUAGAAAAUGCUCUGAUAUAUAGUUUUAAUGGAAAACUGGAGUUGGUGAAUACUUGGUUAUUCUAUUAUGGCAGUUGGUGUGGAUUUUUUGAUUGUUUAACAAGUGGAAAUUGGGUCGGGUCCUGUCAUCCAAUGGCUAAAACUAUGCAAUACACCAACCACUCCAUUUCAUAACGAACUUCGUACGGACCUGAAUCGUCAAAUUUCAUGGACCAAUCGAUAUUGGAUUGAGUCGAAAAUUGGAGGAACAUAAUAAUAUGAUGGGAGGAGUCAUUUGGUGGGUUCUGAGUGAAAUCCAAUGGCUACAACUAUGCAAUACACCUACCACUCCAUUUCAUAACGAACUUCGUACGAACCUGAAUUGUCCAAAUUCUUGGACCAAUCCAUAUCGGAUUGAGUACAAAACUUGGGGAACAUCAAAAUAUGAUGGGUGGAGUCAUUUGGUGAAUUUUGAAUGAAAUCCAAUUGCUAAAACUAUGCAAAACACCACCCACUCAACGAACUUCGUACAAACCUGAAUUGUCAAAUUUCAUGGACCAAUCGACAUCGGAUUGAGUUGAAAACUUGAGGAUUAAUCAUAAUACGAUGGGAGGAGUCAUUUGGUGACUUUUGAAUGAAAUCCAAUUGCUAAAACUAUGCAAUACACCACCCACUCCAAUUCAUAACGAACUUCGUACGAACCUGAAUUGCCCAAUUUCAUGGACCAAUCGAUAUCGGAUUGAGUACAAAACUCGGGGAACAUCAUAAUAUGAUGGGUGGAGUCAUUUGGCGAAUUUUCAAUGAAAUCCAAUGGCUAAAACUAUGCAACACACCACCCACUCCAUUUCAUAACGAACUUCGUACGAACCUGAAUUGUCCAAUUUCAUGGACUAAUAGAUAUCGGAUUGAGUUCAAAACUUGGGGAACAUCAUAAUAUGGUGGGACGAGUCAUUUGGUGACUUUUGAGUGAAAUCCAAUGCCUAAAACUUUGAAAUACACAAACCACUCCAUUUUAGAAUGAACUCCGUACGAAGUUGAAUUGUCCAAUUUCAUGGACCAAUCGAUAUCGAAUUGAGUCCAAAACUUGGGGAACAUCAUAAUAUGAUGGCAGGAGUCAUUUGGUGACUUUUGAGUGAAAUCCAAUGGCUAAACCUGUGCAAUACACCAACCACUCCGUUUCAGAACGACCUUCGUAUGAACCUGAAUUGUCCAAUUUCAAGGACCAAUCGAUAUCGGAUUGAGUCCAAAACUUGGGGAACAUCAUAAUAUGGUGGGAGGCGUCAUUUGUUGGGUUUUGAGUGAAAUCCAAUCUCUAGAACUAUGCAAUCCACCGACCACUCCAUUUCAGAACAAACUUCGUACGAACCUAAAUUGUCCAAUUUCAUGGACCAAUCGAUAUCGGAUUGAGUCCAAAACUUGGGGCGCAUCAUAAUACUGUGGGAGGAGUCAUUUGGUGGGUCUUGAGUGAAAUCCAAUCUCUACAACUAUACAAUACACAAACCACUGCAUUUCAUAACGAACUUCGUACGAACCUGAAUUGUCCGAUUUCAUGGACGAAUCGAUAUCGAAUGUAGUCCAAAACUUGGGGAACAUCAUAAUAUGGUGGGAGGAGCCAUUUGGUGAGUUUUGAGUGAAAUCCAAUGUCUAAGACUAUGCAGUACACCAACCACUCCAUUUCAUAACGAACCUGAUUUGUCCAAUUUCAUGGACCAAUCGAUAUCGGAUUGAGUUCAAAACUUGGUGGGUUUUGAGUGAAAUCCAAUCUCUACAACUAUACAAUACACAAACCACUCCAUUUCAUAAAGAACUUCGUACGAACCCGAAUUGUCCGAUUUCAUGGACCAAUCGAUAUCAUAUGGAGUCCAAAACUUGGGGAACAUCAUAAUACGGUGGAAGGAGCCAUUUGGUGAGUUUUGAGUGAAAUCCAAUGGCGAAAACAGUGCAAUACACCAACCACUCCAUUUCAUAACGAACUUCGUACGAACCUGAUUUGUCCAAUUUCAUGGACCAAUCGAUGUUGGAUAUAGUCCGAAACCUGGGGAACAUCAUAAUAUUGUGGGAAGAGUCAUUUGGUGGGUUUUGACUGAAAUCCAGUCUCUACAACUAUACAAUACACAAACCACUCAUUUAAUAACGAACUUCGUAAGAACCUCAAUUGUCCGAUAUCAUGGACCAAUCGAUGUCGGAUGGAGUCCAAAAGUUGGGGAACAUCAUAAUGUGGUGGGAGGAGUCAUUUGGUGGGUUUUUAGUGAAAUCCAAUCUCUAGAACUAUGUAAUACUCCAACCACUCCAUUUCAGAACGAACUUCAUACGAACCUAAAUUGUCCGAUUUCAUGGACCAAUCAAUAUCGGAUUGAGUCCAAAACUUGGGGAACAUCAUAAUAUUGUGGGAGGAGUCAUUUCGUGGGUUUUGAGUAAAAUCGAAUCUCUACAACAAUACAAUACACAAACCACUCCAUUUCAUAACGAACAUCGUACGAACCUGAAUUGUCCGAUUUCAUGGACCAAUCGAUAUCGGAUGGAGUCCAAAACUUGGGGAACAUCAUAAUAUGGUGGGAGGAGCCAUUUGGUGAGUCUUGAGGGAAAUCCAAUGACUAAAACAUAGCAAUACACCAACCACUCCAUUUUAUAACGAACUUCACACGAACCUUAAUUGUCCAAUUUCAUGGACCAAUCGAUAUCGGAUUGAGUCCAAAACUUGGGGAACAUCAUAAUAAUGUAGGAGGAGUAAUUUGGUAGGUUUUGGGUGAAAUCAAAUUGCAAAAACUAUGAAAUACACCAACCACUCCAUUAUGGAACAAACUUCGUACGAACAUGAAUAGUCCGAUUUCUUGGACCAAUCGAUAUCGGAUUGAGCCCAAAACUUGGGGAACAUCAUAAUAUAGUGGGAGGAUUCACUUGGUUGGUUUUGAGUGCAAGCUAAUAGCAAAAACUAUGGAAUGCACCAACCACUCCAUUAGAGAACGACCUUCGUAUGGACAUGAAUAGUCCAAUUCCUUCGACCAAUCGAUAUCGGAUUGAGCGCAAAACUUGGGGAACAUCAUAAUAUGGUGGGAGGAGUCAUUUGGUGAGUUUGAGUGAAAUCCAAUCGCUAAAACUAUGCAAUACACCAACCACUCCGUUUCAUAACGAACUUCGUACGAACCUGAAUUGUCCGAUUUCAUGGAUGAAUCGAUAUCGGAUUGAGUCCAAAACUUGGGGAACGUCAUAAUAUGGUGGGAGGAGUCAUUUGGUGAGUUUUGAGUGAAAUCCAAUUACUAAAACUAUGCAAUACACCAACCACACCAUUUACAGAACGAACUUCGUACGAACUUGAAUGGGCAGAUUUCUUAGUCCAAUCAAUAUCGGAUUGGGCACUAAACUUGGUCAACAUCAUAAUAUGGUGGGUGGAGUCAUUUGGUGAGUUUUGUGUGAAAUCCAAUUGCUAAAUCUACUCAAUACACCAACCACACCAUUUACGGAACAAACUUCGUAUGAACUUGAAUUGUCCAAUUUCUUUGGGCAGUAGAUAUCGGAUUGAGCCAAAAACUUGGCCAACAUCAUAAUAUUUCGGUUGGACUUAUUUGGUGAGUUUUAAGUGAAAUCCAAUUGCCGAAACUAUGCAAUACACAAACCACUCCAUUUACGGAACGAACUUCCUACGAAGUUGAAUUGUCCAAUUUCAUUGGGCAAUCAGUAUCGGAUUGAACCCAAAACUUGAGGACCAUCACAAUGUUGUGGGAGGAGCCAUUUGGUGAGUUUUGAGUGAAAUCCAAUUGCCAAAACUAUGCAAUACACCAACCACCCCAAUUCAGAACGAACUUCAUACGAACCUUAACUGUCCAAUUUCAAGGACGAAUCGAUAUCGGAUUGAGUCCAAAACAUGGGGAACAUCAUAAUGUUGUGGGAGGAGUCAUUUGGUGAGUUUUGAGUGAAAUCCAACUAUCAAAACUAUGCAAUAGACCAACUACUCCAUUUCAGAGUGAACUUCGUACGAACAUGAAUUGUCCGAUUUCUUGGACCAAUCGAUAUCGGAUCGAGUCCAAAACUUGGGUUUUGAGUGAAAUCCAAUGGCUAAAACUAUGCAAUACACCAACCACUCCAUUUCAUAACGAACAUCGUACGAACCUGAAUUGUCCAAUUUCAUGUUCCAAUCGAUAUCGGAUUGGGUCCAAAACUUGGGGAACAUCAUAAUGUUGUGGGAGGAGUCAUUUGGUGACUUUUGAGUAAAAUCCAAUGGCUAAAACUUUGAAAUACAAUAACUACCCCAUUUCAGAACGAACUUCGUACGAACCUGAAUUGUCCAAUUUCAUGGACCAACCGACACCGGAUUGAGUCCAAAACUUGGGGAACAUCAUAAUAUGAUGGGAGGAGUCAUUUGGUGACUUUGGAGUGAAAUCCAAUGGCUAAAACUGUGCAAUACACCAACCACUCCAUUUCAUCACGAAUUUCGUACGAACCUGAAUUCUCCAAUUUCAUGGACCAAUCGAUAUCGGAUUGAGUCCAAAACAUGGGGAACAUCAGAAUAUGGUGGGAGGAGUCAUUUGGUGACUUUGGAGUGAAAUCCAAUGGCUAAAACUAUGCAAUACACCAACCACUCCAUUUCAUAACGAACGUCGUACAAACCUGAACUGUCCAAUGUCAUGGACCAAUCGAUAUUGGAUUGUGUUCAAAACUUGGCGAACAUCGUAAUAUGAUGGGUUGGAGUCAUUUGGUGAGUUUUGAAUGAAAUCCAAUCUUUAGAACUAUGCAAUACACCAACCACUCCAUUUCAUAACGAGCUUCGUACGAAACUGAAUUGUCCAACUUCAUGGACCAAUCGAUAUCGGAUUGACUCCAAAACUUGGGGAACAUCAUAAUAUGGUGGGAGGAGUCGUUUAGUGACUUUUGAGUGAAAUGCAAUGGCUAAAACUAUGAAAUACACCAACCACUCCAUUUCAUAACGAACUUCGUACAAACCUGAACUGUCCAAUGUCAUGGACCAAUCGAUAUUGGAUUGUGUUCAAAACUUGGCGAACAUCGUAAUAUGAUGGGUUGGAGUCAUUUGGUGAGUUUUGAAUGAAAUCCAAUGGCUAAAACUAUGCAAUACACCACCCACUCCAUUUCAUAACGAACUUUGUACGAACCUGAAUUGUCCAAUUUCAUGGACCAAUCGAUAUCGGAUUGAGUCCAAAACUUGGGGAACAUCAUAAUAUGAUGGGUUGGAGUCAUUUGGUGAGUUAAGAAUGAAAUCCAAUGGCUAAAACUAUACAAUACGCCACCCGCUCCAUUUCAUAACGAACUUCGUACGAACUUGAAUUGUCCAAUGUCAUCGACCAAUCGAUAUCGGAUUGAGUCCAAAACUUGGGGAACAACAUAAUAUGGUGGGAGGAGUCAUUUCGUGACCUUUUUUUAAAAUCCAAUGGCUAAAACUAUGAAAUACAACAACCACACCAUUUCAUAACGAACUUCGUACGAACCUGAAUUGUCCAAUUUCAUGGACCAAUCAAUAUUGGAUUGAGUCAAAAACUUGGAGAACCUCAUAAUAUGGUGGGAGGAGUCAUUUGGUGGGUUUUGAAUGAAGUCAUUGUGCAAUACACCAACCACUCCAUUUCAUAACGAACUUCGCACCAAUUUGAAUUGUCCAAUGUCAUGGACCAAUCGAUAUCGGAUUGAGUCCAAAACUUGGGGAACAACAUAAUAUGGUGGGAGGGGUCAUUUGGUAACUUUUCAGUGAAAUCCAAUGGCUAAAACUAUACAAUACACCAACCACUCCAUUUCAUAACGAACUUCGUACGAACCUGAAUUGUCCAAUUUCAUGGACCAAUCAAUAUUAGAUUGAGUCCAAAACUUGGAGAACCUCAUAAUAUGGUGGGAGGAGUCAUUUGGUGGGUUUUGAUUGAAGUCCAAUCUCUAGGACUAUGCAAUACACCAACCACUCCAUUUCAUAACGAACUUCACACAAACCUGAAUUGUCCAAUGUCAUGGACCAAUCGAUAUCGGAUUGUGUCCAAAACUUGGGGAACAUCAUAAUCUGGUGGGAGGAGUCAUUUGGUAACUUUUGAGUGAAAUCCAAUGACUAAAACUCUACAAUACACCAACCACUCCAUUUCAUAAUGAACUUCGUAUGAAUCUGAAUUGUCCAAUUUCAUGGACCAAUCGAUAUCGGAUUGAGUUCAAAACUUGGGGAACAUCAUAAUAUGGUGGGAGGAGUCAUUUGGUGACUUUUGAGUGAAAUCCAAUGGCUAAAACUAUGAAAUACACCAACCACUCCAUUUUAUAACGAACUUCGUACGAACAUGAAUUGUAUAAUUUCAUGGACCAAUCGAUAUCGGAUUGAGUCCAAAACUUGGGGAACAUCAUAAUAUGGUGGGAGUUGUCGUUUGGUGACUUUCCAUUCAAAUCCAAUUUCUAAAACUAUGCAAUACACCAACCACUCCAUUUCAUAACGAACUUCGUACGAACCUGAAUUGUCCAAUGUCAUGAACCAAUCGAUAUCGGAUUGAGUCCAAAACUUGGAGAACAUCAUUAUAUGGUGGCAGGAGUCAUUUGGUUACUUUUGAGUGAAAUCCAAUGGCUAAAACUAUGCAAUACACCAACCACUCCAUUUCAUAACGAACUUCGUACGAACCUGAAUUGUCCAAUUUCAUGGACCACUCGAUAUCGGAUUGAGUCCAAAACUUGGGGAACAUCAUAAUAUGGUGGGAGGAGUCAUUCGAUGGGUUUUGAGUGAAAUCCAAUCUCUCGAACUUUGCAAUACACCAACCACUCCAUUUCAUAACGAACUUCGUACGAACCUGAAUUUACCAAUUUCAUGGACCAAUCGAUAUCGGAUUGAGUCCAAAACUUGAGGAACAUCAUAAUAUUGUGGGAGGAGUCAUUUGGUGGGUUUUGAGUGAAAUCCAAUCUCCAGAACUAUACAAUACAUCAACCACUCCAGUUAAGAACGAACUUCGUACGAACCUGAAUUGUCCAAUUUCAUGGACCAAUAGAUAUCAGAUUGAGUCCAAAGCUUGGGGAACAUCAUAAUAUUGUCGGAGGAAACAUUUGGUGGGUUUUGAGUGAAAUCCAAUCUCUGGAACUAUACAAUACACCAACCACUACAUUUCAGAACGAACUUCGUACAAACGUGAACUGUCCAAUUUCAAGGACCAAUCGAUAUCGGAUUGAGUCCAAAACUUGGGGAACAUCAUAAUAUGGUGGGAGGAGUCAUUCGAUGGGUUUUGAGUGAAAUCCAAUCUCUCGAACUCUGCAAUACACCAACCACUCCAUUUCAUAACGAACUUCGUACGAACCUGAAUUUACCAAUUUCAUGGACCAAUCGAUAUCGGAUUGAGUCCAAAACUUGAGGAACAUCAUAAUAUUGUGGGAGGAGUCAUUUGGUGGGUUUUGAGUGAAAUCCAAUCUCCAGAACUAUACAAUACAUCAACCACUCCAGUUAAGAACGAACUUCGUACGAACCUGAAUUGUCCAAUUUCAUGGACCAAUAGAUAUCAGAUUGAGUCCAAAGCUUGGGGAACAUCAUAAUAUUGUCGGAGGAAACAUUUGGUGGGUUUUGAGUGAAAUCCAAUCUCUGGAACUAUACAAUACACCAACCACUACAUUUCAGAACGAACUUCGUACAAACGUGAACUGUCCAAUUUCAAGGACCAAUCGAUAUCGGAUUGAGUCCAAAACUUGGGGAACAUCAUAAUAUUGUGGGAGGAGUCAUUUGGUGGGUUUUGAGUGAAAUCCAACCCCUAGAACUGUACAAUACACCAACCACUCCAUUUCAAAACGAACUUCGUACGAACCUGAAUUGUCCAAUUUGAUGGACCAAUCGAUUUCAGAUUGAGUCCAAAACUUGGGGAACAUCAUAAUGUUGUGGGAGGAGUCAUUUGGUGAGUUUUGAGCGAAUUUCAGUGGCUAAUACAACGCAAUACCCCAAGCACUCUAUUUCAGAGCGAACUUCGUACGAACCUGAAUUGUCCAAUUUCAUGGACCACUCGAUCUCGGAUUGAGUUCAAAACAUGGCUAAUAUCAUAAUGUUGUGGGAGGAGUCAUUUGGUGAGUUUUGAGCGAAAUCGAAUGGCUAAAACAAUUUAAUACAUCAACCACUCUAUUUCAGAACGAACUUCGUACGAACCUGAAUUGUCCGAUUUCAUGGUCCAAUCGAUAUUGGAUAUAGUCCAAAACUUAUGGAACAUCAUAAUAUGGUGGGAGGAGACAUUUGGUACGUUUUGAGCAAAAUCCAAUGUUUAAAACUAUGCAAUACACCAAUUACUCCAUUUUAUAACGAACAUCGUAUGAACCUGAAUUAUCCAAUUUCGUGGACCAAUUGAUAUCGGAUUCAGUCCAAAACUUAGGGAACAUCUUAAAAUUGCGGGAGGAGUCAUUUUGUGAAUUUUAAGUGAAAUCCAUUGGCUAAAAUGAUGCAAUACACCAACCACUCCAUUUCAUAAUGAACUUCGUAUGAACUGAAUUGUCUGAUUUCAAGGACCAAUCGAUAUCGGAUUGAGUGCAAAACUUGGGGAACGUCAUAAUAUAACGGGAGGAGUCAUUUGGUCGGUUUUCAGUGAAAUCCAAUCUAUAGAACUAUGGAAUACACCAACCACUCCAUUUCAUCACGAACUUCGUACAAACCUGAAUUGUCCAAUUUCAUGGACCAAUCGAUAUCGUAUUGAGUCCAAAACCUGGGGAACAUCAUAAUACGGUGGGAGUAGUCAUUUGGUGAGUUUUGAGGGAAAUCCAAUAGCUAAAACUAUGCAAUACAGCAACCACUCCAUUUCAUAACGAACUUCGUACGAACUGAAUUGUCCGAUUUCAUGGAUCAAUCGAUAUCGGAUUGAGUCCAAAGCUUGGGGAACAUCAUAAUAUAACGGGAGGAGUCAUUUGGGGUGUUUUGAGUGAAAUCCAAUCUCUAGAACUAUAGAAUACUCCAACCACUCCAUUUCAGAACGAACUUCGUACGAACAUAAAUUGUUCAAUUUCAUGGACCAAUCGAUAUCGGAUUGAUUCCAAAAGUUAGGGAACAUCAUAAUGUUGUGGGAGGAGUCAUUUGGUGAGUUUUGAGUGAGACCCAAUCUCUAGAACUAUAGAAUAUAGCAACCACUCCAUUUCAGAACGAACUUCGUAUGAUCCUGAAUUGUCCAAUUUCAUGGACCAAUUGAUAUCGGAUUGAGUCCAAAACUUGGGGAACAUCAUAAAAUUGUGGGAGGAGUCAUUUGGUGGGUUUUGAGUCAAAUCUAAUCUCUAGAACUAUACUCCAACCACUCCAUUUCAUAAUGAACUUUGUACGAACCUGAACUGUCCAAUUUCAUAGACCAAUCGAUAUCGGAUUGAGUCCAAAACUUGGGGAACCUCAUAAUGUUGUGGGAGGAGUCAUUUGGUGAGUUUUGAGUGAAUUCCAACGGCUAAAACAAUGCAAUACACCAACCACUCCAUUUCAUAACGAAUUUCCUAGGAACCUGAAUUGUCCGAUUUCAUGGAACAAUCGAUAUCGGAUUGAGUCCAAAACUUGGAGAACAUCAUAAUAUUGUGGGAGGAGUCAUUUGGGGGGUUUUGAGUGAAAUCCAAUCUCUAGAACAAUACAAUACACCAACCACUCCAUUUCAGAACGAACUUCGUACGAACCUGAAUUGUCCCAUUUCAUGGACCAAUCGGUAUCGGAUUGAGUCCAAAACUUGGGGAACCUCAAAAUUUAGUGGGAAGAGUCAUUUGGUGGGUUUUAAGUGAUAUCCAAUCUCUAGAACUAUGCAAUACCCCAACCACUCCAUUUCAGAAAGAACUUCGUACGGACCUGAAUUGUCCGAUUUCGUGGACGAAUAAAUAUCUAAUUGAGUCCGAAACUUGGGGAACAACAUAAUAUUGUGAUAGGAGUCAUUUGGUGACUUUUGACUGAAAUCCAAUUGCCAAAACUACGCAAUACACCAACCCAUUAGAGAACGAACUUCGUACGAACAUGAAUUGUCCAAUUUCUUGGACAAUCGAUGUCGGAUUGAGUCCAAAACUUGGAGAACAUCAUAAUAUGGUGGGCAGAGUCACAUGGUGAGUUUUGAGUGAAAUCCAAUUCCUAAAACCAUGCAAUACACCAACCACUCAAUUUCAGAACGAACUUCGUACGAAUCUGAAUUGUCCGAUUCCAAGGACUAAUCGAUAUCGGAUUGAGUCCAAAACCUGGGGAACAUCAUAAUGUUGUGGGAGGAGUGAUAACUCAUAUAUUUAUGCAUAUAUAUCAUCCAUUUCUAGUCUAUUUGUGAUGUUUUUGAGUUAAACUUGUUGCGCUUUACCCUAUUUUGUGUUAGUAUGUAGUUGCAUCUACUUUAGGAUCAAGUUGAAGGCAAAAGAAAAGAAAACGUGCCAUUUUUGGAGCUGACCCUUAUUCAAACAUGGAAACAAGUUUCAUGACCUGUUUUGAAGUCCAAAUAAAGAAUCCAAGGCGAACUUGGCUUGGUUGAAGACUAAGAGCAGAAUGGGAAAGCAAUGGGGAUUUCUAGCCUGAUUUGGAGGUGCCAAAUAAAGCAAAAACGUGCAAAAUAAAGGCUGAUUUCUUAGGAUCUCUUUGGAAUAUCUUGCAGCCUCUUUUACCCCAUAAAAACUUGCCUUUUUGCCACUUUUAAAAGCCCUAUUUAUUUUGGACGAAUUUCACAACCCGAGAACUCACUUCUUGGUUAUUCUCUCCUUUCAUGCACACUAAAACCCUAGCUGUCCAUAUAUUUCCACCAUCAGGACUCAGCGCAAGAGGUGGUUCUUGGAGAAGUUCAACAUCAGAAUUGGUUCAAAGGUUUCUUCUCAUGAAUUUAUUUUCACUCAUGUUGUUUAUUUUUGUUUUAAUCUCUUUGAACAUGAUGUGUAACUAAAUUCAUAGCUAGGGAUUUCGAUGUAGCCUUGCAACAUUGAUCCAUGUUUCUAAGUUAAAGUAUGCAGUUCAUCAAUCUGUUUCUUGUUUCAUUCACUGAAUCUAUUGUUCAAUUUGUUUGUCAAUUUUAAUGUUUGAUCACCAUUAGAGUUGCCUACAGAUUAUCUGGACAAGGUUAUAAUAAACAUCAUGCUUAAUCUUGGUAGACAUGUGAAUGAAUGAAGAGAAUGCUAUGCAAACAUCAUGCUAUGUAUUUUCUUUGGUUCUUUAAUGUUUUCUUGCAUGCUAAUGACUCUUAACUUGGAACCAAAGUUGAACAUCCCAACUAGGUUGCAGAUUAGGAGAAUUUGAUCAAAACCACACAUCAUAUGGCUGAUCAUAUAUAUGUAAAACGAACUCUGGAAACAGGUUGGUAGUUGAGUACGGUUUAAUUUUGUAAACAUGGAAUCAGUUUUGCAAUAGUGAAUUCGAAAUCCCUGGUCUCUUCCCUAUUCUUUCUACAUCAAUAUAUCAUUCACUACUACAUUCUUCUUGCAUUUUAAGUUAUUUUUCAUUUACAACACAAAAACUACUUUCAAAUUGUCACUUUCAUUUUUAGUCAGGGUUCUUUCAAAACUAGUAAUUUAUAAAGGUCCAAUCGGUCCCUGUUGUUCGACACCCUUACUUGUACCACUAUACUAACCAUAUAUUGGCACUUGGAAGGAACACAACAAGGAGUCAUUUUGUGAGAUUUAGGUGAAAUCCAAAGCCUAAAAUUGUGCAAUACACCAACCACUACAUUUCAUAACGAACUUCGUACGAACAUGAAUUGUCUGAUUUCAUGCACGAAUCAAUAUCGAAUUAAGUCCAAAACUUGAGGAACAUCAUAAUAUGGUGGGAGGACUCAUUUGGUGAGUUUUGAGUGAAAUCCAUUGACUGUAAAACUAUGCAAUACACCAACCAUUUCAAUUCAUAACGAACUUCGUACGAACUUUAAAUAUUUUAACACUUUUUCGGACCGAGAUGUAACAAUUUUACCAAAGUCUCCCCAUUCAACAACUCACCAUUUUCUCUAAUAAUUUAUUAUACGGGCAAAAUUAUCAUUUCUCAGAAUAAAUUAAUAACUAAAAAUUAAUUUAGGAUCGGGUUGUUACAAAAACAAUGCAAUACACCAACCACCCCAUUUCAGAACGAACUUUGUACGAACCUGAAUUGUCCGAUUUCAGGGACCCAUCGAUAUCGGAUUGAGUCCAAACCUUGGGGAACAUCAUAAUAUUGUUGGUGGCGUCAUUUGGUGGGUUUUUAGUGAAAUUCAAUCUCUAGAGCAAUACAAAACACCAACCACUCCAUUUCAUAACGAACUUCAUGCGGACAUGAAUUUUCCGAUUUCAUAGACGAAUCGAUAUCGGAUUGAGUCCAAAACUUGAGGAACAUCGUAAUAUGGUGGGAGGACUCAUUUGGUGAGUUUUGAGUGAAAUCCAAUGGCUAAAACUAUGCAAUAAACCAACCAUCCCAUUUCAGAACGAACUUCGCACGAACUUGAAUUGUCCAAUUUCAUGGACCAAUAGAUAUCGGAUUGAGUCUAAAACUUGGGGAACAUCAUAAAGUAGUGGGAGGAGUCAUUUUGUGAGUUUUGAGUCAAAUCCAUUGGCUAAAACGAUGCAAUACACCAACCACUACAUUUUAGAACGACCUUCAUACGAACUGAAUUGUCCAAUUUCAUGGACCACUCGAUAUCGGAUUGAGUCCAAAACUUGGGGAACAUCAUAAUAUGGUGGGAGGAGUCAUUUGGUGGGUUUUGGGUGAAGUCCAAUCUCUAGAACUAUGCAAUACACCAACCACUCCAUUUCAUAAAGAACUUCGUACGAGCCUGAAUCAUCCAAUCUCAAUGACCAGUCGAUAUCGGAUUGAGUCCAAAACUUUUGGAACAUCAUAAUAUGGUGUGAGGAGUCAUUUGGUGAGUGUUAAGUGAAAUCCAAUGGCUAAAACUGUGCAAUACACCGACCACUCAAUUUUAGAACGAACUUCGUACGAACCUAAAUUCUAUGAUUUCAUGGACAAAUCGAUAUCGUAUUGAGUUCAAAACUUAGGGAACAUCAUAAUGUUGUGGGAGGAGUCAUUUGAAGAGUUUUGAGUGAAAUCCAGUGGCUAAAACUAUGCAAUACACCAACCACUCCAUUUCAGAACGAACUUCGUACGAACCUGAAUUGUCCGAUUUCAUGCACCAAUCGAUAUUGGAUUGUGUCCAAAACUUGGGGAACAUCAAAAUUUGGUGGGAAGAGUCAUAUGGUGAGUUUUGAGUGAAAUCCAAUCUCAAGAACUAUGUGGUCCAAUUUCUUCGACCAAUCGGUAUCGGAUUGAGCCCAAAACUUGCGUUACAGCAUAUUCUUGUGGGAGAAGUCAUCUAGUGGGUUUUGAGUGAAAUCCAAUCUCUAGAACUAUAGAAUAAAUCAACCACUCCAUUUUAGAACAAACUUCGUACGAACCUGAAUUGUCCGAUUUCAUGGACAAAUCGAUAUCGGAUUGAGUCCAAAACUUGGGGCACAUCAUAAUAUUGUGGGAGGAGUCAUUUAGCAGGUUUUGAGUAAAAUCCAAUUGCAAAAACUAUUAAAUAUAGCAACCACUCCAUUUCAUAACGAACUUCGUACAGAUAUGAAUAUUCCAAUUUCUUGGACCAAUCGAUAUCGGAUUGAACCGAAAAUUUGGGGAACAUCAUGAUAUGGUGGGAGGAGUAGUACGGUGAGUUUUGAGUCAAAUCCAAUAUCUAGAACUAUGCAAUACACGAACCAUUCCAUUUUAGAACGAACUUCGUACGAACCUGAAUUGUCCAAUUUCAUGGACCAAUCGAUAUCGGAUUGAGCCCUAAACUUGGGGAACAUCACAAUAUUGUGGGACGAGUCAUUUAGUGGGUUUUCACUGAAAUCCAAUCUCUAGAACUAUACAAUACACCAACCACUACAUUUCAGAACGAACAUCGUACGAACCUGAAUUGUCCAAUUUCAUGGACCAAUCGAUAUCGUAUUGAGUCCAAAACCAGGGGAACAUCACAAUAUGGUGGGAGUAGUCAUUUGGUGAGUUUUGAGCUAAAUCCAAUAGCUAAAACUAUGCAAUAUAGCGACCACUCCAUUUCAGAACGAACUUCGUACGAACCCGAAUUGAACAAUUUCAAGGGCCAAUCGACAUCGGAUUGAGUCCAAAACUUGGGGAACAUCAAAAUAUGGUGGGAGGAGUCUUUUGGUCAGUUCUGAGUGAAAUCCAAAGCCUAAAACUAUGCAAUACACCACCCACUCUGUUUAAUAACAAACUUCGUACGAACCUGAAUGGUCCAAUUUCAUGGACCAAUCGAUAUCGGAUAGAGUCCAAAACUUGGGGAACAUCAUAAUAUGAUGGGAGGGGUGAUUUAGUAACUUUUGAGUGAAAUCCAAUGGCUAAAACUAUGCAAUACACCAACCCCUCCUUUUCAUAACGAACUUCGUACGAGCCUGAAUUGCCCAAUUUCAUGGACCAAUCGAUAUUAGAUUGAGUCCAAAACUUCGGGAACAUCAUAAUACGGUGGGAGGACUCAUUCAGUGGCUUUUGAGUGAAAUCGAAUCUCUACAACUAUACAAUACACCAACAACUCCAUUUCGUAACGAACUUCGUACGAACCUGAAUUGUCCAAUUUCAUGGACCAAUCAAUAUCGGAUUGAGUCCAAAACUUGGGAAACAUCAUAAUAUGGUGGAAGAAGUCAUUUGGUGACUUUUUACUGAAAUCCAACUGCUAAAACUAUGCAAUACACUACCCACUCCAUUUCAUAACGAACUUCGUACGAACCUGAAUUGUCCAAUUUGAAGGAUCAAUCGAUAUCAGUUUGAGUCCAAAACUGGGGGAACAUCACAAUAUGAUGGGAGGAGUAAUUUGGUGGGUUUUGAGUGAAAUCCAAUGGCUACAACUAUGCAAUACACCAACCACUCCAUUUCGUAACGAACUUCGUACGAACCUGAAUUGUGCAAUUUCAUGGACCAAUCGAUAUCGGAUUGAGUCCAAAACUUGGGGAACAUCAUAAUAUGGUGGGGGGAGCCAUUUGGUGAGUCUGGAGUGAAAUCCAAUGUUUAAAACUAUGCAAUACACCAACCACUCCAUUUCAGAACGAACUUCGUACGAACCUGAAUUGUCCAAUUUCAUGGAACAAUCGAUGUCGAAUUGAGUCCAAAACUUGGGGAACAUCAUAAUAUGGUGGGAGGAGUCAUUUGGUGGGUUUUGAGUGAAAUCCAGUCUCUAGAACUAUGCAAUACACCAACCACUCCAUUUCAUAACGAACUUCGUACGAACAUGAAUUGUCGAAUUUCAUGGACCAAUCGAUAUUGGAUUGAGUCCAAAACUUGAGGAACAACAUCAUGUUGUGGGAGGAGUCAUUUGGUGGGUUUUGAGUGAAAUCCAAUUGCCAAAACUAUGCAAUACGCCAACCACUCCAUUUCAGAACGAACUUCGUACGAACCCGAAUUGAACAAUUUCAUGGACCAAUUGAUAUCGGAUUGAGUCCAAAACUUGGGGAACAUCAUAAUAUGGUGGGAGGAUUCUUUUGGUGAGUUCUGAGUGAAAUCCAACGGCUAAAGCCAUGCAAUACACCAACCACUUCCUGUCAUAACGAACUUCUUACGAACCUGAAUUGUCCAAUUUCAUGUACCAAUCGAUAUCGGAUUGAGUCCAAAAGUUGGGGAACAUCGUAAUGUUGUGGGAGGAGUCACUUGGUCAGUUUUGAGUGAAAUCCAAUUGCCAAAACUAUACAAUACACCAACCACUCUAUUUCAGAACAAACUUCGUUCGAACCUGAAUUGUCCGAUUUCAUGGACCACUCAAUAUCGGAUUGAGUCCAAAACUUGGGAAGCAUCAUAAUAUACUGGGAGGAGUCAUUUGGCGGGUUUUGAGUGAAAUCCAAUUUCUAUAACUGUGAAAAACACCAACCACUCCAUUUGAGAACAAACUUCGUACAAAUCUUAAUUGUCCGUUUUCAUGGAACAAACGAUAUCGGAUUGAGUCCAAAACUUGGGGUACAUCAGAAUAUUGUGGGAGGAGUCAUUUGGUGGGUUUUGAGAGAAAUCCAAUCUCUAGAACUAUACAACACACCAACCACUACAUUUCCGAACAAACUUCAUAUGAACUUGAAUUGUCCAAUUUCAUGGAUAAAUUAAUAUCGGAUUGAGUCCACAAUUUGGGGAACAUUAUAACGUUGUGGGAGGAGUCAUUUCGUGAGUUUUGUGUGAUAUCCAAUGGCUAAAACAAUGCAAUACACCAAUCACUGCAUUUCAUAACGAACUUCGUUCGAACCGGAAGUGUCCGAUGUCAUGGACUAAUCGAUAUCGGAUUGUGUCCAAAACUUGGGGAACAACAUAAUAUGGUGGGAGGAGUCAUUUGGUGAGUUUUGAACGAAAUCCAGCGGCUAACACUAUGCAAUAUACCAACCACUCAAGUUCUUAACAAACUUCGUACGGACCUGAAUUGUCAAAUUUCAUGGACCAAUCGAUAUAUGAUUGAGUCCAAAACUUGGGGAACUUCAUAAUAUGGUGGGAGGAGUCAUUCGGUGGGUUUUGAGUGAAAUCCAAUCUCUAUAACUAUGAAAUACACCAACCACUCCAUUUCAGAACGAACUUCGUACGAACCCAAAUUGUCCAAUUUCAUGGACCAUUCGAUAUCAGAUUGAGUCCAAAACUUGGGGAACAUCAUAAUAUGGUGGGAGGAGUCAUUUGGUGACUCUUGAGUGAAAUCCAAUGGCUAAAACUUCGAAAUACACAAACCACUCCAUUUCAGAACGAACUUCGUACGAACCUGAACUGUCCAAUUUCAUGGACCAAUCGAUAUCGGAUUGAGUCCAAAACUUGGGGAACAUCAUAAUAUGGUGGGAGGAGUCAUUUGGUGGGUUUUGAGUGAAAUCCAAUCUCUAGAACUAUGCAAUACACCGACCACUCAAUUUUAGAACGAACUUCGUACGAACUUAAAUUGUCCAAUUUGAUGGACCAAUCGAUAUCAGAUUGUGCCCAAAAGUUGGGGAACAUCAUAAUGUGGUGGGAGGAGUCAUGCGGUCUCUUUUGGGUGAAAUCCAAUCUCUACAACUAUGCAAUACACCAACAACUCCAUUUCGUAACGAACUUCGUACGAACCUAAAUUGUCCAAUUUCAUGGAACAAUCGAUAUUGGAUUGAGUCCAAAACUUGGGAAACAUCAUAAUAUGGUGGGAGAAGUCAUUUGCUGACUUUUGAGUGAAAUCCAAUGGCUAAAACUAUGCAAUACACCAACCAUUCCAUUUCACAACGAACUUCGUACGAACCUGAAUUGUCCAAUUUCAUGGACCAAUCGAUAUUGGAUUGAGUCCAAAACUUGGGAAACAUCAUAAUAUGGUGGGAGAAGUCAUUUGCUGACUUUUGAGUGAAAUCCAAUGGCUAAAACUAUGCAAUACACCAACCAUUCCAUUUCAUAACGAACUUCGUACGAACCUGAAUUGUCCAAUUUCAUGGACCAAUUGAUAUCGGUUUGAGUCCAAAACUUGGGAAACAUCAUAAUAUGAUGGGAGGAGUCAUUUGGCGGGUUCUGAGUGAAAUCCAAUGGCUACAACUAUGCAAUACACCAACCAUUCCAUUUCAUCACGAACUUCGUACGAACCUGAAUUGUCCAAUUUCAUGGGCCAAUCGAUAUCGGUUUGAGUCCAAAACUUGGGAAACAUCAUAAUAUGAUGGGAGGAGUCAUUUGGCAGGUUCUGAGUGAAAUCCAAUGGCUACAACUAUGCAAUACACCAACCACUCCAUUUCAGAAUGAACUUUGUACGACCCUGAAUUGUCCAAUUUCAUGGACCAAACGAUAUCGGACUGAGUCAAACCUUGGGGAACAACAUAAUAUGGUGGGUGGAGUCAUUUGGUGGGUUUUGAGUCAAACCUUGGGGAACAACAUAAUCUCUAGAACUACAGAAUACAUCAACCACUCCAUUUCAGAACAAACUUCGUACGAACCUGAAUUGUCUGAUUUCAUGGAAUAAUCGAUAUCGGAUUGAGUCCAAAACUUGGGGCACAUCAUAAUAUUGUGGGAGGAGUCAUUUGGGGCCGUUUGAGAAAAAUCUAAUUGCAAAGACUAUGAAAUAAACCAACCACUCUAUUUCAUAACGAACUUCGUACGAAUUUGAAUAGUCCAAUUUCUUGGACCAAUCGAUAUCGGAUUGAACCCAAAAUUUGGGGAACAUCACAAUAUGGUGGGAGGAGUCAUACAGUGGGUUUUUGUGAAAUCCAAUCCCUAGAUCUAUGCAAUACACCAACCAUUCCAUUUCAGAAUGAACUUCGUACGAACCUGAAUUGUCCAAUUUCAUGGACCAAUCGAUAUCGGGUUGAGUCUAAAACUUGGGGAACAUCAUAAUAUUGUGGGAGGAGUCGUUUGGUGUUGUUUGAGUGAAAUCCGAUCUCUAGAACUAUGCAAUACACCAACCACUCCAUUUCAGAACGAACUUCGUACGAACCUGAAUUGUCCAAUUUCAUCGACCAAUCUAUAUCGGAUUGAGUCCAAAACUUGAGGAACACCAUAAUAUAAUGGGAGGAGUCAUUUGGUGGGUUCUGAGUGAAAUGCAUUGCCUACAACUAUGCAAUACACCUACCACUACAUGAUCGUGAGUUACCUAUUUUGCUUGGGAGACCCUUUAUGGCCACGGCGAAGACGAUCAUAGAUGUGCAAAAUGGUCUCCUGACCAUGACUGUGCUAGGAGAAACUGUACAAUUCAAAGUGUUUGAAUCUCUUUCUCACCAUUCUAGUUCAAUUGAUUGUUGUUCAAUUGAUGUGCUUGAUUCACUUGUUUUCUCUAAGUUUUUGCUGGCACAAUCCAAUGAUCCAUUACAAUAUGUUUUGAGUCAAUCUCAAAAUGACUUUGAUGAAGAAGUGCUCAUGGAGAUGGUGGCUGCCUUGGAAGCAUUAAAACAAUAUCCCUCCACUUUUUCGCCUCUUAUAGAGCCAUUAGAACCAUCUGCCACAUAUCUGAUCCCUUCUAUUGUUAAACCUCCAAAACUUGACCUUAAACCACUUCCAUCACAUCUAAAAUAUGCUUACCUAGCUGAGUUUGAAACUCUCCCAGUUAUAAUAGCAUCUGACCUCACCCCUUUGGAAGAAGAUAAGCUAAUUAGGGUGCUAAAAGAGUUCAAAUCAGCCAUUGGUUGGUCUAUUGCAGAUAUCAAGGGAAUAAGCCCUACCAUGUGUAUACAUCGAAUUUUAUUGGAGGAGGGAGCGAAACCAACUCGUGAACCACAAAGAAGGCUCAAUCCACACAUGAAGGAAGUAGUGAGAGCUGAAGUGCUGAAGUUGCUAGAUGUGGGUAUCAUAUACCCGAUUUCUGAUAGCAAAUGGGUCAGCGCUGUUCACGUAGUGCCUAAGAGGAUUGGAAUCACAGUGGUAAAAAAUGAGCAUAAAGAGCUUGUUCAAACCAGACCUGCAGCUAGUUGCCGUGUUUGCACCGAUUACGGGAAGUUGAAUUUAGACACUAGAAAAGAUUAUUUUCCUAUGCCUUUUAUUGAUCAAAUGCUUGAGCGAUUAGCUGGUCACUCAUAUUAUUGUUUUCUUGAUGGAUAUUCAGGUUAUAAUCAAAUUGUGAUUGCUCCGGAAGAUCAAGAGAAGACUACAUUCACCUGUCCUUUUGGCACUUUUGCAUAUAGGAGGAUGCCUUUUGGCCUUUGCAAUGCCCCAUCAACAUUCCAAAGAUGUAUGCUGGCAAUCUUUUCAGAUAUGAUUGAGAGAUUUAUUGAGGUAUUCAUGGACGAUUUUUCAGUUUUUGGUUCUUCCUUUGAUAAUUGUCUUAACCAUCUCUCUCUAGUGCUUCAAAGAUGUCAGGAAACAAAUUUGAUUCUCAAUUGGGAAAAAUGUCAAUUUAUGGUGAAACAAGGUGUUGUGUUGGGGCAUGUAAUAUCCAACAAGGGUAUUGAAGUUGACAAAGCAAAAAUUGACAUCAUCUCAAAUAUGGCAAACCCUGCUUCAGUGAAGGGAGUGAGAAGCUUUUUAGGACAUGCUGGUUUUUAUCGUCGUUUCAUUAAGGAUUUUUCCAAGAUCACUCAUCCACUGUGCAAUCUUUUGGCCAAAGAUGUUGUAUUUCACUUUGAUAAAGAUUGUAUGAAUGCAUUUAAUACCUUGAAACGUGAACGUUAUGGCACCAGAUUGGUCUUUGCCUUUUGAGCUAAUGUGUGAUGCCUCUGACUAUGCUAUUUGUGCUGUUUUAGGUCAAAGAGUAAAUAAGCUGCCACAUGUAAUCUACUAUGCAAGUCGGACGUUAAACGAUGCUCAACUCAAUUACUCUACAACUGAGAAGGAGUUGCUUGCUGUUGUGUUUGGUUUAGAGAAAUUUCGUUCAUAUCUUGUUGGCUCUAAAGUUAUUGUUUACUCUGAUCAUGCAGCUCUUAGGUUUUUGUUGACCAAGAAAGAUGCUAAACCACGUUUGAUCAGAUGGAUACUCUUGUUACAAGAGUUUGACCUAGAAAUUCGAGACAAGAAAGGGAGUGAAAAUGUUGUUGCUGAUCACUUGUCGCGCCUUGUUGAUGAAAACCAUGGAGAUGGACAAAUUUUGCCUCUCAACGAAUCAUUCCCGGAUGAACAACUCUUUGUCAUUCAAGAUAAAGAGCCAUGGUAUGCUGAUUUUGUCAAUUAUCUUGCUUCUGGUGUAAUUAGAGAUGAUUUGACUUUUCAGGAGAGAAAGAAGUUCUUUUCAAUGGUGGAACACUACAUGUGGGAUGAGCCCUAUUUGUUCAAGUAUUGCCCUGAUCAAAUCAUUCGAAGAUGUGUUCCAGAGAGUGAGCAGUAAAGCAUACUAACAUUCAGUCAUGCAUUGGCAUGCGGAGGUCAUUUCAGUGCCAAAAAGACAGCUUUAAAGGUUUUACAAUCUGGUUUCUUUUGGCCUACAUUGUUUAAAGAUGCUUUUGAUUUUUGCUCUAAGUGUGAUAGGUGUCAGAAAAUGGGGAGCAUCAGUCGCAGGAACGAAAUGCCAUUAAACAAUAUUUUAGUGGUAGAGCUGUUUGAUGUGUGGGGAAUUGACUUCAUGGGACCAUUCCCAUCUUCUUUUGGAGACAUAUACAUACUAGUGGCAGUAGAUUAUGUAUCAAAAUGGGUUGAGGCAAUAGCUACACGAACUAAUGAUCACAAAGUUGUUUUGAAUUUUCUCAAAGAUAUGAUUUUCACUAGGUUUGGAACUCCGAGAGCUAUCAUUAGCGAUGGUGGUAGUCACUUUUGCAACAAACCUUUCGAGGCAUUGAUGAAGAAGUACAACAUCACACAUAAAGUGGCAACUCCAUACCAUCCUCAAACCUCUGGACAAGUGGAAAUCAGCAAUAGAGAAAUAAAGAACAUCUUGAUGAAAACCGUCGCCCCUACAAGGAAGGAUUGGUCACUAAGGUUGAAUGAUGCACUUUGGGCGUAUCGAACAGCGUACAAGACCCCAAUUGGAAUGAGCCCUUAUCGACUGGUGUUUGGAAAGGCAUGUCAUCUACCAAUGGAGCUCGAGCACCGUGCAUAUUGGGCCAUAAAGAAGUUCAAUUUUGAUCUCAAAGAAGCUGGUACAGUGAGGAAGCUCCAACUCAAUGAGUUGGAAGAGCUCAGAAAUGAAUCAUAUGAGAAUGCAAGGAUCUACAAAGAACGAACCAAGCUCUACCAUGACAAAGCAAUUCUUAGGAAGGAGUUUCAACCAGGUAUGAAAGUACUUUUGUAUGACUCACGUUUGCGACUGUUUCCAGGUAAAUUGAAGUCUAGAUGGGUUGGACCAUUCAUAGUGCUUCAAGUAUUUCCCCAUGGAGCUAUGGAGAUAGAAAACAUCAAGAAUGGCAACCGUUUUAAGGUCAAUGGAAAGCGUUUGAAGCCUUAUUUGGAGAAUGUUUCACAGGAGCAGGUUUAUGUCGUUAUAGAUUCUCUCGAGUUUAUGGCAACUUAGACACACUACCAUGUCUUGCCUAGACAUUAAAUAAAGCGCUUGCUAGGAGGCAACCUAGCUGGGUUUGUGUUCUUUCCGUUUAUUUGUGUUGGUUUUUAGUUUUUAUUUUAUUUCUUUCCAUGCACACUGUGCCAAUUUGCAUUGCAUCCAUUCCAUUCAUUUUUUUUUUUAAGCAUCGAGGACAAUGCUUAGUUUAGGUUUGGGGGUGUGGGAUUUUCGUUUGUUUUUAGUUCUGGUUAAAGACUUUUGCUUACUAAUGUGAAUGUAUAUGAGGGCUAUGGUUUACAAUGAGUACUACUGCGCUGUCAUGAAAAAGUUCAUAUCAUAUCUUUUUUUUUUUUUUUUUUUUCAAAGCUGUUACUCUUGGAAUCAUGGUGGUUAAAGUAUCAUGCUCAAAUUCUAGAAGAAGAAUUGUGGAGACUACCCUAGUGAGUGAUUUUGAGCCUAUUUACUUCUUUGAGAGGGUUUAAACUCCUAUCUUUUUGCUUCAAUGUCAUUUCAAAUUAUCUCAUUAUUUUUGUUUGAUUGAACGCUAAGAAUUAUUCGCUUUCGCAGAUUCCAUGUGUUUGGUAACAUUCAUGAAUGAACUCAUUGAGACGAUGUUAGGCUAUGCAUGCCUUAACCACCAAAAGGCCUAAUUUCUUACCUUUAUGUGUGUGCCAUUACCCCAUUUUGAAGCCAAUCAUUUUUAGCCAUUUUCUUUUCUCACAUUUGUUUCCCCAUAUCCUUUUAUCUCAAUAUGAGAUAUUUAGCCCAUUACAGCUAUACCCUAUAGUUUGGGGAAUACCAAAGUGAUGAAGACAAAGAUAAUUCGAGCUCUACAUCAAGAAAGUGGUAUGUACCGAGGUAUGUGUGCUGGAAUUGUAGAAAAAAAGAAAGAAAAAAGAAACAAAGUUUUAGAAAAAGAAAAGAAAAGAAAAAGAAUCAAAGAGGAUGUAAUUUCUAAAUUCUUCCAUUAUCGCACGGGUCCUGGAUGCCACGAACAAACAACAAAGAUCAAUUCAAGAGGAGAGCUUGCUGCUUUCACAAGGAAGACACUUUGGUAUGUCCCAAGCUUUAGUAUUUCCUAUCCUUUCUUUCAUAGCCCCUGACCUAAGCCUUACAUUACACACCUUGUGAAAGACCUAGCUGAUCUUUGGGGAUGUAUUCAUGGGUGCUGCUAAGUAUGUGUGCUAUCCAUAUUCUUAGUGUUUAAUUCCUUUCAUGAGAUAUGUCCAGAAAUUGUGCUUUUAUUUCAUAUUUCAUAUGUGAGGAUUUUGAUUCCCUUCACAUAUGUUUGAGGAGAGACCACACCUUAGGAUCUGAGUGAAAAUUUGAGUGAUAUCUGUGAGGACUAGAGUUGAGGCGAUUUCUAUCUUUGGCAUUUGAGUAUGGUGUCUUUGAAAUCAUGGGACAUGGAGUAAUUAUUAUUUUUACACUAUACUUAUGAUAUGAUUCUUUGAAGUGGCAGACUAGUGGUUCGAAUGUAUGACUAAGCUUUCAUUGGUUCUUAUUAGUUUGCUAUAAGUAUGCUUUAACCAAUUUGCUUGCAAGUAUGCAGAUGUUUGUGGGAGUCAUCACUGUAAACCCUCAGGAGACACAACUCCUCCUACUAGGGACACCUAGGGGUUUAAAGGCUUGUUGCACAUGCUCAGUGCAAUCGUUUAACCUGCAAAAGUGGGCUAGUUAGAUUUUAUUGUCUUGUGUGUUUUUAGUUUCAGUUUUGCUCGAGGACUAGCAAAAAUCAGGUUUGGGGGUAUUUGAUAACUCAUAUAUUUAUACAUUUAUACCAUCCAUUUCUAGUAUAUUUGUGAUGUUUUUUAGUUAAACUUGUUGCGUUUUAUCCUAUUUUGUGUUAGUAUGCAGUUGCAUAUACUUUAGGAUCAAGUUGAAGGCAAAAGAAAUGAAAACAUGCCAUUUUUGGAGCUGACCCUUAUUCAAACGUGGAAACAAGUUUCGUGACCUGUUUUGAAGUCCAAAUAAAGAAUCCAAGACGAACCUGGCUUCUUUGAAGACUAAGAGCAGAAUGGGAAAGCAAUGGGGAUUUCUAGCCUGAUUUGGAGGUGCCAAAUAAGGCAAAAACGCGCAAAAUAAAGGCUGAUUCGUUAGGAUAUCUUUGGAACAUCUUGCAGCCUUGUUUACCCCAUAAAAACUUGCCUUUUAGCCACUUUUGAAACCCCUAUUUAUUUUGGACGAAUUUCACAACCCUGGAGGUGAUUUCUUGGUUAUUCUCUCCUUUCAUGCACACUAAAACCCUAGCCAUCCAUAUAAUUCCACCAUCAGGACUCAGCGCAAGAGGCGGUUCUUGGAGAAGUUCAACAUCAGAAUUGGUUCAAGGGUUUCCUCUCAUGAAUUUAUUUUCACUCAUGUUGUUUAUUUUUGUUUUAAUCUCUUUGAACAUGAUGUGUAACUAAAUUCAUAGCUAGGGAUUUCGAUGUAGCCUUGCAACAUUGAUCCAUGUUUCUAAGUUAAAGUAUUCAGUUCAUCAAUCUGUUUCUUGUUUCAUUCACUGAAUCUAUUGUUCAAUUUGUUUGUCAAUUUUAAUGUUUGAUCACCAUUAGAGUCGCCUACAGAUUAUCUAGACAAUGUUAUAGUAAACAUCAUACUUAAUCUUGUUAGACAUGUGAAUGAAUGAAGAGAAUGCUAUGCAAACAUCAUGCUGUGUAUUUUCUUUGGUUCUUUAACGUUUUCUUGCAUGCUAAUGACUCUUAACUUGGAACCAAAGUUGAACAUCCCAACUAGGUUGCAGAUUAGGAGAAUUUGAUCAAAACCACACAUCAUAUGGCCGAUCAUAUAUAUGUAAAACGAACUCUGGAAACAGGUUGGUAGUUGAGUACGGUUUAAUUUUAUAAACAUGGAAUUAGUUUUGCAAUGGUGAAUUCGAAAUCCCUAGUCUCAUCCCUAUUCUUUCUACAUCAAUAUAUUAUUCACUACUACAUUCUUCUUGCAUUUUAAGUUAUUUUUCAUUUACAACACAAAAACUACUUUCAAAUUGUCACUCUCAUUUUUAGUUAGGGUUCUUUCAAAACUAGUAAUUUAUAGAGGUCCAAUCAGUCUCUGUGGUUCGACACCCUUACUUGUACCAUUAUACUAACCCUAUAUUGGCACUUGGAAGGAAUACAACACACACCAACCACUCCAUUUCAGAAUGAACUUCGUACGAACCUGAAUUGUCAAAUUUCAUGGACCAAUAGAUAUCGGAUUGAGUCCAAAACUUGGGAAACAUCAUAAUAUAGUGGGAGGAGUCAUUUGGUGGGUUUUAAGAAUCCAAUCUCUAGAAAUAUGCAAUACACCAACCACUCCAUUUAAGAACGAACUUCGUACGAACCUGAAUUGUCAAAUUUCAUGGACCAAUCGAUAUCGGAUUGAGUCCAAAACUUGGGGAACAUCAUAAUAUAGUGGGAGGAGUCAUUUGGUGGGUUUUAAGUGAAAUCCAAUCCCUAGAACUAUGCAAUACACCAACCACUCCAUUUCAGAACGAACUUCGUACGAACUUGAAUUAUCCAAUUUCAUGGACCAAUCGAUAUCGGAUUGAGUCCAAAACAUGGGGAACAUCAUAAUAUUGUGGGAGGAGUCAUUUGGUCUGUUUUGAGUGAAAUCCAAUCUCCAGAACUAUACAACACACCAACAACUCCAUUUCAGAACGAACUUCGUACGAACCUGAAUUGUCCAAUUUCAUGGACCAAUCGAUAUCGGAUGGAGUCCAAAACUUGGGGAACAGCAUAGUAUGAUGGCGGAGUCAUUUCGAGACUUUUGAGUGAAAUCCAAAGGCUAAAGCUAUGCAAUACACAAACCACUUCAUUUCAUAACGAACUUCGUACGAACCUGAAUUGUCCAAUGUAAUGGACCAAUCGAUAUCGGAUUGAGUCCAAAACUUGGGUAACAUCAUAAUAUGGUGGGAGGAGUCUUUUGGUGGGUUUUGAGUGAAAUCCAAUCUCUACGAAUAUGCAAUACACCAACCACUCCAUUUCAUAAUGAACUUCGUACGAACUUGAAUUGUCCAAUUUCAUGGACCAAUCGAUGUCAGAUUGAGUCCAAAGCUUGGGGAACAUCAGAAUAUAGUGGGUGGAGUCAUUGCGUGGCUUUUGAGUGAAAUCCAACGGAUAAAACUAUGCAAUACACUAACCACUCCAUUUCAUAACGAACUUCGUACGAACCUGAAUUGUCCAAUUUCAUGGACCAAUCGAUAUCGGAUUGAGUCCAAAACUUGCGAAACACCAUAAUAUGGUGGGAGGAGUCAUUUGGUUACUUUCGAGUGAAUUCCAAUGGCUAAAACUACGCAAUACACCAACAAAUCCAUUUCGUAACGAGGUUCGUACGUACCUGAAUUGCCCAAUUUCAUGGACCAAUCGAUAUCGGAUUGAGUCCAAAACUUGGGGAACAUCAUAAUAUGAUGGGAGGAGUCAUUUGGUGUGUUCUGAGGGAAAUCCAAUGGCUAAAACUAUGCAAUACACCAACCACUCCAUUUCAGAACGAACUUUGUACGAACCUGAAUUGUCCAAUUUCAUGGACGAAUCGAUAUCGGAUCGAGUCCAAAACUUGGGAAACAUCAUAAUACGGUGGGAGGAGUCAUUUGGUGGGUUUUGAGUGAAAUCCAAUCUCCACAACUAUCCAAUACACCAACAACUCCAUUUCUUAACGAACUUCGUACGAACCUGAAUUGUCCAAUUUCAUGGACCGGUCAAUAUCGGAUUGAGUCCAAAACUUGGGGAACAUUAUAAUACGGUGGGAGGAGUGAUUUGAUGACUUUUGAGUGAAAUCCAAUAGCUAAAACUAUGCAAUACACCAACCACUCCAUUUCAGAACGAACUUCGUACGAACCUGAAUUGUCCAAUUUUAUGGACCAAUCGAUAUCGGAUCGAGUCCAAAACUUGGGGAACAUCAUAAUAUGGUGGAAUGAGUCAUUUGGUGACUUUUGAGUGAAAUCCAAAGGCUAAAACUAUGCAAUACACCAACCACUCCAUUUCAGAACGGAUUUCGUACGAACCUGAAUUGUCCAAUUUCAUGGACCAAUCGAUGUCGGAUUGAGUCCAAAACUUGAGCAACAUCAUAAUAUCGUGUGAGGAGUCAUUUUGUGCUUUUUGAGUGAAAUCCAAAGGUACAAAGUAUGCAAUACACCAACCACUCCAUUUCAGAAUGAACUUCGUACGAACCUGAAUUGUCAGAUUUCAUAGAACAAUCGAUAUUGGAUUGAGUCCAAAACCUGGGGAACAUCAUAAUGUUGUGGGAGGAGUCGUUUGGUGAGUUUUGAGUGAAAUCCAAUUGCCAAAACUAUGCAAUACAUCAAGCACACCAUUUCAGAACGAACUUCGUAUGAACCUGAAUUGACCGAUUUCAUGGACCAAUCGAUAUCGGAUUGAGUUCAAAACUUGGGGAACAUCAUAAUAUGGUGGGAGUCAUUUGGUGGGUUUUGAGUGAAAUUCAAUCUCUACAACUAUGCAAUACACCAACCACUCCAUUUCAUAACGAACUUCGUACGGACCUGAAAUGUCUAAUUUCAUGGACCAAUCGAUAUCGGAUUGAGUCCAAAACUUGGAGAACAUCAUAAUAUGGUGGGAGGAGUCAUUUGGUGACUUUUGAGUGAAAUCCAAUCUCAAGAACUAUGCAAUACACCAACCACUCCAUUUCCUAACGAUCUUAGUACGAACCUGAAUUUCCCAAUUUCAUGGACCAAUCGAUAUCAAAUUGAGUCCAAAACUUGGGGAACAUUAUAAUAUAUGAUGGGAGGAGUGAUUUGGUGAGUUUUGAAUGAAAUCCAAUGGCUAAAACUAUGCAAUACACCAACCACUCCAUUUCAGAACGAACUUCGUACGAACCUGAAUUGUUCGAUUUCAUGGACAAAGCGAUAUCGGAUUGGGUGCAAAAGUUGGGGAAUAUCAUAAUAUGGUGGGAGGAGUCAUUUGGUGAAUUUUUAGUGAAAUCGAAUUGCCAAAACAAUGCAAUACACCAACCACUCCAUUUUAUAAUGAAUUUCGUACGAACCAGAAUCGUCCAAUUUCAUGGACCAAUCGAUAUCGUAUUGAGUCCAAAAGUUGGCGAUAAGGUCAUAAUUUCAUACAUUUACGUGCCUUCUUUUUUUCGUUAUUUUGUUUAGCAUCUCUGUAUUUUGAUUUUGUUACCUAUGUUUGUGUUUGUAGGUUAAGACAGCAAGGGGAUGACAUUUGAUACAAUUCAUGCAUGUUAAGGGCUAAGUGGCACAAGAGGAUCAGAUCUCUAGAACUAUGCAAUACACCAACCACUCCAUCUCAAAAUGAACUUCGUACGACUCUGAAUUGUCCGAUCUCAUGGGCGAAUCGAAAUCGGUUUGAGUCCAAAACUUAGGGAACGUCAUAAUAUGGUCGGAGGAGUCAUUGGUGAGUUUUGAGUGAAAUCCAAUGGCUUAAACUAUGCAAUACAACAACCACUCCAUUUUAUAAUGAACUUCGUACGAACCUGAAUUGUCCAAUUUCAUGGACCAAUCGAUAUCGGAUUUAAUCCAAAACUUAGGGAACGUCAUAAUGUUGUGGGAGGAGUCAUCUUGUGAGUUUUGAGUUAAAUCCAAUGGCUAAAACAAUGCAAUACACCAACCACUCUAUUUCAGAACGACCUUCGUACGAACCUGAAUUGUCCGAUUUCAUGGACCAAUCGAUAUCGGACUGAGUCCAAAACAUAAAGAACAACAUAAUAUGGUGGGAGGAGUGAUUCGGUGAUUUUUGAGCGAAAUCCAAUGGCUAAAACUUUGCAAUACAACAAGCGAUUCAUAACGAACUUCGUAUGAACCUGAAUUGUCCAAUUUCAUGGACCAAUCGAUAUCGGAUUGAGUCCAAAAUUUCGUGAACAUCAUAAUAUGGUCGGAAGAGUCAUUUGGUGAGUUUUGAGUGAAAUCCAAUGGCUAAAACUAUGCAAUACACCAAAUACUCCAUUUCUUAGCGAACUUCGUACGAACAUGAAUUGUCCAAUUUCAUGGACCAAUUAAUAUCGGAUGGAGUCCAAAACUUAGGGAACAUCAUAACACAGUGGGAGGUGUCAUUUGGUCGGUUUUCAAUGAAAUCCAAUCUAUAGAACUAAGCAAUACACCAACCACUCCAUUUCAGAACGAACUUCGUACGGAACUGAAUUGUCCAAUUUCAGGGGCCAAUUGGUAUUGGAUUGAGUCGAAAACUUGCGAAACAUCAUAAUAUUGUGGCAGAAGUCAUUUGGUAGGUUUUUAGUGAAAUCCGAUCUCCAGAACUAUGCCAUACACUACAUUUCAGAAUGAACUUCGUACGGAACUGAAUUGACCGAUUUCAUGGACAAAUCGAUAUCGGAUUGAGUCCAAAACUUAGGGAACGUCAUAAUACAGUGGGAGGAGUCAUUUGGUGAGUUUUGAGUGAAAUCCAACGGCCAAAACUAUGCAAUACACCAACCACUCCAUUUCUUAACGAACUUCAUACAAACCUGAAUUGUCCAAUUUCAUAGACCAAUCGAUAUCGGAUUGAAUCCAAAACAAGGGGAACAUCAUAAUAUGGUGGGAGGAGUCAUAUGGGGAGUUUUGAGUGAAAUACAAACUCUAGAACUAUGCAAUACACCAACCACUCAAUUUCAGAACGAACUUCGUACUAAAAUGAAUUGUCCGAUUUCAUGGACCAAUCGAUAUCGGAUUGAGUCCAACACUUGGGGAACAUCAUAAUAUUGUGGGAGGAGUGAUUUGGAGGGUUUUGAGUGAAAUUCAAUCUCUAGAUCUAUACAAUACACCAACCACUCCAUUUCAAAACGAACUUCGUACGAACCUGAAUUGUCCGAUUUCAUGGACCAAUCGAUAUCGGAUUUUAUCCAAAACUCGAGGAACAUCAUAAUAUGGUUGGAGGAGUCAUUUGGUGAGUUUUGAGUGAAAUCCAAUGGAUAAAACUAUGCAAUACACGAACCACUCCAUUUCUUAACGAACUUCGUACGAACAUGAAUUGUCCAAUUUCGUGGACCAAUCAAUAUCGGAUGGAGUCCAAAACUUAGGGAACAUCAUAACAUAGUGGGAGGUUUCAUUUGGUGGGUUUUCAGUGAAAUUCAAUCUACAGAACUACGCAAUACACCAACCACUCCAUUUCUCAACGAUCUUCGUACGAACCUGAAUUGUCCAAUUCCGUGGACGAUUCGAUAUCGGAUUGAAUCCAAAACUUGGGGAACAUCAUAAUGUUGUGGUAGGAGUCAUUUGGUGAGUUUUGAACGAAAUCCAAUGGCUAAAACUGUGCAAUGCACCAACCACUCCAUUUCUUAACGAACUUCGUACGAACAUGAAUUGUUCAAUUUAAGGGACCAAUCAAUAUCGGAUGGAGUCCAAAACUUAGGCAACAUCAUAACAUAGUGGGAGGUGUCGUUUGGUGGGUUUUCAGUGAAAUCCAAUCUAUAGAACUAUGCAAUACACCAACCACUCCAUUUCAGAACGAACUUCGUACGGACCUGAAUUGUCCAAUUUCAUGGACCAAUUGAUGUUGGAUUGAGUCCAAAACUUGGGAAACAUCAUCAUAUAGUGGCAGGAGUCAUUUGGUAGGUUUUUAGUGAAAUCCGAUCUCUAGAACUAUGCAAUACACCAACUACUCCAUUUCAGAAUAAACUUCGUACGAACCUGAAUUGUCCGAUUUCAUGGACGAAUCAAUAUCGGAUUGAGUCCAAAACUUACGGAACGUCAUAAUAUGGUCUGAGGAGUCACUUGGUGAGUUUUGAGUAAAUAUCAACGGCUAAAACUAUGCAAUACAACAACAACUCCAUUUCAUAAUGAACUUUGUACGAACCUGAAUUGUCCAAUUCGAUGGACCCAUCGAUGUCCGACUGAGUCCAAAACUUGUGGAACAUCAUAAUAUAGUGGGGGGAGUCAUUUGGUGAGUUUUGAGUGAAAUCCAAUUGCGAAAACUAUGCAAUACACCAACCACACCAUUUACAGAACGAACUUCGUACAUACACUAAUGGUUAGAUUUCUUAGUUCAAUCGAUAUCACAUUGGGCACAAAACUUGGUAAACAUCAUAAUAUAGUGGGAGGAGUCAUUUGGUGACUUUUGAGUGAAAUCCAAUGGCUAAAACCAUGCAAUACACCACCCACUCCAUUUCAUAACGAACUUCGUACGAAAAUUGUCAAAUUUCAUGGACCAAUCGAUAUCGGAUUGAGUCCAAAACUUGGGGAACAUCAUAAUAUGGUGGGAAGAGUCAUUUUCUGACUUUUGAGUGAAAUCCAAUGGCUAAACCUUUGAAACACACAAACCACCCCAUUUCAGAACGAACUUCAUACGAACCUAAAUUGUUCAAUUUCAUGGACCGAUCGAUAUCGGAUUGAGUCCAAAACUUGGGGAACAUCAUAAUAUGGUGGGAGGAGUCAUUUGGUGAGUUUUGAGUGAAAUCCAAUCUAUAGAACUAUACAACACAAUAACCACAACAUUUCUUAAAGAACUUCGUACGAACGUGAAUUGUCCAAUUUCAUAGACCAUUCGAUACCGGAUUGAGUCCAAAACUUAGGGAACAUCAUAAUAUGGUGGGAGGAGUCAUUUGGCGAGUUUUGAGUGAAAUCCAACCUCUAGAACUAUGGAAUACACUAACCACUCAAUUUCAUAACAAACUUCGUAUGAACCUGAAUUGUCCAAUUUGAUGGACCAAUCGAUAUCGGAUUGAGUCCAAAACUUGGGGAACAUCAUAAUACGGUGGGAGGAGUCAUUUGGUGGGUUUUGAGUGAAGUACAAUCUCUAGAACUAUUCAAUACACCAACCACUCCAUUUCAGAACGAACUUCGUACGAAUCAGAAUUGUCCGAUUUCAUGUACCAAUCGAUAUAGGAUUUAGUCCAGAACUUGGGGAACAUCAUAAUAUUGUGGGAGGAGUCAUUUGGUGAGCUUUGAAUGAAAUCCAAUGGCUGAAACUAUGCAAUACACCAACCACUCCAUUUCAGAACGAACUUCGUACGAACCUGAAUUGUUCGAUUUCGUGUACCAAUCGAUAUCGGAUUUAGUCCAGAACUUGGGGAACAUCAUAAUAUUGUGGGACGAGUCAUUUGGUGAGCUUUGAGUGAAAUCCAAUGGUUAUAACUAUGCAAUACAACAACAACACCAUUUCAUAAUAAACUUCGUACGAAACUGAAUUGUCCGAUUUCAUGCACAAAUCGAUAUCGGAUUGAGUCCAAAACUUGGGGAACAUCAUAAUGUGGUACGAGGAGUCAUUUGGUGGGUUUUGAGUGAAAUCCAAUGGCUAAAACUAUGCAAUUCACCAACCACUCCGUUUCAUAACGAACUUCGUACGAACCUGAAUUGUCCAAUUUUAAGGACUAAUCAAUAUCUGAUUGAGUACAAAACUUGGGGAACAUCAUGAUAUGAUGGGUGGAGUCAUUUGGUGAGUUUUGAACGAAAUCCAAUGGCUAAAACUAUGCAAUACACCACCCGCCCCAUUUCAUAACGAACUUCGUAAGAACAUGAAUUGUCCAAUUUCGUGGACAAAUCGAUAUCGGAUUGAGUACAAAACUUAGGGAACAUCAUAAUAUGAUGGGUGGAGUCAUUUGGUGAGUUUUGAAUGAAAUCCAAUGGCUAAACUAUGCAAUACACCAGCCACGCCAUUUUAUGACGAACUUCGUACGAACCUGAAUUGUCCAAUUUCGUGGACCAAUCGAUAUCGGAUUGAGUACAAAACUUUGGGAACGUCAGAAUAUGAUGGGUGGAGUCAUAUGGUGAGUUUCGAAUGAAAUCCAAUGACUAAAACUAUUCAAUACACCAACCACUCCAUUUCAUAACGAACUUCGUACGAACCUGAAUUGUCCAAUUUCGUGGACCAAUCGAUAUCGGAUUGAGCCCAAAACUUAGGGAAGAUCGUAAUAUGAUGGGAGAUGUCAUUUGGUGGGUUUUGAGUGAAAUCCAAUGGCUACAACUAUGCAAUACACUAACCGCUCCGUUUCAUAACGAACUUCGUACAAACUUGAAUUGUCCAAUUUCAAGGACCAACCGAUAUCGGAUUGAGUCCAAAACUUGGGGAAGAUCAUAAUAUGAUGGUAGGAGUUAUUUGGUGGGUUUUGAGUGAAAUCCAAUGGCUAAAACUAAGCAAUACACCAACCACUCUGUUUCGUAACGAACUUCGUACGAACCUGAAUUGUCCAAUUUCGUGGACCAAUCGAUAUUGGAUUGAGUCCAAAACUUGGGGAAGAUCGUAAUAUGAUGGGAGAUGUCAUUUGGGGGGUUUUGAGUGAAAUCCGAGGGCUACAACUAUGCAAUACACCAACCGCUCCGUUUCAUAACGAACUUUGUACGAACUUGAAUUGUCCAAUUUCAUGGACCAACCGAUAUCUGAUUGAGUCCAAAACUUGGGGAAGAUCAUAAUAUGAUGGUAGGAGUCAUUUGGUGGGUUUUGAGUGAAAUCCAAUGGCUAAAACUAUGCAAUACACCAACCACUCCGUUUCGUAACGAACUUCGUACGAACCUGAAUUGUCCAAUUUUAUGGACUAAUCGAUAUCUGAUUGAGUACCAAACUUGGGGAACAUCAUAAUAUGAUGGGUGGAGUCAUUUGGUGAGUUCUGAAUGAAAUCCAGUGGCUAAGACUAUGCAAUACACCAACCACUCCGUUUCAUAACGAACUUCGUACGAACCAAAAUUGUCCAAUUUCGUGGACCAAUCAAUAUCGGAUUGAGUCCAAAACUUGGGGAAGAUUGUAAUAUGAUGGGAGAUGUCAUUUGGUGAGUUUUGAGUGAAAUCCAAUGGCUACAACUCUGCAAUACACCAACCAUUCCAUUCCGUAACGAACUUCGUACGAACCAGAAUUGUCCAAUUUCAUGGACUAAUCUAUAUCGGAUUGAGUUCAAAACUUGGGGAACAUCAUAAUAUGAUGGGUGGAGUCAUUUGGUGAGUUUUGAAUGAAAUCCAAUGGCUAAAACUAUGCAAUGCACCAACCACUCCAUUUCAUAACGCACUUCGUACGAACAUGAAUUGUCCAAUUUCAUGGACCAAUCGAUAUCGAACUAAGUACAACACUUGGGGAACAAGAAACAUGAUGGGUGGAGUCAUUUAGUGUCUUUUGAAUGAAAUCCAAUGGCGAAAACUAUGGAAUACACCAACCACUCCAUUUCAUAACGAACUUCGUACGAACCAGAAUUAUCCAAUUUCAUGGACCAAUCUAUAUCGGAUUGAGUACAAAACUUGGGGAACAACAAAAUAUGAUGGGUGGAGUCAUUUGGUGUGUUUUCAAUGAUAUCCAAUGGCUAAAACUUUGCAAUACACCAACCACCCCAUUUCACAACGAACUUCGAACGAACUUGAAUUGUCCAAUUUCAUGGACCAAUCGAUAUCGGAUUGAGUCCAAAACUUGGGCAACAUCAUACUAUGGUGGGAGGAGUCAUUUGGAAGGUUUUGAGUUAAAUCCAAUCUCUAGAACUACGCAAUACACCAACAACUCCAUUUCAUAACGAACUUAGUACGAACCUGAAUUGUCGAAUUUCAUGGACCAAUCGAUAUCGGAUUGAGUCCAAAACUUGGGGAACAACAUAAAAUGGUGGGAGGAGUCUUUUGGUGGGUUUUGAGUGAAAUCGACUCUGUACAACAAUGCCAUACACCAACAACUCCAUUUCAUAAUGAACUUCGUACGAACCUGAAUUGUCCAACUUCAUGGACCAAUCGAUAUCGGAUAGAGUCCAAAACUUGAGGAACAUCAUAAUAUGGUGGGAGGAGUCAUUUGGUGGGUUUUGAGUGAAGUCCAAUCCCUAGAACUAUGCAAUACACCAACCACUCCAUUUCAUAACGAACUUCGUACAAACCUGAAUUGUCCAAUUUCAUGGACCAAUCGAUAUCGGAUUGAGUCCAAAACUUGGGGAACAUCAUACUAUGGUGGGAGGAGUCAUUUGGUGGGUUUUGAGUGAAAUCCAAUCUCUACAACCGCGCAAUACACCAACAACUCCAUUUCAUAAGGAACUUCGUACGAACCUGAAUUGUCGAAUUUCAUGGAUCAAUCGAUAUCGGAAUGAGUCCAAAACUUGGGGGACAUCAUAAUAUGGUGGGCGGAGUCAUUUGGUGGGUUCUGAGUGAAAUCCAACGGCUAAAACUUUGAAAUACACAAACCACUCCAUUUCAGAAUGAACUUCGUACGAACCUGAAUUGUCCAAUUUCAUGGGCCAAUCGAUAUCAGAUUCAGUCCAAAAUGCAGUACACUAACCACUCCAUUUCAGAACGAACUUUGUACGAUCCUAAAUUGUCCAAUUUGAUGGACCAAUCGAUAUCGGAUUGAGUCCAAAACUUGGGGACCAUCAUAAUAUAGUGGGAGGUGUCAUUCGGUGGGUUUUGAGUGAAAUUCAAUCUAUACAAUUAUGCAAUACACCAACCACUCCAUUUCAUAACGAACUUCGUACAAACAUGAAUUGUCGUAUUUCAUGGACCAAUUGAUAUCAGAUUGAGUCCAAAACUUGGGGAACAACAUAAUAUGGUAGGAGGAGUCAUUUGGUAGGUUUUGAGUGAAAUUCAAUGGCUAAAACAUUGAAAUAGACAAACCACUCCAUUUCAGAACGAACUUCGUACGAACCUGAAUUGUCAAAUUUCAUGGACCAAUCGAUAUCGGAUUGGGUCGAAAACUUGGGGAACAUCAUAAUAUGGUGGGAGGAGUCAUUUGGUGGGUUUUGAGUGAAAUCCAAUCUCUAGAACUAUGCAAUACACCGACUGUGGGAACUUAAUUAAUUCAAAACCCUAGGUCAAAUAAUUAGGCCAAUCAAUUUGGGAAUUAUUUGACCUAAUUAGGAGUUACCUAACCUAAUUGGGAGUUACCUAACCUAAUUGGGAAUUACCUAAUCAAAUUGGGGGUUACUUGAUCCUCGCGUCAUGGCGAAUCCGCUCGUUCGAGAGCUUGUCAGUCAGGUCGGCAUUCUUCUUCACCAGCUUGUCAAGCAGGGCAGAAGAGGGGGCAACAUCACGCAAGUUCCGCAUGGCCCCAACAGCAAAAACCAUUCCUUUUUGAAGAUGAUACAUGGCAGCUUCUUCUUGCUUAUCCAAGGGAAGGCUCGAGAAAGCACAAAGGUCACCAGCUCGAUACACGUGAUCAACUAGCUUCGCGCAAGCAGACGGACUUGACAGAAAGCCUGUUUUCAGCAGAUCAGACACGGGCUUGCCCCCAGCAGAGCUAUCACCAAUUCCCGAACCGGCAGUUCGCGCAAUUGAAGGACUCUUCGCUCGAGCAGACGACUCUUUAGCUCUCUUGGCUGCAACUUGCAACAUUGAGUCAGCCCCGCAGAUGAGUCAUGAUUGCUAGACAGAUGUACAGUCUUUUCAGUUUGAUCCCAAGAUCGGCAAAAGCAACCCAAACCUUGCUUCUCAAUAGCCUCAUUACAGGGUGGAUCAUGGGUUUUGGGCAGUUCGGGCAGAGACUUGAGCAGAAUAUCCCAGACCUUAUGCAUGCCAUUGACUUUCUUGUUGUUCGCGUUGACGAGGCGCUUGAUCUCAGCAGAUGAAAAAGGAGCAACUCUCAUAGGGAUCUUCUCAGCACAUUAGACCCCCCCUUAAAGAAGACUUGCUCAUGGCAGAAGGAGGAAGUUCGGUCGAGGACUUUCAGCACGUUCGUGCUCUGCACAUGAUCGCCUUGACUCAUACUGAUCCUAGUUCGUGGCACAAAAAGAAGAAGGAAUUGAAGCAAUUUGGAUCAGCCACAAAAAGACGAUCCAAACUGCCACCUGCUCCGGCAGCAGAUCACGCACCUCCAGCCCAGUUACAGCUGGACAGCCCGAGUAAAAAGCCGCCUCCACGCAGGAGCCCAAUUCAAAGAAGGAAGCCCAGUUGCAAUUGGAUGGCCCAACGGUUAAUCCACAUCUCCUACAUGCCGUCACACGCCACGCAGAAGCUGGGGGGCAUUUGUGGGAACCUAAUUGGGCCAACCAAUUUGGGAAUUAUUUGACCUAAUUAGGAGUUACCUAACCUAAUUGGGAGUUACCUAACCUAAUUGGGAAUUACCUAAUCAAAUUGGGGGUUACUUGAUCCUUGCCUUAAUUAGGGAUUCGUUUACAUCCAUAAUCCCUAAAUACACCAACCUCACCAACCACACCAACCUCAACAAUUACACCAACCACACCAACCUCACCAACUACACCAACCCCACCAACCUCUCCAAGGCCACUAUAAAUACUUGGUUACGCACAAGGAUGAGGUACGCCUAAAUUCCUACUGAAACUCUGCAUAAAUUAUUUCUCAAAAACCCUAGCCACCUCCUCUCUUUCUCUCUCUCACACAAGGCUCCGACCACCACACACGGCUCCGGCCACCCAGUUUUCCUUGAAACACCCUACCUGACUUAGGCAUCGGAGGGCCUUUGGCCAACACCCCCCGGGUGUGGUCCUUUUACUCCGAUCUGUUUUGCAGGGAGAGAGAGAAGCAGAGAAGACGAAGGAAUCUUUGGCGAAUAUUCUCGUGGGACGGAAAUUUGCUACCACACCGACCACUCCAUUUCAUAACGAACUUCGUACGAACCCGAAUUGUCCAAUUUCAUUGACCAAUUGAUAUUGGAGUGAGCCCAAAACCUGGAGAACAACGUAAUAUGGUGGGACGAGUCAUUUGGUGGAUUUUGAGUGAAAUCAAAUUUCUAGAACUAUGCAAUACACCAACCACUCCAUUUCAGAACGAACUUCGUACGAACCUAAAUUGUCCUAUUUCAUAGACCAAUCGAUAUCGGACAGAGUCCAAAACAUGGGGAACAUCAUAAUAUGGUGAGAGGAGUCAUUUGAUGAGUUUUGAGAGAAAUCCAAUCUCUAGGACUAUGCAAUACCCCAACCACUCCAUUUCAUAACGAACUUCGUACGAACCUGAAUUGUCCAAUUUCAUAGACCAAUCGAUAUCGGAUUGAGUCCAAAACUUCGGGAACGACAUAAUAUCGUGGGAGGAGUCAUUUGGUGGGUUUUGAGUGAAAUCCAAUCUCUAGAACUAUGCAAUACACCAACCACUCCAUUUCAUAACGAACUUCAUACGAACCUGAAUUGUCCAAUUUCAUGGACCAAUCGAUAUCGGAUUGAGUCCAAAACUUGGGGAACAUCAUAAUAUGGUGGGAGGAGUCAUUUGGUGGGUUUUGAGUGAAAUCCAAUCUCUAGAACUAUGCAAUACACCAACCACUCCAUUUCAUAACGAACUUCGUACGAACCUGAAUUUUCCAAUAUCAUGGACCAAUCGAUAUCAGAUUGAGUCCAAAACUUGGGGAACAUCAUAAUAUGGUGGGAGGAGUCAUUUGGUGGGUUUUGAGUGAAAUCCAAUCUCUAGAACUAUGCAAUACACCGACCACUCCAUUUCAUAACGAACUUCAUACGAACCCGAAUUGUCCAAUUUCAUUGAUCAAUCGAUAUCGGAUUGAGCCCAAAACCUGGAGAACAACGUAAUAUGGUGGGAGGAGUCAUUUGGUGGAUUUUGAGUGAAAUCCAAUUUUUAAAACUAUCCAAUACACCAACCACUCCGUUUCAGAACGAACUUCGUUCGAACCUAAAUUGUCCUGUUCCAUAGACCAAUCGAUAUUGGACUGAGUCCAAAACUUGGCGAACAUUAUAAUAUGGUGAGAGGAGUCAUUUGGUGACUUUUGACUGAAAUCCAAUCUCUAGAACAAUGCAAUACACCAACCACUCCAUUUCAUAACGAACUUCAUACGAACCUGAAUUGUCCAAUUUCAUGUUCCAAUCGAUAUCGGAUUGAGUCCAAAACUUGGGGAACAUCAUAAUAUGGUGGGAGGAGUCAUUUGGUGGGUUUUGAGUGAAAUCCAAUCUCUAGAACUAUGCAAUACACCAACCACUCCAUUUCAGAACGAACGUCGUACGAACCUAAAUUGUCCAAUUUCAUAGACCAAUCGACAUCGGACUGAGGCCAAAACUUGGGGAACAUCAUAAUAUGAAGGGAGGAGUUAUUUGGUGACUUUUGAGUGAAAUCCAAUGGCUAAAACUAUGCAACACACUAACCACUCCAUUUCAAAACGAACUUCGUCCGAACUUGAAUUGCCCAAUUUCGUGGACCAAUCGUUAUCGGAUUGAGUCCAAAAUUGGGGAACAUCAUAAUAUGGUGGGAGGAUUCAUUUGGUGGGUUUUGAGUGAAAUCCAAUAUCUAGAACUAUGCAAUACACCAACCACUCCAUUUCAGAACGAACGUCGUACGAACCUAAAUUGUCCAAUUUCAUAGACCAAUCGACAUCGGACUGAGGCCAAAACUUGGGGAACAUCAUAAUAUGAAGGGAGGAGUUAUUUGGUGACUUUUGAGUGAAAUCCAAUGGCUAAAACUAUGCAACACACUAACCACUCCAUUUCAAAACGAACUUCGUCCGAACUUGAAUUGCCCAAUUUCGUGGACCAAUCGUUAUCGGAUUGAGUCCAAAAUUGGGGAACAUCAUAAUAUGGUGGGAGGAUUCAUUUGGUGGGUUUUGAGUGAAAUCCAAUCUCUAGAACUAUGCAAUACACCAACCAGUCCAAUUCAUAACGAACUUCGUACAAACCUGAAUUGUCCAAAUUCGUGAACCAAUCGAUAUCGGAUUGAGUCCAAAACUUGGCGAACAUUAUAAUAUAUGGUGGGAGGAGUCAUUUGGUGGGUUUUGAGUGAAAUCCAAUCUCUACAACUAUGCAAUACACUAACCACUCCAUUUCAUAAAGAACUUCGUACGAUCCUGAACUGUCCAAUUUCAGGGACAAAUCGAUAUUGGAUUGAGUCCAAAACUUGGGGAACAUCAUAAGAUGUUGGGAGCUGUCAUUUGGUGACUUUUGAGUGAAAUCCAAUGGCUGAAACUAUGCAAUACACCAACCACUCCAUUUCAUAAUGAACUUCGUACGAACCUAUCGGAGAGUCGAAAACUUGGGGAACAUCCUAAUAUGAUGGGAGGAGUCAUUUGGUGGCUUUUGAGUGAAAUCCAAUCUCUACAACUAGGCAAUACACCAACCACUCCAUUUCAUAACGAACUUCGUACGAACCUAAAUUGUCCAAUUUCAUGGACCAAUCGAUAUCGAAUUGAGUCCAAAACUCGGGGAACAUCAUAAUAUGUUGGGAGGAGUCAUUUGGUGGGUUUUGUGUGAAAUCCAAUCUCUACAACUAUGCAAUACACGAACCAGUCCAUUUCAUAACGAACUUCUUACGAACCUAAAUUGUCCAAUUUCAUGGACCAAUCGCUAUGGGAUUGAGUCCAAAACUUGGGGAACAUCAUAAUAUGAUGGGAGGAGUCAUUUGGUGGGUUCUGAGUGAAAUCCAAAGGCUACAACUAUGCAAUACCCCAACCACCCCGUUUCAUAAUGAACUUCGUACGAACCUGAAUCGUCCAAUUUCACGGACCAAUCGAUAUCGGAUUGAGUCCACAACUUUGGGAUCAUAAUAUGGUGGGAGGAGUCAUUUGGUGCGUUUUGAGUGAAAUCCAAUCCCUAGAACUAUGCAAUACACCAACCACUCCAUUUCAUAAUGAAUUUCGUACGAACCUGAAUUGUCUAAUUUCAUGGACCAAUCGAUAUCGGAUUGAGUCCAAAACUUGAGGAACAUCAUAAUCUGAUGGGUCGGAGUCAUUUGGUGACUUUUAAAUGAAAUCCAAUGGCUAAAACUACGCAAUACACCAACCAGUCCAUUUCAUCACGAUCUUCGUACAAACCUGAAUUGUCCAAUUUCAUGGACCAAUACAUAUGGGAUUGAGUCCAAAACUUGGGGAACAUCAUAAUAUGGUGGGAGGAUUCAUUUGGUGGGUUUUGAGUGAAAUCCAAUCUCUAGAACUAUGCAAUACACCAACCACUCCAUUUCAAAACGAACGUCGUCCGAACCUGAAUUGGCCAAUAUCAUGGACCAAUCAUUAUCGGAUUCAGUCCAAAACUUGGGGAACAUCAUAAUAUGGUGGGAGGAGUCAUUUGUUGGGUUUUGAGUGAAAUCCAUUCUCUAGAACUAUGCAAUACACCAACCACUCCAUUUCAGAACGAACUUCGUACGAACCUAAAUUGUCCUAUUUCAUAGACCAAUAGAUAUCGGACUGAGUCGAAAACUUGGGGAACAUCAUAAUAUGUUGGGAGGAGUCAUUUGGUGGGUUUUGAGUGAAAUCCAAUCUCUACAACUAUGCAAUACACCAACCACCCCAUUUCAUAACGAACUUCGUAUGAACCUGAAUUGUCCAAUUUCGUGGACCAAUCGAUAUCGGAUUGGGUCCAAAACUUGGGGAACAUCAGAAUAAGGUGGAGGGAGUCAUUUAUUGGGUUUUGAGUAAAAUCCAAUCUCUAGAACUAUGCAAUACACCAACCACUUGUUGUAUUCCUUCCAAGUGCCAAUAUAUGGUUAGUAUAAUGGUACAAGUAAGGGUGUCGAACCACAGAGACCGAUUGGACCUCUAUAAAUUACUAGUUUUGAAAGAACCCUAACUAAAAAUGAAAGUGACAAUUUGAAAGUAGUUUUUGUGUUGUAAAUGAAAAAUAACUUGAAAUGCAAGAAGAAUGUAGUAGUGAAUAAUAUAUUGAUGUAGAAAGAAUAGGGAUGAGACUAGGGAUUUCGAAUUCACCAUUGCAAAACUAAUUCCAUGUUUAUAAAAUUAAACCGUACUCAACUACCAACCUGUUCCCAGAGUUCGUUUUACAAAUAUAUGAUCAGCCAUAUGAUGUGUGGUUUUGAUCAAAUUCUCCUAAUCUGCAACCUAAUUGGGAUGUUCAACUUUGGUUCCAAGUUAAGAGUCAUUAGCAUACAAGAAAACAUUAAAGAACCAAAGAGAACACACGACAUGAUGUUUGCAUAGCAUUCUCUUCAUUCAUUCACAAGUCUACCAAGAUUAAGCAUGAUGUUUACUAUAACCUUGUCUAGAUAAUCUGUAGGCAACCCUAAUGGUGAUCAAACAUUAAAAUUGACAAACAAAUUGAACAAUAGAUUCAGUGAAUGAAACAAGAAGCAGAUUGAUGAAUUGAAUACUUUAACUUAGAAACAUGGAUCAAUGUUGCAAGGCUACAUCGAAAUCCCUAGCUAUGAAUUUAGUUACACAUCAUGUUCAAAGAGAUUAAAACAAAAAUAAACAACAUGAGUUGAAAUAAAUUCAUGAGAGGAAACCCUUGAACCAAUUCUGAUGUUGAACUUCUCCAACAACCACCUCUUGCGCUGAGUCCUGAUGGUGGAAAUCUAUGGACGGCUAGGGUUUUAGUGUACAUGAAAGGAGAGAAUAACCAAGAAGUCAGAUCUAGGGUUGUGAAAUUCGUCCAAAAUAAAUAGGGGUUUUAAAAGUGGCUAAAAGGCAAGUUUUUAUAGGGUAAACAAGGCUGCAAGAUGUUCCAAAGAUACCUAACGAAUCAGCCUUUAUUUUGCACGUUUUUGCCUUAUUUGGCACCUCCAAAUCAGGCUAGAAAUCCCCAUUGCUUUCCCAUUCUGCUCUUAGUCUUCAAACAAGCCAGGUUCGCCUUGGAUUCUUUAUUUGGACUUCAAAACAGGUCACGAAACUUGUUUCCACGUUUGAAUAAGGGUCAGCUCCAAAAAUGGCAUGUUUUCAUUUCUUUUGCCUUCAACUUGAUCCUAAAGUAUAUGCAACUGCAUACUAACACAAAAUAGGAUAAAACGCAACAAGUUUAACUCAAAAACAUCACAAAUAUACUAGAAAUGGAUGGUAUAAAUGUAUAAAUAUAUGAGUUAUCAAAUACCCCCAAACCUGAUUUUUGCUAGUCCUCGAGCAAAACUGAAACUAAAAACACACAAGACAAUAAAAUCUAACUAGACCACUUUUGCAGGUUAAAUGAUUGCACUGAGCAUGUGCAACAAGCCUUUAAACCCCUAGGUGUCCCUAGUAGGAGGAGUUGUGUCUCCUGAGGGUUUACAGUGAUGACUCCCACAAACAUCUGCAUACUUGCAAGCAAAUUGGUUAAAGCAUACUUAUAGCAAACUAAUAAGAACCAAUGAAAGCUUAGUCAUACAUUCGAACCACUAGUUUGCCACUUCAAAGAAUCAUAUCAUAAGUAUAGUGUAAAAAAAAAAUAAUUACUUCAUGUCCCAUGACUUCAAAGACACCAUACUCAAAUGCCAAAGAUAGAAAUCGCCUCAACUCUAGUCCUCACAGAUAUCACUCAAAUUUUCACUCAGAUCCUAAGGUGUGGUCUCUCCUCAAACAUAUGUGAGUGAAGUUAUGUAAAAGGGAAUCAAAAUCCUCACAUAUGACAUAUGAAAUAAAAGCACAAUUUCUGGACAUAUCUCAUGAAAGGAAUUAAACACUAAGAAUAUGGAUAGCACACAUACUUAGCAGCACCCAUGAAUACAUCCCCAAAGAUCAGCUAGGUCUUUCACAAGGUGUGUAAUGUAAGGCUUAGGUCAGGGGCUAUGAAAGAAAGGAUAGGAAAUACUAAAGCUUGGGACAUACCAAAGUGUCUUCCUUGUGAAAGCAGCAAGCUCUCCUCUUGAAUUGAUCUUUGUUGUUUGUUCGUGGCAUCCAGGACCCGUGCGAUAAUGGAAGAAUUUAGAAAUUACAUCCUCUUUGAUUCUUUUUCUUUUCUUUUCUUUUUCUAAAACUUUGUUUCUUUUUUCUUUCUUUUUUUAUACACUUCCAGCACACAUACCUCGGUACAUACCACUUUCUUGAUGUAGAGCUCGAAUUAUCUUUGUCUUCAUCACUUUGGUAUUCCCCAAACUAUAGGGUAUAGCUGUAAUGGGCUAAAUAUCUCAUAUUGAGAUAAAAGGAUAUGGGGAAACAAAUGUGAGAAAAGAAAAUGGCUAAAAAUGAUUGGCUUCAAAAUGGGGUAAUGGCACACACAUAAAGGUAAGAAAUUAGGCCUUUUGGUGGUUAAGACAUGCAUAGCCU